rnacentral:lncRNA from 1 species
ACGCCGACGGCACAUCGAUCUUCUUCAAAGAGUCCGAAGAGGGAAGAAGAAGAGGCGAUUCGCUCUCGCGCUGCUCCGACUGUAAUUCAACCAAUGUUUCGUGUCUUUGUUUCUUCGAAAUGGUGGGACUCGAAGCAUCGGUAUCUCUAAGACGCUUGAGCUGUUGCUUUGAGGAAUGAUUUCCCAUUGCAGCUCUCUCUCUCUCUCUCUCUCUCUCUCUCGCUCUCUCUCUCUCUGAGACUCGACUGUUGUGGAUAGUUUUUGAGGUGAUGGAAGUGGAAGAAGGGGGUGACUACAGUGGUUUGCUUGUCAACCAAGAAGAUGGCUCCGUUCGGCUGCUAGGGUUUUGAGCUGGGAAUCGCAGUCGACUAUCCAUCCAUAUUUAAAGCGUCGCUCGUCAAUGAGCAAGAAGGGAAAGCAGGAGGCGAGACCCGAUUGUUCGGAUUAUUUUAUGGAUAUUUUAAUCACGCCGAAUACUUUAAACGAGGAAAAAGGGAAGCGCACUCGACUAUCCAUCCACAUUUAUUUCGGGUCGAGUCGGUUCGGAUCAGGGCAUACGACCCUAAUGUUUUGGGUUGGGUCCGAUAUCAUAACCCAACCUGAUCCAUUUACACCUCCACUUCAUAAGGAUAGAGAAAUUCACUUUGGAAGAGCCUAGAAAUCUGUACAUUGAAUUAUUUACCUGAAUUAUCAUCUUCAACCGAAACAAUUAUAAAAAAAAACUAUUAUAAAAUUAGCGUCGAAAAAUAUAUGAUCUUUUAAUGUAAAUCAAUAUGGAAUAACAAAAAUUCAAAUAAGAAAUAAUUCAUUAUAAUCGGAGGAUUAGAAUUACAAUCGUUCGUACAUACAUUUACUUAAGUAUUAAACCACAUUUAGAUUAGCUUAAGUUCAAAGUAUUUAUAAAUAAAUAACUCAAUUCUAUGUAAAAUUCAUGGUAUAAGAUUCACCAUGUUUAGAACUCCUUCGUGCACGACUAAAGGGACCGUCAUCGCAUCGUCCUCUUUCCUUCUUUGCGUUCAUCCUCUAUUGUGUGGUGUUUUUCAUUGCGCAACUCCUGGCUAAACAAACCUACGUGGGGAGAAAAUAUUAGGUGCCUCUUCUAUAGCCAACACAAUAAAAAAGAAGAGACCUGGAUUAAUGACACUUGUCCAAAGUGGGUCCCAUCUCUGCUCACAUUUACAACCUGGUAAAGAGGGAAAGCAGGAGGCGACGCAGGUUUGUUGUUUCAUACAUUUUAUGUGUUUAUAUUGGGAUCUAGAAACGCGUUCGAAUUUUGACUAAAAAAUUUGAUUGUUAAUUGACUAAAAGCAAUCCUUGUGGUCCUCAGUCCUCACUCCUCGCCCUCCACGUCUGCUUCCUACUGGUCUUGACCACCACCCCUAUUAUAAAAUAAUGAAAGAAAAGAACAUAAUAGCUAUAUUGCCACUAUAAUUAUAUUACCGUGGAUCACAAUAAGUAAUUAUUCAAGAAAUAUACUUUAUCAUCAUUAGGAUAAGAGAUUUCCGCAAUAUUGAAAGUAAUUAUACACCCCUUAAACUAAAGCCGAAAAAUAUUUAGUUCAAUUAAAGAGCAGAAACUUUCCGACUCGCAGCAUUCAGAGAUUUCAUCCACCGCUGUUCUUUAAUGGAUUUGGAGAGUAAAGGCUGUGCGUUCACCUGGACAAACAACAGAGAAGGGGAUCAGUUAGUAAAGAAGUGUCUUGACAGAGUUCUCUGCACUGCUACUUGGAGAACAACAUAUCCUACAGCUGAAAGUGUAGCACCAGCUAUAGGGUCUGAUCACAGCCCUAUUAUGGUAUCACUCGACCCACAAAGGAAAAAACGAGCACAGAGAUUCAAAUAUGAAGCAUUCUGGGCAGAGAAAGAGGAAUGUGCACAAUUAGUGAAGGAAACUUGGGCAGACCCCGGUACCCAACAAUCAAAUGUGGUGGAAAAACUACAGAUUACAGCAAGUAAGUUGAUGAAGUGGAGCAAGAAUCGAUUCUCUAAUGCUAAAAUGAGAAUUGAAUGGCUAAACAACGAACUACAAUCCUUGAUGAAUAGAACGGAAGCCCUUCAGGAGAGUGCAGUAGCGAAAAAAAAAAUCAUACAAGAAAUAAAACAAUUGUGGAGACAAGAGGAGAUGUAUUGGGGUAUGCGGUCCAGAAUUAGAUGGCUGAAAUGGGGUGACAGAAACUCCAAAUUCUUUCAUGCCAUGGUAAUACAGAGAAGGACCAGAAAUAGAAUCUCCUUGCUGAAAAAUGAAGAGGAUGUUUGGGUACGAGAUGAGCAGCAUCUACGCAAAUGACUGGGAAAUAUUUCCAAAAACUAUACAGAGGGAGUAAGAUCCAGAGAUUUCAACCUAUAUUACAGCAUAUUCCAACCUUGGUGGAUGAAAAUAUGAAUCAAGGGUUAGUUGCAGAUGUCAAUAUGGAGGAAAUAACCAACGCUAUGCAACAAUUAGGAGCUACCAAAGCUCCAGGACCAGAUGGGCUUCAUGGACUCUUCUUUCGAUGACACUGGGACAAAAAUUUGUUAGGAUAUCCUCAAAGAAACUCAGCACUUUUUUACCCCGAGAUACCUCAAUCCUGACAUGAAUAAAAUAUACAUAACUCUUAUUCCUAAAAUCCCAAACCCUGAAAAACUUGAGCACUACAGACCAAUCAGCCUAUGCAACUUUACCUAUAAAAUCAUUUCCAAGGUGAUGACAAACAGGCUCAAACCGUUGCUACCAAGCUUAAUCGCUGAAGAACAAAGUGCUUUUGUGGGGGGUAGGCAAAUCCAAGAUAAUAUAUUGAUUGUGCAGGAAGUCCUUCACAGGUUGCGAACACGGGAGAGGAAACGGAAAUUUCAAACUAUUUUGAAGCUGGAUAUGCAGAAGGCUUAUGACCGAAUUGAAUGGGAUUUCCUUAGGGCAAGCUUAAUCAAGAUGGGAUUCUGUGAGCAGUGGGUUCAAUGGGUAAUGCAGUGUGUUUCAACGGUCACAUUCAGCAUAAAUUUUAAUGGGGAAUCUCUACCCUAUUUCAAGCCUACUCGUGGGAUUAGAUAAGGUGAUCCACUUUCGCCCUAUUUGUUUACUCUAGUGGCAGAUGUGCUAUCUAACAUGAUGAAACGAGCAAUAGAUGAUGGCACAUUAUGAGGAAUCAAGCUAAACAGCAGUUGCCCUACUCUAUCACAUUUGUUAUUUGCGAAUGAUUCCAUAUUCUUUCUUCAUGGAACAAUACUGAAAUGUCAAAACCUAGCAACUAUCAUACACCAAUACUGUUUCGCAUCUGGUCAAGCUGUUAAUCUCAACAAAUCAGGUAUAUAUUUCAGCAAAAACUGCCCAACUAGUUUGAGGAGGAAUAUGGCUUUCGAACUACAAGUGCCAGAAAUUGAGAAAACCGGGAAGUACCUAGGAAUGCCAUCAGAUUGGGGGGGCUUCAAAGAAGAAUAUGUUUGCCUAGAUCCUUACAAAGGUUCACAUGAAAUUGGAAAGCUGGAAGGAAAAUUUCUUAUCGAAAACGGGGAAGGAAAUCUUAAUUAAAUCAGUGAUUCAAAUCAUCCCUCACUAUGCCAUGUCCAUAUUUCAAAUCCAUAUUUCGAUUUGCAAAGCUAUUGAGAUGAAAGUGGCAAACUUCUGAUGGAAAAAUAGUAACAGAAAUGUUGGGAUACACUGGAAAAAAUGGGAAAAUUUGAAAAUCAGGAAGGACGAGGGGGGUCUUGGCUUUAAAGAUCUAAUUGCUUUAAAUAAGGCUAUGUUGGGAAAGCAAGCAUGGCGAAUAUCACAGCACCCUAAGUCCCUAUUAAGCAGAGUAAUGAAAGGGCUGUACUACUGUCACGCCCCGAUCCUCCGAGCGCGCGAACAUCCCACUCUGGUCGAUACAAAUGCGAUUUCCCAGGAUAUGUCGCCGACCCAUUCAUUUAUUUAUUGCACAUGCGGAAGUGAAACAAAUCCCCUGACAACAUUUAACUUGGGAUAGAAAAGCAGGCAAUCAAUCACAACCAAACAAGCUUUCUAUAAACACAUAUGUUUAUAUACAACACUUGAUUGUCUACAAAAUAGAUAGGCUCAACAACUAGGGAACUGUCCUGUGACCAACUUGUCAGACACGUUCGCCGAUUCUUCAGCCUCCACCUUCCGAACUCCAGGACUUCCGGUCCUCCACAACCGUCAUCUAGGAACCUGAAAUAUUAUCCCACAACCGGGAUGAGACUACGUCUCAGCGAGUCCUACCCUCUAAAACUCAAUUAGGAAGAAAAUACGUCUUAGGGCGCUCUAGCCACACAAAUAGGAUAAAGGACUUACCUCGCCUCAGUUCCUUCCUACACAUCAGUUUAAUCAAUAAAUAUUGACAACCACAUCAUCAAACAAUUCAAUUACUCGGAUCGAUUCAGCGAUCAAUCGACUUAGUCGAUUACAUGUCAUCGAAAUCAUCACACGAUCAUUCUGACUAUUCAUUCUCAACUCUCAAUCAUGGCCUUACAGGCAAGUCUAUAUGUAGUGGCAUCACGGCCCCACUCGGCAAUGUUAUAUGUAGUGGCAUCACAGCCCCACUCAGCAAUAUUUUAUGUAGUGGUAUCACGGCCCCAUUCGGCAAUGUUAUAUGUAGUGGUAUCACGGCUCCACUCGGCAUAAUUUAGAUUUAGUGGCUUUCUAGGUUCAACUCACAACCUCUCACAGUCAUUUUCCCAUCAAAAACCAACAUUAAUCAACUUUGGGAUAAAUCCCCACAUAAACAUCCAUUCAAUCAAUCGAUAUAAACUUGACCUACCAACCAAUUAUGGUGCCCAAAGCCGACACUGGGUAUUUUCAAGUUAAAUACCAAAACUUCAUCAAUAUCACUCAAUUCCACACUUUUGAAAUAAUUAACCAUAACCAUCAAUCACUCAAUUUCUCAAUUUAAGCUUACAAUUAAUACAAAUCGACCGCACUGCUGCGAUCAGUGCGAAAUUCUAAUGACCGGCCAUCCUGGCAAAAUUUUCGAAAUUAUUAAAUAAUUAAAUUUAAUUCCGAAAAUUAAAUAAAUAAAUAUUAUAUUAUAAUAAUAUAAUUUAAUAAAAUAAUAUUUAUAAAUUCGAAAUAAUUAAUUAAAAAUAAUUAAUUAUGGCUUAAACAAGAUUACACUAAUUUAAUCAUACAAUUAGCCCUAAUUAAACAUCCAUUAAGCUAAUCAUACAACUAAUCUAAUUUACAUUAAAAUAAUCUAAUUUAAUCUCAUAAACCUAAUUAGACUAAUCUAAACACUCCUUAAGCGUCAUUAACUCACUAAACAAGAAUUAGAGGAUAAACUCACCGGUUUUGUGUGCCGGUGAAUUCACGGCGACCACGACGCCAAGGCGGUCGAUAAACCCCAAAGCGGCGACAACAACGGAGGCCGAGAAGACAUUGAAAACGGGCCUCGAAGUCUAGAACUUCUUGUUGUCUUCUGCUUCUGAUCUGGGCUGAACUGCAGAGACGAAACCAACAACUUCAACAGCGAAGACGGGCCGAUUGGAGCUCCGGCAAGCAGGUGGUUGGCAACCGAUGGCUCCCGGGGGUCAAGGGGAUUGGGAUGGGCAAAGGAAGGGUCGGAAAUGGGCGAAACAGCAAGAAAACGUGAAACAGGUGAAACCAAGCGAGUCCAAACGGUCCGGCGAGUAGCAGCUUCUCUCAGGAUUUCGGGACGGCCAGAGAAUUGUUCCGGCAAGCGGUGAGAUGCUCCGGAAUGGUCUGGAUGUCGUCUUCGCGGCGAUGGGUGGCUUGUUCGCUGAUUCAACUGAGAAGUUAACUUUUUAUUCGGAUUUUUGGAGAAAGGUCGGCUGGAGCAGAAACUGGAACGAGGGGAAAACAAGGGAGGAAAACGGCCGACGAUGGCCUUCCGGGCGUGCGACAAUGGAGGGGCUAGUGAGCUCGGUUUCCUCUGGUUCUCUUGAGCCUUUCCUAAGCCUCAACCAUGGAGAAAGCCAUGAAUGAAGGAAGAAUAUGGUCUACUGAAAAGGAGGCCUCCUUGGUGGCUCACUAGAGCUCAACACUUGUCUAAACCUCAUUUGCUUUGCCCCUACCAUGACAUCACAUGACAUCAUCCACUAUCUCUCCUCAAUCUCCCUCCACAACCUUGCCAAUAGGUGCAAAAUAGCUCUCCCCCCAUGGUAUACGAAUUUCAUACAUUUGUACAUCAAAUUCAAUCAAUUCUCACUCAAUUCCAUCCAAUUGAAGCUCAAUUAAAUCAAUCCAUGUGUCCUCGGCCUUCUCAUGAAAUUUCCCCGUCAAAUGAUCCAACUUGCAUCCCGAAGAUUCGAUUAAAAACGGCCAUUUGACAAUCCCGAACAAAAACGGCAUUACUUUGUUUUUUCGCCAAAAAUCUCGGUUUGUAGAAAAAUCUUCUGGAGAUGAGUCGACAUUCCUAAAAUGAAUUUUGACUUGACAGAACUUCCAAUUUCUGUAAUCGGGUUCAAUUUCACGGUUAAAUUCAAUCUGGCGCAACUUUAGCGCGUCCUAAUCUACCGGGUAGCUUUUAGGAAUUUUCUGUGUAAUUGACCUGUGGUUGAUUAUUUUCAAGCCACAAAGUGCAUAUUCGACAUAUUGGCGACUCUCGAUUUUCGUAGAAAUCUCGAUGUUUCAAAAAUGGACACAAGAUACCAAAACGAUAGAGAAAUCGGUCUAAUGCCGAUCAACAAGAAUUGUGCAAUUAGGUGGAAUCACCCACACUAAAUUACAUGGUUCUGUUGAAUCGACCUAUCUCCGAUCUCUAAUCGGUUUGUGCCGUAAUGACCCUUGCAGAUUAGUAUGGUCGAGCAGUUGUUUCUUGGUCGAAUUUUCAAGUCUAUUGCGUUUAGAUUCCUUAACGGCUUCACCUGAUAGACUAGUUAUUUCGUUAGUGGCCAACUCAGAGAAGAGAGCUAUAGACGCGAAGAUGAAAUGCCCGACUUAUUCAAUUGAAACUAGAAUCGGAAAAUCGGGAUGUCACAACUACCCACAAAGUGAUUUAUGGAAGGCUGGCAAAGGAUCAAGAUCUUCAUGGGGAUGGCAGAGUAUAUUAAUGGGAAGAGACUCCAUAUCUCCACAUCUCAUGUUCUCAGUUGGGAAUGGCAAAGAAAUAUCAAUCAGAGAGGACAAAUGGCUAAAAAGCGGACAGAUUGGUGGCUCGGCAAAGAGUGGAGAACCAAGUCAGGUGGCUGGUCUUAUUGAUCAAGCGACUGGAAACUGGAAUGAACCAUUGAUAAAGUCCUUAUUUGAUGAACAAAGAGCCCAAGGAAUAUUAGCUACACCUAUCGGAUUGCCUACGGAAGAGGAUAGACUGGUUUGGGUGAAGAACAAAACAGGGGCAUUCACAGUAAAAGGGGGAUACUACACCAACAGAGACAGCACACCAAGCAAGCAAGCAACAGCAGAUUCGUCACAUCAAGCAGCAGCAACAACUUCCUCUUAUUAGCCAAAACCAGCAUUAUGGAAGUUUAUAUGGCAAUCGGAAUCUCUACCCAAAGUCAAACACUUCCUCUGGAACGCUUGCCAGAAUGCUAUACCCACUAUGGAAAACCUACAUAAGCAUAAAAUAAUACCUGAUUCGCUCUACCCUCUUUGCAAACAAGAAGCCAAAACUGUUGAACACACCCUGCUGCUAUGCUCCUGGACGGCUCGGAUUUGGAAAGCUACACCCCUGCAAAUCAGAGUAUCAAGGAUAGGGUUAACCCGAUUCGACGAAUGGUUGUACACAGCAAAAACCAAUCCAACCAGUGCAAGAAAGUUCGACCUAAUCGCAGUUACCCUCUGGAGUAUCUGGAAAGACCGAAACUAGUUUAUCUUCAGUCAUCGCCCUCUGCACCCAGAGCAAACAUUAUUUAAGGCCACUGCUUUGCACGAGAAUUAUACCACUUGGAACCAAAAAAUGAAAAAGGAGCAACACAAAGCGACCCAACCUCAAAGAUGGCAGCCCCCGCCACCAGAUUCGUUGAAAAUCAGCAUAGAUGCUUCCUUCCUCCCAAGCAGCGACGCCGAAUCAGAAAAUAGGGCAAACAAGGGAGAAAGCGAAAACAGAGUAGCAAUUGCCUGCAUUUAUCGCGACACAAGGGGACGGGUUGUCAAUGGCUUUGUGAAACCGGUGGCUGCGUCCUCAGCAAAGCAAGCGGAAGCAAUCGCCCUCCUCGAUAGGGGUGUGCAUGGUCCGAGCGGGCAGUUCCCGACCUAGAACCGGAAACCCCCCGCUAAGGACCGGUUCCAAAAAAUUGGAACCGGGAUCCACCCGUUUGUUGCAUGGAUCCAUCCGGGAACUGGACCGCCGGUCCGGUCCGGUUCUCAGGUGGAUCCAUGGAACCGAUCUUGACGCAAAAAAUUUUAGUUUUCAAUGUAAAACGGUCGUGAAACAAUUUUGGUUUCCCGGACCACCGGUCCGAUCCGGUUCCCAAGUUUUGAGCUCUAAAAUUCCAAGUUCCAAUCUCCAAAAACUAAAACAAUAAUUAAUAGACGAAUACUCAACAUUAAAUAACAGUCAACUACACGUGAAUGAGGAAGAGGAGGAGGAGCGACGGCAGCGGCAGCGUGGAUGCUUGGCGAGGAAUUGAAGACAAAGAGAAGAGACUAAGGAAGAAACAAAGAGAGAAUCGAAGACUGAGGAAGAAACUGGAAGAGAUGAGACGCGAAUUAGGGCUUCGCGAAUUAGGGCUUCGUAACUUUCAUUUAGUAUUUUCUUUUUUAUUAUAAAUAGGUACCGGUCUGGUCCGGGUGGGUGGGCGGGCGGUUCCGCCCAUGGAACCGGGAACCGGACCGGUUCCCACCGGUUCUCAACAAUUGGAACCGGGAACUGGACCGGUUCCCUCAAGAACCGUCGGUUCCGGGCAGUUCCGGUCUGGUUCCGGGCGGUCCGGGCGGUUCCCAGGUAUUUUGCACACNNNNNNNNNNNNNNNNNNNNNNNNNNNNNNNNNNNNNNNNNNNNNNNNNNNNNNNNNNNNNNNNNNNNNNNNNNNNNNNNNNNNNNNNNNNNNNNNNNNNNNNNNNNNNNNNNNNNNNNNNNNNNNNNNNNNNNNNNNNNNNNNNNNNNNNNNNNNNNNNNNNNNNNNNNNNNNNNNNNNNNNNNNNNNNNNNNNNNNNNNNNNNNNNNNNNNNNNNNNNNNNNNNNNNNNNNNNNNNNNNNNNNNNNNNNNNNNNNNNNNNNNNNNNNNNNNNNNNNNNNNNNNNNNNNNNNNNNNNNNNNNNNNNNNNNNNNNNNNNNNNNNNNNNNNNNNNNNNNNNNNNNNNNNNNNNNNNNNNNNNNNNNNNNNNNNNNNNNNNNNNNNNNNNNNNNNNNNNNNNNNNNNNNNNNNNNNNNNNNNNNNNNNNNNNNNNNNNNNNNNNNNNNNNNNNNNNNNNNNNNNNNNNNNNNNNNNNNNNNNNNNNNNNNNNNNNNNNNNNNNNNNNNNNNNNNNNNNNNNNNNNNNNNNNNNNNNNNNNNNNNNNNNNNNNNNNNNNNNNNNNNNNNNNNNNNNNNNNNNNNNNNNNNNNNNNNNNNNNNNNNNNNNNNNNNNNNNNNNNNNNNNNNNNNNNNNNNNNNNNNNNNNNNNNNNNNNNNNNNNNNNNNNNNNNNNNNNNNNNNNNNNNNNNNNNNNNNNNNNNNNNNNNNNNNNNNNNNNNNNNNNNNNNNNNNNNNNNNNNNNNNNNNNNNNNNNNNNNNNNNNNNNNNNNNNNNNNNNNNNNNNNNNNNNNNNNNNNNNNNNNNNNNNNNNNNNNNNNNNNNNNNNNNNNNNNNNNNNNNNNNNNNNNNNNNNNNNNNNNNNNNNNNNNNNNNNNNNNNNNNNNNNNNNNNNNNNNNNNNNNNNNNNNNNNNNNNNNNNNNNNNNNNNNNNNNNNNNNNNNNNNNNNNNNNNNNNNNNNNNNNNNNNNNNNNNNNNNNNNNNNNNNNNNNNNNNNNNNNNNNNNNNNNNNNNNNNNNNNNNNNNNNNNNNNNNNNNNNNNNNNNNNNNNNNNNNNNNNNNNNNNNNNNNNNNNNNNNNNNNNNNNNNNNNNNNNNNNNNNNNNNNNNNNNNNNNNNNNNNNNNNNNNNNNNNNNNNNNNNNNNNNNNNNNNNNNNNNNNNNNNNNNNNNNNNNNNNNNNNNNNNNNNNNNNNNNNNNNNNNNNNNNNNNNNNNNNNNNNNNNNNNNNNNNNNNNNNNNNNNNNNNNNNNNNNNNNNNNNNNNNNNNNNNNNNNNNNNNNNNNNNNNNNNNNNNNNNNNNNNNNNNNNNNNNNNNNNNNNNNNNNNNNNNNNNNNNNNNNNNNNNNNNNNNNNNNNNNNNNNNNNNNNNNNNNNNNNNNNNNNNNNNNNNNNNNNNNNNNNNNNNNNNNNNNNNNNNNNNNNNNNNNNNNNNNNNNNNNNNNNNNNNNNNNNNNNNNNNNNNNNNNNNNNNNNNNNNNNNNNNNNNNNNNNNAGGGUUGGGUUACAUGUAUCUAAUAAGAUAGAUCCACCGUAUUAGAUCUAUAUAUGAAACAUAUUUCAUUUUAUAAGCUUAAUUCAUAGCUCUAAGAAAUUAUGCUCUCUCUCUCUCUCUCUCUCUCUCUCUCUCUCUCUCUCUCUCUCUCUCUCUCUCUCUCUCUCUCUCUGCAAGCACAUCAACAAAUUUGCUUUUAAUUAACUUAUGAACUUUGGCAAAUGACAAAAGAUAAUAAAUAUAACUAUCGGACACUCAUGUUCUUACUUAUUUUUCUUUGAUUUUUGGUCCAAAUGACGUUAGCACUAUUGGUUUUGAGAUGACAACCACCCUCACAUUACUAGAAAGCAUUUGUCAAAUUUUUUUCUCAAGUGGCCCUACCACUCUUCUUUUUGAGUCUCAAAGGCCAUCAUGACCCUCUUUCUUUUCAUUUGUCCAUGUCAAGCACACUGGUUACCAGUUCAAAAGAAAAAGGAAAGAGCUUGAGACUGUGUUUGGUAACGUUUCUGUUUCCGUGAACAGUUUCUGUUUUUAAACGUUUUUUUUUCAAUUUAUGUUCUCGAGAAUAGUUACUGAGUAUUUUAAAGCAUUUGAUAACUAUAUAAAAUUUCUAUUUCCAAAAUAGAAACAUGUUUGGUAUGAUCCCAAAUAUUUUUGUGAUCGGCUAGGAGAAGAAGAAAGGAAAAGAAAAAGAAAGAAAAGAAAGGGAUGAAAGGAAGAGAAAAGAAAAGCUUGUUUCUUGAGUUGUUUCUAGGAAUAAGAAACAAUUUUUUUUUUUUGUUUCUGUUUCAAAUCUAUUUUCGAGAACAAAAAAAUUAUCAAACACGUUUCUAUUCCAUUUCUAUUCCAGGAAACAAAAAAACAUAAAUACUUAUUCCCAAGAGUGUUAUCAAAUGCUCCCUAAAGCAUUGACACAAUCAAUACGUUCCCAGGAACGUACUUUUGUGAAGCUGGGCAUCAUUAGAUUGACAAAUCAAUGUCUAUUGUAAGCUGAAUAGUAAGGAACUUUUUGGAAGAAUGUAGCUCUUGAAGUUGCACGUGAAGUUAAAGUUAAGGUUCCUAGAAUCCCCGCAUCCCAGACCUCGUCCCUCGCAUCGAGCCUCAAGUAGACCUGUUCCCUCGGCAAUGGGCCACACCCCAUCUGGAGAGAGAACGACAGCCGGCUUCAACUCCUCGCAGACCAGAUCUGCUCCUUUUGGUCUUCAGCAGCCAAGAUCAAGACCUCGGGCUGCUAUUGCUUGUGUCUGCAGAGAUUCUUUUGGGAUGAUUCGAGAUGGCUUUGCAAAACAUAUUGAGGUAAGCUCGGCUGAGCAAGCCGAAGCCGUCGCUUUGGUUGAAACCCUAGAUUUUAUCUCUUCAACCCUAAUCCCAAAGUCCCCAGAAAAAGAAUUGAUUAUUUUAUCUGACUGUCGGUUGCUAGUGGACAGUGUACUGUCGUCCUCUAUUUUAAAUUGGUUAGUGGAUCCCCUUGUGGACCAGGCCAAGCACAAAUUGAAGACUAUUUCGGGUCUCUCUUUAGCUCACUGUAGUAGGAAUUCUAAUCGGGUUGCUAACUGGGUAGCAAAAGCUCGUCGUUUUGAUUUCCUUCCUAUCAACUGGGUGUCUAGUCCCCCCUCUGCUCUUUUGGAUCUUCUAUGUACUGAUGCUCUUGAUGUAUUAUCUUCGCCUAGUAUCUAAUAAUAUCAGCUUUGUUUCUCGUCAAAAAAAAAAAAAAAGUUAAGGUUCCUAAAGUUAAGGAUUUUGUCUUUUAAAAUUUGUGGGAAUCAGUGAAUUUUUUGUUCAGGAAUUUUGGCUACACAUUUUCCUCAUGGAGCUAUGAGUGGAGCAGUGACAAUCUCCAAUUCAGCAGUAGAUUGGAGCCUAUAAAUAAGGCAUUAAAAAGCGUUAGAAUGCAAAGCUUCACAAGUAGAAAGAACAGAGAGUUGGCUCGUCCGUCCGUGAGGGAAAGAAAUGUUCUUAUUUCUUUACUUCAACUUGUGGCCCGUAUGUUCCAAUUAAUAUUGGUUUUUGCAACUUUUUGAUGAUCAACGGUUUUACUACAAUGACCCUGCUGAUUGAUUACAAAUAUAGAUAUCAUCCAUAAUUAAUUUAAGUUUGCAUAUGGGUAUUUCUAUAAAUUGAACGCCGAUAAAAAAAUAUGAUUGUAGGAAAUUCUUUCCAACUUAGUACGGAGGAAAAAUAACGUCACCUAACAAUGAGGAAAAUCACUUCAAAUUAUAUAUAUUAUGAUGAUACUCUUAGUCUUUGUGCAUUUAGAAGAAGAAUAUGAAAUCUCAUUCUUACAUUUUUAGGGAAAGUUUCAUUUUACCCUUCAUAACUUUGAAGUUGGUGCAUGUCAGAUCUCAAACUUCAAAAAGUUGCAUCGCCCUUCUGCCUAAUCUGAACUUAUAUUUUGUUACAUUCAUUAACACCUCUAAACUUUUUCAUUAACAUGUACUAUGCACAUGUUUUUAAGUGAUAAUAAGUUGCAUAUCUAAACUCCUUUGCUGGAUGAUGUGCACCCUCUAUUUAAAGAUAGAUUCUUAAGAUGGCGAGUAUCAAUUGUCUAAUUUUUGAUGGAUUACUCUUAUGAUGAGAUGUUAUUUUGUUGCAUCUGUAUUACCAUAAAAGUAUUCAACUCUGUGAAUAGAAAUAGGGUUCCAGAGAAAUCAGCGAAAUUUGCUAUGAAAUUGACAUGAUCGGUGAGUUUCAAGAUGGGCAUUAAAGUUGGCAGAGCAAUUUCUAGGCUCUAAAAGUUCAGAAUUGGUAAGUACGGAGUGGUUGUGCUACUAAUCCUAUGCCCAUCAUCUAUACCUCGUAUCUUCUACAGGAUAUCUUUUAGAGUUGUCGUAGAUUCAAAAUAUAUUAAUUAGAUAAUCAUUAACUACUUGAUUAUUCAUGAAUUUAUCUUUUACAUCUAGAUUUUUAUGUUUAAAUUCAUAAAAACCAUUAUUUGUUAGCAAUCUCUAGCUCCAAUUCAACCCGCUCCUCUCUCUUCCUCCCUCCCUCCAACAAAGCUCUCCCUUUUUCAUACUAACAGAUAUGCCAUUUUAGAAGGCAACAUUUCAUUUCUUUACGUUCUAAUUUUGCAAUAUGUUUUUUUUUUUUUUGGUAAUGCUAGAAAAGUAACAUUUAACGAUAAGAUCAAAAGGGCAAAGGCCAAAGGGCAAGAAUCAAAAGUCAAAGUCACACCAAACAUGCAUUUUACAAAUUUAUCUUCGUGCUAAGUUAAACUAGUACAUUGGUGGCUUUUAUAGCAUUGUAGAAAUCAUAUUUACAAAAUGAAGAGUACAUCUCCUUUCGGAUGCGCUCCUUUCCAUUUCCCCCCUUUUCUCCUUCCCUUGGCAUCUUUCAUUCCAUUGGCAUCUUUCAUCAAGUGGCCAUUCCAAUUGCUGUCCCCCACGUGUUGACAUUCGCAAUUAUACACCCGUUACUCGGUAGACUCAGCAAUUUGAAGUUCAAGAUGCUCAUCGAUCAAGAGGGACAAGACAGACAAUUACUAAAUAAAAAAAAGACUGCAUGAAGUCGCCUUGCGAUGAGGCUGGACUGGUGCAGUGACAAUCCUGUCGGACCCAUACGACUCCACAGAUACUUUAUCCAUAUCACUAUCACCUACUCUUCUAAAAACUAAAAACGUAAUUUAUCAUUUAAAUAUUUCAAUAUCCUCUCUCACCCUUAGUCUAGUCUUUUGCUUAGUAUUAAUUAUGGAAAUUUAAUUGGGGAGGCAAUGGGGCCUGGGAAGAUUUGAACUCAUGACCUCUAGUUUUAAUACAAUAUGAAAUUUUAUGAGACUACUGAACUAUUCUAAAAGUUUAAGCUAUUAAAUGAAAACAUAAUUUAUUAUUUAAAUAUUCCAACGAAAACCCCUUAAAUAAACAUAAAAAACUUAUGAUGACGACAUAUACAUAGUCAAGUGUAUAUGUCUAGACUAAGGGCCUAUUUGGUAAUCGUCUAAACAGGCCUUGAUUUUGAUUUUUUGUUCCCGAGAGUAUUUUUGUAACAGAAUCGUGUUUGGUACAUUUUUUUUUUUUAUGACCCGGGAACCGCCGUACAGCCGGCAACUGGCGACGUAAACCUGGGGGGGCACUAGUGCAGGGACCCACCUCCCACAGCACCCCAGUUAAGUUGCGCAAUGGGGGCGAGAAGUUUCGAACCUCUAUCCUUCUGGGAUGAGGGGUCAAAGCACGAACUAACUCAUCCACCGCAGGGUGGGUUUGGUAAAAUUUUUGUUCCCGGGAACAAAUUUAUAUUUUUUUGUUCUAAGAAGUAGAUUUGGAACACAAUCAAGAAUAAAAAAAAGUUGAUUCCUGUUCUCGGGAACAAAUCUAAGAAUCAAGCCAUUUUCUUCUUCUAAUUCUUCUCUUUUCUUUUCUUCUUCUUCCCUUUUCUUCUUCUUCAUCUACCGCCACCGUCGCGAUUGCCAUCCAUCGCCGUCCGCCAUUCGCCGCCCACCACUGCCGGUCGCCGGCAAUCGGUCUAGCGAGCUCGCCGAAGGCACGCCCAACCACCGGCGAGGCUCGCCCAGCCCCGCUGGUGGCCAAGUAGGCCUCGCCUAGCCCCGGCAAGGCUCAUCCAGCCUCGCCGGUGGACAGGCGGUCCUCACCCAGCCCCGGUGAGGCCCACAUGGCCACCGGCGAGGUCGAGCCUCAGCAGGGUUUGGCGCACCUUGCAAUCUAGUGAGGCCGAGCCUCGCCGGUGGCUAGGCGCGACAAGGGCCGGCCUCGCCAAGGGCUGGCGAUGCUCCGAUGAGGUCGUCGGCCCUCGUCUAACUGGUCAUUGGUCGUCCCAAGGCCAUCGACUGGCCACCUUGAAGAAGAAGAAGAAGAAGAAGAAGAAGAAGAAGAAGGGGAGGAAGAAAGGAAAAAAUUAGUAAAAUUAUUUAAAAAAUAAAAAAAUGAUUUGAAGUAUGAAUUGAAAUUUUGCUAUUUAUAGAAUACAUAUUUAAUUUUGUAUUUUAAUUUAUUAUUUAGUAUUUAUAUUUAUAGUUUAUACUAUAGUUUAUUAUUUACUAUUUAAGAAAAAAUUGAUUAGUUAAUAUGUGGGGGGGCUUAGUAUAAAUAUAAUUAAUCAAUAGAAUUUCUAUAAUUUGAUAGAAUUUUAGAAUAUGAAUAGAAAUUUUUUGUAGUUAACAAACGCAUUUCUGUUCUUUCUUUAUUUCAAAAUCAUAAAUUUUAUACAGUUACCAAACGCGUUCUUUUGCUUAGAAAUUAUUUUCGGGAACAUAAUAAAAAAAAAUAAUUUUUUAUCAGAAUCUGUUCCCGGGAAUAUAAUCGUUACCAAAUGCACCAUAAAUGUCCAUACACUGAAUGAAUGAUACAUGUUGAGUAGUGUUAUUUGAUAUAGCGAUCAUAUAAAUAAUUGAGCUCUCAUUUGAUUAUAUCUUGAGUUUCUUGCAAUUUCUACUUUUGGGUGGGGGGGGGGGGGGGGGGUUUGUGGGGAAGUAGAGUGGAUUCCUUCUCAACUAUUAUGGAUAAUUUUGAGCAUGAAAUGACUACUCGACUAUUUCUGCACCACAUUUAGAGCGUCGUUAGUGAAGACGAAGAAGGGAAUGGUGGAGGCAAAGCAGGAAACUACGAUAUAGAGCUUGACUAAUAAUUCAAAAAAUCCCUCAAAGCAGGAAAUUACGACAUAUAUUUCAUAUAUUUAGGUUUGGAAUUUACAGAUGACUUCAAAUUUUGACGAAAUUUUUUAUUGUUAAUUGACUAAAAGCAAUUCCCGAGACGUUGCCUCCUCACGGUCCUCGAAAUAAGCUCCCUAUUGGACCUCACAACGAGCCCACUAUUCCUCUACGCGAGUCACCAUUUUUUAUUGAGAAGUAAUUACAAUGAACAAACAUCAUUGAAUGUAAUUAGAAAAAUAAACUGAUUAAUUGACCUAGACUUAGCAAAGUGCGGAGUCGUUGCCGCCUUGGCAUUAUUAUUCGGCGAAUGAUCUUUCCAUUCUCUGGCAUUAAGCGGGCAAUUCCUUUUCGCUUCUAGUCGUCUUCCUCUGCGCGUGCUUAGUCCUUGCCUUCUAGGCAUUAUAUGGGGAAUGGGAGUCAACAGAUGUGAACUGAUUUUGUUAUUUAGUUAGCCCGCGCUGUAGAUGGGAGUAUCGUCUAUCGUUUAUAUUGUAUUAAUCUUUUCUGGCCACAACAUUAAUAUUAUAUCCAAAAGCAAGGAAAACAAGAAUGAAAAGGAAGUAUUACCUAUAUUGCUUACCAUUAUCCAGGCCUGUGGACACGUGCUCCGCAUAGGAAAACGCACUUGUGAAAUAGGUGACAUGAAAUAACAAUUCUAGGAGUCUUGAUCAUCACCAGAGUAAGAGAUUUUUCCUAAUAUUGGAAGUGAUUACAUGCCUCUUGAAAUAAAAGAGAGAGAUUUCAUUUAAAUUAAGGUUGAAAAGUAAAUUUUUUCCAAAAUAAAGUUAAGAUAAAUAUCACUUAAAGGAAAAUUCUCCCGAGAAGGCAGGAGACGUGGUCUACGCCGACUGUUAGAGUCCAGAGGAACCCGAUUGCCCCAAUCGAUUCACUCUGGUAACUAUGUUGCUCCCUCGACCCUGCAGCUCUUGUUCAUGUGAUUCUCGAUUGGAAAAUGCUUUAUUUUGGCGAUGUUCAUUCUGCUCCCGCUCUCCAUCGCAAAUUUCAGCACCUGAAUCUGCUCCACUUCCUCCGCUGACGAACGCAACAAGUUUAGGGCUUAAAGAAGAAAAUAAAUUUAGCCCCAGUUCGUUCAUUGGCGGGAAAAUAACACACAUAGGCAACAUAGUUCAAUAUUACUGUUGCCAACUUCACUUUAUUGGCGAGCUGCGUAACAGUUUAUUUUAAAAUAAUGCAACGUCGGAUUUUCUAGUUACACAAAUCAUCGAUCACACUAAAUUGAUACAUUUUUCACAUAAAUGGUCCUUAAUUUAAGACAAUCAUUGUAUUCUUUUUCCUAUUCGCAAUCAAAGGCAUCAAGCAUCCCCAGCUUCUUCAAAGGAUUUUUUUUUUCCUUUUCUUUUUCUUUUUGCUUUUAUUCCAUAAUCAGUCAAUCUAUAAACAGGUAAGGAGACGCGUCACGUAAUUUCGUAGACUCGGAUUGUCUUUUGCGGGCUCCUUGUUUUUUCCUAGGAAUUUCCUCGUUAGUUUUUUUUUUUUUAAAUAUUCUUUUUAGGACUUUUUAUGGUUUUCUCUGACAUUGAUAAGGGAAGAUGCAAGUCCUCCUUAGUGCGUUCCGAGUCGCUCGAUAUAUGCACUAUGUAUGUUGGCGACAAUGACAUCCUAUCCACCUGAUUUUCGGUUGGCCUUAUCGACAUUUUCGUGAAGAAUCCAUCUGCUUGAGUUUUAAAAAUAAAAGAAAAACUUUUAACAGAAAAAGAAAACGAAAAAGGGAAGAUGCAUAUGCAAAUUCUAUUGAUUGAUGACCUUCGGUGGAGCAAGCAACAGAAUUAGAUAUCAUAAACAGAAUUGAUCUAGCUGUUCAGAAGUAAGCGCGUGCUGAUAAUUGGCUAAUGUGAUGCCGAUAAUGCUGGUGAUUACGACAUGCGUAAGAUCGACGACGGGCUAUAUGUUUAGCCUCGGUUCAAGAGUCAUCUCUUGGUGCGUCAGAAGAUAGCUGAUUGUGUUGUUGUCGACGACUGAAGCCGAGCAUCGAGCUGCAUCCGCGGCAGCUCAAAAGCACACAUGGUUAGUGCAAUUGCUAAAGGAUAUGCCCUAGAAAAUUGAUGAAUGCCUCGUGAGACUGUACAGUGACAAUCAAUUGGCGAUUUCACCGGUAGAGAACCGAGUGAUUCAUGUGAGAAUGAAGUACGCGGAAGUCCACCGUCACUUUGCGCGUAAGAAAUUAUUCCUUGGAGAGAGGAAGAAGUUCACCAAGACAAAUUAACAAGUCAAUGAUAAUUUCAAGAAGGGACAUAUUGACAUCCAAGUUGGUGGAAUUUCAAAAAUAGUUGGGCAUCACAAACGAGCAGCAUUAGAGAUCAAAGUUGGAUACUCGCACUGGUAUCACCUGGCUUGCAAUAGUACUGAAUUGACAUAGUGGGAGGCAUGACAUGAAGUUUUCUUUGGCCAAAAUAGAGAGCAGAGAAAUGACAAUAUCAAAAUAGAGAGCAGAAAUAUCAGUUUCACAGAUUUUUGAAACAGGAUGUGUAUAUAUUUACAAUUUCAAAGCGUCAUUCUCCAUUAGUUGAGCCAUUUCUAGAAAGUCUCAGUUACUCCAAUAUAAGAGUGUCUGGAUCCCGAAGCAGUUUGCUAGAAGUGGUGUGCUCUGCCAAUCUCUGUCUUCCUCUGAAAAUAACUGUUAGCGGAAAAAGGAGUCCUUCCAAGGUCCCUAGGCGACGAAAAUGGCACGGGUUUCGGUGAGCAUGUCAGCCGUUCAACUAAGAGAGGAAGCUGUGCACUUUCAAAUGCAUUCUAUAAGUUACUCGCUCAGGUGGUCCAGGUAGGAACAUUGUAGGAAAAUUACAAUCCUUCAUUAAAGAUUAAGUUCCUCGAAAGUCUCAGAUACCUAAAAAAAAUUAUCAUUCAUAAAAAGUUACUAAUGAUGGGAACCUCGAUAUCACUUGCAUUCGUAGAGAAGUACGAUCUCAUUCUCAUAUACAAAUGUUAUGUAUUAGAUCUAGAUAGAUCCCUUGUUAAUAUGAGCACAAUGAGGAAAAUCAUGCUUUCAUUGGUAAAAUUACUAACCACAAGUAUCCCAAAGGUACGAGCAUGUGAGGAAAAUCACCAUCUCGUAGUUUCCUCAGCCAAGAAAUUGUAAAUGUGCUUUAUUUAAUUGAUAAUUAUACAAGGUUAUGUCUUCCAAGGGGUAAAAUUGAAAUGAAUCUUUUAUGCAUGUCUUCCAAUCUUUUAUGUAUGUCAUUCACACACAAAAUCUUGUGUGCUAGUAUUUUAAUGUAGUCGGAAAAGAAGGAAAUGAAUUUUCCCUGUUGGUUUAGACAAAGACAAAAUUAGGUGGGUUUCACGCACUAUAUUCAAAAUUAAUGCAACUUGAAAUUUUAUACUUAGUUCAUAUCAUACUUUAAUCAUAGCGAUAUCAACUUGAUUUUAAUCAAUUUUUUAUCCAGCCAAAGUUGCAUCAAAUUGACUUCCAUUAAUAUUUUAUCAAGCUAAAUUUGCAAGUUUCAUCAAAUUGACAAAUCAAAUUUUUUAUUCCAAAGAGUAGGUACUGAAGUUACGUAUGACCGACUGAAGACUUUGUUUAAUGUUUUCUUUUGGGCUAACUUCCAAGAGUAAGUCCUUAUCUUAUAUUUUAAUCGCGAUGAUGAAGAAAAAUUGCAGAGUUGGCACGCAAAGGACUUCCUAGCGACAUCAAACUAACGUCCAUCAAUUUUAUAUCCUAAAGAGUAGGUACUGAAGUUUUGUAUGACCAUGACCAAUUGGAGUAUUUCUUUAAUGUUUUCUUUUGGCUUACUUCCAUGAGUAGGUUUUAUCUCGUAUAUUAAUCACGACGACGAAGAAAAAUUACAGAGUUGGCACGAAAAGGACUUCCCGGCGACAUCAAAUUGACGUCCAUCAAUUUUAUAUCCUAAUGAGUAGGUACUGAAUUUAUGUAUGACCAAGACUAAUUGAAGUCUUUCUUUAAUGUUUUCUUUUGGGCUAACUUCCAAGUGACGUUCGGUGACCAUUAAAUAAUUACCAAGUAGAAGAAUGGCAUCUUUCAAGGAUUUCGCAUCGUUGUUAUUUGUGUUUCCGUUGACUGAUUCGAUCGAUCCCAUUUAUUCAAAGAAACCCGGGCUAGCACCCAGCAGGGUUCAUUUCCUUUUUGACAUCUCUCUUCCUCCCGCAAAUCUCACUUUAAAAUCUUCAAUUUAACAGGGCUCUUUUCUCUCGCAAAAUUGUAUCUCUAACUGAUAUGUGGAAUAUAUAAUAUCGCCCUGAUUAACCGUUGAAGUAUCAUCUCAAUAUAAUUAACUGAGGAAGAAUGAAGAUGCCAUUAUGUCUACUCAGUAAUCUAUUGAGUUAGGAAAUUCGGCAUUUAGUCAAAACAAUAGUAAAAAUGGAAGUGUUCAGCUUGAAGGGGGAAAAGAUAAAGAGAUAAUUGAUCUUUGUGAUGCGGAUUAUGCUAACGACUACGAUAUACAUAGAUCAAUAUUUUCAGGAAGGGACUUAUCGGGAUCCAAGUUUGUAGAAUUUGGAAAAUAGUUUGGCAUCUCAAGCAGGAUGAAGGUAGCAGAAGUUGAAGCAGAGCGUUACAAAUCAAAGUUGGAUACUCACACUGAUCCCCUGAUUUGUAAUAGUACCAAUUCCACGUAGUGGUAAGCUUGCAAUGGAGUUUUCUUUGGCCAAAUUGAGAACAGAAAAAGCAUGGUAUCAACUAUCAUAGCUAUUUUUCGCAGGUUUUUGAAACAGGACGCUUCGAUAGCUACAAUUACAAGAACGCCCCGAUGUCACGGGCACUGUGCAGAGAAUUACUGUCUCAUUCUCUUAUAUGAGUAUUAUCUACUGGCAACUCUUUUGGGUGUUCCCAAAGGUAUGAUCAUUUGAGGAAAAUUACAAUCUCUCUAGAAACGCAACUGUUUGUGUAUUUAUUUCUUUUUCACUUAAAGAGUUAUGCGUAACCCAAGCAGUCUCUUUUUUGUUUCAUUAAAAAAAAAGAAUUGUCUCUCGUAUUAUGACGCAACUAACAUGUAAAAGAAUAACUGCCGAAAAGUCUCUUUAAUAAAAAUAGAUUAUGACCAAAAAUAAACACAUUACGGCCUAAACAAAUUACACAUUAUUAAUGCAGAAAAAGCCAUGAAAGUAGGCAUAGAAAAAUUACUAUUACUUAAGCACAUUAAUGAUGUGGCUGUAUAUAUUAUCCGAAUUGGAGCUAAGUGAGUAAUAUUCGAGCUCCAUCAAAAAGCAAACUACUGAUGCUCUGAUUAUUAGAGAGAAUUCGUUGAUGAACACUUACUUAUAAUUAAACGUGUCAAACGGAUGGAUUGGGUCAAUUUGAGGUAAGUUGAAAAUGUUUUUGAUUCAAAUUGGCUCAUUCAAUCCAUAUUAAUCUAUUUUAUCUAACACAACUUUCGCAAUCCAUACUUGAUUCAACUUAUAUACCCAACCUGACUCGGGUUCCAACUCUUACCAAUUUUUCUCCUUACAAAUGGAAAAUAGCACACUGAAAUAAAAAAACAACUUACACAUGUAAAAAUUAACAAAUAACAAAUUACUAAAAAACUUAACGAAUCAAGUUAUUAGAAUACAUUCCUUGUUUUAUCUCUUGGUUCUAGAAAUUCGAUCUAAUUUAACGGAAGAGAUCAUGUCUGAAAAAAUAUAUAUGGCAUAAAGUUAAUACGAUAUUCAUCACUAUUAACACAUGCAAUUGAUAAUUAAAGUUUGUUUCCGGCCAUCGUAGUCUCCUCACCAUGAAAUUGUACAUGUGCAUUUUAAUUAUACAAAGUUACGUCUUUCAAGGGGUAAAAUUGAAAUGAAUCUUUUAUGUAUGUCUUCCAAUAUUUUAUGUAUGUGAUUCACACACGAAAUCUUGUGCGCUCGUAUUUUAAUGCAAGGUUGUCAUAUUUUUAUCAAAAUUAACAAAAGUUGUCAUACUUUUAUCACAACGACGAAGACAAAAUGCAAGGUUGGCACCGAAAGGACUUCUUGGCGACAUCAAAUUGAUGUUCAUCAAUAUUUUAUUCAGCUAAACUUACCUCAUAUUGCCGUCCAUCAAUUUUUUAUCGCAAAGAGUCGGUACUAAAUUAUGCAUGACCAUGACCAAUUUAAGUCUUUGUUUAAUGCUUUCUUUUGGGCUAACUUCCAAGCUGUCACUCGGUGGCAAUUACAUAAAUACGAGGAGAAAGAACGGUAUUUCCCCAAGAUUUCGAAUCGUUAUUAAUUGUGUUUUUAUUGACUGAUUCGAUCAAUCACAUUUGUAUCCUAAAAACCUGGAUAGCACUUAGCAUGGUUAUUUUCCUUUUUGACAUCUCUCCUCCUCUCGCAUAAUCUCACUUGGAAAUCUUCAAUUUAAUAUAUCUCUCCCUCCUGAAAUAGUAUCUCAAUUCGAUAUAAAGAAAAUACAGUAUUGCUUUGACUGAUUUUUGAAGUAUAACCUCGAUAUAAUUAACUGUCGAAGAACGAAGUGACUAUUAUGUCUAAUUAGAUCUACUUAGUAAUUUAUGUUUGGGAGCAAGUUGAAUUAGGUGAACUCGGCAUUUAGUCAAAACAAGAGUAAAAUAGAAGCGUUUAAAUAUAUUCUUAGAAACAGACCAAUAUAUAUAUUCAUAGGAAAAAAAAUUCUUAAAAAUAAUGGAUACAUAUGACGUAUAACAAGGGGGCAAUUUUAAAGUUGGUUCCCACUACUCUUCAAUCUGAUUGCUAAAGUUUAAUUUUGUUUGACUUGGCUUUUUUUUUUUUUUUUUUUUUUGGAAAAGCGAUUUACUUCAUUCAAUAAAGUUCAAAGGAUAACAUAAGUUAUGGGUUUUUGCACCUAAAAGAUCCCAUAGAGGUGAUGAUGGCACUAUAAGCCAAUUGUGAGGAAGAGCCUUCUUGCUAUGGGUUUUGGCGAGCCAAUUUGCAACUUGGUUUGAUUUCCUUGGGCCGGAUGCCGAUUCCACCAAACUGGAUCGGGCGAGCAUCUCUUUACAGUCUUCAAUAAUGGGUCUCAGCUCCCAUGGGCUUGGGUUUUGGCCCACUAUCAUCUUCACAAGUGAUAAAUUAUCUGACACCUAUCUCCAAGUGCAAAUCUUGUCUCCGUCACUAAAAUGGAGAACUUACGCAAGCGAAAAAUAGUAUCGGAUCCUUACCGCUCACUGUGCAAAGACCGGGCGGAAUCCACAGAGCAUCUCCUUCUCUCUUGUCCUUGGACGCGAGACAUAUGGGCUUAACCAUCCCUAAACAUUCAGGUUUCUUCCCAGGGGUUAAGCAGAAUAGAGAUAUAGCUAACGCAAUUCCUCAAAAGCACAGAAAACCCGCCUUCUCUGGCGCUUGUAGUAGCCAUCUUUUGGCUUAUUGUAACAACUCCUUUCGAAAGAAACCCCCCGACCCAGCUCAAGCACUACAAGGAGCUCUAACUUCUCUCGGCAAUUGCAGGAGAUGGAAUUCAAAGCAAAAAAUCGGACCUUGACGCUCCCACCUCUUCUGAGAACUGGAAACCCCCCAAAGGUCGGAUCUUUAGAGGUCAACAUUGAUGAAUCCCUUCGUCGAAAGCUUCGUGAAAGGAGCAAUCGCCCGCAUCAUUCGAAACUCAGAGGGGACGCUUGUGGACGGCUUCGCAAGAGGAGGAAAUGCUGAUGAAAUAGGCGAUACAUCUCGACAAUGAAUAGCGUGACCUGUUUUUUAUUCCCCUUUGAAAGGACAUGCGAAUCGUUCCGACAUCGUGGCCAGAGCGCUCGAUAGGUCGGAGCGUUAUUUUCAUGAACCGAUUGUUUCUCUGCUGCAGUAGCGCAAUGAACGAUAUUCCAACAAAGUCGCAUCGCUGAACGUCUACUAGAAUUUAGACGCCUUGAUUUCUGGAGCUCUGUGAUUUCCAAAAGUUCAUCCGAAAUUGACCCCCCAUCAUAUUCCGUAAAACCUCCGAAAUUCGACGGGUGUGGACACAAUUUGUUGAGGCCUUGCAGUUGAUCCCUCAAUUUAGCUCCUAAGCACAUAUUUGACUUUCUCCAGGCCCUGAACAUCAUGAAGCUUCCAACACCCUCUAAUGCCCAAAUGUAGGAGGUUAUGGAAAAGCAAGAGGUGCGGUAAUAUUUCAAUGGACUUGCACCCCUGGAUACUCAAAAUUCUCAAUUUUCUCAACCUCUCAAGGCAUUUAAUUUCAACUAUAUUUUUGCAUUCAGUGACUAGUAAUUCCACCAUAAGUGUUAAUUGCAAAAUGUUGAGUCUUAUGAGGAACUGGCAGGAAUCAAUACGUAGCAUAUCCAAAUUUUUCAAUCUACCAAGGCAUUGAAUUUGAAAAUAGAUCAUCAUUCAUGAAUGAAGCAUCUCUCCGUUUAAGUUGGGUGUCUACUACCACAAUCUCUUUUGGCUGUUUUUUGCUUUGAUGCUCAUCUAGGUUGUUCUUCUAUUUUAUGUACAUGAAAUGAAAUGACAUGUUUGAGUGGCCCAAAAAAAAAGGGGCAUUGGAAAGGCCUGAAAUAAAAGUUGAGAACGCUUCACAAAUAAAGAGAAAAAGCGGAGAGGCAGCUUCUCCGUUGAGUGCGUGAUCAUAUGAGCUUGUUUGCUCUAUACUUGUUUUUAUGUGUCAUGCAAGAAAAUAAAUUGUAAUAGUAAGUGAGAGAUUUUACUAUUUAUAAAGAAUGUGCGUAAUAAUCGUGUGACAAUUAUUUUGUUUGUGUGUUAUAUUUGUACCUCAUUUUCAUACAUGUAUGUCUCGAGUUGUCUGUUAUAACUUUCUCACAUCACCACCGCCAUACAUCCAUGCCCAACAAAAUUGUAUGAAAAAUGAUAUCUACUUUUAGAAAGAAUUUCACUCCAAGUUCACCUCAAGACGAUUUUCCAAUGAAAAUGGUAUCUACUUUUGUUCCAAACCCGAUACACCAUUAGAACCAACAAAUAUAAUUGGAGAAGUUUAUCAUUGUUAAGAAAUUGAUUUUCCUUUUCUAUUGACUACUUUUGAUAUAUCCUAGGUUAAUCAUCUUGACUUCCAACUUUUUGGUAAUAUGUUAUGAUCUUUUCGAGGCAUAUUUUUGCCAAAAAUAAAGAACUGAGAUGACUGGACAUUCAAGAUCCAACUAUGCGAUCCUUUGAUGACACCAAUCAUUCUCAAUAAUCUUGGCUUUCUCACAUCUUUAAUCAGCCUAAUACUUGACUUGGAGGAAUCAUCACUUUCUCUAGGACCCUUUUCUUCAAAUCAAUUUUGAUGUCCUAGGCAUAAUUUUUAUGAUUGGUAGUGAGUAUUUUUUAGCUGAUUCCAAAAGUUAAAAUACUCCGAUUCCAUGUUAUGUUAGGAAUUUCACAUAUUAUACCGUUUGACUGUGUUAAUGAUAGAAAUGAUAAAAUAUCUUCCUUAGAAUUGUAUGCAAUCACUUGUAUGGGCAGUUAAGCUGUUUCUUUUUCACCGAUUUCGAGAAAGGACGCGUUCAUUGUUGCAAUUACAAAGCUUCAUUGUCCAUGUUUUUAAGCCAUUUCUAGAAAAUCUCAAUUCUACCACCGACAACGUUCAUAUUUUGAAGCGUAAUUCUCGAUGUAGCGUGCUCUGCUAAUCUUUGCCUCCCCUGUAAUUCUCAAUAGAAAUACAACUCUUUGUGUAUUUGUUCAUUUAUGUAACCUAAGAAAUCUCUUUUUGUUUCAUUAAAAAAAAAAAUAGCCACUCGAAUCAAAACGAAAACUAACAAAUAAAAGGAUAACUAACAAAAACUCUCUUUCAUAAUAAUUGUGGAACUAUACAACUGAAACUAUCCAAUUCACCCAAAACAUGAUUAUUAAUCACAAUAAUUAUAAUAAUUACCAGGUGCAACAUUUUUUCUUACUCAAAUGAAUAAUUUUGCAGAGCAAAGACUGUAGCAGAAAAUGUGAAUCCGAGUUAUGCUCAAAUAUCUAGUGAUGCUUGCUCUUCCCUAUAAAAAAAAAAAAAAAUCAUUUUUUUGGGGCAUGAUGCGAUGAAGGAUUUGUCGAUUAAAUUGGAGCUUCUUCUUUUUUUGUGGUUGAUUAAUUAGAAUUGAACAUAAAAAAGAACUCAUUGAAAAUGACACAGUGCCUCCAUUUCUGAGAUAUGGCAAGUAUUGUGGGCUCCUGUACAGCGGAUGUCCGGAGGAGAGGCCCUACAACGGCCUUGACGCUUGUUGCAUGAAGCACGACGCCUGAAUUCAAGCCAAAAACAGUGAGUCUCGGCAUCGAUUCCUUCAACUUUUCUUCGCUGAAUCGAUUGAUAUAACUAGUCGUUGGCCCGCGUGUUUGCAUGGAUGUAUUUUAAGAGGACGAUUGUGGAAGCCAUUUUCGUUGGUGAACAAUAGCUUUACUCGUCUAUAUAUGCAUGGAUUCACAUUCCUAAAAAAGCAUAUUACAGAGUGGAGAUAGAGAAAAUGGCGUAAGGGACUAAUUGGUCAAAAGAAAGAAGAGACGUGAGUAAGAUUAAUGUGCCUACGAGGACUUUGCUCUUCCACAAUGUCAUUAAACUAUAUCUUCAUUCAUGAGCCAACUUUAAUCACUAUUCUGAGGUCUGGGGGAGGAGAUUGUGAGGGAGUAAAUGCUCCUGUGAGGGCAAUGACAUUAACAUUUGCUUUUUAUUACAAAAAGCGCAUGUUUAGAUUUUCUCUUUCUCAUGGACUGGUCGGGGACAAUAACUUCAACUAAUACUCUGGCUCGUCAAAUGUGCUAAGUGAUGACAAUGAAAUCAUAUCGCGGGAUUUCUCAAUUUGACCUUUCAUUCAUAGAGCAGGUCGUGUCAUCCUCAUAUAAAUAUUGGAAUUGUGACGCGCGGGGUGUUGUGCUGAUGACUAUUUGAGCCAGAAGUGCAGCCAAAACUUACUGAACUGCAUGACCAACUUCAAGAACUCCAGAGGGAGAACGUUUAAAGGAAGCAAAUGCGAAGUUGAGGAUGUCGACGUCCUGUCCAUUGUCAUGGAAGCUGCGUUGCUUGCCGGGAGAUACCUCCACAAGCCCUGAAUCUCUCUGUCCACGUUCNNNNNNNNNNNNNNNNNNNNNNNNNNNNNNNNNNNNNNNNNNNNNNNNNNNNNNNNNNNNNNNNNNNNNNNNNNNNNNNNNNNNNNNNNNNNNNNNNNNNNNNNNNNNNNNNNNNNNNNNNNNNNNNNNNNNNNNNNNNNNNNNNNNNNNNNNNNNNNNNNNNNNNNNNNNNNNNNNNNNNNNNNNNNNNNNNNNNNNNNNNNNNNNNNNNNNNNNNNNNNNNNNNNNNNNNNNNNNNNNNNNNNNNNNNNNNNNNNNNNNNNNNNNNNNNNNNNNNNNNNNNNNNNNNNNNNNNNNNNNNNNNNNNNNNNNNNNNNNNNNNNNNNNNNNNNNNNNNNNNNNNNNNNNNNNNNNNNNNNNNNNNNNNNNNNNNNNNNNNNNNNNNNNNNNNNNNNNNNNNNNNNNNNNNNNNNNNNNNNNNNNNNNNNNNNNNNNNNNNNNNNNNNNNNNNNNNNNNNNNNNNNNNNNNNNNNNNNNNNNNNNNNNNNNNNNNNNNNNNNNNNNNNNNNNNNNNNNNNNNNNNNNNNNNNNNNNNNNNNNNNNNNNNNNNNNNNNNNNNNNNNNNNNNNNNNNNNNNNNNNNNNNNNNNNNNNNNNNNNNNNNNNNNNNNNNNNNNNNNNNNNNNNNNNNNNNNNNNNNNNNNNNNNNNNNNNNNNNNNNNNNNNNNNNNNNNNNNNNNNNNNNNNNNNNNNNNNNNNNNNNNNNNNNNNNNNNNNNNNNNNNNNNNNNNNNNNNNNNNNNNNNNNNNNNNNNNNNNNNNNNNNNNNNNNNNNNNNNNNNNNNNNNNNNNNNNNNNNNNNNNNNNNNNNNNNNNNNNNNNNNNNNNNNNNNNNNNNNNNNNNNNNNNNNNNNNNNNNNNNNNNNNNNNNNNNNNNNNNNNNNNNNNNNNNNNNNNNNNNNNNNNNNNNNNNNNNNNNNNNNNNNNNNNNNNNNNNNNNNNNNNNNNNNNNNNNNNNNNNNNNNNNNNNNNNNNNNNNNNNNNNNNNNNNNNNNNNNNNNNNNNNNNNNNNNNNNNNNNNNNNNNNNNNNNNNNNNNNNNNNNNNNNNNNNNNNNNNNNNNNNNNNNNNNNNNNNNNNNNNNNNNNNNNNNNNNNNNNNNNNNNNNNNNNNNNNNNNNNNNNNNNNNNNNNNNNNNNNNNNNNNNNNNNNNNNNNNNNNNNNNNNNNNNNNNNNNNNNNNNNNNNNNNNNNNNNNNNNNNNNNNNNNNNNNNNNNNNNNNNNNNNNNNNNNNNNNNNNNNNNNNNNNNNNNNNNNNNNNNNNNNNNNNNNNNNNNNNNNNNNNNNNNNNNNNNNNNNNNNNNNNNNNNNNNNNNNNNNNNNNNNNNNNNNNNNNNNNNNNNNNNNNNNNNNNNNNNNNNNNNNNNNNNNNNNNNNNNNNNNNNNNNNNNNNNNNNNNNNNNNNNNNNNNNNNNNNNNNNNNNNNNNNNNNNNNNNNNNNNNNNNNNNNNNNNNNNNNNNNNNNNNNNNNNNNNNNNNNNNNNNNNNNNNNNNNNNNNNNNNNNNNNNNNNNNNNNNNNNNNNNNNNNNNNNNNNNNNNNNNNNNNNNNNNNNNNNNNNNNNNNNNNNNNNNNNNNNNNNNNNNNNNNNNNNNNNNNNNNNNNNNNNNNNNNNNNNNNNNNNNNNNNNNNNNNNNNNNNNNNNNNNNNNNNNNNNNNNNNNNNNNNNNNNNNNNNNNNNNNNNNNNNNNNNNNNNNNNNNNNNNNNNNNNNNNNNNNNNNNNNNNNNNNNNNNNNNNNNNNNNNNNNNNNNNNNNNNNNNNNNNNNNNNNNNNNNNNNNNNNNNNNNNNNNNNNNNNNNNNNNNNNNNNNNNNNNNNNNNNNNNNNNNNNNNNNNNNNNNNNNNNNNNNNNNNNNNNNNNNNNNNNNNNNNNNNNNNNNNNNNNNNNNNNNNNNNNNNNNNNNNNNNNNNNNNNNNNNNNNNNNNNNNNNNNNNNNNNNNNNNNNNNNNNNNNNNNNNNNNNNNNNNNNNNNNNNNNNNNNNNNNNNNNNNNNNNNNNNNNNNNNNNNNNNNNNNNNNNNNNNNNNNNNNNNNNNNNNNNNNNNNNNNNNNNNNNNNNNNNNNNNNNNNNNNNNNNNNNNNNNNNNNNNNNNNNNNNNNNNNNNNNNNNNNNNNNNNNNNNNNNNNNNNNNNNNNNNNNNNNNNNNNNNNNNNNNNNNNNNNNNNNNNNNNNNNNNNNNNNNNNNNNNNNNNNNNNNNNNNNNNNNNNNNNNNNNNNNNNNNNNNNNNNNNNNNNNNNNNNNNNNNNNNNNNNNNNNNNNNNNNNNNNNNNNNNNNNNNNNNNNNNNNNNNNNNNNNNNNNNNNNNNNNNNNNNNNNNNNNNNNNNNNNNNNNNNNNNNNNNNNNNNNNNNNNNNNNNNNNNNNNNNNNNNNNNNNNNNNNNNNNNNNNNNNNNNNNNNNNNNNNNNNNNNNNNNNNNNNNNNNNNNNNNNNNNNNNNNNNNNNNNNNNNNNNNNNNNNNNNNNNNNNNNNNNNNNNNNNNNNNNNNNNNNNNNNNNNNNNNNNNNNNNNNNNNNNNNNNNNNNNNNNNNNNNNNNNNNNNNNNNNNNNNNNNNNNNNNNNNNNNNNNNNNNNNNNNNNNNNNNNNNNNNNNNNNNNNAAGAUCACAUAUGCAUGAGCAGUUUCCAGAAUCCAUCAGAUAGUGAAUUUUUCUACUUCAUAGAAGUUGGAUAGAAGUAUUACUUUAUUUACACAAGCGCAGAUCGAUACCACGUCAAGAAUGAAGAAUCUCGUGCUAUUUGACUAAGACUUCAAAUAUCCUUUUGGAGGCAAUCUAAUCUUUUUAUUUCAUUUCAUGAUCACAAGCCAUAUAACAUAGAAGCAUUACACUUACUUACUUUGCUCAAACAACUUCCUCCAGUUGCUGGAAUUAAGACAGGAAAAUAAUAUCUUGUCAAAGAAAAGCCCCGUCCAAACUGAAAAUACUAAUGGAAGCAGGUAAUCUCCACAGAAAAACGGCACCAUACCUGCCAUAUUUUUUGUUUAGUAGGAGAUGUUAGCGAUCUCCAGAAUCAGAUCUUUUUCUUUCUCUCUUAUCUUCAUUUUCUUUCUACAUGAGCUUUCAGUUUAAGAGGGAGCCAAGCGUCUCUUUUUUCUCCCCUUAAGCCAACCACCACUUCCCUUGUUUAGUUGACUUUUCAACCUUCUCUUUUGUUUUCUUUUUUGCUUUUUUACUUAGUCAAAUCCCAAGUAUCACAGUAACUUCAUCACCAUAAGUCAAUUACAACAUACUGCACCAAACUACUAGGGAUAAGAAUUAACACCAAAUCAGUAACUCCUCUACCAACUGGUGUGCUUCAACUCUUAAACUUGCAGAUGAACACCCCAAACUACCUUUUAUGUAUUAAUGUAAAAAUAUAGUACACUUGUUCAACAAAAGCAGAUUUGAACAGUGAGAUAUAAUUAUCUGCAACAAUCAAAUUGGACAAAACAAAUGUUGCUUAUUUUACGGCGGCAACAUCUAAAGCCUCCAAACUAAGCUCCAAAGAUUGAUCUUCUUCCUUACCAUUCCACAAUCAAGCUUCCCAAGCAGCACAGAUGGAGUUUCUGAAGGCAAAUCAGGGAGAGACUCAACAACGGAACAAUGCAAAACCAGCAAUCGAGGACACGGCUCAAUCGUGGACCAACCUUCUUGCCUAACAUGAGAAAAGAAAAAAAUGUUGAAAAGCUAAGGAACAGACAAUAAGUUGGCCGAAGCAGUCUCCACCCCUGCAUCAAACAUAACCCAUCCCCGCUAGAGACACAAUCUUCAAAUUCAUAGUUGAACUAGCCAACGACUAGAUAUUUCUCAAGCACAACUCAACGUCAUUCUUUGACACCUUUUUGUGAACUAAAAUCUUCAGGUAACUUAAAAGAAAAGCCACUUACUAUCAGAUUCAGUCAACUUUGUACUCUGAAUUUCACAUCGGUGUGGGCGACAGUUGACUAGCAUAGANNNNNNNNNNNNNNNNNNNNNNNNNNNNNNNNNNNNNNNNNNNNNNNNNNNNNNNNNNNNNNNNNNNNNNNNNNNNNNNNNNNNNNNNNNNNNNNNNNNNNNNNNNNNNNNNNNNNNNNNNNNNNNNNNNNNNNNNNNNNNNNNNNNNNNNNNNNNNNNNNNNNNNNNNNNNNNNNNNNNNNNNNNNNNNNNNNNNNNNNNNNNNNNNNNNNNNNNNNNNNNNNNNNNNNNNNNNNNNNNNNNNNNNNNNNNNNNNNNNNNNNNNNNNNNNNNNNNNNNNNNNNNNNNNNNNNNNNNNNNNNNNNNNNNNNNNNNNNNNNNNNNNNNNNNNNNNNNNNNNNNNNNNNNNNNNNNNNNNNNNNNNNNNNNNNNNNNNNNNNNNNNNNNNNNNNNNNNNNNNNNNNNNNNNNNNNNNNNNNNNNNNNNNNNNNNNNNNNNNNNNNNNNNNNNNNNNNNNNNNNNNNNNNNNNNNNNNNNNNNNNNNNNNNNNNNNNNNNNNNNNNNNNNNNNNNNNNNNNNNNNNNNNNNNNNNNNNNNNNNNNNNNNNNNNNNNNNNNNNNNNNNNNNNNNNNNNNNNNNNNNNNNNNNNNNNNNNNNNNNNNNNNNNNNNNNNNNNNNNNNNNNNNNNNNNNNNNNNNNNNNNNNNNNNNNNNNNNNNNNNNNNNNNNNNNNNNNNNNNNNNNNNNNNNNNNNNNNNNNNNNNNNNNNNNNNNNNNNNNNNNNNNNNNNNNNNNNNNNNNNNNNNNNNNNNNNNNNNNNNNNNNNNNNNNNNNNNNNNNNNNNNNNNNNNNNNNNNNNNNNNNNNNNNNNNNNNNNNNNNNNNNNNNNNNNNNNNNNNNNNNNNNNNNNNNNNNNNNNNNNNNNNNNNNNNNNNNNNNNNNNNNNNNNNNNNNNNNNNNNNNNNNNNNNNNNNNNNNNNNNNNNNNNNNNNAUGAACAAGCCACAUCACCAUCACAACAAUUUGGACAUUAGCAUCCUUUUCCAUGUGAAAUUAGCUGCCUUCAACACCAUUUCACCACGUUAUUAGCUAACUGGUAUGAGUGAGGACAUCCUCGGAGUAUCUUAUCAAAAGAAAUGCCCACAUACUCAUGAAGAAAAUGCUACUUUGGAUCAGAGGUACAAACAAAUGGUUCACAGGAGAUUGUUCAUCUUUCCACUUCUCAUCACCCCUCAAGGUGCUUCAAGAUCCGAGAACAUGAAAGAAAUGGCUAUGAAAGUAGAACCUCAUCAAUCAAGGUAAUCUUCCCGUUCAACCUAAAGUUAGUUCACACUAGUUCCGACAACUCUGCAGUCAAUUUCCACACUACCUAGACAGGGUGAUAAAAUCAACCUAAACCUGUAAUAGGCUCAUAAGUCCUGAUAAUCCUGCUAUACUUGCUCUACGACUGCUCAGAUAACAUAAGGAAAAUUCACCACCAUUGACAGGAAACCUAAUCAAGAGCUAAUAUAGUUAUCUCAUUACACCAUAGCAAACUGGUAGGAGAGAAUAACCAAGCAGAUUUCUGCACCUAAUAGGAAUCACAAACUGAUAAAUAUAACAGGACAACUAAACAUGCUUCGCUGAACAUGCAUAAAUGCUCUAAUUAGUCUUAUUUCAUUUCCUCCGUGUGCAGACAUUGAGCAUCCAAAAUCAGACCAAUAAUAGCGACUCAAAACCUCAAAUCACCAGAAUGCGCAUGCACCAAUCACACCAAGAAUCAACCAAUGACUAAAGCGAUCAAUCAGUGACAAGAAUAGAUUAAUGUUAAAAGGGGUCCAAUCACCUGGACUCUGAAGAUAUGGCAACCAGAAGCAAUGAAGACCCAACAUGAAGAUCCUUCCAUUCAAGCUGGAGCACAAGGGUCAAAGCAAUCAGUGAGCAUGAAUCUCACUUUUGAAUUAGUCAUCCCAUCGUCGUCCACCAGAAGGAAGACAGAAACAGACCACCAGAUGAUGCUGGACCCCUUAAUCCCUUCUCGUUCUCUCUGUGCUCGAUUUCCACCCUCCUCCUCUUCUUACGCCCAUCCCUAGAAUCACAAGACGCAAUGCAAUCGGCUUAAAGAGCGUCCCCCUUGCAUCCAUAUCCCAGAUAUUUGGUUUGGAUCUCACACCAUUGCUGAAAUUACAGCGAAGCUCGUGGUCAUUUAAAGAAAUCAAGAGCACGAGAAAUUGUCAUCACCAAAUGAAGAACGAAUAGAAGGAUGCAAAUUCAAUAUGUAAAGAUAUUGAUAGUAUGAAAAAAGGAGAUGGAUUAGGCGCAAUGAAGAAAAGAAAGAGUGCAAAAUGAUUCCCGCAAAAUGAUUCCUACCAGAUUUCCACCGGACAUGAUGUUACUUUUGAUAGAAUCAAGGCCAUAACUCCCCCAUCAGAUUGAACAAUCUACAUAUUAGCACUUCAAUUGACAAACAAAGUGGAAUAUAGAUCCUUGGAUAUUCAUCAUCUCAACAUCAGUGUCCGAAAAGUAAUAAUCUUAUGAUGAUGCCUCUAGUGGCUUAUUAAUCCAUGACAUAAAAAGUGGACAUAAGCUACUAAAAAUGCAAUUGAAACCACAUAAACAUGAGUAGUUGCUAUGAUCAAGCAAUCCUUAGAAGUGUUAUUCCACAUUGGUUGAGUAAAGGGCAUUGAUAGGAGUUAUUUACAUGUAGUCUACCUCUAACUAAUACUUUAAGCUUUUCAGUUGAACUUUUGCUAACAAUGAAUGAAGCUCUGUUUUACUAUGCAUGAACAAAUGAAAAAAUCACAUAAUAAACAUCCUAUGCUCAGGAGUCCUUGAAAUAAGAGGAAAACAAUUAGACAUCGACACGAAAGGCCCCAUGCUAAACUGAAAGUACUAAUGUGAAGUAGGUACUCUCAACUGCUAUAUUUACAUUUACCAGAAAACGCGGAUGCUCUCCAGAAUUCGAUCUCUGUCAUGCUGUUGUCAUGCAAAUAUUUUUCAUAAUUCUACAUGGGUAUAUGUGUUCAUCAUCAUUCUGGUAUUCUCUGUGUAGGUGAAAAUAAACAAACAUGAUUUCUCUCAUCAGGAUUCAGAGACACACAUUAACUAUUGUGCAAAUGAUGAUAAAAGAUCAUGACUAGUAUCUUCCAAGUCAAUUUGCACUCCUAAUAUUGCCAAUGAGUUAUUCUUAUUGUCGAGAUUACAGUUGUAGUUGGAAAUGCUUGCUUCUGAUGCAGUACCAUUUAAGCUCUCCACAAAAUUGAAACGCACAUGCACAGCUCCUCCUACUUCUUUUCAGAGCCAUAAACAGCAGGGUAGUACUCAAGCUCCGCAGAUUUUUUGUCCCCGCCAUCAGCCAAGCUAAAAAUAGUGCACAUUUCUGGCUGAAACCUCAAUUAUUGCAGGAGUGACUUUCCAAUUCUGUCCAGUGGCAGCUGUAGCAAAACAUUCGGAUUUGAGCUGUAGAUCAAGAAAAGAUGGCAAUUAGAGAUCUAGAUCAGCUCUCAAACAUUAAAGGACUUAAGCAAAUCACCUUUCUAGCCACCCAUUGAUUACUUGUCAUGUUUAUCCCAAAAACAUGAAAGCAAUAAGGUUGAUUUAAGGGCUUCCUCCAUACUUCUGUUUUGGAUCUCACACUGUUAUCCACAAUACAGUGGAAAUCCUCUGUUCUUUUAAAGCCUCUGGGGUGGAGACAUUGUCAUCACCAAACAAUGACCAAACUGAAGUAAUAAAUUGCGAUUGAUGUUAAGGUACGAAAUCGCAAGAUGAUAAUUGAAGGCAUGAAGAAAAACAACAAAAGAGUGGCUUCAUGUAUUGGUUUUGACCGUUGAUGAUAAUACUUUCAGCCUGAUCAAGGCCAUGUAUCUGCCUUCAGAGAGAGCAAUCUUCACAUUGGCAUGUUAAGCAACGAGCAAAGUUUGAUACAGAUCCAUGGAGAUUAAUCAUCUUGACAUUAGUGCCAUGGCUUUGAGAAAAUGCAGAACAUGUUUAUGGCACCUUCACUGCCUACAUCCAUGACCAAAUAACGAACUAAUAAAAUGCAAUCAAGAUCACAUAUGCGUCAGCAGUUUCCAAAAUCCAUCAGAUAGUGAAUUUCUCUACUUCAUAGAAGUUGGAGAGAAGUAUUACUUUAUUUAAACAAACACAGAUUGAUACCACGUCAAGAAUGAAGAAUCUUGUGUUAUUUGACUGAAGACAACAUAUAUCCUUUUGGAGGCAUUCUGACCUUUUGUAUUCAUAUCAUGAUCACAAGCCAGAUAAAACUGAAGCAUUACAAUUACUUUGCUCAAACAACGUCCUCCGGUUGCUGGAAUUAAGACAAGAAAAUUAUAACGUGUCAAAGAAAAGCCCUGUCCAAACUGAAAAUACUAAUGGAAGCAGGUUAUCUCCACAGAAAAAUGACACUACACCUGCUAUAUUUUUUGUUCAGUAAAUGACUUCAGCGAUCUCCAGCAACAGAUCUUAGUCAUCCUCCAUAGAAUCUGAAUAUUCUUCAACAUCCUCCAUUAAAUAUGGAAAAUUUUGAUAAUCCUGUAAAGCAAAGCAGGGUUACCAAGUCAAUCUUUUUGGUGUUGCUCGCAUCAAAUUGUAUCCAGUACUAUCAAACGUUAGAUCUAACGAUAGACAGCAAACCUCAGUCAGCUUCUCGCUGUUGCUUUCCUCAAUAAAAAGGUCUGGUAAUUUCUUGAGUGACUCGCACCCAUCCCUAUCAAAGUACUUCAGGAAUUUACUAGGGCAGCGAAUUUCAACUAAGCUUUUGCAAUCCGUAACAGUCAACUGCUUCAGAUGCUCCGACUUUGAAAGGUCCAGUACUUGAAUGUGCUUGCGCCCAGAAAUAUCCACCACUUCCAGGGAUCCCAAUUUUUCAAGGCCUUCUAUCGCAUGGAGAUGAUCCACCUCUUCAACAUAUAAUAGCGAUGAUAGCAUUAGGCGCAACCAUCUUAGGGAUUUUAAAGAUCCCAGUCCAUCCAAUUUCUUCAGCCCAUCGCAAUCCUCGAGAUGUAAAUGUAACAAAAAUUCCAAAUCGGAAAGAUUUGGCAGCCUUUCCACUUUGGGACAAUUGCAAACGACAAGAAUCUGUAUGCAGGAGGGAAGCUCUGGGAUCUCUUGAAGAGACACGCAAUCCCAAAGCCAGAGCUCCUGUAGAUGCUUCUGGAGAGAGAGCGAUGGGAUGCUUUGAAGAGACUCGCAAUACUUAAGCCUGAGCUGCUGUAGAUGCUUGAGGUGAGAGAGCGAUGGCAGCUCCUUGCUCCAACAGGUGAGCCCCAGGAAUUUUAAGCUAAAAGGAGGUUUUGGGAGUGACUUAAGCUCUUCAUAGCUACUUAUUAAAUUGAGGUGCUCGAGAGAAGAAAGCUGAUCUAAGUUUUCCGGCAAGCCAGAAAUUUUUGUAUAAUUUAAAUCAAGGAUUUUUAGAGAAGACAAUCCACCUUUAUCAAAAAGAAUUUGUCCUUCCAGGUUAUGGCAUUCGGAGGCAUCGAGCUCUUGGAGGCUUUGCAAUUUUCCAAUAGAACUCGGUAACCUUUCUAUCAUGCUAUAAUUAAGUCUCAAAAAUUUCAAUUUGUUUAAUUCCCCAAUAGAUUCGGGCAAUCCCUUAAUCGAUGCAGCUGUCAACACCAGCUCAACCAACUCUCCCAACUUCCCAAUUGAAGAAGGGAUCUUUUUUAGUGGCGAAUGAUCUCCAAUCAAAAGCCACGAAAGCCUCUGGGCACUAAUCCUCUUCAGCUUCUUCAGAGAUCCUAUACAUGGAGGGAUUUCUUUAAUCUGAGUAUUGUCUACGACAAGUUCCUCCAAAUGUUCUAGUUCGCCAAGUUGUUCAGGUAACAUCUUGAGACUUCCACAACCACUCAAGUUCAAGAGAAGGAGGCGCUUGGCAUAUUGAAUGGAAGGGUCGAUUUCCUUCAAAUUAGCACAACCUUUUAGGAUUGGCCACUCUAAAUUUUUAAAAGCGGAGAGAUUAGGGUUGCUCUUCAAUUUCGAGCACCACGAAAGAUUGAGAACUUUCAACCUCUCCAUCUACAAGAAAGAAACAUGUUUCAAGAUUAGCAGUUAGAAAUAGAAUAAUUUAACAUCAAAUGUAACAAAAGAGAAAAACCUUUUUCAUCUUUACCUUAAUUGAACUCCAUCCUCUCCAAUUUUCACUAAUAUCUUCUUGACUUGAUAACUCAAGCACCACUAAUUUCUCCAAAUGAACACUGGUCGCCUCGAAAGAGUCACAACAUCUCUCCCACUUCAGCCAUCUUAAUUCAGUAAGUGAUUCUUUGAAAUCUCCAGCAAGACCCACAGCAUUCAAAUGAAGGAACUUCAAGUUAGGCAUUUUUUUGAAGCUCCCUCCAUUCAUGAACUCAUUGGAGCCGCUUUCGUCCAGACGCAAUGCCUCAAUAUUUUCAUUAUACUCCUACAAAAUAUAAAAAAUAAAAUGAGGAUUAUAAAUACCAUCCAACCUCCUCCUGUUAGUAUACUGUGCAUGUUAUUGUGGUCAAUGCAUUUUGUCCACACUAAUAGGGAAAAAAGAAAUAUAUCUAAUCUUCUACAAUUAUGUGAUCAUGUCAUAUGUCGAUUUUCACUUUUAUGCCCGAAGUUUUGAUGUUUUAUGUGAAAUUCCUAUAUAAAAUUAUUCUAGGUUUCCAAAAAAUUUUGAAAUUAAAUCUUCUAACAUACACAAUAUUGACGACUGACUAAAUAUGGUGUACCCUUCGACAUAUGUGAGAACUGUUACACAUUUCAAAAACAAAAAGGUACCUAAUUAGACUUAUGCACUCAUAAAGCAUGACAACUCAUUCCCUUCCCAUUCAUAAAAUAGUUUUGGUUUUGGCAUAUGGCUAAAUGGAAACAAGAAUUUGGUCUAUGGAACUUGAGUUUUCAUUUUUGGAUAUUCAAGCUCAAAGCUCAAUAACUAAUCCUUAGACUAGGAAGAAAUUGCCUAAUCAAUCAUAAACUUACCAAUUUUAUUGAUUUAGUCUUAAACUUUUGUGUGAAAUUCCAAUUUAGUUUUUCUAGCCAAUUUUUAUAGGAAAUCACUAAAGUGACGAUAUGCCAUAUGGGACGGCCGAAAAUAAUUGGACCACCAUGUUGAUGAUUUUUGGUGAAAGUUGAUCUAGGAGACUACGUUGAAAUUUUGCGCAAAAGUUUAAUACUAAAUUGACAGAAUUAGUAAAUUCAUGACUAAAUCAAUAUCUAUAUAAUAAAUUUAAAACUAACUGGAUAAUUUUCCUUUGAGAUGAGCUACCAUUCAAUUAGUCAUCAUUGAAUUUACCCCAAUUAGUCAUAAAAUUCGACCUGAUCUUGAAUUUGGUUAGUGCAUUUUUUGCCAUUCACCCAAUUAUAUAAAAAUAUAUGAAUUAGUAAAUAAAGAAUAGUGAUUACUAUCGUUUUCCUUUUUGUGCAUUCUGACAUUUCUUUUCUACUCCUCCAGUUAUCUUAUUCCCUAAGUUAAUUAUCUGUUUUUUCUCCACUAAUAUCUAACAAUAGAUUUUUGUCUCCUCUGUCUGUGCAUGUGAAUAAAGGCUCAAUUAAUCCGUACCAAGAAAAGCUCGCUCAUUACAUAAUAGAGGUGGAUAUUGUAUUACACCAAAGGCAAAUAAAAGGAGGAGAACACAAUUUCUUUCUCCUUUCACUAUUUCAUCACUCAAUCAUUUAAUUUCUUAAUGUUGAUAUUUGCUUUUCAGUUUUUUAUCGAAAAUUACUUUGAAUAUGUACAAAAUCAUAUGACAGUUGUUAUUUAGUUUCUUAUGUCGUAAUUUACUGUCGUUUGAUUUUGCACAACAAUCGUUGAUGUUGAAUUAUGUGCUCAAAAUACCUAUAACCAGAUCCAUACAUAGCACCAGUAUUAACACAGAGUAUAUAUUAUGAAAACUAGGUAGACAUGAAAUAGCCUUAUAAUGUUGCAUCACAUAUCAAAUCCUGUGAGUUCUCAUCUUUCAUAUGAAUGAACAUGAUUGAUCCAUCGCACACAUGCAGUGCUCACAAUAAAAAAUAAAUAUUGUUAAUUAUGCCAAUUUAUCUUGAAGAAUCUUCCAAUUAUUUUUUUUUAUUACGUAAUUUGUUAAUUUGACUGUAAGUUGGUAUAGGCGACAAUGAAAGAAAAGCCAAAGGCGCAAUAGAGAAUUUGAAUUUAAUCAUUUUUUAAAUGUGCCAGUCCUUUAAGUGAAAAGAAAAAAUAAUAGUUUUCUACUUAUCAUUAACUAAGAGGCAUCCAAGUUUUGUAGUGUUGUUUCAAGUUAUCAACUAACCCAACCACAUUAUUAACAUAAUUAUGCAUUUCUAAAUUGCUAAAAAAAUGAUAUAUUUAAAGGAACUUCUUCAAUUAUGUUAUUAACAUUCACUGAGUAUACAAUUUAAACUAAAUCUUCAAUUUUCUUUCUAUUAAGUACAUGUACUUCUGCAUUUACAUUAUCAUAUUGGAUUUACAUCGUGAAAAUGCAUAAUAAAUCAUAGAAAACAAAUUGUCAAAAUUCUUCAUACAUAUAAAACCACCACAUAACAUCUUAUUACUUGAAAUUGAACAAAAUCUUAAGUUGAUAGCCAAUAGUUGAGGUACAAAGCAUUUAACUGAAAUCUUUCUUUUUGUUGCAAAAAAGUAGAACCAACACCCGAGGAAAUUGCAUGUAUUUAUGGUUGGAAAUUGAAGACAGAAUAAUGUAUUCGAAUCUUGGAGAAGGAAAAAGUAAAAAUUCAAAACAGAAAAAGAUGGCUAAUAUGUGAUCCAUGUAUUUAUCUUCCCACCAACAUACUUUAAAAACUAUAUUGCCGAUAUAUUUUGCCCCGUCUGCAACAAGUACUACAUAGUAAGAAGCAGUAUCAAAUCUGCUAGAAAAUGAUGUUAAACCCACAAAAGAGCAAUAUGAACAGAGUCAAUACUAAACAAUUUUACUGUCAUAUAAGUUUUUACAUCAAAUUCUGUAACUCACGAAGCAUUGACUACCAAGUAUUCCCUCCACCGGUGCACAUAUGGUGUCCCUUCGCAAUUGUGAAAACCGUUAAAACUUUUUGAACCUAAAAAAAGUACCCAAUCGGAUUUAUUACAAGCAUUUAUGCAUUCAUAAAGCAUGACAACUUAUUUCCUUUCCGUUCAUGAAAUACUGUUCAUUUUGGCAUAUGGCUGAAUGGAAACGAGUGUUUGGUCAUUUUUUCUCUAGAAGCGCAACUCUCUGUAUUUAUUUCUUUUUCAACAGACGGCUUUUGUGCAAUCGAAGCAGUAACUUUUCAUUUCAUCGAAAAAAGAAUAGGCCCUCAAAUUAAAACGCAACUAAGGGAAAAAUAAUUGACAAAACCUUUCUUUUUUAAAAAUUGGUAAUUAAUAAAAAAAGAAAACACAUUCGGGCCAAUAAAAAUACACAUUCUUUAGUGCACAAAAGCCUAUAAAAGUAGGUUAACAAAAAGUUACAGUUACGCAAUCACAUUAACGACGUGCAUCUAUAUUGGGAAUUUCAUUUGUCUUUCUUUUUACCUUUAGGAAUUGUCCUUUCAUUAUAUACCCAUUUACAAUUCCAUACGGGUGUCUCUCUCUUUCCCCAAUUAUCUCUUUAUUUGCAUGUUGCGUGACCAAAACUUUCCAGAAAUCCACAGUUUGCUAGAGAAGAAAGAAAUUGAGGAAGGCAAGUUGAGCUUGACUUUUCAAUUUUGGAGAUUCAAGCUCGAAAAGAUCAACACUACUCCUAAGAUGAGCGCACUGGUCAAUCAGCCAUCCUUCAAUUUGCCCCAGUUGAAUGAUAUCGAGCAGGUACUCUUCUAUUAGAGUUUCUAUUUUCAUCCCAACAGUUUUACUUUCUUACUUAUAUCAUAGAGUCAUUAGAAUUUUUACAUCAAUUGCAAAGAGCCGACAAUGAAAGAGACUGAUAGCUUCUUUCACAUUUUUGCAUGCGCAAUAGCAUAGUGAGUUUUAGUACGCAUGAUUGCAAAACCAAAAUUAUUGUCUCAUGGAAUUGAGUGAGAUUAAGAUUGAAUAAUCCCGAUGAUAUAAUACUUUAACAAACGUCAAUUAUUUCCUUAGUUCUUUAUUUUGGUCAAUCUUUGCUACAAUAGAAAAAUAUGCUUUUGGUGCCGGUUUGCCAUGAGAAUCAAGAUAUAAUUGAGCUUGAUCUUAAGAAUUUGUUAAGUUCAUUUGUGCAUUCAAAUUUUCAUAUAACAAUCGAUGAAUUCGUAUACAAGGUUAGCGAUCAUUAUUAUUAUUUUCCUAUUUUUGCAUUCUAUCAUUUCUUAUCAUCUCCUCCAUUUAUCUUAUUUGAUGAAUUAAAUAUCUGUUUUUUUUUUCUUCACUCCUAUAAUCCUAUCAAAUCGAACAUCUAAUAACUUACAAUAGUGAAUUUCUUUUCCUAUCAACUCUUUGUCCAUGUGUGCGCACUUAAAAGACUCCAUUAAUCCUUACGAAAAAAGGCUCGCUCAUUACAGAAUAGAGGUGGAUAUUGAAUUACACUAAAUGCAGAUAAAUUGAAGAUGAGUAGUAUAUAGUUUCUUUCACCUUUCAUCGAAGAUUACUUUGUACAAACAUGUGCAAAAUCAUGUUUCAGAUUUAAACUAAAUCUUUAAUUUUCAUUACAUUAACUACAUGUAGUACUACAUUUGCAUUAUCAUAUUGGAUUUACAUCGUGAACAUGCAUAAUAAAUCUUACAAAACAAAUUGUAAUUCUUCAUACAUAUAAAACCAUUGCAUAAGAUCUUAUUACUUGAAACUGAACAUAAUCUUAAGUUGAUAGCCAAUAGUUGAGGUGCUAAUAAUUUAACUGAAAUCUUUCUUUUUGUUGCAAAAAAGUAGAACCUGCACACGAGCAAAUUGCACGCAUUCGAUUCUUGGAGAAGGAGACUUAUCACAUUUAUCAUAUGAAAGUAAAAUUUCAAGAGUGAAAAAAGGUGGGUAAUAUGUGAUCCAUAUAUUUAUCCUCACACCAACUUACUUCAAAAAUAAAUUGUUAUAUUUUGGGAAGAUAGAAUGAAAGACCAAAAAGUAAUGAUCAACAAUAAAGUUUUCUUGUUUAAUUGAAUAAUAUAACCAAUCAGCAUAAAGUUAUAAUGACUCUAAUGUGUUUUAGAGUGUGAGGGACCAGAUUUAUAAGUGGCAUUAAGUAAACUUUCAAACCUGUGUGAUGCUCGGUCCCCAACAAGUAAUAUAGUAAGAAGCAGUAUCAGCUCUGCUAGAAAAUGAUGUUAAAACGACACGAGCAAAAAAGGAAGAGUUAAUAUUGAACAAUUUUAAUAGCUCUUUUUUGAGCCUCAUAAUCACCAGUGCAAAAUUCAUGACCUAGAGGCCAAAAUGAAUGUAGCUUUUACCAAGAAAAUGCUAAUAGCAUGCUGAGAAUGGUCAUAGAUAUAGAGAAAAAGAACGGUAACAAUAGUAAAAUGAGGGACUACCAUUAGAAAACAUGUGAGAGGCCAAAAGAAAGCAUAAUCGUUACCUUGUGUCUCAGAACUUUCAUGGCUUCCUCGCGCCAUAGUCUGCUACAAAGCCAAGGCUGCAUACCUUCUGGACGAGCAAUAGCUCUGCCUAGAUCUCUUAACUGAUCAUGCAUUCUCAACAUAUUAUCAUCAUCAUAAUUUAUUAACGAAAGUUCAAUCAUUCUUGCCAAUCCAGAAUCUGGACGUAGUCGGAGAUCCUUCCACAAGUAGGUGGCAAAUCUUUUGUCGUCUCCAAUGAAAAAACAUGCUAUAUCUAGAAACAUUCGUUUCUCGUUAUGUGCUAAUGCAUUGUAACUUAUCUUCAACUUUUCUUGUACAUUCGUAUGAGGCACGUUCCUCAAAUUCUCAAGCGUCUCUACCCAUAUGCUUUUAUCUUUUCUUUUGAGAAGUGAACCUAUAAUCUUGAGAGCUAAGGGAAGCCCUCCUGUGGUGGCAAUAAUAUCACCCGAAAGAAUCCUGAAGUCUGUUGGAGGUCGUUUGGCUUCAAAUGCGUACAAGCUAAACAAAAGCAUAGAGUCUCUGCUAUUCAUUUCUUUGAGUUCAUAACUUCUAUAUUCAGACUUCAAGAGGGCCUUAUCUCGACAUGUAAUAAUGAUUAUACUUCCUGAUUCCAAAUUACAACCUCCAAUCAAUUUAUCUAUGUGGUCUCGAUGACCCACAUCAUCAAGAAGAAUAAGUACCUUCUUUUUCUCACAACUUAAUCGGAUCUUUCCAAUCCCCAUUAUAGAAUCACGCACUCUACUUUCAUGAUUUUUGGUUAUAUCUGAGAUCAAUAGAGAUUGGAUAUGCUCCAUACCCUUCCGAUUAAUUGUUUCUGUAAUAUCCAUAAGAAAGCUGCGCCACUCAAAUUUCUUAGCAAGCUUAUUGUAGAUGUUUGUGGCCAGAGUUGUCUUACCAAUGCCACCAAUCCCACAAAUCCCAAUAAUUCGAAUUUUGGAAGGAUCAGUAUCUGCCAAUUUCAUAACCUCAGCCACACGAUCAUCAAUUCCAACCAAGUUCCCAGGAAGAGGUGGUAGGAAAUCAUGUUGCUACUCGUCCAUUAUUACUCGUACGAGUUCUUUUACUAAUUCCGCUUCACGCCUGUCAAACAACACAACAAGUGAGAACUUAUUAAUGGCUCCACAAAACAAGGAUUGAGGAUGAUAAAUAGAAAAAAUCUUCUUCUGACGAGGAUCAAUUAAAAGAAGAUAAACGACAUACCCAUUAGCAAAUUUCUCUGAUUCGAAUAAUCUAAGAUUCAUUGCUUUUCUGAGAGCUACCGGCCCUUGUUGCUUGACCUUUUCAUCAAAACGAUCCUUACGGGAUUUGAAGGCCUUUCCAAAGGCCCCCUUUAGUUCUCGCGCCUCAUAGGGUUUCACCUUGUAAAGCACGGGCAAGACUUUUUGCUCUCCUCUUUCCUCACACUCCAUUCAUUAUCUGAAUGAGCUCGCGGAGGCACCAUUCGCUAGCAGCAUAUUUUUUCGAGAUGACUGGGAUUGAAACCUUAGAGUGCUUGAUUGCACUGAUGAUAUUUUCACCAAUUUUCAUGCCGAAGGGGAGGUUCUCAUCAUCUCUGAACACGAAGUUUGGAUGGAACGGCAGGCCCACAUCUUUGAGUCUAUGGUAGAGGUGAUCGACGAAGCCGUUGCGAGUAUCGGGGCCUCUAAAGCUCAAGAAUACGUAGUUAUUGUUUCCAAUCACGGAGGUGGAGGAAGCGGAUGGGUCAGACUUAACUCCGGACGCCGACGGCACAUCAAUCUUCUCCAAAGAGUCCGAAGAGGGAAGAAGAUGAGGCGAUUCGCUCUCGCACUCCCCCGCCUGUAAUUCAACCGAUUUUUCGCGUCGUCGGCGCUUCGGCGUGGUCGGACUGGAAGCCUCGGUGUCUCUAGGACGCUUGGGCCGUUGCUUGGAGAAAUAAUUUCCCAUCGCAGCUCUCUCUCUCUGUGAGACUCGACUGUUGUGGAUGGUUUUGAGGUGAUGGAAGAAGGGGGUGAGUACAGCGGUUUGCUUGUCAACCAGGAAGAUGCCUCCGUUCGGCUGCUAGGGUUUGUGCUGGGAAGCGGCGCUGGUAAAAAGAGGAAGAAGGGAAAGCAGGAGGCGAGGAGACCCGACCAUCCGGAUUUUAUGGACAUUUUAAUUAUCUCCGAAUACUUUAAACGCGGAAAAAGGGAAAAGUAUUCAACUAUCCAUCCACAUUUAUUUCGGAUCCAGUCGGUUUGGAUGAGAGCAUACGACACUAAGGCCCUGUUUGGUAACCAUCUAAACAGGGCCAAAUUCUGAUUCUUUGUUCUCGGAAUCAGUUUGGGCCUAAAAUCGUGUUUGGUAAAAUUUUUGUUCCCGGGAACAAAUUUGUUCCCGAGAACAAAUUGGGAAUAGAAUCAAGAACAAAAAAAAAGUUGAUUCUUGUUCUGGGAACGAAUUUGAGAAUCAAAAUCAAGAACUCUUCUUCUUCCCUUCGGCCAUCUCGCAACCGCCGUCCACCACCGCCUGCCACCGUCCGCUGCCGUCCACCGCCGCCGCCGGCCGCCGGUCCGGCGAGCUCGCUGGAGGCUCGCCAGACCAGGGCGAGGUCCGGUGAGCUCACCGGAGGCAAGCCCAGCCACCGACAAGCUCGCCGGUGGCCAGGUGGGCCUCACCCAGCCUUGGCAAGGCCCGCCUCGCCGGGGUUGGGCAGGGGCUGGGCAAGCUUCGCGACGCCUAGCCCCGCCGGUGGCCUGGCAGGCCUCGCCCAGCCCCGGCGGGGCUCGGCCGACGAGGGCUGGCCUCACCAAGGGCCAGUGACACUCCAGUGAGGUCGCCGGCCCUCGUUUGGCCGGUUGCCGGUCUGGCGACCGGCCACAAGAAAGAAGAAGAAGAUGAGAAAAAGGAAAAAAAAUAAAAUAAAAAAGGAAAAAAAAAAGGAAAAAGAAAAGGAAAAAAUGAAAAAAGAAAAGAAAAAAGUAAAAAAGUAAAAAAUUUAUUUAAAAAUUAAAAGAAAUUGAUUUGGAACAGAAUUAAUGAGCACGGUACCAAACGCAAUUCUAUUCCAGAAUCAGAAAUUUUGGACAAUUACCAAACGGCUUAAAAUGCUUAGAAUCAGUUUCCGGGAACAGAAUAAAAAAGAAUCAAUUCAGAUCAGAAUCUACUCCCGGGAACAGAAUCGUUACCAAACGCGCCUUAACGUUUCAGGCUGUGUCCGGUAUUAUCAAAACCCGACUCGAUCCAUUAACGCGUCUCUUUACAGGAUGGAGAAAUUCACUUUGGAAGAGUCUAGAAAUCUAUACGUUAAAUUAUUUACCCGAAUUCUUAUCUUCAAUUAACGCGCAAAAAAAUCGAAUCUUCUGGUCCAAACCAAUGCGAAAUCACAAAAAUUUGAAUGAGGAACAAUAAAUAACACCAAAAAUUUAUGUAGUUUGAGCCAAUAUCACAUAAUCUAUUAUAAUAGCAUGAUCAAAGUUAAAAUCGCUCACAUGUUCACUUGAGUGUUAAAUCACAUCUAGAUUAGGUUAAUAUUCAAAGUAUUUAUAAAUAAAUAACUCAAUUUCAUAUAAAAUUUGCGGUAUAAGAUUCACCAUGUUUGGAACUCUUCCACAGAGUAUCCUUGCAUCGUUCCUCUUUCCUUCUUUGCAUUCAUCCUCUGUCGUGCAACGUUUUUAGCUGCGCGUCUCUUGGCUAAACAAACCUAUGGGCGAGAGAAAAUAUUGAGUGAUUCUCAUGUAGCCAGCACAACAAAAAAGAAGGAAUCUGAGAUGAUGACAUGUGUCUAAAGUGGGCCCUACCUUUACGCGCAUUUACAACCUUGCUCAUGAAGACGAAAAAGGGAAAGCAGUAGGCGAGGGAAUAAGAGAUUUCCUUAAUAUUGGAAGUAAUUAUACGCCCCUUGAAUUAAAGUUGAAAAAUAUUUAGUUCAAUUAAAGUGAAAAAGUAAAAGGAAAAUUGUUCCAAAAUAAGUUAAGAUAGACAUCCCACAUGGAGAGUGUCCUCCAUCAAUUACCCAUUGAAGUGUUCUAGAGAAUCACUUUUGCAUUUAUCUAAUAAGAUAGAUCCACCGUAUCUAUUUUGGAUCAAUAUUUGAAACAUAUUUCAUUAUAUAAACUUAAUUUAUAUCUCUAAGAAAUUAUGCUCUCUCUUUCAAGCACAUCAACAAAUUUGCUUUUAAUUAACUUUUGAACUUCAGCAAAUAACAAAAGAUAAUAAACAUAACUAUCUAACACUCAUGUUCUUACAUACUUCUUUUUUCUUUUGGCCCAAAUGACAUUAGCACUGUUGGUUUUGAGACGACAACCACCCUUACAUUACUAGAAAGCAUUCGCCAAUUAUUUUUCUCAACCGACCCCACCGCUCUUCUUUCUGAGUCUCAAAGGCCAUCAUGACCCUCUCCCUUGUCAUUGUCCAUGUGAAACGCGCUGGUUACCAGUCUGAAAGAAAAGGGCAAGAACUUUAAAGGACCAACGCAAUCAAUACAUUCCAAGAACGUCCGCACGAAGUUUUGUUCAUGGAGCCUUUUUUCCUGUCGAUUGAACUUCCGUGUAGCAGGGCACCAUUGGAUCGAAAAAUCAACGUUUAUUGUACGUCCAAUAGUAGGGAACUAUUUGGGAGGAUACAGCUCUUGAAGUUGCACGUGAAGCUAAAGCUAAGGUUCCUAGAGUCAAGGAUUUUGUCUUUUCAAAAUUGUGGUCUUCAAUAAAUUUUUUGUUCAGGAAAUUUUUGCUACACAUUUCCCUCAUGGAGCUAUCAGUGGAGUAGUGACAGUCUGCAGUAGAUUAACUACGACUAAACAUGAGAAAAAAUUAUUGACGAAAAUGAUAUGGUGCCUACAUUGCUGAGAUAUGGCAAGUAGUGCAGGCUUUAGCUCAGGAUCGAGACACUGCAAAGGCCUCAAUGAUUGCCGCAUGAAGCGCGACGCCCCCUUUUCUCCUUCCUUUUCCUUUAAUUUAUUUUCGUGAAUAUCCUUUUCUUUCCUAUCCAAAGAACCUCCUAUUCCUUUCGAGAUCGAGAGAGAGUAAUUGUAUAUUUUCCUGAAGAAUUGUAUUUGGGUGCGAGAGAACUAUGGCAAGAAGAAAAUUGAAAAAAAAAAAAAGCAGAGAGAGGAAAACAAGAAUGAAGGGAAGGAUAUAGAGAUGAGGUGUGAAUGCGAAGGGCGCGUUUAACUUUACGUGGGGAAGGGGAUCAUGGAAGUUAAGAAGUCACCUGGAAAACAAGAGGCUCCUGAUAUUCGGACUUCCCAUGGAACAACACCUUGUCCACCUCAAAGAAGCAUAGCUCGCCUUCAAAAUGAAAAAUCACAAAUAUCAUGUUUCGACCAUGUCAUAAAUAUCCGUAUUUGAUUCAUAAUAUUCGUCUUGAUGUGUGGUGAUAUUGUUUAAGUAGUCCAUGCAUGAGUUUUAUUAAGUAAACAAACUAGUCUCUGGUGACGUGUUAGACUUCUUUUCUCUUCUGGUUAGGUGAGAUUACAUAUCAAUCUAGACAUCGAUCAACAAUUUACAGUUACCUCCUAUGAUGUAGCAAAGCACUUGCAAAUUGAAAUAGGUCAUAAUUGUAUCUCCAAGGUUUUGCUGCUUUCUAGACAAAGUAUUGGGUAACUCGACCAAGUCGAAAAGAGAGAUAAAAAAUGCCAAAAUCGAUUUGGAGUGGAGAAUCACAUGCCCAACAUAUAUGCUAAGUUCCAUUGCCAAUCCCAAAUUGGGACCAUACGUUUCCACCACGUAACAAUGUAUAUCAUGUGAUAUCUUGACUCAACUAUUGCAACAUACCUCGCCAUUAAGGCGAAAUCACAGUAAACCAUUCUAUUUUAUUGUUUAAGCCCAUUGCCCUGAUUUGAUCAACCAUUUUAUCAGCCAUUUUAACACUCUGUGUAAAUGUGUGUGAUUCCUUCAUAGUACCAUUCGUGGUGAGUGCCUAUUUAUCUUCCAGUGGGGUUGGGCGAGCUAGCCUUUGGCAGUAGCUUUUCGUUUGGAACACAAUGUGUGUCCAUUUGACAAGUUUUGGCAAGCUAGGAACCUAGAAGCUCUCGUUUGCUCUACUCUGGAAAAUGGUAUGAGUAGCAAGUAUAAAUUGAGAUAGUUUAGUACACUAUUGGAUAGACGGCAGGGUUUGGAGUGAAGAAGGCGAACACGCUCGCCACUUGGACGGUCCAUUAUUAGGGGUUGGUGAUACAUAUGAUCCUCUUUUAUGUAUUUUGGAAUGUUUCCACAGACAAUCGUCUAGCCAUAUUGAAACAUGUUCAUGUGCCAGUUAUCUGAACUCACUUUGAUUUCAUGCGUUCAUUUUGGAAACUGAUUUCCCUGAACUUUCAAUAAUCAUAUGAACUCAAGUUACAGCCUUCAACUCUCAAAUGAGCCAAAUCGACAUAAGUAGGAUUCAUUUCUUUUUAUUUUUGUCCCCUUCGGCCGAAUUGCCUAAAUAUCUCCCAUUUUAAUUUUAACUGGUUAUACAAUGGUUGCAUCUUCAUUAAAAUAAGCUAUCCAUCACUAGGUCGGAUGCAACUGAAGACUGGAAUCGUGAGAAUCUUCAAUUCAGUUUCCCAAACCAUUGAAUGGAUUAGAUAAAUCCUAAAAUUCAUAUGGUGAGGCGUUUUCCUCUCGGCAUAAGCUUUUCAGCUUGUGCUCUGCGUGAAUGACUAUGAGUAGUGUUAGGUAUGGCAUGACCAAUUUACAAAAUUGUUUUAAGUUACCCAAGUAAGCCAUGUAUGAGCAGUUGAGCAAACAUGUCACUUUGUAGACCAAAUCUUGGAACCAUUUUUAUUUUUCUCUAGCAUUAGUCGACGGUUAUAUUUACUUCUGCAGUUUGCAUCCCAAACGGCGUGGACACUACCGAAAAUGAAUCAACAGCUUGUGUGUAUCAGUAAAUUCUUAGAAGAAUUAAUCGGAAAAUUCAAUUUCCUUAUCUUUCUGUAUGCAUGGAAGAAACCCAUAACCGAUGCUCUGUUUCCUCUGUUUCCUCUGCUACCCCUGUUUCAAGCAAAUCAAACUUUGAAUAUGAGAAUAGGAAAGUUGUUGUAUUUGCACAUGCCUGUCAUAGCUAUCUUGGCAAGGAAGACAUACUCUGGUUGAUGAACCAUAAUGCCUGAUUUACUAAGAUCAAAACCGAGAUUCCUCUGAAACACCGAGUCAGUUUUCAUGUAAAUUUUCUGAAAUGCAUAACUAAAAGAAAAUAAUAAUGGAAAAAAAUGUAAUAGAUCACAACAGGAAAUUGAUAUGCCACUAGUCUAUACACAGCCAUUUUAUCACAAAAGCUAGGAACUGUAGGUGGGACGUAGAUCUUCGUUAGUCCAAGUGAAAGAAACAGCACAACAGAUAUCCUAAGGCAAAUCAGCCUUGAAAGCAAUGUAUGGGAAAUCUUUGGGAAAUGUCAUAGAAAAAACUAAAUGACAACCGACAUAUGAUUUUGUACAUGUUUAUACAAAGUAAUUUUCAAGGAAAAACUGAAUAAUAGAGAUCGAAAUUAAGAAAUUAAAUGAUUGUAGAAAGUAAGUGACAGAAUAGUGAAAGGUGAAAAGAAUAAUGCGCUACUCUUCUUCAAUACAUACGCCUUUAGUGCAGUAUGAUACCACCUCCAUUCUGUAAUAAGCAAGCGUUUCCCGGUAAGGAUUACUUGAGCCAUUUACGCACACGCACAUUCAAAGAGAGGAGAGAAAAAGCUACUGUUAGACAACAGAUGUCAGAUUAGAUAGGAUUGGAGGAACGGAUAAAAACAGAAUUAACUUAUCAAAUAAAGAUAACUGCAGGAGAAAAAAAGAAGAGAUAUCAAACUCUGCAGUAACUUCAAUCAAUCGUUGACAAAUGUAAUCUUAGAACCUUGCAACACACGGGCAUCUUGCUAUGGAAAUACUCAGAUGUUACGGCCAGUAAGUAAUUCUUGGAAUCAAUCAAACCCAGAGGUUGCCCUGGGAUUUAUGCAAUUUUACUUCCAUGCUCUAUUUGAGAACAUGGGUCUGCCGCAGCUCUGUGAGUUCAUGCAACUUUCUUUCCUGUCACGAAGGCUGGUUAUUCAUGCAUCUUUAUUGCUAAGGAAAGUAUCGAUCAUCUGAGUUCAGCAAUCAGUUUCCUUUUCAUGUCUCACCUACUUGAGCCCUCUUUCAUCUAUUUUUUCUUUUUAAAGGGAGACUCUACCGGCAAUUGCACUGAUCAUCCAGCAUUCAGCACCACACUAUUCAACUGCCACAUAUGGCUUUGCUUUGCCAAAUUCUCCUUUUGCUAACUAAUGAACUCCCCUUUAUGUUGAGCAUUAUUGUGACCAACAGCAAUGCCACCGGAGGCAUUGGCACUAGUAGUAUGCCGAAGGGGGUGGGGGCGCAACCGAUCCAUCGCAAUUCCAUCCAAUCACCAUUCUUUGACCCUAAUUAUAUGGACAUUGAUUGUGUCAAGUUCGCUCUCAAAAAUUCUGUUGCACAGUUUGCCACAAUUGAGCAAAAGAUAAGAGCUGCAAGGUAAUGCGUCGUGCUCCGACAACAUUCAAGCAAACCUACAAUCAAAAACCCCUGUGGGCGUGUUCUUCGUGGAGUUUUACAUAGAAGACACGUCUCACCCAGUGCUUGCAGUCAUGGACACUGGAAGUACCCUUCUCGGGCUCCGGUGCAUUCCUUGCAAAAAUUGUGCUCAAGCCUCUGUCCCAAUAUACGAUCCUAGCACAUCCUCAACAUAUACAAAUAUAUCAUGCCUGUCAGAAUAUUGUGAGGCUUUACAUCGUCCAAAAUGUGACGAGCGCAAAAAUUGCAAAUACGAGGUAGAAUAUGAAGUUGCCCACCCAACAGAAGGGAUACUUGCCGGAGAGUCGCUCAUACUUGGCGUUUCUCACGAAGAGCUACUCACCAUACCAAAUGUCGUCUAGCUACACAACAAGGAGCUAAAUUCUCCUAUUGUGUUGGAAAAGUUAAAGAUCCUUCUUAUGGAUACAACCAGUUAAUUUUAGGGGAAGGGGCCAUCCUUGAAGGUGACUCGACACUUCUAGAUAUAUACAAAAGAUUUUACUUUGUCACUUUGCAAGGGAUAAGUCUAGGAUUUAUGCUUAAUAUUCCUAGAGCUGCAUUUAAGCGAACAGCUUCAGGAAAGGUGGCGUCAUGAUUGACUCGUGAGGCGAGAGUGGUGUUUUAAUCCAACGAGCCUAUGAGGAGCUUGCCAAUGCAGUAAGAGAAGAUGGAACUGAAAAGUUGGUUCAAGCCCUACGAAGUUCUCAAUGCACUGUGCUUUGAAGGUGAUGCUAACAAGGACAUUGAGGGACUUCCCAUCUUUACUUUUCAUUUUAGCGGCACUUAUAUUCAGGAUCAACUGGGCAAAUGCUCUAACAGCUAGAGAGAUUGUUCUAACUGCCUAAAGCCAGAGAGCGGAAAGUCUGCCCUGUAGAUCCAACGACAUCUCAAAGAAUUGAAAAAACAGCAAGCAAGUUUCUGUUCUCGAUGCGACAUGCAGCUCAUAAAGUUAAAUACAUCAUAUUCGUUUUCAUUCAGUCUGUAGCAUUUGAAUUGAAAGGUCACAACUAUUUCUUUUCGCCAGAGUCAGGUUGGCGUUUAUGGACUUUGAUAUUCAGACCCAAUCAUGAUGGCAAUAGAACACUAUCAAGAAUGUAAAGGUGUAGUUAGGCCCUGUUUGGUUCAGCAUUUGGAAUGCCCAUUUGGGCUCUAAAGUCCCUUGGUCAAAUGCAAAGCUGUUUAGUUCGUUUUUUUGCACGACUUUGGCGAGAUGCAAUUGCAUCUCCAAGUGGCUCUAAGGGCCUUUAGCCCAAUGCAGCUCUUGAGGUCCUUUGGCAAGUUGCAUCUUCGGAAUGCAACUUCUGAAUAAAAAUAAAUAUAAAAAUAUAUGUUUAUAUAUAUUUUUAUAUAUAUUUAUAUAAAAAUAUAAACAUAUCUAUUUUUUUUAUAUUUUAUGUUUAUAUAUAUUUUAUAUAGAUAUAAACAUAUCUAUUUUUUUCUCCUAUUUUUUUAUAUAAAUAUAUAUUUAUAUAAACAUAUCUAUUUUUUAUAUAUACUUUAUGUUUAAUAAAUAUAUUUUAUGUUUAUAUUUGUAUAUUUUUUAUAUAAAAAUAUGUUUAUAUAAAAAACAUAAACAUAUUUUUUAUUCAGACGGUUCGGCCGCCGAAUUCGGCGGUCCGGUAUAAAUAUAUAAAAAUAUAUUUUAUGUUUAUUUUUUAUAUAAAAAAUAUAAACAUAUCUAAUUUUUAUAUUUUAUGUUUAAUAAAUAUAUAUUUAUAAAAAUAUAUAUUUAUAUAUAUUUAUAAAAAUAUAUAUUUAUAUAUAUUUAUAAAAAGAUAUAUUUAUAUAUAUUUAUAUAUUUUAUAUAGAUAUAAACAUAUCCAUUUUUUAUAUAAAUAUAUUUUAUGUUUAAUAAAUAUAUAUUUAUAAAUAUAAACAUAUCUAUUUUUUUCUCCGGUUGCUUUUAUAUAAAUAUAUAUUUAUAUAAAAAUAUCUAUUUUUUAUAUAUUUUUUAUGUUUAUAUGUUUAUAUUUUUUAUAUAAAAAUAUGUUUAUAUAAAAAAUAUAAACAUAUUUUUGCUUUUUUAAUUUAAUAAAAGUUAAUUACAAAUGUAAAUUUUACCAAACAGUAUUUUGGUCAAAGUUGUUUCUCAAUGCAAAUUUUACCAAACGACAUUUGCAUUUCGGAAAACUCCCUUUACCCAAAGGUAUUUGCAUUUCUGCAAAUGCAUUCCCCAAAAGCCGAACCAAACGGGCCCUUAGUCAUACUACGAUAUCUCUUUGCUCAAAACAAGUACGGCAUACAAAAUCUCCAGCAUAACAUUCCUCACAUUUCCUUUCCAAGAAAUUGAUAUGUAGUGCCUCCCCAAGAAAGCUCCGAAGCUAAAAGAAAUCCCAAUACAAGUACAAUAUGGAAUGCAAGGAAUGAGCAUACCGGAAAGAACCCACAGCUCCAAGCAUCAACCUUCGCGAGGAUCCAUGUCAAAAAAAAAAAAAAAAAAAUCAACCCACCAUUAAUACUUGGACAAGCAGGAAAAAUUAGGGGGGAAAUGUUGAAAUAAUUAACUCUCCGAGGGCUCCACUAAGCGAUUCCCUCGUCCACUGAGGCACCCCAAAUAAAAUUAGGCUCAGCACAGCUCCAAAGUAGAAUUACAGAUUAUUUUCCGAUGGAUGUUUGCCCCCGGUGGAGGAGAGUUGUUUGGCAUUCCGCAAUUAGCUGCAGCAACUCACUAAAGUUUAGUUCACAGACAAAGCAGCAACUGCAGCGCUACUCUUUGCUUUAUUCUGCAUAUUAACCUUGAGUCCCGGCGAUUUAGCGCAAGACACGCUUAAUACAGCACCAGCAACUGGUAUUUCAAUUUCUGAAGGCUAUCAUGAAGCACCCAUUUUAUCACUUGCUCUAUAAUAAAGCAUUUUCUGGACAUAGAACAUCAUGUACCCUUGUGCAGCUCUCACAAUGUUCUCAUUCACUUGGAUAAUCCAAGCAUCAUCGCACUUGUACCACUGAUUGCUCAGACGCAGAUAAGUCACAUAAUGGCCCGUGUCUAAUUUACCAGCGUGAGUGACAACAGCAAACAGCUCAAAUUCUGAGGAGAACUCGUUUGAUGCAUCAGGUUCAUCCCCAUCAAAAGGGAAAAUCCUGUUCCCAAAUCUUCUCCUCAAAAUGGAAGAAGAGAGGUAAGGGGCCAUGUCCAGUGAAAGUGGAAAAUGCAGAUAUCGGUCGAUCUUCCUCGACAUCUUCCGUAUGGAAGAAUGUUCAAAUCUUUUGAUGUGAAAGCAAGAAACCAAUGGGAGCUUCCUUAUGGACAUCUGCUUGAGAGACUCCUGACUCACCUGACACUGUUGGCAGAAUAACUUCUGGUCUGAACCCAGCCUCUUGGGUCUAGUGAAUCGGUCCAAGCAGCCAUCAAAGUCGGUAUCCCAGAGUUCUGGCUCGAAUUCAUGCACUCUGCUUCGCCAUUGCAGGAGUGAUGUGACUUAGCUGAUGUUGCCUUCACAGAACCACAUUGGUUUUGUUCCAGAUCCAAAGAAAUAUCCAAGCAAGGGUCAUAUGUUGUAGAUGUGAAACCACAAGCCAUACACAUGACAUUGGAGCGUAAGAUACCAGAGAAUAUUCUGUGAGCAAUACAUCAAUCUCCACUCCCUGUAAUAAUUCAUUAGCGUAGUUCUAAAGAUAUCUGAGAAUCCACAAUUCAUAAAAGUAAAGGUUCCUCAACAGCAUCACAAGUCACAACAGAACAUAUUUUAUGGUACAAACACACCACUGUUGGACACAACACAAAAGAGCACACUUGCACAGGAAAGCAGUUGUCUGCAGAGACUAUAGAUGCAUUAAAUUACCAUGUGAUGGAACAAAUAAUAAGUUCCACCGUGGAAUAACUUGAAAGAGAAGUCAAAACUAGAGGCUAACACAUGCCGGAUAUAAAGACCCACAGAUAUUAGUUGACAGAGUUGAAUCUCCCCACUGAUAUGCCACUAAAAGAGAAUGACACUAGAACAAAAUGAAACUUCCCAAGGGACUCAGAGGUAUUAAGGCUGGGAAAUGCCAGAAAGGUAAUAACCCAGAACAAGCAUGAUCCUACAUAAUUUCAAAAGUUCAUUUACAUGAAUUAUACAAACAAACAAGAGAAAAUGUUAAUAACACUUGAUCUCUGUCCUCAGCACCAGCAGAUUCCAGAUACUGCCUGUAAAAAAUGGAGACUGGAUGAAACAGGUUUAAUGUGAUGCCUGUAAAAUUUACCUUGGCUCUGCAGCCGGCAUCGAUCCUUAUUCACUUUCUCAUGGAUCCCAUCAAGCAUGGAAAUGAAAAACUCAUGAGCAUCCUGCUGCUCAUAACUUGCCAAGUUAGCUGCAUGUUGCCACCUAUAGCAGAUAACCAAAUCAAUAAAAGAAAGAGUAUAAAACACAUUUCCCUCUAAGAAAGUCUCUGUCCAACAUUGAUGUUCAACAAGGAACUUGACAAAAGCAUGCAUCAUUAGACUAAGGAAAAGAUGCCUAUCCAUUAUGUCACCAACCAUUUUCAGAAAAGCCAGUAGACAAAAGUACUUGAUCAAAGAAGAUAAUUUCCAAAGGCCUUGUUAACAAAUGCCCCAAGGGCACUCAAUAAAUUUAGCAAAAUCAGAAAUAAUGCUUCCCAAGACAUUUAAAAUAAUGAAAGAAAUACACAUUUUAACUAAGGCAAUAUGUCCAAUGGUAAAUUUGAAAUUUUGAGAGCACAUCUGAUAAGGGGCAAAGCCAUAGUCCCUACAGGGCAUGGUGCCUUAACAAUCUUUUACCAUUGGAUUGAAAUGCAAUUGAUCUCAGCUGUUCAACACAUCUCAACCAAGAUGGUUGUGAUUUUUUACUCUUCAAACCAUAACAAGUGCAAAGGGGCACUCUCUAACAUUUUCCAAUUUCCACUUGCCAAAAAUUAAAAAAGAUGGAGCAGCUAAGCUAUGAUACGAAGGAUGUCAAAGCGCAAUUGUAAAUUAGGUAAUGUCCAUCAUGCUAGCAAUAUAGCAGAACAUGCACUGAUCAAACAACUUCCAUAUCUUCACAGCCACUAGGUCACAAGUUCACAACAGACAAAAUUUACAGAGCCUCUUGGACAAAUUUCCAACCUCCAUGUGCUUCCAAAAACCAAUAAGAAACCAUCAAGCAUCCACAUUUAUCCAAAAACUUUCACAGAAGAGCAAUUUCCUCCAAAUCCACAGACUUGUACAGGAACUUCGCGGGACUAUAAGGCAUCCGCUCCCCCAAAAACACCACCGAGAACGUAGCGUCCAUGUCACAGGCCAAACGGAAGCCGCCAUUCUUGCUCCCAUGGCCUCCAUCAAGAGCACCAUCUACAUUCCUUUUACUCACAUUUCCACUAACCCCAUUCUUCUUCUGAAAAAAGUACCUAUUGUGCCUGUCGCUCAAGAAGUAGUUCCUCAGAGGAGGAGUGUGCAACAAUGCCUGCAACACCGAAUUCAUAAAGCAGGCGUUCCCCAAGUUAUUGAGCCCCCGCAAGCCCCGCGGCAAAUCCGAGGUCGAGAAGGACUCGAGAGGGCUCGAACAGCUUCCCAUUAGGGCGCGCUCGCGCGGGUCCGGCGACCACGGCCGGUAAUCAACCCUCCGCCGCUUGCGCAGGUUCUCCGGGGCCACCACAGCCCGGGAGCCGCCGGAGGAGCUGGCGGAGGCCGGCAGAGUGGAGGCGGUGGUCUGGGCCAGGACCACGGCGGCGUCGAAGUCGCGAUCGUAGACCUGAUCGCGGCACAUGCAGCAGAACAGCUCUGCGCGGUCGACGUCGACGGCAAUCUCGUGGCCCGGGGGGCAUGGCCUCGGCGUGCGCGGCCGCGUGGGAGGGCCCGAGUGGCGCGUGGCAGACACGGCGGCGCAGGCCAUGCAGGCGAAGAGGCGGGGGCGGGCGGCGUCGCCGCAGCGGGGGAUGGCGGUAGGUUCUUUCUUUUUCUUUUUUUUCAGAACUUCAGCAGGAAAAAUUUAAAAAGGGUAUACUUGCUGAAGUUGUAAGCUUCUAAGUGCUACGAAAGUUUUCCAAAUUUUUAUUUUAAUCGACUGGUCGUAGCUUUUGUUUUUGUUUUCCUUAAUUUACAAAGUUUGAAUAAAUAAGUUUGGUUAUUUGGUUUUGAAAAAGACCUUUAAUGGAAUAGUUGGGAGUGGGACAAGCCGAGGAAGUAGUAUUACGAAAAGUGAUUUUUACAAGAUUUGAUGCAUGGGAAAGAGGCUCCAGACUUUCCUAGAAGGCCACUCACUGAAAUUUUGCAACAUAUCAUAUUCUAGAGUUAUCUUGAUAUUUACAUGUAUUCUAGAAAUAUCUAUACAUGCUUGACUAUUCCAGAAAACUGAAUCGAUAUCUUAACAAGUAGACUCUCAUUGCGAUGAGUCGAUUACAGCAGCAGGAUGAGAGCACUAAUGCUUUGAUAGGGGACAUGGUAAAGCAUGAACGAGGUGUAAAAGUAUCUCAAAAAUAGGCAUUUGAUCCUACCAAGGAGUUGGACCAAAUGAAGGUGCAUCUGGCUUACUUGGAGUGGUACAUGAAGGUAUGCAAAGCGGAUGGCCAAGGUCUUGGUUACUAUGACAGCUUCAAAAAUGCACGAGAAAGGCGCGACGGUGGGGUUGAUAAGUACAAGACAAUCCUCACUGGAAGCAUGUAGUCAACGAAGCGGAAAAGAAGCCUCACUUAUCAGGCACUCCAGUGCGGACCCGUUGGCUCUACGGAGGGACAAACUACCGAAGGAUAGUCGAACCUCUAGACAUAACAGAGCAUUACAAAAGAGGCCGAAAAGAUUACAUAAAACGCGGAAGAUCCAGACACUACAUUCUGCUGGAAAAAUGGCUAAAAACAACAUCAAGAAAAAGAAGGCAAAGAGCGGGCCGGGUCUUUGAAUUCGAAAUUGGAAAACAUUGAGUCUCGCGUAAGGAGGACUCGUGCUUCUGGGCACGAGUGGAGGAGGCCAUCCGGUCGUGCAGAUUACUCAAUAGCAAAGGAUCACCUGACGUUUCGAAAGAGAGUAGUUAGUCAAGUUCGAGGAGGAUGUUAUGGACUUGAUCAAGGAUUACGCAGUUUCGCUGGACAUCUUUCUGGAGAAGAGCAGCUAUAUGCAAUGGUGGAGGGAGUAUGAGAUGUUGGGACUACCUCACAACUCGCAGUCACAACUUUGUUGGUUUCAUGAGGAAUGACCCUUGCAAGAAUUAUAUUGGAGGUUUGCUAAGUGUGAAUGAAGAGGGUAAUUUAAACAUAAAUCUACCUGGUACCUCUGAGUCGAGUGCUACAUCGACAUGAGAGCCCAUUGUCCUCUUCGCGUCCUUAUCUCGGCCUUUUUUACUUUUCCUUCUCCUUUUCCAAUUUCUAGUUGACUAUCUACAAGAGCAUCUAUUUUGAUGCGCACUUGAUGAGUCUCGGCAUGCAGGUUUUGAUCACAACAUCGAAUUUAUGAGAAUGGGUUUAUGUAAUUUGUGUUCUUAUAUAAAAUAAAAUAAAAAAUCAUUUCUUUUUAAUCUUAAAUACUAAUAGGUGAUGAAUAAUCAUACGGGUAUACAAUCAAUAAUGUGACACUUAAUGAUCAAAAGAGGUAAAUAAAUCACUGCAAAAGAUUAAUGAACCUGAAUGACCAAGCAAGCAAUAGCAUAGCAUAACUACCAUCAAAUGUAGCAAGCAUUUUGCAAACUUCGAUUCUAAAACAGAUAAUGAUAUGAUGUAUGCAUUUCUUAAUUGUGACUUCUUAAUGCAAUUAUGCAAAGACAAUAGUGUUGACAUCUAAAUUUUAGCUAUUAGAAUCCAAAUUUUGACAAUCCCAUUUAGUUAUUUACUGCAUAGAAAAUUAUAAAUCGGCCUCAACCUUAAACAAAAACAUUAAUAAUUUACAUUUAUGAGCAUUUUAAUAGUGCUAAGCCCACAUAAACUGCAUUUAAUUGGACUGCGUUUGAAUGGGCUUAGGAAGGGAGGCUUUGAGCUCAACUAAUAUUUUGAGACUAAGCCCAUAGGGACAUCGAAUUUGUCCAAGCCCAUUGUAGACCUAUAGUGGCCGAAAUUUGCAUGUGCAUUGUACAUGGCGAGUGCUGAACUAGGAAAGAUUACAUUAUAUGCUCAGAGUUGCAGGAAACAAAGACUUUGUCCUUGGAAUAUUAAUUAUAUAGAGAUAAGUAGAAGGUGAUAAUUUCCUCAGUUGACUUUGAUAUACUCUUUUGAUUCAAAAUUGGAAAGUGACAUUUUGAGAAAACACCUAAUCUUAUACCUAAAUAAGCACUCUUCUCUCUCAAAAUCAAAGGACAAACACGUUAAAAGAGGAACACAUUAAGAGUUCACAUUAGAGAUUUAACAAUAUAGAGAGAGGCUCACAAUACAAAAGAAACGACAUGCGAUAAGGAGAACAAGCUCUCCCUCCUCCAAGGUUGCUAUUACCGUCCCAUCUCCUGCCGCUGUGCGCCACCUUGCCUCCGCACCAAUGCUGCUGAACUUCACGCUGCUCCACCCAAUACCAGAAGCAGCACCUCCAGCUUCCCCGACGAACCCCCAGGUUUCCCAACGUCUUCGUGCAGCAAGCCUGACUUCGGCCGGUGGUAGCCAGUGGGAUUUUAUAAAAUCCCUACUCUGGAAAAUGGUAUGAAUAAUCUUCUGGUUAAUUUGAUGUGACCACUAGCGAGAAAAUGUUAUUAGUAGCCAGUAUAAUUGAGAUAGUUUAGUACCCUAUGGAAUAGACUGCAGGGUUUGGAGUGAAGAAGGCAAACACACUUUCUGGGAUCGUAGUUGGUCAUUUCCGCGGUCCUCUCGUAUUUAGCGGGUUGAACUUCCAAUUCUGUUUUGCUACGGUGGCAUCUGUAACAGAGUAUUCUUAUAUGAUUAAGUAAUAGUUCAAGAUAAAAUGGACAUGCAUCGAUUCAGAUCAGCUCUCAAACAUUUCAGGAGUGAAGUAAAGCACCUAUUUUCAUUACUAUGACGGACAGCUCCCGUUCAUAAAGCACGACGCAAUGCAAUCGGCUUAAAGAAUGUCCUUGUUGCAUCCAUAUCCUAGAUAUUUGGUUCAGAUUUCACAUCAUUGCUAAAAUUACAGUGAAGCUCCUGGUCAUUUAAAGCUUCAAGGGCAUGAGAAAUUGUCAUCACCAAAUGAAGAACGAAUAGAAGGAUGCAAAUUCAAUCCGUAAAGAUACUGACUAAUGGUACGAACAUGUGAGAUGGACAAAGGCAUGACGACAAACAAGAAAGCCAUAACAUGAGCUUGUUUGCUCUAUACUUUUUUUUAUGUGUCAUGCAAGAAAAGAAAUUGUAAUAGUGAGUGAGAGAUUUUACUAUUCAUAAAGAAUGUGUGUAAUAAUUGUGUGAUAAUUAUUUUGUUUGUGUGUUAUAUUUGUACCUCAUUUUCAUACAUAGAUGUCUCGAGUUGUCUAUUAUAAUUUUCUCGCAUACAUAUAUGUCUCGAGUUGUCUAUUAUAAUUUUCUCGCAUCACUAUCGCCAUACAUCCAUGCCCAACAACAUUGUAUGAAAAGUGAUAUCUACUUUUAGAAAGAAUUUCACUCCAAGUUCACCUCAAGACGAUUUUCCAAUGAGAAUGGUAUCUACUUUUGUUCCAAACCCAAUUCACCAUUAGAACCGACAAAUAUAAUUGGAGAAGUUUAUCAUUGUUAAGAAAUUGAUUUUCUUUUUCUAUUGACUACGUUUGAUAUAUCCUAGGUUAAUCAUCUUGACUUCCAACUUUUUGAUAAUAUGUUAUGAUCUUUUUGAGGCAUAUUUCUACCAAAAAUAAAGAACUAAGAUGACUGGACAUUCAAGAUCCAACUAUGCGAUCCUUUGAUGACACCAAUCAUUCUCAAUAAUCUUGGCUUUCUCGCAUCUUUAAUCAGCCUAAUACUUGACUUGGAGGAAUCAUCACUUUCUCUUGGACUCUUUUUCUUCAAAUCAAUUUUGAUGUCCUAGGCAUAAUUUUUAUGAUUGGUAGUGAGUAUUUUUUAAGCUGAUUCCAAAAGUUAAAAAACUCCGCUUCCAUGCUAUGUUAGGAAUUUCACAUAUUGUACCGUGUGACUGUGUUAACGAUAGAAAUGAUAGAAUGUCUUCCUCAGAAUUGUACGCAAUCACUUAGAUGGGCAGUUAAGCUGUUUCUUUUUCACCGAUUUUGAGAAAGGACGCAUUCAUUGUUGCAGUUACAAAGCUUCAUUGUCCAUGUUUUUAAGCCAUCUCUAGAAAAUCUCAAUUCCACCACCAACGGCGUUCAUAUUCUGAAGCGUAAUUCUCGAUGUGUCGUGCUGUGCUAAUCUUUGCCUCCCCUGCAAUUCUCAAUAGAAAUACAACUCUUUGUGUAUUUGUUCCUUUAUGUAACCUAAGAAAGCUCUUUUUGUUUCAUUUGAAAAAAAAAAAAUAGCCACUCAAAUAAAAACUAACAAAUAAAAUGAUAACUAACAAAAACUCUCUUUCAUAAAGAACAUGGUUAAUAUUGGAGAAAUCCUCGUGAAGUGUUUUGAAGUUGACAAAACGUUUCCAUCAGUUUAGUCUGAAGGUCUGCAGACUCUGUUAGUUAAAGUCUGAAGACUUCCGGACAGCCAUACUCAAGACUCAAAGUCUAUCCUCAUUGACAGUCUCUAAUCCGUUGAAGAAAGGUUAUCCAGAACUGGAUGUUUUGUUCAGGAUUUAACCUUAUCAUCUGGAGAAGAUCUCGUGGCUGGAGAAGACGUAUCAGAAUCCUUUGAUUGAUCAAGUUUGAUUCAAUGAAUGAAGAUUCGAUGAUUGUCUAAAUAUUAUCGGAAGGUUCUACUUAUGGAAACCGAGAUCCUGAUUGUAUGGGCGAACAGGAUUAAUGGGCUAUCAACACGUUCCUUUAAUAGCUCGAACAAUCUUCCUAAUUGAUUCCGUCCAACGGGUAGAUUGGAGGAAUUCCUUUGGUAAGUGCCAACGGGUAUGAUGGCAUAAAGGAGUAUAUAAGGAAGACGUUCUUAAUUGUUCGAGGUGUGCGCGAUAGAAGAAUUCCAAAGUCUGAAGCUCCUAUUUGUUUAGAUAAUUCCUUUGAGCGAGUAUUUGUAUACAAAAGAGAGUCUAUAUUUGUGAGAGACCUUGAGAAGGUGUGGUAGAACAUCUACACUGUGGAAUCAAGGCAAAGCUGUGUUGUAACUUCUCUUUUGAUCAUAGUGAAAUCCAGCCGGUGGGCUGUCAGUGCGGAAGAGUGGACGCAGACUUGGAAUAAGCCGAACCACUAUAAAUCCUGUGUUCAAAUUUCUCUCUCUCUCUCUACCUCGAUCGUAUUUCAUUUUGUUAAGAAUUGCUUCCGUAUUUGGGACAAAUUGUUUGUGCGCCUAUUCACCCCCCUCUAGGUGUUUAUACUAGCAAUAUCAAUUGGUAUCAAAGCCUGUGUACUUACUUUAUUUGAAGUGUUUUACUUCAUAGUAAAAGAUCCAUGGCUAGUAUGCUAGCACCAGGGCUGAUGGAAGGGCAAAGCAAUACCAGACCACCCUACUUUGAUGGAAAGGAUUACAACAUCUGGAAGAACAAGAUGAAAGCUUUCCUACGAUCAAAGGAUCCUCUAGAAUGGGACGUUGUAGAAAAAGGAAUUACUCCUACCACCGCAUCAGUCUCUGAAAGAGGAAAAGAAACUGAAGAAACCAGCGGAAUGUCUCAGGAAGAAAUAAUCAAGAGACAAACACUCGAUACAAAAGCAAUUUACUCCUUAUAUUGUGCUUUAUCACCAGCUGAAUAUAAUAGAAUAUCUUAUUGUGGUACAGCAAAAGAAGUUUGGGACAGAUUGCAUAUCACCUAUGAAGGAACAGAUCGAGUGAAGGAAACAAGAAUCAACAUUCUUCUCGGUCAAUACGAAGCCUUCAGAAUGAAACCAGGAGAAUCAAUAUCUGACAUGUUUAGUCGUUUUACAAAUAUUGUGAAUGGUCUUGAAAAUCAAGGUCAACCAACUUCUGAUCCCAUGAAGGUAAACAAGCUACUGCGUGGACUCUCCAGGGAUUGGAAUGACAUAAAGACUUCGAUAAGAGAGACGCAGAGAAUUAUGCCACUAUCUGUUGACGAGCUGAUUGGAACUCUUCAGUCCUAUGAAGUGGAAAGGAUCAAUGAAGAUGAAGAUCCAAAAGGUAAGAAAUCCAUUGCAUUAAAAUCAAAUGAUGAUUCUGAUGAUAUAGAUUCUGAAGAUGAUAUGGACGAUGAGGAGCUUGCUCUCAUGAUAAGAAGAUUCAGAAAACUCAGCUCUAAAACAAAAGGAAAAUGUUUUAGCAGAAAGAGUUAAAAGUCUAGACUUGUCUGUUUCCAAUCUUAAAGAAAAUGAAGAAAAUAUUUUAAAAGAAAAUGCUUUUUUAAAAACAGACUUAUCAAAUAUAUCAAAGAAAUUUUCUAUAGGGUCUGAAAAACUUGAGAAAAUUCUUUCGGCACAAAGACCUUACUUCAAUAAGUCUGGUCUAGGUAUGACAGAAGAAACAAUUCCCUUGAUUGAUUUUCCUAAAGUAAAAGAAAGAAUUAAGAAAAGACUUUCGAGUGAGGUUUACAAAAAUCACUUGAAGAAAGUUUUUGUAAAACCUGUAGGUAGAAAUGCUCUCAGAUGUUCUAAGUGCAACAAUCCGGAUCACUUUGAAAAAGAGUGUCCUAUAGUAUGGAAACCUGUUAAGAAAGUAUGGGCUAAUACUAUUUAUCUUACUAACACCAAAGGACCCAAGAAAAUUUGGGUACCAAAGAAAGCUUGAGACUUUAUUUUAAAUGCAGGUCUCCGUCAAGAAACAGGUAAAGUGGUAUCUUGACAGCGGAUGCUCAAGACACAUGACAGGAGACUCAAAUUGCUUUAUAAAGCUUGCUCAAGUAAAUGGUGGAAAAGUUUCAUUUGGAGGAAACAGCAAAGGAAGUAUUGUGGGAUUUGGAACCGUGAAAAUUGGAACUCUCACAAUAAGUAAUGUUUCCUUAGUGGAAGGACUCAAUUACAAUCUUCUCAGCAUUAGUCAAUUGUGUUAUACUGGUUUCAAGAUCUUCUUUCAAGAAGGAACAUGUUCUGGAAUCAGUAAAGACUCUACUCAGUCUUUCAUGGGUCGAAGACAUGGAAAUAUCUAUCUUCUGAAUGUGAAACCAAAUGAAUCGCAAUGCCUUAUCUCAAUUCAAGACGAAGCAAGCUUAUGGCACAAAAAGCUUGGUCAUGUCAACAUGAAGCAAUUAGCCAAAAUCUCAUCAAAGCAGCUUGUUCGAGGUCUACCCAAAUUGCCAUACCAAAAGACUGAUUCAUGCACUCCAUGUAUUCUGGGAAAGUAGGUAAGAAAUUCUUUUAAGCCAAUAAAUCAUGUCUCUACUAAUCAUGUACUACAGUUGCUGCAUAUGGAUCUCUUCGGACCAACCAGAACUCAGAAUAUUGGGGGUAAGAAGUAUUGCCUAGUAAUUUUUUAUGAUUACUCCCGUUUUACUUGGGUAUAUUUCCUUGCAAGUAAGUCCGAAACCUUUUCGUAUUUUGAAAAAUUUGCUAAAAAGGUUCAAAAUGAAAAAGGAUAUGUUAUCUCUAGUAUAAGAACAAAUCAUGGAGGUGAAUUUGAAAAUCAAGAUUUUACAAAAUUCUGUGAUGAAUCUGGCUUUAAGCAUGUGUUCUCCUCUCCAUAUACUCCUCAGCAAAAUGGAGUUGUGGAAAGAAAGAACAUAUCUCUUCAAGAAAUGGCUAGAACUCUUUUAAUUGAAAGUAAAAUUUCUUCUCGAUUUUGGGCUGAAGCUGUUUCAACAGCAUGCUAUAUCAUCAAUAGAGUCUUCUUAAGAUCUAUUCUUCAGAAAACCCCUUAUGAGUUGUUCAAAGAAAAGAAGCCUAUUGUUUCAUACUUUCAUGUAUUUGGUUGUAAAUGUUUUAUAUUGAAAAAUGCAAAAGAUCGAGUUGGUAAGUUUGAAGAAAGAUCAAAUGAAGGUAUCUUCCUUGGAUAUUCUACAUCAAGCAAAGCUUACAGAGUCUAUAACAAGAAGAGUCAGUCUGUAGAGGAGUCAAUGAAUGUCAAAUUUCAAGACUCAACGCAAGAUGAAUCAAGUCAGACUCAUCAAGAAGAGUCUGAACCUGCUCCAGACCCUCCAAAGUCUACAACUCAAGAAGCAUCUCAGACUCUGGAAAAUCAAUAUCAGGUUGUUAGUGAAGAUCCAAAUAAAGAAAGAGAUCAUCAACCAGACAAAUCAACAAGUAACUGGAAGCAUAAGUCCAGUCAUCCCAAAGAUCUUAUAAUUGGCGAAAUUAAUGAAGGAAUUCGCACCAGAUCCAAAAGGCGAGAAGAGUCUAGUGCUGUGGCACUCGUUUCUGAAAUUGAACCAAAGAGUAUAGAAGAAGCUUUAUCUGAUGAAAGCUGGAUUAAAGCUAUGCAAGAAGAGCUCAGACAGUUCAGCAUAAAUGAUGUCUGGGAAUUGACAUCCAAACCAAAAGGUAAAACUGUUAUUGGAGCUAAAUGGGUGUUCAGAAACAAGAUGAACGAGAAAGGAAAAGUCGUACGAAAUAAAGCAAGACUCGUGACCAAGGGAUAUACGCAAGAAGAAGGAAUAGACUAUGAUGAGACUUACGCUCCAGUGGCAAGGUUAGAAGCUAUUCGACUAUUACUUGCGUUUGCUUGUUAUAAGAAUUUCAGGUUAUACCAAAUGGACGUCAAAAGCGCAUUCCUAAAUGGAUUUAUCCAUGAGGAAGUUUAUGUGGAACAACCACCAGGGUUUGAAGACCCAAAGAAGCCAGACUCAGUCUUCAGACUGAAAAAGGCUUUGUAUGGUUUAAAGCAAGCACCUCGGGCUUGGUACGACAGAUUAAGUAAGUUCCUAAUACAAAAUGGUUUUGUCAAAAGUAAAGUAGAUACGACUUUAUUUAUCAAGAAGGAAAACAAAAGUUUCUUACUUGUUCAAAUAUAUGUGGAUGAUAUUAUUUUUGGAUCCUCUAAUGAAAGUCUGUGCAAGAAAUUUUCAAAAUCUAUGCAGGAUGAGUUUGAAAUGAGUAUGAUGGGAGAGUUAACAUUCUUUCUUGGUCUUCAAGUAAAACAAUUGAAGGAAGGAACUUUUAUUUAUCAAGAAAAAUAUGUUAAUGAUCUUGUCAAAAGGUUUAGACUGGAAAAGUGCAAAAAGACCGACAUACCAAUGUCAAGUUCUUUAAAGAUAGACAAAGAUGAAGAAGGGAAGAAAGUUGAUCAAAAGCUGUACAUGAGCAUUAUUGGAUCACUUCUUUAUCUUACUGCCUCUAGACCUGAUAUUUUGUUAAGUGUUUGCAUAUGUGCUAGGUUUCAAUCAGAUCCUAGAGAAUCUCAUCUCAGUGCUGCGAAACGCAUCAUUAAAUACGUCGCUUCAUCAUCAAGCAUCGGUCUUUGGUAUCCUAAGAAGGGAGACUUUAAUCUUCUGGGAUAUUCAGACGCAGAUCUGGCCGGUUGCAGAGUUGAUAGAAAGAGCACUUUAGGAACUUGCCAGUUGCUUAGAAGCAGGACAGUGUCUUGGUUUUCAAGGAAACAAAGCAUUGUGUCUCUUUCAACAACAGAAGCAGAGUAUGUAGCUCUUGGAAGCUGCUGUUCGCAAAUUCUAUGGAUAAAACAACAGUUAAGAGACUUUGAAAUUGAAGACUCAUGCACGGAGAUUAAUUGCGACAACACCAGCGCUAUCAACCUCACCAAAAAUCCAAUUCUCCAUUCAAGAGCAAAGCAUAUAGAGAUUCGACAUCACUUUAUUAGAGAUCAUGUUCAAAAUGGAGAGAUUUCAAUUCAGUUUGUUGACUCAAAGAAUCAACUGGCGGAUAUAUUCACAAAGCCGUUGGAAAAAAAUCAAUUUGAGUCUAUCCGUUCCAGACUCAACAUUUUGAGGUAUGAGGAUAUCAAAGUCUAAAGACUUUCAGACUCAGGCUUACAAGACUUUAUCUACAGUCUUGGCUUGACCUUCAGACUGUAAGUCUUUCUCUCUCCAAUCUUAUCUUGAAAAGGUACGAUCAUCAGAGUGUGUUUAAAUUGUUGCUAUAUUUAAUUAACGUAAAUAUUGCAUCGAUUCAUUUUCAAAAGGGAAGUUAUUUUUUAAAUAGCUAUUUUUGCGGAUAAAGACAGUUAUUUUGAAAAGGCAUAUUUUUAUUUCCUUUGUGACGGUUCGUUUACUCUUCUUUUUAACCGAUUGUGCACUGUCGAUUCCUCUUCACUUUUCUAUUCACUUUUCUCUCAAAAAACCCUAGAAAGCAUCGAUCCUCCAUUCCCGUUUGUCUUCUUCGCUCAAUCUUCAAAAAGUUGUCAUCUUUUCUGGGAAAGUCAAGCAAGGAAUCUUCCAAACACUGAGAAAGAUGUCAUCUUCACGAAAGUCCUCAAGAAUCGCAAGCAGGGGACCACAGAGAAUGAGUGAGGGGCCUACCCACUUCGAUCUUACUGAAGAUGAAGUUACUCCAGAUCAGCAACCGAGCCCACAACAUUCUCAGCAGUGUCAUUCUCCACCAUCUAGUCCUCAAGGCGUUGUUCAUCAGCAUCAGGAAGAAAUCAUCGAGGAUGCAGACCCCGUAAGAGUUCAAAAGCCCGCUUUUAUUUACAAGCUAUACCGUGCCUUAAAAGGAAUUCGUACUCCUUUGAACUAUGUUGAUGAUUUUGUUAAAGAAAAAUGAUAUAAGAACAAAUAUAUCUUUCUGCGAAAAAUGGAAAGUUUGGGAAUCGCUCGUAAAGGGGUGGCUGAGGAAACCCUUGCGAAUAUCCCAAGUGAUCCUCGUGACUGGGGGCCGAAUCCUGUAGAUGGGAAUGACGAUGACAAUCUGUUCAGUCUAUUUCAACCGAACAUGGGUAUUGCGGCUGAAAUUCAAGGAAAAAGGGGAGAUUUGUUCAGAUCAAAGGAACAAAAGGAUCUGUACUCAAAAUUGCUGAAGCGUGGGGUAAUAAACCCUAGGAGUGUGGACUUUGAUUUUCUGGAUGCUGUGAAAGUGAACUUGAGGGAAAAGUUCAGUUAUCUUCAACUUGAAAAGUUCUGCUCUGACUCAACUGAGGCUUAUGCUGAAUUGACUGCAUAUUUCUAUUCAAAUCUUAGUUUUUUUUAUGCGAAUAGAUUCUCCUUCAGCGUUAAAGAACAAGACUAUGUUGUGGAUAUGAAUAUGCUGGCAGAUGUGUUAGAAGUUGAGAGAGGCAGAUAUCAACCAAUCAAAGUUUCCAUUGCUCGGGCCACACUUGAACUAGUGAAGGACAGGAGAACGGAUGAGAAGAUCACCUACUCAAGGAUGAAUGCAUUCAACAUCUUGCUUCACAAGAUUGUGAUUAAUUGUCUUCGGCCGAAAUCAACUUCCAAAACUGAUGUUUCAAGCUCUGAGGCAAAGUUGAUGUAUGCCAUCCUCUGUGGAAAGAAGUUUUCUCUCCCUCAUACUGUUAUGUUUCACAUGUAUAGAGCAGUGAUGAAGGACAGAGGUCAACUCCCUUACCCAAGCCUUGUUACGAAGUUAUUCAGACAUCUGAAUAUUCAGCCUCCGCAAAUCUUUUGUGUUCGAUCAUGCGAUCAUAUGGUGGUAGGACUGAAAAUGGUGACCAAAAUGCGUCUGAAGGAACUGAGCAAGGAAUUGGAGAAAUUCAAGGAGAAGACUCCUGCCAAAUCUCAUCAACUCUCUUCUGCUGCUAAGAGAAAAGGGAAGGAGCCCAUGGCUGCUCCAUCAAAGAGAAGAAGAGCUCUCCUCGUUGAGGAUGAAGAUGAUGACGAAGACAUCACCAUCUCUGCAAUGGCUUUGAAGAAUUUAAGUCGUCCUGUUCCACAGAAAGAAUCGGAACAAAAGACGAAAGAAGCAGAGGAGAAGGAAGAAGAAGAAAGAGAAGCAGAGCAAGAAGCAGAGGAAGAAAGACCUGAAGAAGAAAGAAGAGAAAAAGAAGAACUUGAGGAAAUCUCUUCUCCACCUGUAGGCAUGGAAACAGGGGGAGAUCAGGAGAAAGGAGUGACGUCUUCAUAUCCUGAUGCAAGUGAAGGAGUCAGUCGCUCGCCUGCAGACCCAGAAGAUGUUUAUGCAUCUCAAUUUCCAGAGGAAGGUCAUGAAGCUUCAUCGCCAAACCUGCGAGAUUAUGCUGAUCCACCAUCGUCUGCUUUUACUCCAUCAGAUCGAGCCGAAGCAAGUACUCAGACUGAUAAUGGAGCAGAUUUUCGCAGAAUCUUGGAUAUUCUCUUGGAAAUGCGAGGUCAAAUUUAUGCUUUGGGAUGCGAAGUUCAAAGUUUGAAGAAUGAAAGUCAAGCUUCUUCCUGUUCAUUGAAUGAUAAGAUGCAAGCCCUCUCUAUUCAGAAUCAGGCCAAUGCCAAGAGUGAGGAGGUUGUACAGCUGAAGGAAGACUUCAAAAGGCUGGAAGGCAUCGUUCAGUCUAUGGAAGAUUUCCAGCUUGUCCGCGUUCACAAGCAAUCUUGACUUCAUCUCAUCCUUUUUAAUGAUGACAAAAAGGGGGAGAGAUGCAUGAUUUGAUCAAAAACUUCAAUCAUUUUUUAAUUGUUUGUUGGAUUGUGUUAUUGUUUAACUAUUUUUGACAGACUUUGACUUUGUUUUGUGUCUGGAUGAGAACUGAACUAGACUUGGACUUGAUUGCUUCUAUUAACAAGUAUUGAUAUCUUAUGGAUGGUUUUAUUAUAUACUAGACUAACCUAUUUUCUGUGGUUGCAGAUUAUAGUGUUAAUCUUUUAGCCAUUCAUCUCUAUAAGAUAUGCAUAUGUGUUUGAGAAAUGUUUUGCAGAUCAAAGUUAUCCAAAUCUGCAGGAAGGUUUUGUCACCAUAAAAAAGGGGGAGAUUGUUGGAGAAAUCCUCGUGAAGUGUUUUGAAGUUGACAAAACGUUUCCAUCUGUCUAGUCUGAAGGUCUGCAGACUCUGUUAGUUAAAGUCUGAAGACUUCCGAACAGCCAGACUCAAGACUCAAAGUCUAUCCUCAUUGACAGUCUCUAAUCCGUUGAAGAAAGGUUAUCCAGAACUGGAUGUUUUGUUCAGGAUUUAACCUUAUCAUCUGGAGAAGAUCUCGUGGCUGGAGAAGACGUAUCAGAAUCCUUUGAUUGAUCAAGUUUGAUUCAAUGAAUGAAGAUUCGAUGAUUGUCUAAAUAUUAUCGGAAGGUUCUACUUAUGGAAACCGAGAUCCUGAUUGUAUGGGCGAACAGGAUUGAUGGGCUAUCAACACGUUCCUUUAAUAGCUCGAACAAUCUUCCUAAUUGAUUCCGUCCAACGGGUAGAUUGGAGGAAUUCCUUUGGUAAGUGCCAACGGGUAUGAUGGCAUAAAGGAGUAUAUAAGGAAGACGUUCUUAGUUGUUCGAGGUGUGCGCGAUAGAAGAAUUCCAAAGUCUGAAGCUCCUAUUUGUUUAGAUAAUUCCUUUGAGCGAGUACUUGUAUACAAAAGAGAGUCUAUAUUUGUGAGAGACCUUGAGAAGGUGUGGUAGAACAUCUACACUGUGGAAUCAAGGCAAAGCUGUGCUGUAACUUCUCUUUUGAUCAUAGUGAAAUCCAGCCGGUGGGCUGUCAGUGCAGAAGAGUGGACAUAGGCUUGGAAUAAGCCGAACCACUAUAAAUCCUGUGUUCAAAUUUCUCUCUCUCUACCUCGAUCGUAUUUCAUUUUGUUAAGAAUUGCUUCCGUAUUUGGGACAAAUUGUUUGUGCGCCUAUUCACCCCCCUCUAGGUGUUUAUACUAGCAAUAUCAGUUAACUCACAGUUGUGGAAGUAUACAACUAAAACUAUCCAAUUCACCCAAAACAUGAUUAUUAGUCAUGAUAAUUAUAAUAAUUACCAGGUGCAACAUUUUUUCUUACUCGAAUGAAUAAUUUUGCAGAGCAAAGACUGUAGCAGAAAAUGUGAAUCCGAGUUAUGCUCAAAUAUCUAGUGAUGCUUGCUCUUCUCUAGAAAAAAAAGAAAAUCAAUUUUUUUAGGGCAUGAUGCGAUGAAGGAUUUUUCAAUUAAAUUAAAGCUUCUUCUUUUUUUUGUGGUUGAUUUAAUUAGUAUUGAACAUAAAAAGAAAUAUCAUUGAAAAUGACACAGUGCCUCCAUUUCUGAGAUAUGGCAAGUAUUGUGGGCUCCUGUAUAGCGGAUGUCCGGAGGAGAGGCCCUACGACGGCCUUGACGCUUGCUGCAUGAAGCACGACGCCUGCAUUCAAGCCUCAAGCCAAAAAUAGUGAGUUUUGGCAUCAAUUCCUUCAACUUUUCUUCAUUGAAUCGAUUGAUAUAACUAGUCAGUGGCUCGCGUGUUUGCAUGGAUGUAUUUUAUGAGAACCAUUGUGGAAGCCAUUUUCGUGUGAACAAUAGCUUUACUCAUCUAUAUAUGCAUGGAUUCACCUUACUGAAAAAGCAUAUUACAAAGUGGAGAUAGAUAAAAUGGCAUAAGGAACUAAUGGGUCAAAACAAAGAAGUGACAUGAGUAAGAUUAAUGUGCUUACAAGGGCUUUGCCCUUCCAUAAUGUCAUUAAACUAUCUCUUCAUUCAUGAGCCAACUUUAAUCACUAUUUUGAGGUCUGGGGGAGGAGAUUGUGAGGGAGUAAAUGCUCUUGUGAGGGCAAUGUCAUCAACAUUUGCUUUUUAUUACAAAAAGCGCAUGUCUAGAUUUUCUCUUUCUCAUGGACCAGUUGGGGACAAUAACUUCAACUAAUACUCUGGCUCGUCAUAUGUGCUAAGUGAUGGUGAUGAAAUCAUAUCGCAUGAUUGUUCAAUUUGAUCUUUUAUUCAUAGAGCAGGUCGUGUCAUCCUCAUAGAAAUAUUGGAAUUGUGAUGCUCAGACUUGGGGGGGUGUUGUGCAGAUGACUAUUUGAGCCAGAAGUGCAGCCAAAACUUACUGAACUGCAUGACCAACUUCAAGAACUCCAGAGGGAGAACGUUUAAGGGAAGCAAAUGCGAAGUCAAGGAUGUCGACGUCCUCUCCAUUGUCAUGGAAGCUGCGUUGCUUGCCGGGAGAUACCUCCACAAGCCCUGAAUCUCUGUGUCCACGUUCCACGGAUAUAUCAACUCUGAUCCCUUCACGCACUUCGUGAUCAUCCCUUUCUUCUUUGAUCUUUUUUUCCCUUCCGGCGGUUUGUCUUUGUUCUGUUGCAACAAAUGGGAAAAAGGAAAAUGAAAAUGAAAGGUGCCUCUGUUUUCCUUUCCUGUAGAAUUGGAAGAGUUAUGAAAGCUGAUUAAGGAGUUCAAUUUUAAUUGCAGAAACCAGAAGCUGCAGUGGCCAUGGAGUUCAAAACCCAAGAUCCGCCUAGCUAAUUUAGAAUGCCAUAUAAUGCGGAUCAAACGCGGUACUCUGUACUUGGGUAGUUAAUUAGCUAAUGCGAACAGUCUCAUGAUCAGGGUGAAAGAAUUUGAUUGUACCGUAAGGGCAACCAAAAAUGACAUUUGAAUCCUCGACAAAUAGCUUUCUAACAUCAAGUCAGCAACUGUCCCAGUUAUCAAAAUAUGUUCUCUCUAAAACAAAAGAAUUUCGAAUGGAAAUUGCUAAAUUUUCACUAACUUGGAUUAUGCCUAAUCAUGAAACUCCGCGUCUGCACCCCUCUGUUUCGGAUGUUAGGAUAUUCAAUCUUCGGUGUUAGGAAUCACAUAAUCAUUAUUGAUAUUUUUCUCAAGUUCAUAAGGAGGUGGCUGUCAAGUGUCAUUCCUUCAACAAAUCAGGCGUUGGAUGGAUACAGUUCCAGAGUCUCAAGCUGCCUGAACUGUUAAGAACAAUAAUUACAAAUUGCAACCUUCAUGAACUGCAUCAAUUCAAAUAGCCACUCAAAAACUGAAAAAUAUCACCAAGAAAGGCAUUAACAGCUCCUGCAGAUCAGGGCUACAUCAUAAGAUCAACUUGUUAUCCCCUAAAUUUAUUAGCACUGAAUCAUGCCGCGAGGUGCCAGCAAGGAAUCUUCAUCUUUUAUAGCGGUCUUGACACCACAACUCUCACAAAGCAAGAACAGCGUCCAGCUCUGCCUUCAUUCCGGUGACAAAACAAAUGGUCCGCUUUACACGGUCACUUCAUUUAUAAUCUCACGAUAGAACCACCUGCACAUGUGGUUCUGUUUUAGUUUAUAUAUCCCAGAUCAAAGUGCCAUCCCUUCUUUUAUCCUAGUUAGCAUGAUAUAGUAUAUCUUGCUAUUUCGAAGUUCCAGAAUGAGCAUCAACACCUUGUUUGGCAUAAAAAAUCUAAUGCCUGAAUGAACAUAACAUCAAAUCAAAAGAUAAUUUUCCAGAAAGGAUGAACUUGAUCGAUUUUCAGCCCUUGGUCAAAUUUGACACGUUAAUCUGAUCAAGGAAUCCAAAAUGGCCACUGAAUCUUGUGAAGAAAUAUAGCAGUGUAUCAAAAACAUGCUGAUGAUUUAACAUGAAAAGAAUUGUUAAGGGACAAAAAUAACUGAAGCUUAAGGGAUUUCCUAAAGAGUACAUAUGGCUUAUUUGAAGCAAUUAACUAUUCAAGCUGAGCAUGCUCAUGGAUAAUAUGAAAUGGAAAACAUUUGCAUAAGGGAGUAAACAUAACCAAAUUGAUUUCAAGGAAGGAAGCAAAUCAUUCUUCAAUAGUAUUACUUCAAGACAAUUAUAACUCAGAUUUGCUUGUGAUAGUCAUUAAUAGCUUAUCCAAGAUGAACAAUCUUACUUGAUGACUUGUGAGAUUUGAUGUAUUUAGAAGGCAUUCUGAUCACUUUUGGUAUUAUCAAUAGAAUGAUUUCUCUGAAGCAUCACGUCAGAAUCCUGGAUCAGCUUCCCUAUUCCUCGAAUCAUGUAAGAGAAGGAAAAUAAUACCUUGUUCUCAUUGGAUAUGAUAAAAAGUUGACCUAAUUAUUUUAUGUAAAAGGAAAAGGAGACAAAAAAAAAUUAUCAACCUUUUCCCCUCUUCUUUCAUCAUAAAAUUUGAAAAUUUGGAUAUUAAGUAUUACAUAUCCAAAAUAAAAUAUAUAAAUUAAAGAAAAGAACUAACAAAUCCGGUUCAUUAAAAAGUUUCAAUGUAAAGGAAAAUAUUUCUCUUUUAUUUUAUUGAAAAUAUGUUUGCUUUGUAAACCAAAAGUUUUCAAUCCAUCAUUUUGUACCUUUUUUAACUAAUAACCCAUAUUUUUAUUCUGUGAUUAAAUAUUAAAUCUCCUCCUGCUAUGUUGCUAAGUUCAAAUUGUCAAUACAUUAACAAUAGAAAAUUUUCAAUUGACGAAAACAAAUCUCGUAACGAGAGAAGUUCGUAACUUACUAGUUUCAUUAACAUUUCUGUAAAUAUAUUAUAGUGCCACACCGGUAAAUAUGAUAAAAAAUUGGUCAUUAACUAAUUUAUUGGGACUUCGGUAAAAAUCGUUUCAAGGUUACUAACCGGGCUUAUAAAAGUUGAAAAAAAUCGCUGAUUUACCGAUUUAUUAAAACGUUGCUAAAUUCUUCUACUUCUUUUGUAUAAGGGAAAAUUUCAAUUAAGGGCCUAAAGUAGAACAAUUUUCUCAAAAAAUGACCCAAAAUGGACAUUGUCUCAAACAAGAACCUAAAGUGACCAACUUGGUUUCAAAUAAGGGCAUCAACUUAAAAGCCAACCAAAUCUUAUUUGCAUCUAGGGGUAUUUUCGUCUAAAGACUUUUUUUCCUUCUUUUUUUAAUUUACUUUCUCCUUCUCUUUCUUUUUUUCAUCAUCAUCGUGGCUUCACCUUUUUCACUCUUUAGAUCACGUUCUCCAAAGUCCAUCUCUAUCUUCCUUGUCGAAUUAGCCAUCAACGCCCUCAACCUCAUUUGUCAUUGCCCUCAACAGCAAUCCCAGUACCUUUGUUGAAAGAUGGAGGUCGAUCCAAGCCCUCGAUCGAGCACGAGUGGACCAAGAUGUGAUGCUCAGCUUUAUUCAAUCCCCACAUCUUGUGGUCGUGGUCAAGCACGAAGCAUGAUGAGGUGAAAGCCAUUAGCUUGCUGCCCUCAUUGUCAUCGAUGCUUGAAUUCAAAUUGGUGCUCACGCAGGCUAUGAUCGAUCUUAGCAAGGAGAAGCCAGAUUGAAGCGCCUAAGCCAAAUUUAUUAGACGUUUCUAAGGAAUCUCUGUGAUACUCAUGAGUAUUAAUUUGUUCAAUGAAAUACGUUGUUUUGGGAAUUUCUGAGCGAUUUUGCACUUUUUUCAUCUUGUUAUUUUCUCUCAAAUCUAUGUAGAUAAUAUUUCAGAGUUAGAGAGGUAAAUUUGUUUGAACAUGUGUAGACCAGAGUUAUUCGUUUUUUAGAUUGAGUGUUGUCUAAUUCGAAUCGCCACCAAAUGCGAGUAUCUUCAAUCCCUUGUUAGAAUGAUUCAGCAGCCUUUGAAAAUAAUCCAACCUGAACCAAUAAAACAUUCCCAAGAAGCUACAAGUGAAAGUUAUCGUGGCAUAGGCAAUUUCAUUGGUGGGGAGAGCAUGAAACUAUUACUUUAACUGCCAUAAUACGUUUUUACAAGCAAAUUGAACAAUAACAAAACCCACUGAUGGAUAUUUGUUGAUUCUCAAGUUCAUUAUCGUCAUCGAAGAAAGUGAGUGGUGGCGAAUAACUUAAAAAUCGGCUUAUGCCGAAAUCGAUGAGUUCUUGGGUGAGGAUACAAAAUUGCAUAAUGUAGAGUAUGCACUUUGAAGUUUGCUGAUGGGGAGGCUGCAGAACUGAAGCAUGCAAUUUGCAGUUUUGCAAAACUGCACAUCUUCUCGAAUAUCCUUUCGUUUUCUUCUUUUCCUAAAUUGUUCAAAUUGUUUUGCGCUUGAGCAAGCUUGUGCGUGAGGAGUCUGAUGCAUUUGUCAAGAAGGAGGUGAGCAAGAUGAAGAAAGAAAGAAAAGAUAAACAAAAAGGAAAAAAAAAAAUCUUUAGACAAAAAUACCCCUAGCUGCAAAUAAGAUUUGACUGGCUUUCAAGUUGAAACCCUUAUUUGAGACCAAAUCGGUCACUCCGGGCCCUUAUUUAAUACAAUGUCUACUUUAGACCUUUUUUUAGAAAACAGUUCCAUUUUAGGCCCUUAAUUGAAAUUUUCCCUUUGUAUAAUGAUCCAAAGCUCGUACGCCCUGAAAGCAUCGCGACCAGCAUCUCCAUUCCUUGGAACUACUCAAAGACAAAAGUACAAUAAUGUGUGCAAUAGUUUGUGUGACAGACAUUUCAUUAAUAUGUUAAAUUUGUAUCUCAUUUUUCAUUUAUGAAUGUCCCAAAUCACCUACUAUAAUUUCUCAAGUCCCCACCACCAUGCUUUUGCACCUAGCAACGAUGAAUUAUAAAUGAUGUAUACUUGUCGAACGAAUUUAACUUUAACAAAACCAUUAACGACCUAAUUUUACAAUGUGCAAUGCUCAUUGCUCAAUCACAACGCUUCAUUGACUAAGUGAAGCCAUUUCCAAAACCUUUUCGGCCCAUAGGCGAGACCAUUGCCCAACUCACCCUCCGCUUUCUAUCCAAUUUAACUAUUUUUCUAGGAAAAUGCCUUUGUGUUGUGCCCGAGAGUAUUUUCUUGUAUUGGUAACAUCACGCAUUUUAUUGAUGAUGUAGGAUUCGUCAUGAGGUUCGAGCAUUCAGUGAGGUUAUUCAUUUUGAGCUCCACCGCACGAUCUAUUUGAGGAAAGCCCUAUGUGAGAUUUUUAUAGGAGCUGACUCUAUAGUAUUGACAUUCAUCUCCUUAACAAAGUUGAGUGCCCAAAAUGUAUUUAUUGUUAUGAUGGGAUGUUCAAAACUCUUCAAGCACUUGAUAUGUUGUCAUUCAGAUAGCAAUGUCUAUGUCCUGCAAGUUCUGGUCAAUUUCUGAGCAAACGAAUCCAUUGCGAGAAUUUCUAAGCUUCAUUCUAGAUGAGUUAAAGCCAUUUUCUAGAAUGUCUCAGCUACUCCAACCAGCUACUGUGCAAGUGAUGAUAAAAGAACAUGACGACUAUCUUCCAAGUCAAUUUGCCCUCCUCAUAUUGCUAGUGAGCUAUUCCUAUGUCAAGAUUACAGUUUUAGUAGGAAGUCCUCGCUCCUGAAGAAGUACCAAUUAAACACUCCACAGAAUUAAAAAUCAUAUGCGCAGCUCCUCCCACUUCAUUUCAAAGCCAUAAACAGCUGGUAGUACCCGAGCUCUGAAGAUUUUUUGUCCCAAAAAUGGUGCACAUUUCUGGCUGAAACCAAUUCCAUACAGUGGCAGCUGUAACAAAACAUUCUGAUUUUAGCUGUAGUUCAAGAAAAGAUGGCAUUUAGAGAUCUAGAUCAGCUCUCAAACAUUAAAAGACUAAAGCAAAUCACCUUUCUAGCCACCCAUUGAUUACUAGUCAUGUUUAUCCCAAAAACAUGAAAGCAAUAUAGUUGAUUUAAGGACUUCCUCCAUACUUCUGGUUUGGAUCUCACUGUUAUCCACAAUACAGUGGAAAUCCUCUGUUCUUCUAAAGCCUCUAGGGCGUAGACAUAGUCAUCACCAAACAAUGACCAAACUGAAGUAAUAGAUUGCGAAUGAUGUUAAGAUACGAAUUUGCAAGAUGAUUAAUAAAGGCAUGAAGCAAAACAAGGAAAGAGCGGCAACAUGAUUUGUACUGGAUUUCCACCAUUGAUGAAAAUACUUUCAGCCCAAUCAAGGCCAUAUAUAUGCCUUCAAAGAGAGCAACCUCACAUUGGCAUAUUAAGUGACGAACAAAGUUUAAUCCAGAUCCAUGGAGAUUCAUCAACUUGACAUUAGUGCCCUGGCUUUGAGAAAAUGCCAAACACAUCUAUGGUAUUCAGUGCCCACUUCCAUGACCUAAUAAGUAAUAACGAAUUAACAAAAUGCAAUCAAGAUCACAUAUGCAUGAGCGGUUUCCAGAAUCCAUCGGAUAGUGAAUUUUUCUACUUCAUAGAAGUUGGAUAGAAGUAUUACUUUAUUUACACAAGCGCAGAUUGAUACCAUGUCAAGAAUGAAGAAUCUCAUGCUAUUUGACUGAAGACAUCAAAUAUCCUUUUGGAGGCAAUCUGAUCUUUUUAUUUCAUUUCAUGAUCACGAGCCAUAUAACACACAAGCAUUACACUUACUUUGCUCAGACAACUUCCUCCAGUUGCUAGAAUUAAGACAGGAAAAUAAUAUCUUGUCAAAGAAAAGCCUUGUCCAAACUGAAAAUACUAAUGGAAGCAGUGGCGAUUACGGCACUAUACCUGCUAUAUUUUUUGUUUAGUAGGAGAUGUUAGCAAUCUUCAGAAUCAUAUCUUUUCUCUCUCUCUUAUCUCCAUUUUCUUUCUACAUGAGCUCUCAAUUUAAGAGGGAGCUAAGCAUCUCUUUUUUCUCCCAUUAAGCCAACGACCACUUUCCUUGUUUAGUUGACUUUUCAACCUUCUCUUUUGUUUUAUUGUUUUUUUCUUAGGUCCCAGAAGUUCUUUUUUACUUGGUCAAAUCCCAAGUAUUAAAGUAACUUCAUUACCAUAAGUCAAUUACAACAUACUGCACCAAACUACUAGGGAUAAGAAUUAACACCAAAUCAGUAACUCCUCUACCAAUCGGCGUGCUUCAACUCUUAAACUUGCGGAUGAACACCCCAAACUAGCUUUUAUGUAUUAAUGUAAAAAUAUAGUACACUUGUUCAACAAAAGCAGAUUUGAACAAUGACAUACUUAUCUGCAACAAUCAAAUUGGACAAAACAAAUGUUGCUUAUUUUAUGGCAGCAACAUCUAAAGCCUCCAAACUAAGCUCCAAAGAUUGAUCUUCUUCCUUACCAUUCCACAGUCAAGCUUCCUAAGCAGCACAGAUGGAGUUUUUGAAGGCGAAUCAGGGAGAGACUCAACAACGGAACAAUGCAGCACCAGCGAUCGAGGGCACGGCUCAAUCGUGGACCAACCUUCUUGCCCAACACGAGAAAAGAAAAAAUGUUGAAAAGCUAAGGAACAGACAAUAAGUUGGCCAAAGCAGUCUCCACCCCUGCAUCAAACAUAACCCAUCCCCACUAGAGACGCAAUCUUCAAAUUCAUAGUUGAACUAACCAACGACCAAAUAUUUCUCAAGCACAACUCAACGUCGUUCUUCGGCACCUUUUUGUGAACUGAAAUCUUCAGGUAACUUAAAAGAAAAGCCACUUACUAUCAGAUUCAAUCAACUUUGUACUCUGAAUUUCACAUCAGUGCGGGCGACAGUCGACUAGCAUAGAGUUUGUAACCUUCAAAAAGCAAGACCAUCACAUUAUAGAGGAUCCAUACAGAGGAUGACAGAAUGAAAACCAACCAUGCAAAUAGAAACAAAUUAAAUGGUGUUUCUGUUACAACAUUAGAAAUCAAAAGGUACAUCCUGACCUUGUCAACAAGACAAGAAUUAUUUUGCUACAAUUGGCCAUAAAAUGCAAACUUUUAUGUUUUUGAAGGUUUGAAGCACUGAGUAUUGAAUAAAAGACACAUUGCAAAUGCUAAAAACAAUAGUAUAGAUGAAAGUUAGAAGCAAAAGUUCUUCCAAACACACCACAGUGUCAGAGCUCGAUAACCCCUAGUGAAAGAAGAAACCAAUGGACUUCUAUUAUCACAGCUCAAGCUUUUGCAUUUUCCCCCAGUCAGAGGAGAUGGAGGAGAAUUCCAUUCAACUAGAAAGCUAGCAAAAUAAAAAAAGUAAGGACAAAAUGAACAAGCCAUAUCACCAUCACAACAAUUCGGACAUUAGCAUCCUUUUCCGUUUGAAAUUAGCUACCUUCAACACCAUUUCACCACGUUAUUAGCUAACUAGUAUGAGUGAGGACAUCCUCAGAGAAUCUUAUCAAAAGGAAGUCGACAUUCUCAUGAAAAAAAUGAUACUUUGGAUCAUAGGUACAAACAAAUGGUUCAGAGGAGAUUGUUCAUCUUUCCACUUCUCAUCACCCCUCAAGGUGCUUCAAAAUCAACCUAAACUUGUAAUAGGCUUGUAAGUCUCGAUAAUCUUGCUAUACUUGCUCUAUGACUGCUCAGAUAACAUAAGGAAAAUUCACCACCAUUGACAAGGAAACCUAAUCAAAAGCUGCUAAAGCUAUCUCAUUACACCAUAGCAAACUAGUAGAAGAGAAUAACCGAGUAGAUUUAUGCACCUAACAGGAAUCACAAGCUGAUAAAUAUAUGUUGACACCUAAAUUUUUGGGAUUAAUUUUUGCUAAAUAAAAAAUAAAAAAAAUCAUAAUCACAUGGCAUAUAGUUUAGGAAAAUUUUAUUUUUUGUUAUAUUUCGUUAAGAUUUUUCACAUAUAUAGAUAAUAUAUGCUGGGAGAUGCAUUUUUGCACAAAGAGGGAAUUUUCUUGAUGGAAUAUGCGAAAAAUAUUUUAUCGAUAUAUUUAGGGGUAUCGUGCUCAAGUAAAAUUAGAAAUGAAAUAUACCCUAAGAUACAAUUUUUGGGCUUAUAAAAAGGGUCACGUACGGUAAAUUGUGGGGAGGGGGCCACACAUAAAACAUACAGCCGGCUUUUCUCUCCGUUUCUAGGUUAAAAGCAAGAGAGAAAAUGUUCUUCCUUCGUUUCUAGGGUUUUUGAAGGGUGAAGUUUCGUUGAAAAGAAGACAAGAAAAGUCAAAGUGAAAAGUAGAAAAAGCAGAGAGGGAAGGACGUGCGGCAGAGAAGAGAGAGAGGGAGAAAAAAAAAAAGGCUCCUGUUCAUCAUCUUCUCCGAGUCUCCCCUCGCCGUUCCACCUGCCGGCCUUCGCUGCGCCGGUUGCCGCCGCUGCUGCCUUGACGCCGAGACGCUGCUCCCACUCCACGCGAUCCGACGCCAGCGACCCGCGACGCCCUGCCACCGUCUUCAGACGCGGCUGCUGAAGCUGCGACGAUCCCGACGCCGAAGCCUCUCCGGCCCUGCUCUGCCACCCGAUCGUGACUGCUCAGCGCAGAUCUCACCUUUGUCGAACCCGUUCGCCCGGUCUCCGCCGCUCGAGAUCCGCCCAUGAUGCCUCUGCCCAACGCCUGCUGAAGUUGCGACGAUCCCGGCGCCCCUGCUCGCCUCCGCCUGUUAAGUCGCCGCCGCUGCCGAGCCGAGAUCCAGACGUUGGAGCUCCUCGCCGCAGCCGCCCGAGUCCUCUGCCCGUGACCUGCAGUGCCCGACGGCCCCUCCGUCUCUGUCGUUGCCGACAACCCACCGUCUCCGCUCGUUGUCCGAGCACCGGCCCCCCUGCGAGCGACCGCACCACAGCAACCCUAGCUGCCCCUACGACGCCUGACCCGCGACGGACGACCUGCCUGCUCCCGCAGUUCCGCCAGCCACCGCCGCGUCCGCAUCUCGCCGUCGCUGCACCCCCCGCUCACCGCUCGCUCGCUCGCUCGUCGCCAGUGCCUGCUGUACUCUCGCCGAAGAUCCUCGCCGACGAUCCCCCUCACCGAACCCCUGAACCAGCAGCCCAGAUUUCAUUUUUUUCUUUUUAAUAAAAAAGGAAAAAAAAAAGAGUUAAAUUAGGUAUUUUUGCUUUACUUUAUUAGGCAAGCUUAGGUUUUUCUUUAUUUUCUUUAUUAUUAUCUCUUUAUAUGGUGUUUUCUUUGGUUGAAAUACCUAUCUAUGCAUAAUUGGAAAUGUCAAUAUAUCACCUGAUUCGCAACCGCGCCAGGGUUUUUAUUUCAUCUAUAAGGCUUUAGAUGAAAUAAUUAAUCAAGCGGGAGUAAAAUUGAUAAUUUGAUCUUUAAGGCUUAAGAUCAAUUUAUCAAUUUUAUUAGCGAAAUAUUAUCUCUUGAUCCGAAUGAUGUGCGAUUUUUGAUGAUUUUGAAUGAAUUGUCUCGUUUUAAUUGCCUUGUUUAUCUCGAGAUAUAUUUGAGUUAGAAUAUUGCAUGUUUUAGGAUUUACAUGUUUAGAAUAGGAAUUUUAUUUCAAAUUUAAGAAAAAAUCAAAAAAAUCCAAAUUCAAAAUAAUCAAUUUAGGUUGCUAGAUUUUAAUUGCAUGUUUAAUUAUUUGGCAAUUAUUAAUUUCGAAAUAAAAAAAGGGAAAAAAGGAAAAACACAAAAAAGUCAUAGGUUAAAUUAGUUUUAUUGUUUAGGAUAAAAUGCAUUCUUUUAGGAAAAAGAAAAAAUGUCAUAUGCAUGUCAUUAGGGUUAGAUUCAUUGAGAUGUAUCCCAUUUAGUAUUUUUGCUAGGCUCAUUUAAUUAGAAAUUACAUGUCAUUAGAAUUAGGUCAUUUAGUUAAUAUUGCAUUGAUUUUCAUUAAUUAAGUGAAAAUAAAAAUUGCGUGUUAAUUAGAAACCAUAUUUAGGGUUGUCGAUGUGGAUUUUAAUUUAAUAUUGCAGAUGUUUUCACUGCUUUGAGGUAAGUUUUUGCAAUUUGUUUAUUGGGUGUUAAAUUGGUGGUUUGUGCACUCGCAUGAUCGCCUCACAUGUUAGGGAAAUAGAUUUAAAAUAAACCCAAGCUGCUUGCAAAAACCAUUUUUUCAAAAUAAAAGAAAUGGUACCGAAAGGGCGUUAGAGAAGUCUAGCGUAACCAAGUCCCCGUACCCAAAUCUCUGGUUCGUAGGAGUAAAGUAAAUCUCUCAUUACUUUACUUGGGUUUCUAAUCGAUCCACCAAAAAUAGAUUAGUGGCAACUCCUAGUUAAAAAUCGAUUGCAUGUUAAAAAAACUUGAACAUAAAGUCGCAAAUUGGUAUGGGCUUGGGAGAGUCCGAGUUAAAUCUAGGCUUAACAAUCCAUUAGCCAAACUCUAGGUAGUUCACACCCGAAAAAUUUGGUCGCGACAGCUUGGCGACUCCGCUGGGGACUUAUGUUAAAACACUUAAUGGACUUAGGCCAAAUUUCUUCUUUUUGAAAAAUGUUUUUGUUUGGCAACGAUGAUUCCAGGUAUGUCCCUAACAUUUAGGUGUUAAAUGUUUUUGCAGAUUGGGAGGUAUAAGGGGAGUAGUGAUUGCUAACCUUUGUUUUGCAGGUUGGAGUUGGGGAUGAAUGUUUUAAAUUCAAGUUAUUGAAGUGUUGCUUGAUCUAAAUUGUUGUGCAUGUCUUGCAUUCAACACUACAUUAUUGCACACACAACCUGCCGCCGGACUUGGGCCGCACUAUGAUAUUUAGGAUGGUAUUGAGUUGGAUACGACUUCGACCGCGAGGCCGCGUAGUAGAGGUUGUCCAACUCAAUCCCAAAAGUUUUUCUUGGUGUCAAGAAUGUUUACCUCUGCCCGCGAGGCUGCGUCGCAUUGGGGUAUCAUUCUUGACUGAGCCGGAGUUAGGAGGACUUGACUUAGUAUGCGAGGCUGCAACUGAGUCAUCCCACCCUUUUAACUCCACUUUGCUAAGCCUGUCUAGAGUAGAAAUUGAGCCUCACAUCUCAUGUGCAUGUCUAUGUGAUUGCCAUUGAUUUUCUUUGGUGAAGUAAGUCUUCUAUCCCUAUACCAUGCAAUUUAUUUUGUCGUAUUAUUGGGUCGGUCCAUGACAAUCUAGGUCAAUCAUUGAUUUGAUUCAUUUGUCAAUUGGAAAUAAAAUGAAAAAUUGCUAGGGAAUGAUGCAUUUGAAAAAAAAAAAAAACUUUGGAGAAUUUCUUUUACGUCAUGUCUAGAAAAUUUGGUUUUACUAGGAUAUCCAUUUUUUUAGGAAAUUCCCUUCUUGCAUAGACUUUUCAUGAAUAAAUAAAAAAUGAAAAAAAUAAAUUGAUUAGAUCAUUGUCAUGGAUUGACUCUCCAUUUACACCUCAUGCUUACACGUUCCCGUUUAUUUCCUUUAGGUGAUUAUGGAGCGAUCUCGCUCACCCAUCCGUACAUGGCCGAGAGCUAAAAUGGCGGAUCAAAAUGAGGUGCUGAACCAUAUCAUUGUCAAUAUAAACAAACGAAUUGCGUACCUCCAAAGUCAAGUCGAUGAAUUGUCCGCUACUAUGGCUUGUCUCAUCAAGCAAAAGGGGUGUGAUGAUAUAGGUACUCUAUCUUCAGUGAGAAACUACGACUUGAAGAAGAGAGCCAAGAGGACUUUUGAACCGUCCUAUUUUCCUGAGGUGAUUGAAUUUGAUGCCACUAUGAAGAGACUAGUGAUAUAUCUAGAAGGAAUAAUCUCAGACCUAGAGGAUUUGCAUCACAAGAUCAAGGAGGGUGAAGAACUCAAGCACACAUGAUUCAUGAUCCUAAGUAGUUCGUUUUCCUUAUUUAAUUAGGGGCAUGUUCAGUUGCACCUUCUCCUGCGUGGGAAUUCUUAUUGCUUUUUAGAGAUUGGUAAAAAUUUCUCCUGUUUUGCUUUAGUGCUUGAACAUAACAUUUUUCAUUCCAAUAAAUAUAAUUUGAUUGAUGAAUAUCAAUAAAAUUACAAGUUUUGUUUUCAGGACAUGAUGGAGUAUGCCAAACCAGCCCGGUGACGAUAUCCAACAAUGAAAAGAAAAUAUCAUCCAUGGAGAAAUUCUGAGGACUAGGCUUCUUCAUGCUUCAUCGUCCAAAAUAUUCCUCAAAAAGAAAAAAAAAAUCAUUUUUAAGCCAUUUCCAAAAGCAUGCAUUAGGUUACCUCUGUUUGUUUUUCUAACUCAUUUACUUCAUGUCUCAGAGCAUAACAGAGAGACAUUUGAAAAUAACGCGUCAAUUUCUAGUUAUAGCAGGCCCAUUGAUUUGGGAACAUACAUCCGAAGGAAAAUAGGCGUGGGGCAAGGGAUCAUUUCCUAGCUGAUCUUGAUGACAUCUCCCAAGAGUAAAGAAGACAUUAAGCACUACUUAUCCUCUUACUUGUCCCGAGCGAUUUCCUUGCAUAUCAAUAAGAAACCGAUGGCAAGUCAAAAGGAGAUCAUCUAGAUUCCAAAGUGUGAUGUGUGACACAUCUCAUUACAAUUUGUGUGAGAUGUCAUUCUCGAAAGCCAAAUGUAGUUUCUCAUUUCCGUGAGAAAAUGAUGAAACAAGUCAAAAGAAGAUCAUCCGUCUUGAAUGAAAUGGAUACAUUGCGUUCAUGAAUAUAAUUAAUUUCGGAAUUGACACUUUUGUUCUUUUCCUUGUAGAUGAUGAAUUGGGGCGCUACAAAUUCUAGUAGUGACAUGACUGAGACAAAAUCUCAAUCCGAGCCAAAAUGAUUAUGCAAUUUGAAUUUAUUCUGAUGUUGCGUAGUAUCCUAUUCAUACACGUUCUCUUGUGCAGGGGAAAAAAAGGAUUUUCAGUCUUGAAUGAUAAAGACAAUCCAAAGACAUCAACUGCUGAGGCAGUCCCGUUGUAGAGGAAUCCUUGAAUGAAUGCUUAAAACCAUUUUGCAAUGUGGAAAACUGUUUGAAGUUGACAAGUUUUCAUACCUAAAGCUGUUGAGUUCCUUUAAAAAAAAUGAUUUUGCAUGAUGACUCUUACCCAUUAAUUCUACUAAAGAACAUCAAGAUGGACUAAUUUAAUGAAUGAUGUGGAAUUGAUUGAGCAUACUAAAUGAGACGAGUCGGGAUGAUGAAAGGCAAACCUUAUCCUAUACACAGUCCCUUACACAAACACUUGUGAGAUGAGUAUAGGAAGGUUCAUAUACACAAGGUAAAGAGUUCUUUCGCAAAAGGUACGGCAACCGAAAUGAUGAGAGGCAAUUCAUUUCUUUAUCCCAAACACUAUAGGUGAUCCAUUGCUUAACCCUUUUGAGCCCAUACACUUAUGGAUAUUCUUUUCGAAUUACCUCCGUCAAGAAUCACCCCACAUUGGGGCAAAUGGGAGAUAAAAUGACAUCAUGAGGUGAGAAAAAUGAAUUGAAAUUUUCUUGCUCUCACUUGCAUCAAUCUUCAAGUCGUGCUAUUGCAUUGAAUUCAUGUGUUAACUUAAGUGCCUUAGGAUGACGAAGAGCAUUUAUUUUACUAUCCUAUACACUUAACAUUUGCAUAGCCCACUUGAGCCUGCAAUUUCAUUUCUUUAAACCCAGUUGGUGAUCAUCCCCCACACUGGGGCAAGGCAAGAGACAGAUGAAGACUCUUGAAAAGUUGGAGUGUCAUUCAAAGUGCAAUUGCUUGACGCAUGCAUUGUGCGCAAGAAUUGAAUUCAAAAUAGAACUAAGGGGCAUGAAAAAGCAAUGUGCCUGGUAAAAGCAAGGCCAAUGCCUAUAAAAAAAAGUGAAAAAAAAAAUGAAUAAGAACUAGGGGCAUGAAAAGCGGUGUGCCUGGUAAAAGCAAGGCUAAUGCCCAUAGAUGAAAAAGAGAGUCAAGAUAAGGUGACUCUCAAUUGCGAGAAUUGAAUCCCAUUGGGGUAAUACUCAAAGAACUCAAAUGCUAAGUUUUUACAAUCAAUGGGGCAUUUUAUGAAGACAAUCCCCGAUGAUGAAAAAGAAAACUGGUGGCAAUGUCAAGGUGAUCACCAACUCUCACCAUUCACACACAUUUUGAGCCUAAUGAUCCUUUCAUUUCUCAACCCAUGAACCCAGCCUAUGUUACGUCACUUACAAAGUCUCUUCAAAUUACGGCACUUGAAUUAACGUAAGAGUUCAUGUGUUUAUAAGCAUUGCUCGAAGAAGUGUGAGCAAUAUUAUUUCUUUCUCAUUUUGCAGGGUUCUUGACUUGUAAACCUGGAGAUGAUUGCAAAACUGUUCUUUUAAUAGCCUUGACUCAAAGAGUCCCUUUGUUAAGCCGUUGACCAAGCCCACAUUAUGGUCCUUGUUAAAGACCUCUCAGAUUGGUAAAGUCGUACCGCUUACGAGAAUACUUAGACCCUUGUUGGUAUGAUGAUAGUAAGAUGGAGUGAUUCUCAUAAAAUAACCUCUAAAUGAGAGUGAGUGAAAGUCCUUUCUGACUGAAGGUCCCUCAUUUGGUAUUCUUAAUAAAUCCAUGUCAUGAGUGAAAAUUGUCUUGAACGAUAAUUCUCUCUAGUGGAAAUUUGGGUGAUACAAAGGUCAUUAUGCCUGGACCCCGAUUGAAUUGAUAAAAACUUCAGUGGUUUUGAAGUGUGCGUUCCAGAAUAGCAUUAAUUGCUUACUUCUUUGGUGAAUGCAUUUUUGCUUUAAUCAUGUCUGACAGGUAAUGCUUUUUUAAAGAACCAAGAGCUCUUGACAUUCAAGUUCCUUUCAGAAUGCCUCAUAAUAUUAGGAGAUGAGGAACUAUCACAAACAUUCAAGGUCCAUCCUUGAUGUUCCAAAUUUCUACCAGGAGGUGAAAGACCUCCACAGGAUAUCUAAAUUCCAAAAGACAUAUCCUCAAGAAUCAGAGAUAUCAUCAGGUAAGUAUAUCUCUACCAUACUCUAAAAUACUUGUCAUUGUGCAGGUAUUCUCUCUCAAGUACAUCGACACUUGACUUGGUCAAGUUGUCCACUUAUAUCGACUUGGUGUGCUUUCGUAGCCCAGAGUCAUUUUCAUCGACUCGGCAUGCUUCCGUAGCCCGAUGUCGCCUUUAAUAGACCCGGCGUGCUUCUGUAGCCCGAAGUUCUUGACCUGGUGUGUUUUUUUAGCCCAGAGUCUCUUUAAUAGACCUGGCGUGCUUUUGUAGCCCGGUGUCCUUCAUAUUGACCUGGCGUGCUUUCGUAGCCCAGAUUCCCUUUUAAUAGACACAGCGUGCUUUUGUAGCCCGGUGUCCUUUAUAUCGACCUAACGUGCUUUCGUAGCCCAAAGUCCCCUUCAUUGACCCAACGUGCUUUCAUAGCCUAGAGUUCCUGACCUGGCAUGCUUUCGUAGCCUAGAGUCCAUUUUAUCGAACCAACAUGCUUCCGUAGCCCGGAUUUCUUUUAUCGACCUGGCAUGCUUUCGUAGCCCAGAGUCCUUUACACCGACACUCAAUGAAGUUGUCCCCCAAAGAUUUUUUCCUCCAGAUUCAAUCUGAUUAAGGCGAUCGAAGAAUGGUUCGGGUCCUGGUCGGAUGAUUUCUGUUGCAAGGCUGGGCAGCCGAAGAAUGGUUCGGGUCCUAGCCAAGCAAAACCUUAGUCUAGGCAACCGUAGAAUGGUACGGGUCUUGGAAAAGCAAUUUCCUCAUUCAGGCGACCGUAGAAUGGUACGAGUCCUGGAAAAUGAAUCCCCGUUUAGGUGACCGUAGAAUGGUACUGGUCCUAGACAAAACCUUUCUGCCGUACUGGGCAACCGUAGAAUGGUACGGGUCCUGAGAAAGCAGCUCCUUUCUGCCAUACUGGGCGACCGUAGAAUGGUACGGGUCUUGGGAAAGCAGUCUCUUCAUAAAGUCAUGUUACUAUUUUAGACGACCGUAGAAUAGAACGAGUCCUGGACAGGUAACACCCACUACCUCGAAUUACUCUAUCCUCCUCGAAGAUAAGUUAUUUCAGGUAGGUUCAUCUAUCAUUUGCAUUAGUAUUUUCAUACAUCAUAUAAUUUGCAUUAAAAAAUGGAAUUCAUUUUCCAACAAAAAAUCAUUCAUUGCAUGUGCAUGACCAAAAUUUCGAUCUCAAUUUGUUUUUAAAGGCAACCUCUUCGAGCUCAUCUUCAAAGAGGGGCAGCUGUUGACACCUAAAUUUUUGAGAUUAAUUUUUGCUAAAUAAAAAAUAAAAAAAUCAUAAUCACAUGGCAUAUAGUUUAGGAAAAUUUUAUUUUUUGUUAUAUUUCAUUAAGAUUUUUCACAUAUAUAGAUAAUAUAUGCUGGGAGAUGCAUUUUUGCACAAAGGGGGAAUUUUCUUAAUGGAAUAUGCGAAAAAUAUUUUAUCGAUAUUAUUUAGGGGUAUCGUGCUCAAGCAAAAUUAGAAAUGAAAUAUACCCUAAGAUACAAUUUUUGGGCUCAUAAAAAGGGUCACGUACAGUAAAUUGUGGGGAGGGGGCCACACAUAAAACAUACGGCCGGCUUUUCUCUCGGUUUCUAGGUUAAAAGCAAGAGAGAAAAUGUCUUCCUUCGUUUCUAGGGUUUUUGAAGGGUGAAGUUUCAUUGAAAAGAAGAAAAGAAAAGUCAAAGUGAAAAGUAGAAAAAGCAGAGAGGGAAGGACGUGCGGCAGAGAAGAGAGAGAGGAGAAAAAAAAAAGAAAAAAAAAAAAGGCUCAUGUUCAUCAUCUUCUCCGAGUCUCCCCUUGCCGUUCCACCUGCCGGCCUUCGCUGCGCCGGUUGCCGCCGCUGCUGCCUUGACGCCGAGACGCUGCUCCCACUCCACGCAAUCCGACGCCAGCGACCCGCGACGCCCUACCACCGUCUCCAGACGCGGCUGCUGAAGCUGCGACGAUCCCGACUGCCACCCGAUCGUGACUGCUCAGCGCAGAUCUCGCCUUUGUCGAACCCGUUCGCCGGUCUCCGCCGCUCGAGAUCCGCCCAUGAUGCCUCUGCCCAACGCCUGCUGAAGCUGCGACGAUCCCGGCGCCCCUGCUCGCCUCCGCCUGUUAAGACGCCGGAGCUCCUUGCCGCAGCCGCCCGAGUCCUCUGCCCGUGACCUGCAGUGCCCGACGGCCCCUCCGUCUCUGCCGUUGCCGACGACCCACCGUCUCCGCCCGUUGUCCAAGCACCGGCCCCCCUGCGAGCGACCGCACCACAGCAACCCUAGCUGCCCCUACGACACCUGACCCGCAACGGACAACCUGCCUGCUCCCGCAGUUCCGCCAGCCACCGCCGCGUCCGCAUCUCGCCGCCGCUGCACCCCCCGCUCACCGCUCGCUCGCUCGCCGCCAAUGCCUGCUGUACUCUCGCCGAAGAUCCUCGCCGACGAUCCCCCUCACCGGACCCCUGAACCAACAGCCCNNNNNNNNNNNNNNNNNNNNNNNNNNNNNNNNNNNNNNNNNNNNNNNNNNNNNNNNNNNNNNNNNNNNNNNNNNNNNNNNNNNNNNNNNNNNNNNNNNNNACAUGUGAUCAGUAGGUCUUUAUUUUCUUUAUUAUUAUCUCUUUAUAUGGUGUUUUCUUUGGUUGAAAUACCUAUCUAUGCAUAAUUGGAAACCCCAAUAUAUCACCUGAUUCGCAACCGCGCCAGGAUUUUUUAUUUCAUCUAUAAGGCUUUAGAUUAAAUAAUUAAUCAAGCAAGAGUAAAAUUGAUAAUUUGAUCUUUAAGGCUUAAGAUCAAUUUAUUGAUUUUAUUAGCAAAAUAUUAUCUCUUGAUCCGAAUGUGUGCGAUUUUUGAUGAUUUUGAAUGAAUUGUCUCGUUUUAAUUGCCUUGUUUAUCUCGAGAUAUAUUUGAGUUAGAAUAUUGCAUGUCUUAGGGUUUACAUGUUUAGAAUAGGAAUUUUAUUUCAAAUUUAAGAAAAAAUCAAAAAAAUCCAAAUUCAAAAAAAUCAAUUUAGGCUGCUAGAUUUUAAUUGCAUGUUUAAUUAUUUGGCAAUUAUUAAUUUCGAAAUUAAAAAAAAAAGGGAAAAAAGGAAAAACACAAAAAAGUCAUAGGUUAAAUUAGUUUUAUUGUUUAGGAUAAAAUGCAUUCUUUUAGGAAAAAGAAAAAAUGUCAUAUGCAUGUCAUUAGGGUUAGAUUCAUUGAGAUGUAUCCUAUUUAGUAUUUUUGCUAGGCUCAUUUAAUUAGAAAUUACAUGUCAUUAGGAUUAGGUCAUUUAGUUAAUAUUGCAUUGCAUAUUGCAUGAUUUUCAUUAAUUAAGUGAAAAUAAAAAUUGCGUGUUAAUUAGAAACCAUAUCUAGGGUUAUUGAUGUAGAUUUUAAUUUAACAUUGCAGAUGCUUUCAUUGCUUUAAGGUAAGUUUUUGCAAUUUGUUUAUUGGAUGUUAAAUUGGUGAUUUGUACACUCGCAUGAUCGCCUCACAUAUUAGGGAAAUAGAUUUAAAAUAAACCCAAGCUGCUUGCAAAAAAACAUUUUUUCAAAAUAAAAGAAAUGGUACCAAAAUGACAUUAGAGAAACCUAGUGUAACCAAGUCCCCGUACCCAAAUCUCCGGUUCGUAGGAGUAAAGUAAAUCUCUCAUUACUUUACUUGGAUUUCUAAUCGACCCACCAAAAAUAGAUUAGUGGCGACUCCUAGUUAAAAAUCGAUUGCAUGUUAAAAAAACUUGAACCUAAAGUCGCGAAUUGGUAUGGAUUUGAGAAAGUCCGAGUUAAGUCUAGGCUUAACAAUCCAUUAGCCAAACUCUAGGUUGUUCACACCCGAAAAAUUUGGUCGCGACAAUAUAACAAGACAACUAAACAUGCUUCGCUGAACAUGUAGAAAAUCUCUAAUUAGUCUUAUUUCAUUUCCUCCGUGUGCAAACAUCGAACAUCCAAAAUCAGACCAAUAAUAGCGACUCAAAACCUCAAAUCACCAGAAUGCACAUGCACUAAUCACAACAAGAAUCAAACCAAUCAAUCGGUGACAAGAAUGGAUUAAUGUUAAAAGGGGUCCAAUCACUUGGACUCUGAAGAUAUGGCAACCAGAAGCAAUGAAGACCCAACAUGAAGAUCCUUCCAUUCAAGCUGGAGCACAAGGGUCAAAGCAAUCAGUGAGCAUGAAUCUCACUUUCGAAUUAGUCAUCCCAUCGUCGUCCACCAGAAGGAAGACAGAAACAGACCACCAGAUGAUGCUGGACCCCUCAAUCUCUUCCCGUUCUCUCUGUGCUCGCUUUCCACCCUCCUCUUCUUACACCCAUCCCUAGAAUCACAAGAAGCAAUGCAAUCGGCUUAAAGAGCGUCCUCCUUGCAUCCAUAUCCCAGAUAUUUGGUUUGGAUCUCACACCAUUGUUGAAAUUACAACAAAGCUCGUGGUCAUGUAAAGAAAUCAGGAGCAUGAGAAAUUGUCAUCACCAAAUGAAGAACGAAUAGAAGGAUGCAAAUUCAAUAUGUAAAGAUCGAUGGUAUGAACAAAAGAGAUGGAUAUAGGCACGAUGAAAGAAAAGAAAGAGUGCAAAAUGAUUCCCACAAAAUAAUUCCUACCAGAUUUCCACCGGACAGGAUGUUACUUUUGACAGAAUCAAGGUCAUAACUCCACCAUCAGAUUGAACACUCUACAUAUUAGCACUUCAAUUGACAAACAAAGUGGAAUAUAGAUCCUUGGAUAUUCAUCAUCUCAACAUCGGUGUCCGAAAAGUAAUAAUCUUAUGAUGAUGCCUCUAGUGGCUUAUUAAUCCAUGACAGAAAAAGUGGACAUAAGCUACUAAAAAUGCAAUUGAAACCACAUAAGCAUGAGUAGUUGCUAUGAUCAAGCAAUCCUUAGAAGUGUUAUUCCACAUUGGUUGAGUAAAGGGCAUCAAUAGGAGUUAUAUACAUGUAGUCUACCUCUAACUAAUACUUUAAGCUUUUGGGUUGAACUUUUGCUAACAAUGAAUGAAGCUCUGUUUUAUUAUGCAUGAACGAAUGAAAAAAUCACAUAAUAAACAUCCUAUGCUCUAGGAAGCCAACUUUAAUAGAACUUGGAGAAACGUAAUACUCUGUUUGCAGAAGAACAUAUUCUUGCCAUGUAAAGGAUGAAGAGUCUUACUCCGUGAUUGAUGUAUAAUGACAUGCAAUGUCAUAUACUCCAAAGGCAUUCUUAUCUAUUUUCUUUCCCACCAGGAUCACAAGCUAGAUGAUGCUUAAGCAUCACAUUCAUGUGGUCGACUAGCUUCCCAAGAGUCCUUGAAAUAAGAGGAAAUCAAUAAGACACCGACACGAAAGGCCCCAUGCCAAACUGAAAAUACUAAUGUAAAGUAGGUACUCUCAACUGCUAUAAUUACAUUUACCAGAAAACGCGGAUGCUCUUCAGAAUCCGAUCUCUGUCAUGCUGUUGUCAUGCAAAUAUUUUUUCAUAAUUCUACAUGGGGUAUAUGUGUUCAUCAUCAUUCUGGUAUUCUCUGUGUAGGUGAAAAUAAACGAACAUGAUUUCUCUCAUCAGGAUUCAGAGACACACAUUAACUAUUGUGCAAAUGAUAAUAAAAGAACAUGACUAGUAUCUUCCAAGUCAAUUUGCACUCAUAAUAUUGCCAAUGAGUUAUUCUUAUUGUCAAGAUUACAGUUGUAGUUGGAAAUGCUUGCUUCUGAUGCAGUACCAUUUAAGCCCUCCACAGAAUUGAAACACACAUGCAUAGCUCCUCCUACUUCUUUUCAGAGCCAUAAACAACAGGGUAGUACUCAAGCUCUGCAGAUUUUUUGUCCCCGCCAUCAGCCAAGCUAAAAAUAGUGCACAUUUCUGGCUGAAACCUCAAUUAUUGCAGGAGUGACUUUCCAAUUCUGUUCAGUGGCAGCUGUAGCAAAAAAUUCAGAUUUGAGCUGUAGAUCAAGAAAAAAUGGCAAUUAAAGAUCUAGAUCAGCUCUCAAACAUUAAAGGACUUAAGCAAAUCACCUUUCUAGCCACCCAUUGAUUACUUGUCAUGUUUAUCCCAAAAACAUGAAAGCAAUAAGGUUGAUUUAAGGGCUUCCUCCAUACUUCUGUUUUGGAUCUCACACUGCUAUCCACAAUACAGUGGAAAUCCUCUGUUCUUUUAAAGCCUCUGGAGUGGAGACAUUGUCAUCACCAAAUAAUGACCGAACUGAAGAAAUAAAUUGCAAAUGAUGUUAACGUAUGAAAUCGCAAGAUGAUCAUUGAAGGCAUGAAGAAAAACGAGGAAAGAGUGGCUUCAUGAUUUGUACUGGUUCUGACCGUUGAUGAUAAUACUUUCAGCCUGAUCAAGGCCAUGUAUCUGCCUUCAGAGAGAGCAAUCUUCACAUCGGCAUGUUAAGCAACGAGCAAAGUUCAAUACAGAUCCAUGGAGAUUAAUCAUCUUGACAUUAGUGCCCUGGCUUUGAGAAAAUGCAAAACAUGUUUAUGGCACCUUCACUGCCUACAUCCAUGACCAAAUAACAAAUUAAUAAAAUGCAAUCAAGAUCACAUAUGCGUGAGCAGUUUCCAAAAUCCAUCAGAUAGUGAAUUUCUCUACUUCAUAGAAGUUGGAGAGAAGUAUUACUUCAUUUAAACAAACACAGAUUGAUACCACGUCAAGAAUGAAGAAUCUCAUGUCAUUUGAUUGAAGACAACAUAUAUCCUUUUGGAGACAUUCUGACCUUUUGUAUUCAUAUCAUGAUCACGAGCCAGAUAACACUAAAGCAUUACAAUUACUUUGCUCAAACAACUUCCUCCAGUAGCUGGAAUUAAGACAAGAAAAUUAUAACGUGUCAAAGAAAAGCCCCGUCGAAACUGAAAAUACUAAUGGAAGCAAGUUAUCUCCACAGAAAAACGACACUAUACCUGUUAUAUUUUUAGUUCAGUAAAUGACUUUAGCGAUCUCCAGCAACAGAUCUUAAGUCAUCCUCCAUAGAAUCUGAAUAUUCUUCAUAAUCCUGUAAAGCAGAGCAGGGUUACCAAGUCAAUCUUUUUGGUGUGGCUCGCAUCAAAUUGUAUCCAGUACUAUCAAACAUUAGAUCUGACGAUAGCCAGGAAACCUCAGUCAGCUUCUUGCAGUUGCUUACCUCAAUAAUAAAGUCUGGUAAUUUCUCAAGAGACUCGCACCUAGACCUAUCAAAGUCCUCCAGGAAUUUACUAGGGCAGCGAAUUUCAACUAAGCUUUUGCAAUCCGUAACAAUCAAAUGCUUCAGAUGCUCCGACUUUGAAAGGUCCAGUACUUGAAUGUGCUUGCGCCCAGAAAUAUCCACAUAUUCCAAGGAUCCCAAUUUUUCAAGGCCUUCUAUCACAUGGAGAUGAUCCACCUCAGUAUAUGCUAGCCAUAGGCACAACUCUCUUAGGGAUUUUAAAGAUCCCAGUCCAUCCAAUUUCUUUAGCCCAUCGCAGUGCUUAAGCCCUAAUUCCGACAAAAAUUCCAAAUCGGAAAGAUUUGGCAACCUUUCCACUUUGGGACAAUUAAAAACGUAAAGAAUUUGUAUGCAGGAGGGAAGCUCUGGGAUCUCUUGAAGAGACAUGCAAUCCCAAAGCUUGAGCUCCUGUAGAUGCUUGAGGUGAGAGAGCGAUGGGAUGCUUUGAAGAGACUUGCAGGAAUCAAGGGAGAGCUUAUGUAGAUGCUUCAGGUGAGAGAGCGAUGGGAUGCUUUGAAGAGAGUCGCAAUCCCGAAGGUCGAGCCUCUGUAGACGCUCCAGGUGAGAGAGCGAUGGCAGCUCCUUGCUCCGACAGGUGAGCCGCAGGGAUGAUAAGCUACAAGGUGGUUUUGGGAGUGACUCAAGCUCUCCACAGAAACGUAAAUCGAGGUGCUCGAGAGAAUGAAGCUGAUCUAAGUUUUCCGGCAAGCCAGAAAUUUUUGUAGAAUUUAAAUUAAGGAUUUUUAGAGAAGACAAUCCACCUUUAUCAAAGAGAAUUUGUCCUUUUAGUUUUUCGCAUGAGGGGGCAUAGAGCUCUUGGAGGCUCUGCAAUUUUCCAAUAGAGCUCGGUAUCCUUUCUAUCUUGCAAUCAGCAAUUUCCAGAAUUUUCAAUUUGUUCAAUUUCCCAAUGGAUUCAGGUAGUUCCUUAAUCCUUGCACCUGACAACUUCAGCUCAACCAACUCUCCCAACUUCCCAAUUGAAGAAGGGAUCUUUUUUAGUGGCGAAUAUAAUUUAAUCUCACCCCACAAAAACCUCCUGGCACUAAUCCUCUUCAGCUUCUUUAGAGAUCCUAUACAUGGAGGGAUUUCUUUAAUCUGAGUAUUGUCUAAGACAAGUUCCUCCAAAUGUUCUAGUUCGCCAAGUUGUUCAGGUAACAUCUCGAGACUUCUACAACCACUCAAGUUCAAGAGAAGGAGGCGCUUGGCAUAUUGAAUGGAAGGGUCAAUUUCCUUCAAAGUAGCACAACCUUGUAGGAUUAACCACUCUAAAUUUUCAAAAGCGGAGAGAUUAGGGUUGCUCUUCAAUGAGCAACACGAAAGAUUGAGAACUUUCAACCUCUCCAUCUACAAGAAAGAAACAUGUUUCAAGAUUAGCAAUUAGAAAUAUAAUGAUUUAUCAUCAAAUGUAACAAAGAAAAAGCAUUUUUCGUCUUUACCUUAAUUGAACUCCAUCCUCUCCAAUUUUCACUAAUACCGCUUACACGACUAUAAUCAUCACCAGAUAAAUCAAGUAUGACUAAUUUCUCCAAAUGAAAAUCGGUCGCCUCCAAAGAGUCGCAACAUCUCUCACACUUUAGCCAUCUUAAUUCAGUAAGUGAUUCUUUGAAAUCUCCAGCAAAACCCACAUCAUUCAAAUGAAGGAACUUUAAGUUAGGCAUUUUUUUGAAGCUCUCUCGCUCCAUGAACUCUCUAGAGCCCCUUUUGUCCAAACAUAGUGCCUCAAUUUUUUCAUUUUCCUCCUACAAAAAAUAAAAUAAAGUUGAGGAUUGUAAAUACCAUCCAACCUCCUUUUGUUAGUAUACGCUCAAUAUACUCUUACAUGUUAUUGUGGCCAAUGCAUAUUGUUUGCACUUAACAGGGAAAAAGAAAUAAUAUCUAUUCUUCUACAAUUACUUGAUCAUGUAAUAUAUCGUGUUUCACUCAUAUGCCUUAUUUUUUUAUGUUUUAUGUGAAAUUCCCAUAUGAAAUUAGUCUAGUUUUCUUAUAGAUUUUGAAAUUUUGCGCAAAUGUUUAAUACUAAGUUGACAGAAUUGGUAAAUUCAUGACUAAAUCGAUAUCUAUACAAUAAAUUAACCAACUGGAUAAUUUUCCUUUGAGAUGAGCAUACCAUUCAAUUAAUCAUCAUUCGACCUAAUCUUAAAUUUGGUUAGUGCAUUUUUUGCCAUUCACCCAAUUAUAUAAAAAUAUAUGAAUUAGUAAAUAAAGAAUAGCGAUUAUUAUUAUUUUCCUUUUUGUGCAUUCUGACAUUUCUUUUCUGCUCCUCCAGUUAUCUUAUUACAUAAGUUAAUUAUCUAUUUUUUUCCACUAAUAUCUAACAAUAGAUUUUCGUCUCCUCUGUCUGUGCAUGUGAAUAAAGGCUCAAUUAAUCCGUGCCAAGAAAAGCUCGCUCAUUAUAUAAUAGAGGUGGAUAUUGUAUUACACCAAAGGCAAAUAAAAGGAGGAAAACACAAUUCCUUUCUCCUUACACUAUUUCGUCACUCAAUCAUUUAAAUUUCUUCAUGUCAAUAUUUGCUUUUCAGUUAUUUAUCGAAAAUUACUUGGUAUGAAUAUGUACAAAAUCAUAUGACAGUUGUUAUUUAGUUUCUUCUGUCAUAAUUUACUGUCGUUUGAUUUUGCACAACAUUCGUUGAUGUUGAAUUAUGUGUUCAAAAUACUUAUAACUAGAUCCGUGCAUAGCACCGGCAUGAACACAAAGUAUAUAUUAUGAAAGCUGGGUAGAAAUGAAAUAGCCUUAUGAUGUUGCAUCACAUAUCAUAAUCCUACGAGUUCUCAUCUUUCAUAUGAAUGAACAUGCAUCACACACAUGCAGUGCUCAUAAUAAAAAAUAAAUAUUGUUAAUUAUGCCAAUUCCUUUAUAGUUAAUGUAUCUUGAAAAAUCUUCCAAUUUUAUUUUAUUUUUUAUGUUAUUUGUUAAUUUGACUGUAAGUCGCAAUAGAGAAUUUGAAUUUAAUCAUUUUUUAAAUGUGCCAGUCCUUUAAGUGAAAAGAAAAAAUAAUAGUUUUCUAUUUAUCAUUGACUAAGAGGCAUCCAAGUUUUGUAUUGUUGUUUCAAGUUAUCAACUAACCCACCACAUUAUUAACAUAAUUAUGCAUUUCUAAAAUGCUCAAAAAAUGAUAUAUUUAAAGGAACUUCUUCAAUUAUGUUAUCAACAUCCACUGAGUAAUACAAUUUAAACUAAAUCUUCAAUUUUCUUUGUAUUAAGUACAAGUACUUCUGCAUUUACAUUAUCAUAUUGGAUUUACAUCAUGAAAAUGCAUAAUAAAUCCUAGAAAACAAAUUGUCAAAAUUCUUCAUAAUAACAUCUUAUUACUUGAAAUUGAACAAAAUCUUAAGUUGAUAGCCAAUAGUUGAGGUGCAAAGGAUUUAACUGAAAUCUUUCUUUUUGUUGCAAAAAGGUACAACCGGCACCUGAGGAAAUUGCACAUAUUUAUGGUUGGAAAUUGAAGACAGAAUAUGUAUUCAAAUCUUGGAGAAGGAAAAAAGUAAAGAUUCAAGACAAAAAAACCUGUUGAAUGGUGACGAGUGCAAAUUUUUCAUGAACUAAAGGCCAAAAUUUGAUGUAGCUUUUACCAAGAAAAUGCUAACCACAUGCUGAGAAUGGUCGAUGGUCUAGAGCAAAAGAACAAUAACGAUAAUAAUUUAGGGGACUACCAUUAGAGAAAAUGGGAGAGGCCAAAAGUAGACAUCAUUGUUACCUUGGGUCGUAGAACUUUCAUGGCUUCCUCAUCCCAUAGUCUGCUCCAUUUCCAAGGCUUCUUCUCUACUGGACAGGCAAUAGCUCUACCUAGAUCUCUUAAUUGAUCAUGCAUUCUCAAAUGAUUAUAGUCAUCAAUUUUUAUUAACGAACGAUUGAUCAAUAUCUGCAAUCCGAUUCUUGGGAAGAAUUUGAGAUCUGCCCAAUAAUAGGUGGCAAUUCUUUUGUCAUAUCCAAUGAAAAGACAUGCAAUGUCUAGAAACAUCUGUUUCUCUUCAUGCUUUAAUGUAUCAUAACUUAUCCUCAACUUUUCUUGUACGGCAUCAGCAGGUACAAUCCUCAAUUUCUCCAACAUCUCUUUCCACGUCAUUUGAUCUUCUUCUCCUUUGAGAAGUGACCCUACAACCAUGAGAGCUAAGGGAAGUCCUCCUGUGGUGGCAACAAUAUCACUUGAAAGAGUCACAAGAUCUUUGGGAGGUUGUUCCGCUUCAAAUGCAUAUCUACUAAACAGAAGCAAAGAUUGUUCACUGUUCAUUUCUUUGAGUUCAUAAAUUUUAUAGUCAGACUUAAAGAGAGUCUUGUCUCGACAUGUAAUUAUGAUCCUACUCCCUGACCCAAAAUUACAACCUCCAAUCAAUUUAUCGAGGUGGUCUCGAUGAUCCACAUCGUCAAGAAGAAUAAGUACCUUCUUAUUUUCACAACUUGAUCGGAUCAUAUUAAUUCCCAUCUCGGGAUCACGCACCGUACUUUUUCCGUUUGAGGUCAUAUCUGAGAUCAGUAGAGAUUGGACAUGCUCCAUACCCUUGCUUUUAGCUGUUUCUCUAAUAUCCUUAAGAGAGCUGCGGUAGUAAAAAUUGUCAAAAAGCUUAUCAUAGAUGAUCGUAGCCAGAGUUGUCUUACCGAUGCCGCCCAUCCCCCAAAUGCCAAUAAUUUGAGUGUCCGGGCAAGCAAGAUCCACCAAUUCCAUGACCUCGGCGACACGAUUGUCGAUUGCAACCAAGUUUACGGGAAGAUGUGGUUGAAAAUCGUGUUGCUGCUCACGCAAUAUUAUGUCUAUGAGUUCAUUUACUAAUUCCCCUUCACGCCUGUCAAACAACACAACACUUGAUAAGUUAUUAAUGGCUUACAAAACAUGAAUUAAGGAUGAUAAAUAGAAAAGUUCUUCUUCUGACAAUGAUCUGUUAAAAGAAGGUAAACGAAGUACCCAUCAGCAAAUUUCUCUGAUUCGAAUACUCUAAGAUCAACUGCUUUUCUAAGAGCUAGCAGCCCCUGUUGCUCGACCUCCUUCUCAAAUUUAUCCUUACAGGAUUUGUAGGCCUUUCCAAAGGCCCCCUUUAGUUUUCGCACAUGCUUGGGUUUCACCUUGUAAAGCACAGGCAAGACUAUUUGUCCUCUGCUUUCCUUGCACUCCAUCAUAUGAAUGAGCUCGCGGAGGCACCAUUCGCUGGCAGCAUAAUUUUCCGAGAUGACUGGGAUUGAAACCUUAGAGCACUCAAUUGCACUGAUGAGAUUUUUGCCAAUGUUCUCACCGAAGGCGAGGUCCUCAUCAUCUCUGAACACGAAGUUUGGAUGGAACGACAGGCCCACAGCUUUGAGUCUUUGGUAGAGGUGAUCGACGAAGCCUUUGCGAGUAUCAGGGCCUCUAAAGCUCAAGAAUACAUAAUAAUUGUUUCCAUUCACAGAGGUGGAUGAAGUAGGUGGGUCAAAAGUCGCUCCGGACGCCGAUGGCACGUCAGGUCUUGGUCGCUUCGAAAUGGUCGGACUCGAAGCAUCGGUGUCUCUAACGCACUUGCGUUGUUGCUUUGAGCGAUCCUUUCCCAUUGCAGUGCACGACUCUCUCUCUCCCCCCCCUCUCUCUCUCUCUCUCUCUCUGUCUCUGAGACUCGACUGGUGUGGAUAGUUUUUGAGGUGAUGGAAGAAGGGGGUGAGUACAGUGGUUUGCUUGUCAACCAGGAAGAUGUCUCCGUUCGGCUGCAGGGGUUUCAGCUGGGAAGCGUACUCGAGCUGGUGAAAGAGUAAUAAGAGAAAGCAAGAGGCGAGGCAGGAAGACGAAGCAGGAUUGUCGUUUCAUAUAUUUCAUGUGUUUAUAUUGGGAUCCAGAGACGCGUUCCAAUUUUGACAAAAAAAAAUAAUUGUUAAUUGACUAGAAGCAAUUCUUGUGGUCCUCGCUCCUCGCCCUCGACGUCUGCUCCCAACUGGCCUUAGCAACCACCCCCAUUAUAUAAAAUUUAAAAAAAAAUGAAAGAAAAGAACAUAUUAGCUAUAUUGCCACUAUAAUUAUAUUACCGUGAUCACAAUAAUUAAUUAUUCAAGAAAUAUACUUUAUCUUCAUUAGAAUAAGAGAUUUCUGCAAUAUUAAAAGUAAUUAUACCCCAUUGAGUUAAAGCCAAAAAAUAUUUAGUUCAAUUAAAGUAGAAAAGUAAAAGGAAAAUUUUUCAAAAAUAAGUUCGAAUAGACAUUCUUCAUGAAAAUUGUCGCUUGCCAAUUACCCAUUAAAAAUGCUUUGGUGAACCACUUUUAUAUUUAUCUAAUAAGAUAGAUCCACCAUAUCUAUUUUAGAUCUAUAUAUGAAUCAUAUUUCAUUUUAUAAGCUUAAUUUAUAUAUCAAAAAAAUUAUGUUCUCUUUUUUUUUGGCAAGCACAUCAACAAAUUUGCUUUUAAUUAACUUGUGGACUUCGGUAAAUGACAAAAAUAAUAAACAUAACUAUCGAACACUCAUGUUCUUACUUUUCUUUGAUUUUUUUUUGCCCAAAUGACAUCAAACACUAUUUGCUUUGAUAUGACAGCCACCCUCACAUUACUAGAAAGCAUUCACCAAUUAUUUUUCUCAACCAGCCCCACCACUCCUCUUUAUGAGUCUCAAAGGCCAUCAUGACCCUCUUCCUUAUUACUGUCCAUGUGAAACGCACUGGUUGCCAGUCUAAAAGAAAAAGGAAAGAACUUUAAAGCACUAACGCAAUCGGAAUAUUCCCAGGAAUGUUCGCGCGAAGUUUCGUUCGAAGAGCCUUAUUUCCACUCAAUUGAACUUCCUUGUAGUGAGUGUAGAGUAGGAAUAGAGUAGAACUGAUCAAAAAAAAAAAAACUUCAUUGUAGUGGAGCAUCAUUGGAUCGACAAAUCAACAUCUAUUGCGAGUCUAACGGUAGGGAGCUACAUGGGAGAAUAGAGCUCUUGAAGUCGCAUGCAAAGGUAAAGCUAAGGUUCCUAAAGUCAAGGAUUUUGUCUUUCAAUAUUGUGGGCUUCAAUGUUGAGGAAAUUUUGGCUACACAUUUCGCUCAUGGAGCUGUAAAUGGAGCAGUGAUAGUUUUCAAGCAAUAGAUUAACUCCCACUGAACAUGAGAAAAAAUUAUUAUCAAAAAUGAUAUGGUGCCCACAUUGCUGAGAUACGGCAAGUAGUGCAGGCUUCUGUUCAGGAUCGAGACACUACAAAGGCCUCGACGAUUGCUGCAUGAAGCGCGAUACCCCCUUUCUCCUUUCUUUUCCUUUAAUUUAUUUUCAUUAAAUAUCAUUUUCUUUCCUACCAAAGGAAUCUCAUAUUCCUUUCGAUCUUGAGAUUGAGUAAUUGUAUAUUUUCUUAAAGAAAUAAGAAGGUUGUGUUUGGGUGUGAAAGAACUAAGGCAAUAAGAAAAUUGAAGAUAUAGAGAGAGAAGAAAAUAAGAAAUAAAGGAAGGAUAUAAAGAUGAGGUCUGAAUGGAAAUGACGCGUUUAACUUUACAUAGGGAAGGGUGCGUGUGCUGAGGACGAUCAUAUAUUUCGACUUACAAGUCAAAAGUGGUAUCUUAUCUUAAUUAGAUUUGGACAAAGAACGGUGGGCACCCCUUCAUUCACGGUUACUAAGCAAUACAUUGCGACAUGUAAUUACACCUUACACUACAUUGGUUGGGUGGCCUUUUUCGAUCAUUGUAUUUCGCAAAUGGAAAUAAUCGGUCUUUCUAUCUCAUGAGUCGGGGACCUUCGUGACUUUCCCCGUCCGUCCGUACGGCUCGACUUUCCAAGUCUGCAAAGCCAUGAACCUCUCCUUUUUGGCGUGUCAAUGUGAAACAAGCUGGCUGCCUCCAGCUGUUCAAAAGAAAAAACAAGAAACAGACUUAAAGCACCCACAUCAACCAUCACGUUCCCGAAUCAGCCUCCUGAAGUUUUCGUCCGAGUAGCCUUUUUUGACUCUUAUUCAAGUUCUGUGCAGCACGCGCAUAAAUUGACAAAAGAUACCGUAAUUUUUAUCUUCAAUGAAAAUAAUUAUGAGAAAUCAACCUCUACUUAUUGAGGCUACUGUGCAGAAAACAGUUCACUCCGACGAGACGACAGAGUUUUUUCCUAAAGCGGUUAGCUCUUUGUGGCGUGCUCCAUGUACGCACCAAGGGACAUAUGGGGAUCCAAUUUCGUGGAAUUUCGAAAAUAGUUGGGCAUUGGACCUAAGCAUGUCCUUAAACUGCUUUACCCUGAAUCGGGCAUCCCAAACAAACAAACAGUAUUUGAGAUCAAAGUUGGAUACUCGCACUGGGAUCAGCUGACCUGUAAGAGCACCGAACCGGCAUGGUGGGAGGUACGAAAUGAAGCUUUCUUGGGCCAAGAGAGCUGAAAAAGCAUGGUAUCAAAUAAUAUAAGCAGCUUUUCAUAGAUAUUGAAAUAGGACCCGUUUAUAGUUACAGUUUCAAAACUUCCUUCGCCAAGACUUAAGUCUGGAAUGUCUCAGUUACUCGAACGGGAGUGUCUGGACCCUGAAGCAGUUUGCUCAAAGUGGUGUGUUCUACCAAUCUUUGCCUUCCUCUGCUAAUAACCACUACCCGCAAAAGGAGUCCUUCCAAGGUCCCUAGGCGACGAAAAUGGAACGGGAUUAGGCGAGCAUGUUAGUCGUUUGAUUGAGAGAGGAAGCUGUGCACUUUCAUAUGCAUUCUAUAAGCUACUUGCUCAGGUGGUCCAGUUAGGAACAUUCUAGGAAAACUACAAUUCUUCAUUAAGAAUAAGUUCCUUCAAAAUCUCGGACACUGAAGAAAAAUUAUCAUUCAUAAAAAAGUUAUUAAUAAUGGGAGCCUCAAUGUCACUGGCACUCGUAGAGAAAGUAUGAUCUCAUUUUUAUAUACAAAUGUUAUCUACUAGCUAGAGAUAGAUCCAUCAUUAAGUGUCAAGUGUACUCAUUACCCAUUGAAAUUUUUUGGCAAGUUACUAUUACUUUUAUUUAAUAAGUUGAUUCAUUGUAUCCAUUUUAGAUCUAUAUAUGAAACGUAUUUUAUUUUAUAGGCUUAACUCAUAGCUCUAAAAAAUUAUGCUCUCUUUUUUAUGUGCAAGCACAUCAACAAUAUUGCUCUUAAUUUUUACCAAAAAAACAAUAUUGCUCUUAAUUAACUUAUGAACUUUGACAAUGACAAUGAUUUAAGAUAAUAAACUUAACUGUCGGGCACUCAUGUUUUCACUUACUUUUCUUUGAUUUUUGGCCCAAAUGACAUUAGCAAUAUUGUUUUUAAGACGACAACCACCAUCACAUUACUAAAAAGCAUUCGCCGAUUAUUUCUCUCGUCCAUCCUACCACCUAUCUUUCCAAGUCGCCAAGGCCAUCAUGAACUUUUCCUUUUAGGGUCAAUGUGAAACGCGCUGGUUGAAGGUCCAAAAGAAAAUGGGAAAAGCUUAAAGCACCGACACGAUGGAUCGGUACGUUCCCAGAAAAUCCGUGUGAAUUAUUUGUCCUCCAAUUGAACCGUGUAGUGGGGGCAUCAUUGGAUCUGGAAAUCAACGUCCAUAGGCUACCAUGUAGCAAAUAAAAAGUCUACCAGUAGGAAACUAUUUGGGGGACACACAAUAAAUGCUUUCACAGGAAAAUGAAGGAUGAGGAGCUCUUGACGUGUACGUGAAGCCAAGGUUCAUAAAGUUUAGAAUUUUGCCCAUCGAAAUUUGUGGGCUGAAACCUUUGUGGGUUAACGUGUGAAUCGGCCUCCCAUGUGAUGCACGGUUUGAUUUAUUAUUACCAUUUGGUCAUCCUAAAAACUUAAUAAGAACCAUUCUUUAUCUAAAUCCUUGAGCUUCGUUGACUACUCCGAACUGAGUCGUUGUGGGAUCCUAAUAUAAUUUCAAUUUAUAUAAAUAUUUUAAAAUCGCUAUCUUAUUAUUUGAUGCAUAAUUCGAUUCAUUUCUACCUCCUUUGUCAUCUUAAAAGUUUUUGUUUUUUGAUAAAGUUUGUCAUCUUAAAAGUUCAUAAGGAAUUACUCUUUAUUUAGACUCUCUAACUCUAUCCUCAUCGAAUCAAAUUAUUAUAUUAUUAAAAGAUAAAUUCUUAAUAAGGCGAGCAUCAAUUGUUUAAUUGGUGAUGAAUUACCCAAAAUGAUGAGAUGUUAUUUUGUUGCAUUUGCGUUAUCUCUCGCAUCACAUCUCUAGUGAAUUAUAAAUUUAUCUUCGUGCUCAGUUAAAGGAUUACCUUGUUGGCUUCUUUAGCAUUGUAGAAAUCAUAUUUACAAAACGAAUAGUACCUCUCCUUUCGGAUGCCCUCUUUUCCAUUUCCCACACUUUUCUCCUUCCUUUUUCUUUAAUUUAUUUUCGUUAAAUAUCCUUUUCUUUCCUACCGAAAGAAACUCCUACUCCUUUCGUGCGUGGCCAGAGAGAGAGAGAGAAGGGGGGGGGGGGGGGGGUAAUCGUGGAUUUUCUUGAAGAAAUAAAGGUUGUGUCUGGGUGUGAAAAAACAACGACAAGAAGAAAAUUGAAAAGAGAAGAAAAGGAAAAUAACCUCAUGUUACACCUUACAAGUCACAAGUGGAAUUGUAUCUCAAUUAGAUCUGAAUGAAAAAUGACCAAAACCACUUCACUCACAAUUAAUUUGAUGAAGGAUGAUGAAUGGUAAUUUCAUGAUUUGAGUCACAAGCAAUGCAUUGCGACGUGUAAUUACACCUCCACUACAUCGGUCGGCGGCUUUUUUAACCAUUGUGUUUCGCAAAUGAAAAAAUCAGUCUUUCCAUCUCAUGUGGACUGUGACGCACAUCUAUCUCCCUCUUCUUUUCCUCCUUUCCUUUUCUGCUUAUUAUUCCAUGGACGAACAGAUGCAGAGAAACACAGAGACCUCUCUACUUCACUCAAUGAACCCGCAGUCCCUCUGUCUCGUCGCGAAUUCGCAGUGCUUGAGCGACCUGUAAAGAAUCACACAUAAUAUUUGAUCGACUGCUUCCCAGGGGACCUUUGUCGCUUUCCUCAUCCGUCCCUACCGCUCUUCUUUUCCGAGUCUGCAAAGCCACGAGCCUCUUCCUUUUGGCGUUAUUGUGAAACACGCCGGUUGCCUCCAGCUUUUCAAAAGCUAAAGGAAAAGAGGGUUAAAGCACCCACAUCAAUCAGUACGUUCUCUGAAUGGUCGGCCUGAAGUUUUGUCCGAGUAGUCUUAUUCAAGUUCUGUGCAGCACGCUCAUCAUCGGAUCGAGAAAUUAAUAAGAGAUUCCAUAAUUAUUAUCUUAGACGAAAACAAUUAUCAGAAAUCAAUGUCUACUUACCGAGGCUACUAUGUUGGAAAUAGUAAGGGUAAUAGUAUGAAGCUAUAUGGGAGACGUACAAUAGAUGCUUUCACAAGAAAAUGAAGAGGAGUUAUUGAAGUCAUCCGUGAAAGCUCAGGUUCUUUCAAAGUUUUUGGGCUCCAAACUAAGGAGAAAAAGAAAGAGUUGCCUCAUCCGUGCGGGAAAGAAACAAAAAAAAGUUCGCUUUGCUUCAAGUGCUUUUGCGGGUCAUGUGAGAAAAACAAUCUUAAUAGUAAGUGUAAGCUUUCACUCAUAAUAAAUUAUGUUUGGUAAUUGUGCGACAAAUUUUUUUUUUUUUGUGUAUGUCGUAUUCAUACUAUAUUUUCAGUUAAAUAUGUCCCGAGCCGAGUUGCUAAUUACAAUUUUCUCAUGUUGCAACUACCGCGCUUUUGUACCCGACAACAAUGAGUGAUAAAUCAUGUCUAGUUUCGGAAUGAAUUUUGCUGCAAGGUUACCUCCAGAUGCUUUUUCAACCAAACAACUAACGACCUUUUUUUUUUUAAAUAAAAAUUUGAAGACAUGGCAUAAUUUGUGCAAUGCUCAUAGCUCUCGAAGUAGGCAAGUGGGAACAAGAUAUGAAUGGAUAGGCAUGAUCACAUGCAUCGUACCAAAAGCCACGUACAUCAUACUCGUUAAUGUUUUUUGUAUUUUAAACCGGUUAUCACAUCGGAAAAAUCGUCAAAUCAGUUAUAAUCUUAUUAUAUAGAUAUCAAUUUAAUCUUAAAUUUUAUAAUUUUAUCAAUUUAAUUCUAAAUCUUUAUACAGUAUUUCAAUAUAGCCCUUGUGAUCAAUUUUUAAUGAAAAUCAUUGGACAAUCUAAGAUAAUUAAAUCACAAUAUCAAUGAUUUUCGAUAGAAAUAGGCCAUAGAGGUUAUAUUAAUAUAUUAAACAAAAGUUUAGAUGAUUAAGUUGAUAAAAUUGUUAUAUUCUACCGAGAUUGUUUUCGAAAGUGACGCGUGAUGCAAUAGUGGCGAUAUGGCACUAGUGCUGAAAUUAUUGGAAGCCUUCCAUGAGGUUUGCUCUCUGGAGUCAUUGUGAAAAUAUGGAAUGCAUUUGUACGAAUUGACCGACACGCACUAUCCCUGAAAGCUCAAUCUGUGGUUGGCAUGGACGGAGUACAAACACGAGUUGGAAAAGGAAUGUGAACCUUCAAGAAACCUAUCUCCACAGUGAUUGUUUGGGGGGCUUGUGUACACUACCUUGGUCCAGUACCUCAACUUGAACUUCACAUACAUUUUGGACCUCAAUUGCUAUAUUCUAACGCUUGAAUGAAAAUAAUAUAAAAUCAUAACAUGAUUUUCCCGGACAGAAUGAAUAUAAUCGACAUUCCACACUUGGUCAAGUUUGACACGUAAAUCUAAUUAAGGAAUCCUAUAAGGAAUCCUAGAUGGCCGGGGAAUCUUGUGAAGAAAAUAUAGCAGUUGAUCAACACAUACUAAUGAUUUACCAUGAAAAGAUUGUUAAGGGACUAAGAUAGCUGAACUUAAGGAAUUUCUUGAAGAGAACAUAUGGGUUAGUUGAAGCAAUUGUUCUUCUAGUUGAGUAUCCUCGUGGAUAAUAUGAAAUGGAAAGAAUUUACACAAGCUAAUAAAUAGAACCAAGUAUAUUUUAUACGGAGGAAGCGAAUUAUUCUUCAAAAGAAGUGUUUCGAGAAAAUUAUAACUCAGAUAACAUUUAUCUACAACUCUACUAACACUUUGCUAGCAUCAUCAAAAUCUCAAAUUUUAUCAAUCAAGUACUAUUCUCUACACCAUAUGCAAUUUAGAAUAAUAAAUAAAAAAGAAACCAUGCAUCCACACACAAUUUCGAGUAGGAAAAUUUUCCUUUUGAAAAUACAUAAAAUUAACUCAAUUUCUCUCUUUCAGCUAUACGCAAUUUUUUCUAUAUUUCAAAUCUCGAAUGAAUUCGUGUAUUCCCUAAAUGUUUGUACAUAAUAGGUUAAAUUCAGUCACUUAUUCUGAAUUUUCCAAUUGAAUCGGAGAUAAGAUAGAGACGACAUCACCAUCACAUUAUCAAAAAGCAUUCAUCAAUUAUUUUUCUCAUCCAUCCGGCCUUUUAGAGCCGAUGGGAAACGCAUUGGUUGCCGGCCCAAAAGGAAAUGGAAAAAACUUAAAGCACCGACACCAUCAGUAUGUCCCAGGAACGACCACAUGAAGUAUCUGUCCUCUAAUUGAAUCGUGCAGGGCAUGUCGGGGGUCGGAAUGUGAACGAGAUUGGAGCACUGGAGGCUAAGUGAUCGCACCACGUUCGAGCUUUGACCCACUUGAACUCGACGCCACACAGCAACUCGUCCUCGCCUUCUGCGGUCGGGCGUUCUUGAGAGAAACGAAUUGGCACAUACCAUAACGAAAGAGCCCGAAGUUCAGCAAGCAAACUCCACCAAGCACACACCCAUCGCCAACCAAACCCUGUGCGAAAUUCAAGAACUGAAAAACCGCAACGCUCCUAGAUCAGUCGAAUUCCAAACGCACUGACAACGCCGGCCCAACCCCGAUCAUGGGGUUUCGGCGCAGACCCAAGAAAAACAGAAUCAUACCCACGAAUCGAAAUUGAACAAACACCCGAACGGACGAACAAGAACAGGGGGAGAAAAGAGAGAGGGAUUGGGUGCGCGAGAGAGAGAGAGAGAGAGGGAACAAACCGAGAAGACUGAUAAUAAGCUGAUCCGUUUACCAUCCAGCGACGAAAAGGAAGUAAAGAGGGAGGAAGAGAGAGAGAGAGAGAGAGAGGCGUAUCAGGUAGAAGAGAGAGGAGAGAAAAAGAGGUGGCGAGAGUGGAGGCGAUGCUGCAAGAAUCGGAGAGAGCGAAUGCUGCUAGAAUCGAUGUAAAGAAAAGAGCCUUCGCAUGAUGGACCGCAGAACAAAGGAGGUGAAAGAGCAUCGAGAAAGGUAGGGUUUUGUUUUAUAUUGGGUAAAAUUGUAUUUUUAAUAAAAUUUUGAGGGUAAAAUGGGCAAUCGGCAUUUUAAAGACAAACAUUUUGUCAAGGAGCCUUUAAAUAUCGAACUAAACACCCUUAAAUUUUUUUUAAGGAGCUUUGGGGACUUAAAAUCUAUUGAGAAAGCUGAACGAAACACCUUUUAUGUAAUAGUAAGUCUCCCGGUUGGGAAAUAUUUGGGAAACACCCAAUAAAUGUUUUCACAAGGAAAUGAAGGAUGAGGAGCUCUUGACGUGUAUGUGAAGCCAAAGUUCAUUAAGUUUAGGAUUUUGUCUUUUGUGGACUUCAAUCUUUGAGGUUAAACGUGUGAAUCUUUUGCUCUGAAAUUUUAGCUACACGCAUUUCAAAAAAUUUUGCUCCAGAAGUUAACGUAGUUAAAGCAAUAGAGUGGUGCCUACAAUUAGGGCAUUUGAAAGCUUCAGAAUGCGAAGCUUCACAAGUAAAAAGAAAAAGAGAAUUGGCUUGUCCGUCCGUGAGGGAAAGAAAUGUUCUGACUUCUUUAUUUUUUUGGUCGGUAUGUUCUUACUUCUUUGCUUUAGCCUUUUGGCCCGACUGUUCCAAGUAAUAUUGGUUUUUGCGAUUUUUUUUAUGAUAAACAGAAUUAAUUUUGAGACCUCAUGUUCCGAUUGUUUAUAAUUUUUCUUGUGACAAUUUGCAACUUUUGAAAGGAAACAAGCAACACAAGAUAUGACAUGAUCUUAAAUUGACGAAAAAAAGAGAAACUAAAAGCAAAGUGAGUUGGGUGGCCACAUGUGUACACCUUAGAGGCUCCCUUCCCAUGCACUAUUAAUGAGUUAUAAAUAUAGACAUCAUUCAUAUUUAAUUUUAGUUAAGUUUACAUAUUGGUAUUUCUAUAAGUUCGACACCAAUCAAGAUAUAAUUAGAGGUAAUUUUUUCCAAGUAGGUACAAAGGAAAAAGUGACAUCGCUUAAUAACGAGGAAAAUCACUUCAAAUUAGAUACAUUAUAAUCACACUCUUAGGCUACAUGCAUCUGGAAUAAGAAUGUGAGAUCUCAUUCUUACAUUUUAGGGAAUGUUCCAUUCUACCCUUCAUGACUUGGAAUUUGGUGCAUGUCCGAUCUCAUCGAACUUCAAAAAGCCACAUCCCUCUUCCAUAUAAUCCAAACUUGUAUUUUGUUAUGCUCAUUAACACUGCUAACUUUUUUCUGAACGACACGUCUUUUAUGGGAUAAAUAAGAUAUAUAUCUUAUAUAAUCUAAAAUGCUUUUUUUUUAAUGAUAUACACCUUUUAUUAAAAGAUAAAUUCUUGAUAUGAUGACCAUUGAUUGUCUAAUUGGUGACAGAUUACUCGUAAUGAAGAAAUGUUGUUUUAUCGUGUUUGCGUCACAUCUCGGAUCAAUCACGUCCAUGGUUAACUACAAAUUUAUCUUUCUGCUAAGUUAAACGAGUACCUAUUGGCUUUUUUGGCAUUGCAGAAGUUGUAUUUACAGAAUGAAUAGUACGUCUCCUUUCAGAUUCUCUCUUUUCCAUCCCCCACUUGCGUCACAUCUCGUGUCACGUCCAUCGUUAACUACAAAUUUAUCUUUGUGCUAAGUUAAACGAGUACCUGUUGGCUUUUUUGGCAUUGUAGAAAUCGCAUUUACAGAAUGAAUAGUGCAUCUCCUUUCGGAUGCUCUCUUUUCCAUACCCCCCUCCUUUUGUCCUUCCUUUUUCUUUAAUUCUUUUUCGUUAUUUUUCCUUUUUCUUUCCUACCGAAAGAACGUACUAGUCCUUUGGUGGGUGGCGAGAGAGAGGGGUGGGGGGGAGAGAGGGAAGGGUAAUUGUGGAAAAUAACCUCAUAUUACACCUUACAAGUCACAGGGGGGUUGUAUCUUAAUUAGAUCUGAAUGAAAAAUGACCAAAACCACUUCAUUCACAGUUAAUUUGGUGAAGGAUGAUGAACCGUUAUUUCGUGAUUAGAGUCAUAAGUAAUGCAUUGAGACAUGUAAUUGCGCUUGUACUGCAUCGGUCAGGGCCUUUCUCUAUCAUCGUGUUUCGCAAAUGGAAAAAUCGGUCUUUCGAUCUCAUGAAUCGUGGACGCAUCUCUCUCUCUCUCUCUCUCUCUUCCUUCCCUCUUUUCCUUUUCUGCUCGUUAUUCCAUGGUGGAACAGACCCACGGUCCCUUUGUCUCAUCGUGAAUUCACAGUGCUUGAGCGAGGUGUAAAAAGAAACGCUCGUGAUAUUUGACCGACUGCUCCUUGGGGGACCUUUGUCACUUUCAGCAUCCGUCUGUACCGCUCUUCUUUCCAAGUCUGCAAAGCCACGGACUUCUUUUUGGCGUGUCAAUGUGAAACACGCUGGUUGCACCCACAUCAAUUAUUACGUUCCCCCAGUCAGUACGUUCCCUUUGUUCACUCUCAUUCAAGUUCUGUGCAGCAUGUGACAAGAGAUUCCGUAAUUCUUGUCUUCGACGAAAAUAAUUAUCAGAAAUCAACGUUUACUUGUCGAGGCUACUGUGUCAGAAAUAGUACGGGUAAUAGUAGGGAACUAUUUGGGGGACGUACAGUAGAUAGAUGCUUUCGCGAGAACAUGAAGAUGAGGAGCUAUGAAGUCAUAUGAUAAGCUGAGGUUCUUUCAAAGUUUGUGAGCUUCAAACUGAGAAAAUUAACAUAGAGUUGGCUCAGAAAUAAAAGACUUCACUCCAAGCCUUUUUGCAUGUCGUGUGAAAAAAAACAAUUGUAAUGGUAACUGUGUGACAAAUAUUUUAUUUGUGUGUUAUAUUUAUACCAUAUUUACAAAUAAAUAUUUCCAGAGUUGCUCAUUCUAAUAUUUUUCGUGUUACCGUUGCCGUGCUUCCAUGCCCAACAACAAUUGAUGGUAAAGUGACAUCCACUUUCAGAACGAAUUUCACUUUAAAUUUAUCUCCACAUGAUUUUCCAAUGAAACCAUAAACGAUCUCCUUUUUUAUUAUUAAAUAUUUGAAGACAUGGCAUAAUUUUUGCAAUGCUCAAUUGCUCAUAGCUCAAAGCUAGAGAGUCACGAUGGUUACCUGAUUUGGAAUAGUACCCAACCCACGUGGCGGGGGGCAUGAAGUGCCGUUUUCUUGACAAUGUCUUUCGGUAGCUUUACUAUUACUUGUAUCCACACUUGAUUUGCUCUUUCGUUCCCAACACCUUUCCUUCCGACUCAGUGAUUCUCCUUUCCAUGACACCCUUCAUUUUGAGCUUCAUCUGCUAUUUAGGGCCUAUUUGAUAAAUUUUAUUUUAUUUCUUGGAAUAAAAAUUUCCGUUCUUUUGUUCCCGGGAAUGAAAAAAAUAGAAACGUGUUUGGUAAAACUUUUAUUUUCAGGAAAAAAAAAUCUAUUUUUAUUGUUCCCGAGAAUAGAUUUAGAAAAAAAAUAAGAAAUAGAAAAAAAAAUAGUUUCUUGUUCUCAAGAACAAUUUGUAGAAUCAAUUUUUCUCUCUUUUCUUUUUCUUCUAUUUUCUUCUUCUCUUUCUUUUCUUUUUCUUCUCCUUCUUUUUAGUUGGUCACUGGCCUUGGCCAAGACUAGCCUCGGCGAUCGGUCAAACGAGGGCCUGUGACCUUGCCGGAGCAUUGCCGGCCCCCAAAGACAUCAAGCCACGAUGAGGCUCGUCGGCCCGAGCCUCGCGGUGGCUGGGUGAGGCACAAUGAGGCUCGACUUCCCUAGUUAACGUGAGGUUGAGCCUCGUCGGUGGCUUGGUGAGGAGGCUCAACCUUACCCCAGAUCUAGUGAGGUUGAGGCUUACCGAGGCCAAGCUGGCCUCCGGUGAGCUCACUAGAUGUUGCCUAGCUGAUUGCCUGCCACGGUAGUGGUCGAGAACUGGCCAAAGAGAAAAAGAAAAGGGAAAAAGAAAAAAGGAAAAAAAUAAGAAAUAAAAUUAAAAAUUUAAAAGAAAUAAAAAAAUCUAAAAUUAAACGUAUUUCUAUUUCAAAAAUAGAAAUUUUGGGAAGUUAUCAAAUGCGUUCUUUUGCCCAGAAAUUGUUUCUGAUAACGGAAACAUAAAAAAUCAUUUCUCAUAAAAAAUUGUUCAUCGGAACAGAAUCGUUACUAAACGCACCCUUAUUAUGUUAAGCAAAUUCACUAUCAAAAUUGAUAAAGAUAAGUGGAGAAGUUCAUCAUUGAUAAAAUUCUGAUUUUUUCUAUGAUAUUAAAGGUUAAUCAUCUUGACUUACAUGUUCUUAAUGAUCUAUCAUGAUAUUUUCGAGUCAGAUGUCUAUCAAAAAUAAAGAAUUGAGAUGAAUGGACAUUCAAGAUUUAACUAUGUGAUCUUUUGAUGACACUAAUCAUUCUCAAUGACCUUAGCUUUCCCACAUAUUUAAUCAACAUAAUACUUGACUGGGAGGAAUCAUCCCUCUCUCUCCUAGACUCUUGAAAUCAAUUUUGACAUCCCAAACAUAAUAUAUUUACAAGUAGUGAGUAUUUUUUAGCUAGCAAAAAUGCGAAUCUCAAUCCUGCUCAUGCAUGCAGUGAUGCUUGCUCUUCUCUAGAAAUUACUCAAUUUUUUUCUUUUUAAUUGUGUAUAAAGUGAUGGUGGAUUGUCCAUUAAUAUGGGGCUUUUUAUUUUUGUGGUUGAUCAACUACUACUGAACAUGAGAAAAAUUAUUGUCGAAGAUGACAUGGUGCCUGCAUCGCUGAGAUAGCAAUUAGUGUGGGCUUCUAUACAACAUAUAGAUGUUCACGAUUGAGACCUUGCGAUGGCCUCACCAAUUGCUGCAUGAAGUAAGACGCCCGCAUCCAAGUUUUCAGCCCAAAUGAAAACCGCAAAUAUUAAAAAGAACCAGAAAACCCAAUUGAAGUUCUAAGGGGCCUAAUGAUUAAAGAAAAAGUUUUAAUUUUAGUUUUCAAUGUAAACGAAAAUUUUUCAUUUCCGGUCUUUUGUUCCCUUGAGCGUAUGCUCGGCUCGUAGAAAUAAGAACUUCAAAUAGGAAUGUAAAUUUGGACCUGUUUGCUGUGCCUUUGCGAUCCGUCAUUAUGCACCUUCUCCAGCAAAAUUUUACCCAAUUGAGUUGGAAUUAAUGGAUAUCCUCUCUUGAUGGGAAUCCUACCCCAAUGGUGGUAGUUUUCACCCAGAAAACCCUAAUGCUCUUCACUGAAUACAGCAGUCAUUUCAUCUAAUCUCUACCAAGAUGCAAAUCUCCCGUUUCCUUUUCAACUUCGGCCCUUUACCCAAAAUCCCCAACCUUCCCAUAAAUCAUGUUCACUGUUCCAUAACCCCAACCCAGCUUUUGAUACAACCCGAUCUCCAUUCUAUAGCAUCACGCCCUACAAGUACAGGGCAUGCAAUCAAUGACCAUAAUAUAAGCUGAAAGCAACAACCCUGGUUAAUCCUCGCCCAAAUUUUAAACCCCAAAUCCCGACCUACCCCAUCAGCCUUCCAGAGCAUUGCAUUGUGUUUGGACAGCAUUUUGCCAUUACAGUGUAUAGUGAUACAACCCCAAGAAUGAAUUUACAGGAAUAGCUGCUUCUGGCGUACUUUUCUCACAGGAAGUAAGGUGCCUGCCUCUCGUGCAUCUUCAAUGGAAGAAUUCCACACCUCAAAUCCUCUGUAGAAAAUUGUCUGCAGACAAUUGGGCAACUUUUGGUCAGAAAAGACCUGGCAGAGAUAGAUGGUAUGGUCCCAACUGAGAGAAUAUAGAAUGUCAUCUAACUAUGUUUGGGCAAUUGUUCGACAACGCCAAUAACAAUCUCCAAGCCUUCCAAAACACUAUGGAGGGGGCAUGGAGAGUGGAUUCCAGUUACCUUUGAUUAGGUAGACCUCGAGAACUUUAGCCUUUAUCUUUAAGUCUGAAAAUGAAAUGAACAUAAUUCUUGAGACAAGGCCUUGGUCUUUCUCUAGCAGUCCUUUGGUGCUUAAACCAUGGCCAUCAACCACUUUGCAGUAUAGUUACGAUUACACACAUUACGAGUUUUGGGUUCAAGUGCACAGAUUACCUACGGAUAGGGUCUCGGAGGAAACCAUAAGGCAAAUACAGCAGCAGCGGGCUUGUUAACUGAAGUGAAAAUUGAUACAAAGGGGUUUAGCUCCUAUACAGGUGGAAAAGCUAGAGUAAGAACUGAUUUACUGUCCCCCUUGAAACUCGGGACAUUUGCCAGCCAAGGAGGAAAUAAACUAUGGGUCGACUUUAAUUAUGAGAGAUUACCGCACUUUCGUUAUGCAUUCAUUAUGCAUGUAGUUGCAUAGGGCAUUAUGCUAAGUUCUUUGAGGAAGAAGAAUAUGACGAGAACUGGUUAGAAAUCGAUGAUCCUAGUUGCUUUGGAAGAAGAACCCUCUUUGGAAGCUAUUCCAUGCAAAACCAGAGGAGAUAAUCAUAGAUGAUGAGAUUAUUCCAGAAACUCCUACCCCCACCCUGCAAAUGGUGUCCUAUGAGCCUACGGGAAAGAAUCCAUUGGUUCCUAGUAGUGGGAACAAUUUGGGAAAGUCAGCAUAGAUUUUUACUGAGGAGAUAGAAGCAAUUGGAAAAGGUGGCAUCAGUCCAUAUAAAAACAAAGGAAAGAGCUUGACGUUGAUAACAACUCCAAACCACUCCACAAUGCUGGAAGGCAGCUCAAAAGGCCCCCAAAAAGAAAUGUAGCAAGGUGAAGAAAAUAGGUGGAAACAAAACACAGUGAUGGUAUAGUCCUUACACUUCUCAAAAGGUGAACUCUCUUGCCUUAAAUGAGACCAAACUUUUGUAGACUCCAAUUCAGGUUUUGGAGGAUCCUAAGAUAUGGGCUUUGAUGACUAUCACUAAUAAGUCACUGAGGUUCCCAUGAUAAUUUUUUGCUGGAAUUAUUAGGGGUUAGGCACACCCAAGGCAAUAUUGGCAUUGAGGUCUGGAAAGGCCCAGCAUUAUUUUUCUGAUGGAAACAAAGAAUCAAGAAUCUGUGGUAUGAGCUUGAAACGAAUCCAAUUCCAGAACUGUGCAGUGAUGAAUUCAAAUGGAAUUGCAGGGGGAUCAGCAAUUUUACGGAAUGACAUGGUGGCACUAACAAUGGAAUCAAUCACAAAUGAAAUGCUUGACUUGACCUAAUUUGUACAGAUAGUGGAAACCAUAUGAGAAUUACCUUUGUACAUGCUCCAAUAAUCAGCCUCCAAAACCAGCUUCCGUCAAUUUGGUUUUUGUAUCAUUGGGAAAAAGUACGCAAGCAUAUGGUGGAGCACCAAAGGUCAAUGGCUUUUUGAGAUAUUAGACAUUAUAAAUGCAUGAUCUUUAAUGGAUCUGAAUGUAAAGGAUGUGCAUUUACAUGGCAAAUAAUAGGAAUGGGGAUGCCCAUGUGAAAGAAAGACUAGAUAAAGCUCCAUGCCAUGUGGAAUGAAGAGUGACAUCCCAAAAGUGGAAACGUAUGCCUUCUUAUAGGCACCGACCAUAGUCCCUAUCUUGCUAACUCUNNNNNNNNNNNNNNNNNNNNNNNNNNNNNNNNNNNNNNNNNNNNNNNNNNNNNNNNNNNNNNNNNNNNNNNNNNNNNNNNNNNNNNNNNNNNNNNNNNNNNNNNNNNNNNNNNNNNNNNNNNNNNNNNNNNNNNNNNNNNNNNNNNNNNNNNNNNNNNNNNNNNNNNNNNNNNNNNNNNNNNNNNNNNNNNNNNNNNNNNNNNNNNNNNNNNNNNNNNNNNNNNNNNNNNNNNNNNNNNNNNNNNNNNNNNNNNNNNNNNNNNNNNNNNNNNNNNNNNNNNNNNNNNNNNNNNNNNNNNNNNNNNNNNNNNNNNNNNNNNNNNNNNNNNNNNNNNNNNNNNNNNNNNNNNNNNNNNNNNNNNNNNNNNNNNNNNNNNNNNNNNNNNNNNNNNNNNNNNNNNNNNNNNNNNNNNNNNNNNNNNNNNNNNNNNNNNNNNNNNNNNNNNNNNNNNNNNNNNNNNNNNNNNNNNNNNNNNNNNNNNNNNNNNNNNNNNNNNNNNNNNNNNNNNNNNNNNNNNNNNNNNNNNNNNNNNNNNNNNNNNNNNNNNNNNNNNNNNNNNNNNNNNNNNNNNNNNNNNNNNNNNNNNNNNNNNNNNNNNNNNNNNNNNNNNNNNNNNNNNNNNNNNNNNNNNNNNNNNNNNNNNNNNNNNNNNNNNNNNNNNNNNNNNNNNNNNNNNNNNNNNNNNNNNNNNNNNNNNNNNNNNNNNNNNNNNNNNNNNNNNNNNNNNNNNNNNNNNNNNNNNNNNNNNNNNNNNNNNNNNNNNNNNNNNNNNNNNNNNNNNNNNNNNNNNNNNNNNNNNNNNNNNNNNNNNNNNNNNNNNNNNNNNNNNNNNNNNNNNNNNNNNNNNNNNNNNNNNNNNNNNNNNNNNNNNNNNNNNNNNNNNNNNNNNNNNNNNNNNNNNNNNNNNNNNNNNNNNNNNNNNNNNNNNNNNNNNNNNNNNNNNNNNNNNNNNNNNNNNNNNNNNNNNNNNNNNNNNNNNNNNNNNNNNNNNGAAAGAAUAAGUUACAAUUGGGCAUUCAUAAGGUAUGGUGAGCUCGGUAAAUAUGCUGAAAAGGGUUUUACUUUCUAGAGUAAAAUAUGCAAUCUUCUCCUUUCUUCAGAAUCUGCUAGGAUGAUUAAAAACCCGAUAGGCAACAAGCUAUUAUUCAACUAGGAAGAUUUUAUGACUUUGUAUCAUUGACAGCAGCAGAUGUUCCUUUUGGCUAAUAUAGCAACAGAUAGAGGUUCCUCCUUGUGGCGGUGCCUACUACUCUCUAAUCAAAUUACAGAGCAGCAGCUCCCACUAUCGCUAAAAGUAGAACACAGACAGAAUGAUAUCUUGGAUCACAUCUUGUUCUCCUAAAAGAUGAGCUUCAUAGUAGGACUAUGCCAGUUUACCAAUUGAUUGGCCUCAGAAGGUUUGACUUGAUGUCCCCGAGACUUCCCUGUAGAAAAAUGAAAAAGAAAAAGAGAUGAUGAUAUGAGAAGCUAAAGGCAAAAUCAUACUCUUUAGUACAAUCAUCUUUAGUGUAUGCAGAAAUCUUCAGUUCACAAUAGAUAACAGGUCUCUCUUAUCAUCACCUCAAAAAGUUUCUUAUGGUCACAUAAUCUGUUUAAAAGAAGCAAAUUAUUUGAACAGUCUGACAAAUCUAAUACAUCACAAGGAAACCCAAAUCCACAAACUAGCUUAGCAGCAUAUACCGCAUGUUUUGAAUUGCAUUCGUUGGCUUUAAAUAGUUAUUGCCAAAAUCUGAUACAUAAAACAUGAAGCAGUGAAUUGAAAAGCUAAGUGAGCACUUGUAUAUUUGUAAGCUGAUAUAACUAAAAGGAUGCUGAUCUUGUCAGGUUUUAUCCCCGCAUUGUGUAAGUUUGACCAGACAGUGAGGGCAUCAUCUCCCCGCCUGUGAAUAAUGAACCCCGAAAUCAAGCCAUUCCAUGAAACUAUAUCAUGUGCAGGCAUAAUGUUAAAAACUUUUUUAGCAGCAUCCAUAUUCCAACACUUUGAGUACCCAUCCUAUCAGACCCUAUAGUUCCACAAACACCAAGUAUUGAAAUUGAUGCAAUUUCAUCAAGAACUGUGCUCCCUUCUACUUUACAACGGCAAAAUAGUGAUAUUGCCUCAUCCGGCAGGCCAUUACGUGCAUACCCACAUAUCAUAGAAGUACAAAUAAUAGACCUAUCCCACUCAAAAAGGCCNNNNNNNNNNNNNNNNNNNNNNNNNNNNNNNNNNNNNNNNNNNNNNNNNNNNNNNNNNNNNNNNNNNNNNNNNNNNNNNNNNNNNNNNNNNNNNNNNNNNNNNNNNNNNNNNNNNNNNNNNNNNNNNNNNNNNNNNNNNNNNNNNNNNNNNNNNNNNNNNNNNNNNNNNNNNNNNNNNNNNNNNNNNNNNNNNNNNNNNNNNNNNNNNNNNNNNNNNNNNNNNNNNNNNNNNNNNNNNNNNNNNNNNNNNNNNNNNNNNNNNNNNNNNNNNNNNNNNNNNNNNNNNNNNNNNNNNNNNNNNNNNNNNNNNNNNNNNNNNNNNNNNNNNNNNNNNNNNNNNNNNNNNNNNNNNNNNNNNNNNNNNNNNNNNNNNNNNNNNNNNNNNNNNNNNNNNNNNNNNNNNNNNNNNNNNNNNNNNNNNNNNNNNNNNNNNNNNNNNNNNNNNNNNNNNNNNNNNNNNNNNNNNNNNNNNNNNNNNNNNNNNNNNNNNNNNNNNNNNNNNNNNNNNNNNNNNNNNNNNNNNNNNNNNNNNNNNNNNNNNNNNNNNNNNNNNNNNNNNNNNNNNNNNNNNNNNNNNNNNNNNNNNNNNNNNNNNNNNNNNNNNNNNNNNNNNNNNNNNNNNNNNNNNNNNNNNNNNNNNNNNNNNNNNNNNNNNNNNNNNNNNNNNNNNNNNNNNNNNNNNNNNNNNNNNNNNNNNNNNNNNNNNNNNNNNNNNNNNNNNNNNNNNNNNNNNNNNNNNNNNNNNNNNNNNNNNNNNNNNNNNNNNNNNNNNNNNNNNNNNNNNNNNNNNNNNNNNNNNNNNNNNNNNNNNNNNNNNNNNNNNNNNNNNNNNNNNNNNNNNNNNNNNNNNNNNNNNNNNNNNNNNNNNNNNNNNNNNNNNNNNNNNNNNNNNNNNNNNNNNNNNNNNNNNNNNNNNNNNNNNNNNNNNNNNNNNNNNNNNNNNNNNNNNNNNNNNNNNNNNNNNNNNNNNNNNNNNNNNNNNNNNNNNNNNNNNNNNNNNNNNNNNNNNNNNNNNNNNNNNNNNNNNNNNNNNNNNNNNNNNNNNNNNNNNNNNNNNNNNNNNNNNNNNNNNNNNNNNNNNNNNNNNNNNNNNNNNNNNNNNNNNNNNNNNNNNNNNNNNNNNNNNNNNNNNNNNNNNNNNNNNNNNNNNNNNNNNNNNNNNNNNNNNNNNNNNNNNNNNNNNNNNNNNNNNNNNNNNNNNNNNNNNNNNNNNNNNNNNNNNNNNNNNNNNNNNNNNNNNNNNNNNNNNNNNNNNNNNNNNNNNNNNNNNNNNNNNNNNNNNNNNNNNNNNNNNNNNNNNNNNNNNNNNNNNNNNNNNNNNNNNNNNNNNNNNNNNNNNNNNNNNNNNNNNNNNNNNNNNNNNNNNNNNNNNNNNNNNNNNNNNNNNNNNNNNNNNNNNNNNNNNNNNNNNNNNNNNNNNNNNNNNNNNNNNNNNNNNNNNNNNNNNNNNNNNNNNNNNNNNNNNNNNNNNNNNNNNNNNNNNNNNNNNNNNNNNNNNNNNNNNNNNNNNNNNNNNNNNNNNNNNNNNNNNNNNNNNNNNNNNNNNNNNNNNNNNNNNNNNNNNNNNNNNNNNNNNNNNNNNNNNNNNNNNNNNNNNNNNNNNNNNNNNNNNNNNNNNNNNNNNNNNNNNNNNNNNNNNNNNNNNNNNNNNNNNNNNNNNNNNNNNNNNNNNNNNNNNNNNNNNNNNNNNNNNNNNNNNNNNNNNNNNNNNNNNNNNNNNNNNNNNNNNNNNNNNNNNNNNNNNNNNNNNNNNNNNNNNNNNNNNNNNNNNNNNNNNNNNNNNNNNNNNNNNNNNNNNNNNNNNNNNNNNNNNNNNNNNNNNNNNNNNNNNNNNNNNNNNNNNNNNNNNNNNNNNNNNNNNNNNNNNNNNNNNNNNNNNNNNNNNNNNNNNNNNNNNNNNNNNNNNNNNNNNNNNNNNNNNNNNNNNNNNNNNNNNNNNNNNNNNNNNNNNNNNNNNNNNNNNNNNNNNNNNNNNNNNNNNNNNNNNNNNNNNNNNNNNNNNNNNNNNNNNNNNNNNNNNNNNNNNNNNNNNNNNNNNNNNNNNNNNNNNNNNNNNNNNNNNNNNNNNNNNNNNNNNNNNNNNNNNNNNNNNNNNNNNNNNNNNNNNNNNNNNNNNNNNNNNNNNNNNNNNNNNNNNNNNNNNNNNNNNNNNNNNNNNNNNNNNNNNNNNNNNNNNNNNNNNNNNNNNNNNNNNNNNNNNNNNNNNNNNNNNNNNNNNNNNNNNNNNNNNNNNNNNNNNNNNNNNNNNNNNNNNNNNNNNNNNNNNNNNNNNNNNNNNNNNNNNNNNNNNNNNNNNNNNNNNNNNNNNNNNNNNNNNNNNNNNNNNNNNNNNNNUCCUCCCACCACAGAACAGAACAAGUAUGACAAACAAAUUCGGGAGAAAAAAAUCAGAAUGGCACCUUUCAAGAAUGGCACCUUCCGCAUGGAGCUGGACCAAGGAAGACUUCAACCUCCGAACCCAUCAUGUCCCGUGGAUGAUCCUCACUUCAGUAUGGUUUCACGGAGAUGCGAGCAAGCUUCGCGAGAUAUGCCACAGUUCACUCAGGAAUUGAAGCAAACACAGAGUCUGCACACAACGCGAAAGAACAAUCACCCUCGCAGCUCGAAAAGAAAAGGAACAAUAUCCGGUGUCUUAGCUCAAGCCUCAAGCAAAUAUACAUCUAAACUUGGAAACGAGGCGAGAAGCGAGCGCCAUGAUCGCCGAGCGAACCCAGUCCCCAAGCUGUCGACGAUGGUCGGCCGCACGCGGCGGCAAGGGUUUCGGCGUCGGCGAGGCGGAGGCGAGGAGUGGCGAAGGCGACGGCGUGGCGGAGGAGCGUCGAUCGGAGGGCGGCAGCGGACUCCACGAGAAGGCGCACUCGUCGGAGAAGAAGGCGGAGCCGACGAGGUUAUGUUAGACUGUUCGUGUUUUUGGGGCUAAAGCCUAAAGCGUUUGUGUUUUUGUGUUUUGGCGUGUUUGUACUUUAGAAAACUUGUUUCGGGUCGAACAAUGUUCGAACCCUGACCCUACCCGAAACACAUUUUGUUUGCUUGUUUUAUAUUUGUUACCCGAACACGACCCGAACACGAAACACGUUAAUACAUGUUUUGUGUUCGGGUCGUGUUCGGGUCGGGUCGGGUCGGGCCUUUUUGACACCCCUAAUUACAGGGACAAAAUUGCAGCAGCUGAAAAUGAAAUUGAAGAUCUGUGGAAACAAGGAGAAAUGUACGGGGGUAUGCGCUCAAGAAUAUACUGGCUGAAUAGGGUGAUAGAAAUGCUGAGGAAGCGCAAUGGAAUGAGCACAACAUGCUGUUCUCUCGUUUUGAUGAGCAUUUAGUAAAUGAUAUUCUCGCUAUCCCACUCUUAACGCCGAUGAAGACUAGCUAGCCUGGACAUGCGACCAAGCAGGAGGCUAUGCUGUUAAAAGUGGCUACAACCAACUCCAGGACAUUGAGACUAAGCAUGAAGCAAAUCAAGCCUCAUCGUCCUACCAAACUCCAAAAGCCCUUUGGACUAAGGCAUGGAAUCUAAAGACUCAACCCAAAGUAUGGGUGUUUAUGUGAAGUGUGUGCCAAAAUGCCCUACCACAAGAGAAAACCUAUUCAGAAGGAAGAUUGUACCUGAGUCGACAUGCCCUCUUUGCGAAAAGGAACCUGAAACUGUCAAACAUCUGUUCCUUCUUUGUCAAAGGACGAAACAGACAAGGUUGGCCUCUGAGAUCGACAUUCAGAUUUGAAAUCAGGAAGUUAUUUGAAUUGAAGGAUGGCCACUGAAGAUUGGUAACCACCUCAAAGCCCCCGUUUUUCGAACUGAUCACGGUCACUUUUUGGCACAUUUGGACAUAAAGAUAUCCCUCUAUUUUCAAGCAUCACUUACCAGAUCCUGCAACAACAAUGGUGUCUAUCAUGGCUAUGCAUAUGAAUCUCUCGAAAUGGAAUGGCUGAGAAUCAGAGAAUAGAAACAACCCAGGACACUUACUCAUAAGAUGGAAACCGCCAAGUCCUCAAGCCAAACAUCAACAGAACUUUCCACGAAGGAUCUUCCAAAGGUUCAAUGGCAUGCGUCUGCCAUGAUUUUGAGGGGAAACUAAUUGAUGGGUCCACAGAAAACUAAUUGAUGCCUUUCCUCACGUAAUUGGGCCAGUACUUGGUGAAUGAAAAACUUGCUUAUGACCAAAAAAAAUUUGUUAACACUAACUAUAGAAAAUUUUCAGUUGAUAAAAAUAAAUUAAAUAAUGAAAGAAGUUACGAACUUACUAAUUUAUUGACAUAUCUGUAAAUUUGUCAGCGUGCUACACUUGUAAAUUUUGAGAAAAAGUUGGUUGCUAACUUAUUCAUUGGAAUGUUGGUAAAAUCAUUUUAAGGUUUGUAAAAUUUGAUGAGGCACUGUGACCCAUCUUAACGCCUUCCAUGAUUCAGAGCAUGACUACCCCUGAAGCAUUGUGUCGACUUACUUUGCUGGCUGGUGUUAGUGACCUUUGAGCCUGUGCCAUAGGCAAAACUUUGCUUGCACUGCUUACGGCACACCCUUCUGCAUCCAGGACUUACAAUUUCUAUUGUGAAGUGUUCCCAGAUGAUGGACUUCUCGUUUCUCCACUUGCUGGGCUCUGUUUCAAGAGUUUUCACAUUGUUGUUUUCUUCUGGGGUUGCCAUCUUCUACCUAAAAACAAAUUCCUGCCCAAUAAAGUCGGAGAUAAAACAACAAAAGAAAAAAGACAGGUAUGAAAGAGAAGGAGAUUUAGAAUAUUUUGACAGCAUGAGGCAAGAUAUAUUAAAAAAAUCGCUGAUGAAUGGACUGAACCAAAUAUUAGAGUAAGAUGUACAGAAGAUCAAUACAAGGAUUAAAAAUCUUUUAAAAAAAUUGAACAAUGGUGGCCGAUCAUAGGGAAUUGAUAAAUUAGCUUUGAAUAUGAUGAUGAGAGUUUAGAGACCUUUAGUUAGCAACAAAACAUCAUUUUCCUCUUUGUAUUGCAUUAUGUAGGUCAAGGAUCCAAACUAUGGCGAAUGUUCCUGCAUAAAGUCCACACCAAAAGCACUCCUAAAACCAGAAGGCAGACCACACAGGUACCUGCAUUUUAUAUACAGGAAACACAAUCUAGUAGUAGCUUUAACAUUUGAUACCUCAUCUCACAGAUCCAACAUGAGUUAUCUUGGUUGGUGGUUUUGGUGAUCUAUGUGUCAAGAAAGAACCAACUUUUGUUGGCCUGUCAUAGUUAUAGAGUUCUAAUCCUCGAUCUAGCUGAAGAGUGCAAACAACAGUAGGCUAAUGAAUCUUUUUCACAAGCCAAUUCAACUUCUCAUAGUCAACUUACACGCAAUCAUCAAGUGCAGCCAAAGAACUUACAUCUGAAUGAAAAGGAAGGGAACUACACAAAUCACCUCAGUCUCCUAGAUAUAGCAGACACGAAAAAGCAUCCAAGCAGAAAGAAAAGUAUUGAACAAAGGGAAAGCUCGAAGCACAUCCCAAUUACAGAGAACUAACAGAGACAAAAAAGAAAAUGCCGUGAUUGCUAAUGCCUUUUUUCAGUCGUUGAAAAUGAAGUAAAAGCUUUAAGGUAUCCACUGGCAUCAGACUUGCACAUACAACUUUCCAUUUUGCAGUCAAUUGAAAAAUUUCAGAAUGUACCACACAAAAUUCAUUAAAAAGUCUACCAGCAUGCACUACGAAUUGAGCGAGAGGUGGUUGUUCUUUAGAAAUCCUCCAUAACUCAUGGAACAAGCAGACACACAUGUUGUGAUUCCUCUCCACCAAUAAGUGUAUCCCAAAAAAACAAGCAUAAAGAGAGCAAAAUUUAACUGAUCGAUGGAGUACCGACUAAUUCCCGAUGCCCAUUUCGAAAGACUCGAAUUUUUUUGUAAGAAUAGGGUCCAAAGCUAUCAAUCCUCCAUCGAGCAAGUCACACAGCGUCUCCACCUUCGAAUCAGCCACGGUUGGGUUGGUGGUCGGAGCUUUCUUCCGGGUUGCAGAGCCGCCGUCCGGUCGCACGCUGCCGGCGCCACCGGACCUCGACCCGAUAACGGAGGUCGAACGAAAGACACAAUCGAAACAAUUUUUGAAUCGGGGGCGAAGGCUUUGCGUGAGCCGGAGUUUUUGCUUUUAGUUUCUUUCAGAAUCCUUCGCCUUUCAACCCUCAUCGCUGCCGCCGCNNNNNNNNNNNNNNNNNNNNNNNNNNNNNNNNNNNNNNNNNNNNNNNNNNNNNNNNNNNNNNNNNNNNNNNNNNNNNNNNNNNNNNNNNNNNNNNNNNNNUGGUGUAUAAAUAUGUGAGUUAUGUAUAAACUUGAGCUCGUGGUGAAUAUUGGGCAUGUGGGUCGACAAAUUUACCAAUAUUGUGCAACACUUGAGCUAGAGCUUCCAUUCUUCAAUACAGGAAAUGACGAGCAGAGAUGGAGCAAGCCUUGUGCGACAGCAGGGAGUGGCCGCUUGACGAACGCUGCAGCAGCAAUAACAAGGGCGGCGUAGCAAAUGAGAGCGAAAAUAGAGAUUCAAAAUUUGAAGGCCUUCGCUCGCUUGAGAGAAGAAUGGCGUUUCUUCUUCUUAGAAGGAAAGAACGAAGAAGAGAGUUGAGAAAAUAUAAUAAAUGUGCGCUGAACCUGCAAAGGAAAGAGAGAGAGAGAGAGAGAGAGAGAGAGAGAGUAGGCUUGAUGAGAAAGAAAGAUGAUUAUUUUUUAUGCAGAAAUUCAUCUUGGCAAGCUGGCCCCAUAGUGCCACGUCGGUCCACAUGGUGCUUCAUGAUUGGAUCGGAACCACGAUGACUAGUGCUUUGGGACCAACUAAUAUUUUCUCCUCAUGAGAAAAUAUACCCAACAACAUAUGAAGUUAAUGCCUUGUCGUCACUUGAUGUGCAUCGUUUGGUGGGACUUUUAACUCUAUCUAAUUAAGGUAAAAUUAUCUAAAAGACCUUAAAUUUAUGUACUCUGAUCAAUUCAAUUCUAAAUAUUUUGAAUCACACAAUAAUCACACAAUAGAAGGUAAACAAUACCCUCUUGUCAUGGAAAAGGAUUUAUUUCAACCUAAUUAUUUUAUACAAAGGGAAAGUAGACAAAAAGAAAUUUUUGUAGCCAUUUCCCUAUUUCAUCAAUAAAUAUAAAAUAAAAUUGGAUAUUAAGUAUUUUUCGGCCCUAAAUGAAAAACACAAUAAAAGAAAAGAACUAGCUUACCAAAUUGAAGUUGGUUUAUGAAAAGGGUUUUAGUUUUCAUUUUCAAUGUAAAGGAAAAAUAAAAGAUUCUUUAUUUCUCCUUUUUUUCCUCUUGAAACUCUGUUCGGUUGGUAAAAGAACUUCGGAUAGGAAACAAAAUUUAAACAUGUUUGUUGUGUCUUUGCAAUCCAUCAUUUUGUACUUUUCUUUUCAUUUGGUGAUUACGAAGUAUCGUAGCCGGCGAUCAAGAAAAAUCGUUUUAUGAAGUAGGAGAUGCUGAUGAAAUUGGCAAUACAUCUCUACAAUGAAUAAUGCGACCUGUUUUAUUUACCUUUGAAAGGAAACUAUUAAAAUAUCCAUCUUCAAGAAGCAUCUAAACCUCUCCUCUCUGUACAUGCAACAAAAAUCCUGGAUACAGUCAAAGAGCCUCUGAAUUACUUGAGUACUCUAGAACUUGAUGAGCAGGCAAAAUUCCAGCCAAUGGCCUUAUGGUAGGGUCUCUAGAUAGACGUGCUUGACUUUUAUUGGGUACAGUAGCUUAAAGAGCGAUGCGGUUCGAGGUAGCCAGUAGCUUAGCUCUCUACUUCUUCGGGGCGGAUGAAGUUACUGAUAAGGUUAGCACAAAACUAGACUAAGAAAGUUAGAACAUCACAUACUAAAGGCAAAAAACCUAUCAUCCGAUGACAAAAGUAAGGCCUUGUACAUGAGAUCUGGUGUCCCCGAUCAUCGAUUCGGGAUAAAGACGAGACGAAGGUACCAUGGAACCGACAGGGUGCCCUUUGAGGCAGAGUGAUUUUUUCCAUUGGCUCGCCUUUAGACUUCUGCCCUUCCUGUGCUUCUAUCACAAGAACCUGCAGAUUUCGCGAUUUCAAAAUCACAUUAAACGUCAUUACCGGUAGGCAAACCUACAUGAUGAUUGCAUUGAAACUCUUAAACUUAACCUGGGACACAGCUGUUCCUUAAUUAUGUGCCCAAGAGACGAUCCAACCACCGUCCUCUCCAGGACCAUCUUUUGCAGGGACAAGAACACACCUGCCGCAGAAGCUGUCCUUUUAGAAAUUAUGGUAGCCGACUUUCAUCAACUUCUUGUGAUAUUUUCCUCUCUAAUUCAAGGCCGCAGUGAGGUACCUUUCGACGUGUACAAUGGAUAAUUAGAAUGACUCAAAAAAACUUUCAAUAAUACCUCAGAGUCAGACAACCCAGGACCAGGUUCGUCAAAGCAUAAUUUCACAAGACCUCCAUAUUUAGCCAUUCCUGAAUCGAAUGAGUGACACGUAAACAAUAGGAACCAAUCUCAUGUGCUACUUUGGGCAAGUGGACAUGGACUCGAGAGUAGAGACUGGCAUUGCAUUACCACUUUCAGAGCUUGUUCUGAAUUGGUGGCUUGAGCAUAACCAUACCUGUUACGCAAGCCAGUGAAUUCGGCAUUUAUGAAAGGGAAGUCCAUAGAGAAUUCAGUGCCCAUAAAAUUUGACUCCUGAAUUUCCCAAAUUCCAUGUUCAGUCUCCACCCAUAGGCACAGGUAAACAGAUAGCCUCCAUGUUUGUUAGCAUUUUUAUCCACCGGUUCUCUAGAGUUGAAUCCUCUCGAAAACCACUUGAACUUGUUCAUACCCCAAUCAGGACACGGAAACACCAACGUAAGAGAUCUGCAUCUUCUCACCACAACCUGCAUUGUUGGGCAAUAUCAUUAAAGUUUAGGCUUAGUCUAAGAGGAUUUUAACCUCCAAAUUAGGCUUCUAGGAAAAUAAUACCUCAUAACCGUCCCGAAAGCACUUGAAUAUGUGAAAUAUGCAGCUUGAUUCUAUAUAAAACCAUUGGACUGAACUCGUGUCUCCAUAACGUAGCAUCACCCCUAUCCUUACAUAUCUUCCUUGUCAUACUUCAGUAACCUACAUUCCAAGAAAACAACUAGCUGCUUCAACAAAUUGAAAAACUAUCACUAAGAAAGGCAUUACCAAAUGAACGCUACAACAUGAGAUCAACUAGUUAUUCGCUGAAUCAAUUAGUACCGAAUCAUGCUGUAAUGUGCCAGUGAGGGAUCUCCGUCUUUCCAGAGCAGUCUUGACACCAAAACUCUCACAAAGCAAUUACAACGUCCAGCUCUGCCUACAUUCCUGAUCCAAAACAAAUGUUCCAUUUACACAGGCACUUCACUCCUAAUCUCACAACAGAACCACCUCCACAUAUGGUUCCCUUUGGGUUUCAUCUCCCAUAUCAAAAUGAUAUCGUUUCUUUUAUCGUGUAUAGCACGUUCUAUUAUGUCUUACUAUUCUGAACGUCCAUAAUGAGCAUCAAUGGAACAAAUCCACCUUACACAGGAUAAAAAUUCUAAUGCUUAAAUGAUUAUAAGACAAAAUCAGAAGAUGAUUUUUCCAGACGGGAUGAAUUUAAUUGACAGUCUACCCUUGGUCAAAUCUGACAUGUAAAUCUGAUCAUUGAAUACAAAAUGGCCGGAGAAUCUUGUGAAGAAAAUAUAGCAUUGCAUCAGAACAAGCUAAUUAUUUACCACGAAAAAGAAUGGUUAAGGGACUGAGAUAACUGGAGUUAAGGGAUUUCCUGAAGAGUACAUAUGGCUUAUUUGGAGCAAUUGAUCUUCCAAUUGAGCAUCCUCAUGGAAAAUAUGAAAUCGAAAGUAUCUGCACAAGCGAACAAACAUAACCACAUAGAUUUCAAGGGAGAAGCCAAUCAUUCUUCAAAAGUAGUACUUCGAAAAAUCACUCUUUGAAGUAUUUGCAGCCGUUAAGAAUAUUUUCAUAUAAGGAAAAAUCAAUCCUGACUUAAAUAGAACCUAGAUUACUCUAGUUCCAAAAAUUACUAACCUAGAAACUCUAGAUCGAUUUCGCCCCAUUAGUUUGUGCAAUUUUGCCAAUAAAAUCAUAUCCAUGGUAAUGGUGAAUAGGCUCAAACCUUGGUUAUCAAAAUUGAUAGCUCAAGAGCAAAGUGCAUUUGUGACGGGGAGACUUAUCCAGGAUAAUAUCAUGAUAGGGCAGGAACUGUUGCAUCAACUAAGAGCAAAGAAGAGGAGGAAAAAAUUCCUAGCAUUUUUUAAACUUGAUAUGAAAAAGGCGUAUGACAAAGUAGAAUGGGACUUGUUGGAGGCAUACUUAAGAAAACUGGGCUUUGAUAAAAAGUGAAUCACAUGGGUUAUGCAAUGUGUAUCUUCAGUUUCAUUCAGUGUUAAAUAUAAUCGGAAUCAUCUCCCUUACUUCCAACCUUCCAUAGGACUUUAGCAAGGUGAUCCUUUAUCCCCUCAUCUCUAUAUUUCUAUAGCAAACAUAUUAUCUCUUAUGAUGAAGAAAGCAGUGGAGGAUGGCAAUAUAAAGGUAUUAAGCUCAACUUUUUUCCCUUACCAUAUCAAAUCUCCUAUUUGCGGAUGAUUCCAUCUUCUUUUUAGAUGGGGGAAUUCAAGAAUGCCAAUCUAUAUAAGAUGUAACAUUAGUAUUGUUUUGCUACUGGAGAGGAGAUAAACCUAAACAAAUCAGGAAUACUCUUUAGCUCAGGGUGUCCACAGACCAUAAGAGCCAUUAUGGCUUAUGAACGGUGUGUCCUUGAACUGGAUAAAAUAGGAAAAUACCUUGGAAUUCCUUUGGAUUGGGGAGAGUCUAAGAAGAAUAUGUUUUGCUUGGAUACUUGGAAGGGUCCACAAAAAAUUGGAAGGUUGGAAGGAAUCUUUAACUUCUAAAGCAGGACAGGAGAUAUUAGUAAUAAUUAGUGGCCCAGGCUCUUCCUCAACAUGCAAUGUCAAUUUUCAAGAUUCCUAUUUUCAUAUGUAAAGCGAUUGAACACAGAAUGGUAGCAUUUUAGUGGAAAAGCAGAGAAUCUCACUCCGGUAUUCAUUGGAAGAGUUGGGAUUUCUCGAAGCAAAGGAAAGACAAUGGAGGCAUUGGAUUCAAAGAUUUACUUUCUCUUAACAAAGCUUUCUUAGGAAAGCAAGCCUAGAGAUUAAUGCACCAGUCUUACUGUUUAUGGGGUCAAACUUUUAAAAGGAUUUACUUCACAAAAAGGAGAUUCUGGGCAUGCUGGGAAGGGGCACAGACCCUCUUGGGGCUGGCAAAGCUUAUUAGAGGGAAGAGACUCAAUCUUAGAACCUUCAACGUGGACAGUGGAAACAGGAGAAGCACUUGGUAUCAUGGAGGACAGAUGGUUCAAAAGAGGUGUAAUUGGAGGGCUGGCAAACGAAAAUGACCCACAAGUAGUAGAGGUUAUAAACCACAAAGAAAAUUCCUAGAAUGAACCUCUUCUUCGAAAUAUUUUCAAAGAGGACACCGUGAAGGAAAUUUUGGCUAUUCCUCCAACAACCCACUCUAUUCAAGACAAAUUGGUAUGGAGAUAUUCAUCAAUAGGAAAUUACCCUGUAAAGAGUGGCUACUACUACAUAAGACUUACUGAGAAUAUCCGGAAAGCUCCAAUGGCUUCCUCAUCUUUCUUGGCUCCUCGGGCAAUAUGGAAUAAGACCUAAAAAAUGCAAACAAUUCCUAAAAUUAAGUUCUUCGAAUGGAAUCCAUGUCAGAAUAGUCUACCUACGACAGAUAACUUACACAAGCGAAAAAUAGUAUCGGAUCCUUACUGCUCACUGUGUAAAGACCAGGUGGAAUCUGGAGAGCGUCUCCUUCUCCUUAGUCCUUGGACGUGAGACAUAUGGGCUCAACCAUCCCUAAACAUUCAUGUUUCUUCCUAGGGGUCAAGCAAAAUAGAGAUAUGGCUAACGCAAUUCCUUAGAAGCACAGAAAACCCACCUUCUCUGGCGCUUGCAGCAACCAUCUCUUGGCUUAUUUGGACUUCCCGUAAUGACUUCAAGCAACCAUAGGGAGCUCUAACUUCUCUUGGCAAUUACAGGAGAUGCAAUUCAAAGCAGAAAAUCGGACCUUGACGUUCCCACCUCUUUUGAGAACUAGAAACUGCCAAAGGUCGGAUCUUUAAAGGUCAAUGUUGAUGGAUCCCUUCGUUGAAAGCUCCAUGGAAGGAGCAAUCACCUGCAUUAUUCGAAACUUAGAAGGGACGCUUGUGGAUGCACACGCAAUUAUCUCCCAAUGCCUUGUUCUGUCAUCCAGCUUCCCACAGCUGCAUGUCACCCAUCGCCAUCGUGAAACCAACUCCAUUGUGGAGGGACUGGAUUUCUUCCCCUCCCCAAAUCUUGUUGGAUUUACUUUGUAAGGAUGCCCAGUUCAUGGGCCCUGCAUUUUCAAAUUGAAUAAAAGUUAAUCAAUCAAUGACCCCAACAAAAAGGAAAAAAGAGGUAGGAAAUGUUGAUGAAAAUGGUGAUACAUCUCAACAAUGAAUUCUGUGACCUGCUUUAUUUACCUUCGAAAGGACAUGUGAAUCGUUUCCACUUGUGGCCAAAGCGCUCUGACUGAUCGGAGUUGUUUCUCUGCUGCAGUAGCGCAAUGAACGAUAUUCCAACAAGUUGCAUCGCCGAACGGCUUUUAGAAUUUUGACGCCGCGAUUCUUGGAGCUCUGUGAUUUCCAAAAGUUCAUCCGAAAUUGGCCCCCCAUCAUUCCGUAAGACCUUCGAACAGGUGUGGACAAUUUGUUGAGGCCUUGCAGUUGAUCCCUCAUUUUAGCUUCUACGCACAUUUUUGACUUUCUCCAGGCCCUGAACAUCGCCAAGCUUUGGACAAUGUUCAAGUCUCACGAAGUCGAGGUUAUCGAAGAGCAAGAGGCGCAGUAAUGUUUCGAUGGAAUCGCACCGGUUGGUAACCAAAGUUUUCAAAUUUUUCAACCUCUCAAGGCAUUUAAUGUCGACUAAAUUUUUGCAGCCAUAGACAUCUAUGGACAUAAGAUGUGUUAAUUGCGAAAUGUCGAGUCUUUCAAGGGAGUGACAGGAAUUAAUACGCAGUAUUUCCAAGUUUUUCAAUCUGCCAAGACAUUGAACUUGAAAUGGAUCAUCAUUCAUGAAUGGAGCAUGUGACUCUGUUAUGUCCAAUCUUCUCAAAGACUCUAAAUGUUCAAGGCCCUUGAGGUUGGACAACUUAUCGCAUCCACCUAUAGAUAGGUUUCCUAAAGAUUUUAGUCCUCCUAGACCCUUGAUUUCUAUCAGCUCACUGCACCCUUGGAUACUUAAUUUCAGCAAGAGUUUCAAACUUGACAAACUUGGCAACUCUUCCAACUUGCAACACCAGGAGACACCAAGCUUCAAGAUUCUUGAAGGAAGCAUUGGGAUGGAUUCAAGCAAUUUGCAGAACUGAAUACUGAGCUCUUUUAGAUGGAUUAAAUGAGAAAGUUGAGGUAAUGUGCAAUUUUGACAGGUGACUUCCAAAACUGAUAAGCUGACAGGAAGAUCACAAUUAGAUAAAUCAAGGUGUUGUUGAGAAGACGGGCUAGUGACGCUAUCCAGGCAUUCAAUAACCACCUCGUGCAUGGUCCAGAUAUCUUCAAUAUAAGAAAGCUUCCCCAAUCGAAGGAUCUUCAAUGAAGACAACCCAUUUAUAGGGAUUUCCCCUCCCAAACUUUUGCAAGCUAAGGCAUCUAAUUCUUCAAGAUUGCCCAACUUGCUAAUAGUACUGGGUAAACUACUCAAUUUUGUACACCCAACAAUAUUCAAAAUUUUCAAAAUUUUUAAGUCCCCGAUGGAUUUAGGUAAUUCCGAAAUUUUUGCACAUGUCAAAUGUAGUUCAGUCAAUAAUUCUAACUUCCCAAUUGAAUGGGGGAUAUGAUUUAAACGAUAAUUAUAAUCCCAAUACCAAUGAGUCUCCAAAUCAUCAUCUUCUUUAGGUGGAAGACACUCAUCGCCUAAUAAUAGGCAUUGUAAUUUCACAAGGGAUCCAAUACUCCCUGGAAAUCCUUCAAAAUUGGAGCAAAAUCUCGAGUCAAGGGUCAAUAAAUUUACCAGAUGGCUAAUUGAGUCAGGAAGUCCAACCAAUGAGUCGCAUGCUUGCGCACUAAGUAUCUCCAGCUUCUUCAAAGAACUUAUCCAUGGAGGAAUUUCCUUUAUACAAACUUCAUCUAUUAUAAGUUCCUUUAGUUCUUUCAAUUGACUUAUUUCUUUAGGCAGCUCUUGGAGUUGCCUACAUGUUGACAAGUUUAAAGAAACGAGGUUCCUCAAGUUACCCAAUUGUGAGGGCAACUCCCUAAGAUCCCCAUAGUCACUCAAGUUCAAGGAAACGAAGCACUUAGGGUGCGCAUGGUGAAAUUUUUGAAAUAGAAAUUGAUUUCUGGCCAGAAAUCAAUUUCUCAAUUUCUAUUCCCCGGACGAGUUUCUGAGCAAAGAAACCCGUUUGAUAACGACUCAAAAUUUCUAUUUCUGAAACAGAAAUCCGUUUGAUAACGACUGAGGACGCGAACGGACGAGGCGGGCCAAUGGAGAUGAGCGGCGAGGGCGAGGGCGAGAUGAGCGGCGACGGCGAGGAUGAACAGCUUCGGGGAGUCGCUAGGGUUUUUGGUUUUUGAGGUGAGGAGAAGGAAUGGGAAAGCUGUGGUAGUGAGGAGAGAAAAGGAGUCGACGUGUUUGCUGAAGAAGAGGGGGGUGGAUAGAAAAACAAUUUCUAUUUCUACUUCAGAAAUAGAGAAGCUAAAAUUUUAGCUUCUGAUUUCUCACCCAAAAUAAUUUCUGAAACAGAUUUCUAUUCCGGGGAACAGAGAAAUCAAUUUGCGUUACCAAACGGAUUUCUGUUCCAAACCUGUUCCGGGGAACAGAGAAAUUGAGAAAUUGAGAAACAAAAAUUUUACCAUGCGCAGCCUUAAUGGCUCCACAAAAUAAGAAUUAAGAAUGAUAAAUAGAAAGUUGUUCUUCCGACAAGGAUAUGUUAAAACUAGGUCGAUGACGUAUCCAUUAGCAACUUUCUCUGAUUCGAUUACUUUACCAUUCAGUAAUUCUCUGAGAGUUGCCAGCCCUUUUCGCUUGACCUCUUCGUCAAGUUUAUGCUCGUUGCGUCAGAACGCAUCUCCAAAGUGCCCCGUCAUGUAUUUUACAUUAUCCGUUGUCACCUUGUAAAACACAGGAUAGACUUUUUGUUUUUACUUUUCAUGCACUCCAUUAUUUGAUUGAUCUCGCGGAGGCACCAUUUGCUAGUAGCAUAAUUUUCUGAGAUAACUGGGAUUGAAACUUUAGAGCACUUGAUUGCAUUGAGAAGCGUUUCAAUUGGCUCGCCAGGGUCGAGGUUCUCAUCAUCUCUGAACAUGAAAUUUGGAAGGUGCAGGCCCACUCGUACAAGCUCAUGGUAGAGGUGAUCAACGAAGCCUUUUCGAGUAUCAAGACCUCUAAAACUCAAGAAUACGAAGUAAUUGUUUCCAAUCACAGAGGCGUACGAAGCAGAUGGCCCAGAAUUCUCUUCGGAAUCUGACAGCACAUCGAUCUCCUCUGGUGAGUUCGGAAGAGGCGAUCCGCUCCCGCGCUCAUCCGAUGGUCUUUGUCGCUUCCAAAUGGUCGAGCUCGAAGCUUCAGCAUCUGGCUUGCGUUUCCCAUCUUCCAUUGCAGCGCACGCUCUCUCUCUCUCUCUCUCUCUCUCUCUCUCUCUCUCACUCACAGAGACGCGACUAUUAUGGAUGGAUUUGAGCGGGCAAUAAUUUUUGGGCUAUCUCUAUGCUACACUUAUAGCGGGGCAGGAAAAGAGGAAGAAGGGAAAGCAGGAGGCAAGGCAUGAUUACUCGACUAUUCUGUAUAUUUUAAUCUCUCACAGUACGUUGGUCGUUUCAUGUAUUUCUUACAUUCACACGUGGAAUCUGGAGAUAACUUCAAAUUUGACUAAAAGCAACUCAGUCCUUGCCUUCUUGUGGUCCUCACUACCAUUUGGCUUGACAACCUUCCCCAUUGUUCCCAUUGGCUCUCAGGAGUCUCCAAUUUUGUCGCGGAUUGAGAAUUGCGCUCGAAUGAAUCCUCCAACUCAUGAAUUAUGUCCCGAAUUGGACGUUACACUUCACAUACGCGCCUCUUCCAAUAUUGUUAGGAUUUCGUCAAUGACCACAGUAAGGUACUUGCUAAGAAAUCAAUCGAGAGAAAUUUACAUUUUUCGUUAACUGUUCAUAUGUAAUGCAGAAUUUUAUUUGGUUAUCGCAGUAUUUGUACUCUCGUGUUAAAUGGUUAUGGAUGCAACAUACUCUUAUGGGAGUGGGAUUUUUAAUUUAGUGAAUGAACUUUCAUCACUCCUAAGCGUUCUAAAAAAAAAGAAGAUAAAAUGGGCCUUUUAUAUAAUUGACACGGAAUAAAAUUAAAUUUCUUCAACCCGCCAUCGAAUAAAAUCGGUUCCUUGCAUUAUCACAUGAAAGAUAGUGAAAGAUAUGUCAAUCAGUACUUAUUAUUUGGACAAAUUUGAGUAGCACGUUGCGGUUCUAUGUCAAUUUACAGGAUUUUUCCUUUCUUUUUCUUUUUAACAUUUGUAUUCUCUAUUUAACAGAUAAUUUAUUAUAUAAAAAAGGUAUGAUUUACCCUCACCCCUUUUAAGGAUUUUCAUCUAGAAUUUAUUAAAUGCAUCUCGAACUAUGGAUUCAAAAUCAAACUCGGGCUCCGUAUCCACUUCCAUUUUUGUUCAUGAUCUGAUUAGUUUUAAGUGGAAUUAAAACGCGAGAGAACAAAAGGAUAGAGGGGGUAAACAUCAAUUCUUCUUUUCCCCGAAACCGUACCCACGACGAAUCCCACCCCCACUGCAACGUAUUCGAGGGACCAUCCUAGUAUUUUUUAUUUUAUUAUUUUCGAUUUUCCGAAUUUUCUCUGGGCCAGAACGGAAAUUUCGGGAGCGGAACUAUGCAGUCGCAAAUCACGCAUGACUUGUGCGGCAUGAGUAAGAGUCUGACGUCAGAGUUCGUUUGGCAUUUUUAUUAACGAAAUGGUUUUUAAGGGCCAAUUUGAUAAUGUACCAAACAGUAUUUAAUUUUUUGUUGGACUAAAAAAAGAACAAAAAUUCGUUUGGUAACUUUUUAAUUCCUGAUAAUAGAUUAAAACAAAAUCAAGAAAUUGAAAAAAAAAGUUACUUCUUUAUUCCUAGGAAUAACUCCAAAAUCAAGCCAAAUCAUUUUUUUUUUCUCUUUUUCUUCCUUUAGCUGGUCACAAAAAUAUAAUGAAAUUAUAUAAUAAAUUAUUAAAAAAUUAAAGAAAGUUUGAAAAACAUAAUAAAAUUAUAACAUAAAAUUAUAUUAAAAAUAUGAUAAAUUUACAUAAUAAAAGUAUUAAAAUAUUAAAAAAUUCAAAUUCGUAAAAAAUUUAAAGGUUGUAUUAAAUGCAUUUCUAUUCCAAGUAUAUAAUUUUUUAGCAAUUAUGAAAUGCAUUCAAAUGCUCAGAAAAUCAUCUAGGGAAUAGAAUAAAAAAGAAUCAUUUAUGAGCAGAAAUUAUUAUUUAAGAAAAGAAUGGUUACCAAAUACACCCUAAGACUCCCACAUAUCGGCAUCCUUAGUUUGAACUAAGAAGUUCUAUUUGUUAUUGAAUCCUUUCGGAUGUUAAUAAUUAAAUAGUGAACACAUCAAAAGAAUGUCAUGAAGGCACCGAUCAAGCAUACUUAAUUUGGAAUGAUUUAAUAUUACUGAUGCUGCAUGACACAUGAACACUUGACGGAAAAUGUAAAUUUCCCUCGUUUGAUUGCUUAGCAAAUACUGUGAAUGCGGUCGCUGACCAAAUCCCGACAAAAUUGGGGGAGGUACGUAUACUUAUUAUGAAAUAACUACCAUGAACUGAUGCAAUUGAUGUCAUUAGAUAAAAUAAAGUGGGUAAUUGACCUGGACUUAGUCGUUGCCUCCUAGGCAUCAUCCAGUGAAUGGGAGUCAACAGACAUGAGCAGAUUUUAUUCUUAAAUAUACACCACCAAUUUCGUUAGCCCGUGCUACAGAUGGAGGAUCGUUUAUGGUUUAAAUUGUGUUAGUCUUUUUUGGCCACAAAUUUAAUAUGAUAUCCGAAAAAGGACACAGAUGAAAGAAAGAAAAGGACGUGGUAGCUAUAUUGCCGCUUCAAUUACAUUACCAUUAUAUUGGCCUAUGGACUUGUGCUAUACACAGGAAAAAGACCCUGUGAAAUAGAUUGCGUGAAAUAAUUGUUCUAGGAGUCUGGAUCAUCAUGAGAGUAAGAGAUUUUCGUCACAUUAGAAGUAAUUACAUGCCCCAUGAACUAAAAGGGAAAAAUUUUAGGUUCAAUGAAGGUGGAAAAAUGAAAGGGAAAUCUUUACAGAAGAAAGUUGAGAUAAAUAUCAAUCAAGAGAGGGCCGAGGACGCAUUGACGACUAUUCGACUCCAAAGAAGCCUGAUUGCACCACUCGAUUCGUUCUGAUAACUAUGUUGCUCCCACUACUUUGCAGCUCUUGCUCAUUUGAUUCUUGAUUGGAACAUCCUUAGUUUGGCGAUAUUCAUUCUGCUCCUGCUCUCCAUCGCAAAUUUCAGCACCAAAAUUUGCUUCACUUUCUCAGUUGAAGAACGCAACAAGUUUAGGGUUUGAAGAAGUAAAUAAAUUUAUCCCCAGUUCAUUAAUUGGUGGGCAAAUAACACACAUGGACGAUAUAUUUCAGUACUAUUGUUGCUGAUUCACUUUAUCGGCAAGCCAUGUCCAACAAUUUAUAAUAAAAUAAUAUUACGUCGGAUUUUUCAGCUACACGAAUUGCCAACUAAAGCAAUCAAUCUUUCAUGUGAAUGAUAAUCAAGUAAUUGAGAAAAUAAUUACGUUAUUAAAGUGAGCAUCAUAAGAAAAUUAAGAUAAUCAUGGUAUUAUUAUUUCAAUUUGCAAUUGAAGGUAUCGAGCAUUUACAACUUCAAAGGAAUUUUUUUGACAAAAAGGAGCAACUUCUUUUUCUUUUUUCUUUUAUUCCAUGAUCAAUCGACCUAUAAAGUAUAAACAGGUGAGGAGACGCAUCUCGUAAUCUCGCGGACUCGGAUUGCUUUUUGCGGGCUCCUAGUUUUUCCUCGAAAUUUCCUUACUAUUGUUUUUUUCUUCCUUUUUCUUUUUUUGAACUUCUAUGGCUUUCCCUGACAUUGACAAGGGACGAUGCAAGUCCUUAGUGCGUUCCCAAUCGCUCGAUAUAUGCAUUAUGUACAUCGGCGACAAUGACAUCCCACCGAUCUGAUUUUCGGGUGGCCUUAUCGACAUCUUCGUGAAGAAUCCACCUACUUGAGUUUUAAAAAUAAUAAUAAUAAAUUUUGAACAAGAAAAGAAAACAGAAAAAGGGAGGAUGCAUGUACAAAUAUUAUUGAUUGAUAAUCUUCAGUGGAGCAAGCGACAAAAUUACAUAUCAUAAACAAAAUUGAUCUAGCUGUACAGAAGUAAGUGCGUGCCGAUAAUUGGCUAAUGUGACGCCGAUAAUACCGGUGAUUAUGUCACGCGUAAGAUCGACGACAGGCCAUUUGUUUAGCCUUGGUUCGAGAGUCACCUCUUGGUGCGUCAAAAGACAGCCGAUUGUGUCGUUGUCGACAACUGAAGCCGAGCAUCGAGCUGUAUCCGUGGCAGCUCAAAAGCACCCCUGGUUAGCGCAAUUGCUGAAGGAUUUGCACUAGAAAAUUAAUGAGUGCCUCGUGAGACUAUACAAUGACGAUCGAUUGGCGAUUCGACUAAUAGAGAACUGAGUGAUUCAUAUGAGAACGAAGUACAUGGAAGUCCACUGUCACUUUGUGGAUGAGAAAGUAGUAAGUGGAGAGAUUGAAAUGAAGUUCACCAAAACAAAUUAACAAGUUGACGAUAAUUUCAUGGAGGGACAUAUCAAGAUCCAAGCUGGCAGAAUUUCAAAAUAGUUAGGCAUCACAAACAAGCUGCAUUAGAAAUCAAAGAUUGAUACUCGCGCUGGUGUCACCUGACUUGUAAUAGUACCGAACCGACAUAGUGGGAGGCACGAAAUGAACUUUUCAUCGGCCAAAAUAGAGAGUAGAAAAAGCAUGGUAUCAAAUAGUAUAAGCAGCUUUUGACAGAUUUUGAAACAGGAUCCAUUUAUAGUUGCUGUUUCAAAGCUUCAUUCGCUAUGAGUUAAGUCAAUUUUGGAAAGUCCCAGUUACUCCAAUGUGAAUAUCUGGAUCCCGUAGUGAUUUGCGCGAAGCAGUGUGUUCUGCCAAUCUUUGCCUUGCUCUACUAAUAACCGCUACCUGCAAAAGGCGUCCUUCCAAGGUCCCUAGGCAACGGAAAUGGAAUGGGAUUCGACGAGCAUGUUAGCUGUUUGAUUAAGAGAGGAAGCUGUGCACUUUUAGAUGCAUUCUAUAAGCUACUUGCUUAGGUGGUCCAGUUAGGAACAUUCCGGGAAAACUACAAUCCUUCGUUAAGAAUAAGUUCCUUCAAAGUCUCAAGCACUAGAGAAAAAUUAUCAUUCAUAAAAAGUUACUGAUGAUGAGAGCCUAGAUGACUGGCACUCAUUCUCAUAUACAAAUGUUAUUCUACUAGCUAUAGAAAGAUCCCUCAUUAAUACGAGCCCAUUGACAAAAACCAUGCUUUCAUUGGUAAAAUUACUAAACAUUAGUAUCCCCAAAGGUAUGGGCAUUUGAGGAAAAUCACUAUCUUACACGUACUUUAUUUAAAUGAUAAUCAUCCAAAGUUAUGCCUUUCAAGGGUAAAAUUGAAAUGAUUCUUUUAUGGCUGUCUUCCAAUCUUUUAUGUAUGUCAUUCACACGUUAAAUCUGGUCUGAUCUUAUUUUAAUGUACUCGGAAAAGAAGGAAAUGAAUUUUCUCAGUUCGUUUAGACAAAAGGCAAAAUUAGGUGGGUUUCAUGCACUAUAUUCAAAAUUAACGCAACUUGGUCGGCAAGUUGGCAAGAAAUUUUAAAGUUGGUUCUCAUCAUAUUUUAAUAACGAUGAUGAAGACAAACUGCAGAGUUGGCAAGAAAAGGACCUGCGCAGCGACAUCAAAUUGACUUUAAUCUGCUUUUUAUUCCGCUAAAGUUGCAUCAAAUUGACUUUAAUCUACUUUUAUCCGCUAAAGUUACAUCAAAUUGACGUCCAUUAAUAUUUUAUCCAGCUAAAGUUACAAGUUUCAUCAAAUCGACACCUAUUAAUUUUUUUAUUCCAAAGAGCAGGUACUAAAAGUUACGAGUGACCCGUUGAAGUCUUUGUUUGAUGUUUUCUUUUGAGCAAACUUCCAGCUGUCGUUCAGUGGCCAUUAAAUAAUUACCAAAAGAAAGAACUGUAUCUUCCUGGAUUUUUUUCUUUUUUGGUAAAUUGGGAUUUCGAAUCUUCAUCAUUUGUGUUUUUGUUGACUGAUUUGAUCAGUCACAAUUGUAUCUUUGAAAUCUAGGUGAGCACUCAGCACAAGCGGUAGCAGCUAGGGGUUUGCAUGGUCCGGUAGGCAGUUUCCGACCUAGAAUCGGGAACCUCCCGCUAAGGAACAGUUCCAAAAAAUUGGAAUCGAAAAUCGCCCGCUAGUUAUAUGAAUCCAUCCGAGAACCGGACCGCCGAUCUGAUUUGGUUUCCAAGUGGAUCCAUGGAACCGGCCUCACCAACAAUAAUAUCAUUUUCCAAAUCCUGCCGAGAGUACUUUUCAUAUCGAGUUAUAUUUUUUUUUAACUCGAACCGACUUAAUUAAAGGUACCAUUUUUCUUUAUUUUAUUGGAAAACACUACCAAAUAAGAGAAAUAGGCUUUUUCCUAUUUUUGAAUCAUUUCAGUCGAAAUCUAAAAUAUUUUUUAAGUUCAAAGUUUUGGAUAAUUGUCAUUUGUAAAUAGUAUUUUCCUUUAUCCUCUAACAAUGUUCAAUCUCUUACAACAUUUGCUUUACUGAAUUAUUUUGGUAGAAACAAUUUCACCGGUACUCCACAUAUUCUUAAAUACACUGUCCUAUGUGCAUCCUGAAAAUAUCCUUUGAAUGAGCCAUUUAUUGAGUUGCUGAAAGGCAGCUUAUACACUUUACUAAAUUUGUCACGCCCCGAUCCUCGGGGACGCGCUCAUCCUUCUCCUGAGUCGAUUAUUAAAGUGCGAUAUCCCAAGACUAAUUAUCGCCGACCCUUUUUUUUUAUUACGCAUACGGAAGCAAUUAUAAAUCCCCAGACAAUAAAACAAUGGGAUAGAAAAGCAGGCCAUUUUUUUCAUAUUGAAAUUCACAACCACACUUUUAUUCACAGCACAACUUAUAGUAUAUUUACAAUACUAUUUACAGCAUAAAAGUCUCACACCUAUCUACACUAAGAUAGGGUUCACAAAGGGAUGGGAUCUCAAUCCACAUCUGGGUUGUACUCAAGAUCCCUCUCUGGAUCAUUUUCUACUUCAAAAUACUUUCUCCCCUUCAGGUUCUUCCUCCUCAGCUUUUCCUCAGGGUCCUAAAAUGGUUAUUCAAUAACCAAUGAGACCACGUAUCAGCGAGUCUUACCCCUAAGACCCGAUUAGUAAACUAAUACGCCAAACGGUUGCCUAAGCACAACACAAGUUAGAAGACUUACCUUGGCCUCAGUUCCAACCUGCAAUUCAAGGUUAAACACAGAUAUUCAAGUAAUUCAUGACAUCCGAUCAAGCACUGGCCAAUCGACUAAGUCGAUUACAUGUCAACCAGACCCUCUCUAGGUCAUUCCCACUCAUACCACGAUUUCCCAGUGGUGUACUCAUUCAUCAAAUCACAUGUGUUUCUCGGGCGUCGUUUUCGCCAAUGACAUACUGAUCACCGACACCGUGCAUUCUUUAAGGCGCCGUUUUCACCAGUGAUAUCCUCGAUCACCGAACCACGUGUCCUUUCUAGGGUGCUGUUUUCGCCAAGGUGACAUCGGCUAUAGACAACAUCGUGAGUUCUUUAAGGCGUCGUUUUCACCAGUGAUAUUUCCUUAAUCACCGAACCACGUUUGUCCAUAAGUCAUUUACGUGCGUUCUUUAAGGCGCCGUUUUUGCCAGUGAUACUUCCAAUCACCGAACCACGUAUAUCCAAUAAUAUCGUACCUGAUUGGUCUCAACCAAUAAUGUUCUCAGUUAGCUCUCACUAUUCUCUCUACUAUAUAGCCCAUCAACGUACUGGCGCUAUAUAUCCAUGCUCGGCCAUUACCAAUCAAAUACUCAAUAACAAACAAUUUGGGACAAUUCCUCAAAUUUCACAAUUUAAAUCAAUUCCAUAAAAAUUGAAGCUCAAUUAAAUAAACGGACUGCACCACGACAAUCGGCACGAAAUUCCGGUCACCGGCCAUCCCGGUUGAAUUUUCGGAAAAAUAAUUAAUUAAAUAAUUAAUUUCGAAAAAUAAAUAAAUAAAUAUUAAAAAUCUAAUUUAGGCUCGUAAUGCCUGAUUGGAGCCCGAAACCGGUCGGGAAAAAUCCUGAGAUACAUUCAAUAAAUAAUAGAGCAUUUCUACUCCCUAAUGGCUAUAGCUAACCACCUAACAUGCAUCCUCAAGUUACUAAUUUAAUUGUUCUAAUCUAAUCUAACCACCUAAUUGCAAUUAAUUAAAUCUAACCAACCCUAAGAAUAAUUAGCAAACUAAUAAAGCAUUAGUGAGUAAAACUCACUUGAUCAAAAGCGGGGAUCGAAUCACCGCAACGGCGACGCGACGGGGGCCGAAAUCGGACUUUCGACGACACCGGCGGACUUGAACCGGGCCUUAGGCUUGGCCCAACAAAUCUCAGCCCAAAACUAGGCUUGAAGACUACAAUUGCUGAAAAUGGGCUUCAAUUUGAUUUACUGGAAUUGGGCCCACUGUUGAGCUUUAAUUGGUGCGGUCUUGGAAUUGGGCUGCAGCUGGUGAAUUUCGACUGGGCUUGAAGACAACUGGGCUGCACGUUGAACUGGAGUGGCUGAAUUGGACUGGACUGGGCUACAACAAAAAGGCCCGAAUUGUUGAUGAAGAUGGGCCCACAACGCUGGACUCCGGUGGGCUUCGCACGGUCAGAUGAAGGCUGUUCAAUUUCACACUCGCAGCUUCGUGUAGUUGAUGGCGAAGACACGCGAACGCUGGUCAACGAAGGCUUCACCCGGUGGAAAUUCGACUGAGAUGGGGGCGUGCCGGCGUGGACGAUGGAGGAAAAACAGCGUCGAAGAAGCGGUGCCGUUGAUCUUCAAGCGUUGCCGCUCUUCAAGCUUCGCUGGCGGACGUGUGGAGUGGAGCUGAGGGACGCGCGGAGGAAAGCUGCAGUGUUCUAUCGCUGCUGAGUGGGUAAUCGGGCUGUGCGGACGUGGCCGAAGCUGCCGGAAAUCACGACUUCGCUGGCGUGUGGCUUCUUCGGUGGUGUUGCUCGGUCAACAAGUGCUUCGCUCGGUGGAGAAUUUGACCGAGAUGACGUGUGGAGAAGCACCUGGCUUCUCUGGACGUCGUGGCCGUGCUGACAAAAGGGCGUGGAAGAUGGAGCAGCUUCGGUUGCUGCCUCGGCGUCUUCAACUCGAUUGCCGACUGGUACAGCGAAGUGGAAGAUGGAUGGAGUUGAGGACUUCGGUGGGAUCUUGGCGUCGAAGCCAGUCAAUUCUUUUUGUUGAAAUGGACUGUUCGUGUGGCAGAGGGAUGAACGAAAAUGGAGAAACACUUUGGUGGAAUUCGUAGGCUUCCUCGGUGAGAGAGAGAGAGAGUUCACGAAUAUGGAUAGGAACGGAGGAGAAGGCAGAAGCGGUGAUGAUGGAGACAGCGACGGGAGGGACCCAAAAUCACAAACCUAAGCCAUUCCCUUAAUUGCUUGUCCCCCUCCUUUUUCUUUAUCCUUAUCUUGGUUGGUCUCUAAUACUUUCUUGUAAAUAUCUUUAUAAACCAAUCAAAUUUGAAGCCUAAAAUUGCUGCCACUUUCCAAUCCGAAUUUCACAUUUUGAUCUUAAACUUCAUCACUCAAUUUCCCAAAUUCGAUGUCAAAUUUUGGUGUAGAAAAAUCCCAAAUGAUUUUCUAUAAAUCCCUGACACACAACGGCUCAGUCUAGAAGUCCAAUUUUCUAUCAAUUUAGCCAAUUUGAACUUCUGCCAAAUUUUCGCAACGUCCGAACCCAAUUUCUGUAAAAUUUCCCGAAUCUCCGAAAAAUCUUCUGAGACUGACUCGAUGCUCCUAAAAUUUAUUGUGACAUGGCCAAAACUUCAAUUUUUGAAAUCGGAUUCGAAUUGGUGGUUAAUUUUCAUUCGGCGCGUUUUUAGCGUGACCUAAACUAUCGGGUAGUUUUCAGAACUUUUUAAGGCAAAUGACCCGUGGUCGAUUUUCUUCGAGCCACUAUGAACCCACUCGACUCAAUGGUGACUCUUGAUUGUCGUGAAAAUCUCGAGAAUUCAAUUACGGACACAGGGUACCAAAACAAUAAGAAAAUCAGUCUAGUGUCGGCCGACGAGAAUUUUCUAAUUCAGUGGUGUCACCCCCGAUUAGUCACAUAUCUCUAUCGAUCCAGUCUAUCUCUGAUUUCAAAUCGAUUUUUAACUGUGCCGUAGUGACCUCUAAAGAUAGACAUGAUCAAGAAGCCGAUUCCUGAUCGAGUUCUCAAGUCUAUUGCCUUAAAAUUCCUUAAUCAUUUCCCCAGAUAGUCUAGUUAUCUCGAGAGUGAUUGGCUCUGAGAAUAACCCUAUAGGCGCGUUAAUGAAAUGCCCGAUUUAUUCAAUAGAAGACGGGGUUAAAGAAUCUGGAUGUCACAAAAUUCUUAUAAAAACAUGGAAACCAUGAGAGGAGAUGGAGUCCUAAAAUUUAGAUUUGCUAAUUAGUAAUUUUGAAAUUUAUUUUAAUAUUAAAAAUUAAUAUAUUAUUAUAAUAUAAUCGGUCCAGUCCGAGUGGAUGGAUUUGCCUAUGGAACUGGAAACCGGAACAGUACCCAUCGGUUUCCAUUAAUUGGAACCGAGAACUGGACCAGUUCCCUCAAGAACCACGGGUUCCAAGCGGUUCCGGUUUGGUUCCGAGCAGUCCGAGCGGGUCCCGAUUAUUUUGCACACCCUUAAUAGCAACAUCAUUUCCUUUUUGAAAUCUCUCCUCUCGCAAACCUCGCCUUAAAUUCUUCAAUUCAAUAUCUUUUUUAUGUUGUGAAAUAGUACCUCAAAUUGAUUAAGAAAAUAAAGUAUUGCUCUGAUUGAUUGAUGAAGUGACUAUUAUGUCUAAUUAUAUAUAACUUAGUAAUUUAUGUUUGGGAGUAAGUUAAGUUAGGUGAACCCCACAUUUAGUCAAAACAAUAGUAGAAUAUAAGGGUCCAAAGAUUUUCUUGAAAAUAAUGGAUGCAUAUGGCGUAUAAAAAAGGGACAAUUUCACCGUUGGUCACCAAUAUUCUUGAUGAAAGUUCAAUUUGAUGGCUGAAACUUUAAUUUUGUUUAAUUUCGCUAUUUAUUCUUUGAAUUAGAUCAAUUUAAUUCCUCUAAUCAACUUAGUCAUGUUGGCCCCUAAUGUAAUAAUUCAUCUCCAUCGUGAGACCUGCCAUCGCUAGCCUGAUUGGGUUGUCUAGAGCCACAUCAGCAAAAUCUAGAAACCAAAUGGGGAGAGAAUUGGGGGAGGGAGAGACAAGUAGGCGAUGGGAGAUGGGCAAUGGUGCUCGAUUCCUAAUUUUAAAGCAAUAUAGAUAUUAGAGUAAGUUGAUCUCAAAAUUUUUCGAGUAUGUGUGUGAAGAAGUGAGUUAAUUACUUUUAGUUAAAAUAAAGUGAUAAAGUUUGAAAGAAGAAAAUAAAAUCUUAAUGGAUUUGUUGAUCCAUAAGUUUAUGGCAGGUAAUAUGGUACAAGUACAUGAAUUUCUUUCAAGUCACUUGAUGUCUCGGGUAUAUGCUCAUGUUGACUUCCAUUAAUAUUUUAUCAAGCUGAAGUUACAAGUUUCAUCAAAUUGACACAUCAAAUUUUUUUAUUCCAGAGAGUAGGUGGUGAAGUUACGUACGACCGACUGGGGUCUUUGUUUAAUGUUUUCUUUUGGACAUUGCAGUAAAGUAGGGCUAUAAUCUCUAGGACCAGCAGUAGAAUAAAGGUUCUGAAAAAAACAGUUGGUCAUGUCUUCUUCUUCAAUAGAAGCCUUUGUUUAAUGCUUUCUUUUGGGCUAACUUCCAAGCUGUCACUCGGUGGCGAUUAAAUCAAUACGAGGAGAAAGAACAGUAUUUCCCCAAGAUUUCGAAUCGUUAUUAAUUGUGUUUUUAUUGACUAAUUCGAUCAAUCACAUUUGUAUCCUGAAAACCCGGGUAGCACUUAGCAUGGUUAUUUUCCUUUUUGACAUCUCUCCUCCUUUCGCAUAAUCUCACUUGGAAAUCUUCAAUUUAAUAUAUCUCUCCCUCCUGAAAUAGUAUCUCAAUUCGAUAUAAAGAAAAUACAGUAUUGCUUUGACUGAUUUUUGAAGUAUAACCUUGAUAUAAUUAACUGUCGAAGAACGAAGUGACUAUUAUGUCUAAUUAGAUCUACUUAGUAAUUUAUGUUUGGGAGCAAGUUGAAUUAGGUGAACUAGGCAUUUAGUCAAAACAAGAGUAAAAUAGAAGCGUUUAAAUAUAUUCUUAGAAACAGACCAAUAUAUAUAUUCAUAGGAAAAAAAAUUCUUAAAAAUAAUGGAUACAUAUGACGUAUAACAAGGGGGCAAUUUUAAAGUUGGUUCCCAGUACUCUUCAAUCUGAUUGCUAAAGUUUAAUUUUGUUUGACUUGGCUUUUUUUUUUUUUUUUUUUUUUGGAAAAGCGAUUUACUUCAUUCAAUAAAGUUCAAAGGAUAACAUAAGUUAUGGGUUUUUGCACCUAAAAGAUCCCAUAGAGGUGAUGAUGGCACUAUAAGCCAAUUGUGAGGAAGAGCCUUCUUGCUAUGGGUUUUGGCGAGCCAAUUUGCAACUUCGUUUGAUUUCCUUGGGGCGGAUGCCGGUUCCACCAAACUGGAUCAGGCGAGCAUCUCUUUACAUUCUUCAAUAAUGGGUCUCAGCUCCCAUGGGCUUGGGUUUUGGCCCACUAUCAUCUUCACAAGUGAUAAAAUGGAGAACUUACGCAAGCGAAAAAUAGUACCGGAUCCUUACCGCUCACUGUGCAAAGACUGGGCGGAAUCCACAGGGCAUCUCCUUCUCUCGUCCUUCGACAAGAGACAUAUGGGCUUAACCAUCCCUAAACAUUCAGGUUUCUUUCCAAGGGUUAAGCAGAAUAGAGAUAGAGCUAACGCAAUUCCUCAAAAGCACAGAAAACCCACCUUCUCUGGCGCUUGUAGUAGCCAUCUCUUGGCUCAUUGUAACAACUUCGUCUUUCGAAAGAAACCCCCCGACCCAGCUCAGCCAUCUCUUGGCUCAUUGUAACAACUUCGUCUUUCGAAAGAAACCCCCCGACCCAGCUCAAGCACUACAAAGAGCUCUAACUUCUCUCGGCAAUUGCAGGAGAGGGAAUUCAAAGCAAAAUAUCGGACCUUGACGCUUCCACCUCUUCUGAGAACUGGACACCCCCCAAAGGUCGGAUCUUUAGAGGUCAACAUUGAUGAAUCCCUUCGUCGAAAGCUCCGUGAAAGGAGCAAUCGCCUGGGUCAUUCGAAACUCAGAAGGGGACGCUUGUGGACGGCUUCGCAAGAGGAGGAAAUGCCGAUGAAGUAGGCGAUGCUGAUGAAGUAGGCGAUACAUCUCGACAAUGAAUAGCGUGACCUGCUUUUAUUUACCUUUCAAAGGACAUGCGAGUCAUUCCGACAUCGUGGCCAGAGAGCACUCGAUAGGUCGGAGCGUUAUUUUCACGAACCGAUUGUUUCCCUGCUGCAGUGGUGCAAUGAACGAUAUUCCAACAAAGUCGCAUCGCUGAACGUCUACUAGAAUUUAGACGCCUUGAUUUCUGGAGCUCUGUGAUUUUCAAAAGUUCAUCCGAAAUUGACCCCCCAUCAUAUUCCGUAAAACCUCCGAAAUUCGACGGGUGUGGACACAAUUUGUUGAGACCUUGCAGUUGAUCCCUCAAUUUAGCUCCUAAGCACAUAUUUGACUUUCUCCAUGCCCUGAACAUCAUGAAGCUUCCAACACCCUCUAAUGCCCAAAUGUAGGAGGUUAUGGAAAAGCAAGAGGUGCAGUAAUAUUUCAAUGGACUUGCACCCCUGGAUACUCAAAAUUCUCAAUUUUCUCAACCUCUCAAGGCAUUUAAUUUCAACUAUAUUUUUGCAUUCAGUGACUAGUAAUUCCACCAUAAGUGUUAAUUGCAAAAUGUUGAGUCUUAUGAGGAACUGGCAGGAAUCAAUACGUAGCAUAUCCAAAUUUUUCAAUCUACCAAGGCAUUGAAUUUGAAAAUACAUCAUCAUUCAUGAAUGAAGCAUCUCUCCCUUUAAGUUGGGUGUCUACCCCCACAAUCUCUUUUGGCUGUUUUUUGCUUUGAUGCUCAUCUAGGUUGUUCUUCUAUUUUAUGUACAUGAAAUGAAAUGACAUGUUUGAGUGGCCCAAAAAAAAAAGGGGCAUUGGAAAGGCCUGAAAUAAAAGUUGAGAACGCUUCACAAAUAAAGAGAAAAAGCGGAGAGGCAGCUUCUCCGUUGAGUGCGUGAUCAUAUGAGCUGGUUUGCUCUAUACUUGUUUUUAUGUGUCAUGCAAGAAAAUAAAUUGUUUGCUCUAUACUUGUUUUUAUGUGUCAUGCAAGAAAAUAAAUUGUAAUAGUAAGUGAGAGAUUUUACUAUUGAAUGUGUGUAAUAAUCGUGUGACAAUUAUUUUGUUUGUGUGUUAUAUUUGUACCUCAUUUUCAUACAUGUAUGUCUCGAGUUGUCUAUUAUAACUUUCUCACAUUACCACCACCAUACAUCCAUGCCCAACAAAAUUGUAUGAAAAAUGAUAUCUACUUUUAGAAAGAAUUUCACUCCAAGUUCACCUCAAGACGAUUUUCCAAUGAAAAUGGUAUCUACUUUUGUUCCAAACCCGAUUCACCAUUAGAACCGACAAAUAUAAUUGGAGAAGUUUAUCAUUGUUAAGAAAUUGAUUUUCCUUUUCUAUUGACUACUUUUGAUAUAUCCUAGGUUAAUCAUCUUGACUUCCAACUUUUUGGUAAUAUGUUAUGAUCUUUUCGAGGCAUAUUUUUGCCAAAAAUAAAGAACUGAGAUGACUGGACAUUCAAGAUCCAACUAUGCGAUCCUUUGAUGACACAAAUCAUUCUCAAUAAUCUUGGCUUUCUCACAUCUUUAAUCAGCCUAAUACUUGACUUGGAGGAAUCAUCACUUUCUCUAGGACCCCUUUCUUCAAAUCAAUUUUGAUGUCCUAGGCAUAAUUUUUAUGAUUGGUAGUGAGUAUUUUUUAUCUGAUUCCAAAAGUUAAAAUACUCCGAUUCCAUGUUAUGUUAGGAAUUUCACAUAUUAUACCGUUUGACUGUGUUAAUGAUAGAAAUGAUCAAAUGUCUUCCUUAGAAUUGUAUGCAAUCACUUGUAUGGGCAGUUAAACUGUUUCUUUUUCACCGAUUUCGAGAAAGGACGCGUUCAUUGUUGCAAUUACAAAGAUUCAUUGUCCAUGUUUUUAAGUCAUUUCUAGAAAAUGUCAAUUCUACCACCGACAGCGUUCAUAUUUUGAAGCGUAAUUCUCGAUGUAGCGUGCUCUGCUAAUCUUUGCCUCCCCUGUAAUUCUCAAUAGAAAUACAACUCUUUGUGUAUUUGUUCCUUUAUGUAACCUAAGAAAUCUCUUUUUGUUUCAUUAAAAAAAAAUAGCCACUCGAAUUAAAACGAAAACUAACAAAUAAAAGGAUAACUAUCAAAAACUCUCUUUCGUAAAGAACAUGGUUAACUCACAAUUGUGGAACUAUACAACUGAAACUAUCCAAUUCACCCAAAACAUGAUUAUUAAUCACAAUAAUUAUAAUAAUUACCAGAUGCAACAUUUUUUCUUACUCAAAUGAAUAAUUUUGCAGAGCAAAGACUGUAGCAGAAAAUGUGAAUCCGAGUUAUGCUCAAAUAUCUAGUGAUGCUUGCUCUUCUCUAUUAAAAAAAAAAAAUCAUUUUUUUGGGGCAUGAUGCGAUGAAGGAUUUGUCGAUUAAAUUGGAGCUUCUUCUUUUUUCGUGGUUGAUUAAUUAGUAUUGAACAUAAAAAAGAACUCAUUGAAAAUGACACAGUGCCUCCAUUUCUGAGAUAUGGCAAGUAUUGUGGGCUCCUGUAGGAGAGGCCCUACAACGACCUUGACGCUUGUUGCGUGAAGCACGACACUGAAUUCAAGCCAAAAACAGUGAGUCUCGGCAUCGAUUCCUUCAACUUUUCUUCGUUGAAUCGAUUGAUAUAACUAGUCGUUGGCCCGCGUGUUUGCAUGGAUGUAUUUUAAGAGGACGAUUGUGGAAGCCAUUUUCGUUGGUGAACAAUAGCUUUACUCGUCUAUAUAUGCAUGGAUUCACACUCCUAAAAAAGCAUAUUACAGAGUGGAGAUAGAGAAAAUGGGGUAAGGGACUAAUUGGUCAAAAGAAAGAAGAGACGUGAGUAAGAUUAAUGUGCCUACGAGGACUUUGCUCUUCCACAAUGUCAUUAAACUAUAUCUUCAUUCAUGAGCCAACUUUAAUCGCUAUUCUGAGGUCUGGGGGAGGAGAUUGUGAGGGAGUAAAUGCUCCUGUGAGGGCAAUGACAUCAACAUUUGCUUUUUAUUACAAAAAGCGCACGUCUAGAUUUUCUCUUUCUCAUGGACUGGUCGGGGACAAUAACUUCAACUAAUACUCUGGCUCGUCAAAUGUGCUAAGUGAUGACAAUGAAAUCAUAUCGCGGGAUUUCUCAAUUUGACCUUUCAAAUGUGCUAAGUGAUGACAAUGAAAUCAUAUCGCGGGAUUUCUCAAUUUGACCUUUCAUUCAUAGAGCAGGUAGUGUCAUCCUCAUAUAAAUAUUGGAAUUGUGACGCGCGGGGUGUUGUGCUGAUGACUAUUUGAGCCAGAAGUGCAGCCAAAACUUACUGAACUGCAUGACCAACUUCAAGAACUCCAGAGGGAGAACGUUUAAAGGAAGCAAAUGCGAAGUUGAGGAUGUCGACGUCCUGUCCAUUGUCAUGGAAGCUGCGUUGCUUGCCGGGAGAUACCUCCACAAGCCCUGAAUCUCUCUGUCCACGUUCCACGGAUAUAUCAACUCUGAUCCCUUCGCUCACUUCGUGAUCAUCCCUUUCUUUGAUUUUUUUUUCCCUUCCGGUCACCACCAAAUGAAGAACGAACAGAAGGAUGCAACUUCGAUACGUAAAGGCAUGAUGAAAAAUAAGAGAGCGCAACAUGAUUCCUACCAGUUUUUCCACCGUGCAGUAUGCAACUUUUGACAGGAUCAAAGCCAUAAAUCCACCAUCAGAUUGAGAAAUCUAUGUAUUAGCAUCUCAAUUGACAGAGGGCAGAAUCCAUGGAAAUUCAACAUCUCAACAUAAGUGUCUUGGAUCCGAGAAAAGUAAAAUUCUUACAAUGGUGCCUCCAGUGACUUAUCAAUCCAUGACAAAAUAACUGGACAUAAGCUGCUAAAAAUGCUAUCACGGCCACAUAGACAUGAGUAGUUGCCAGGAUCAAUCAAUUGCUAAAAGUGUUAUUUGACAUCAGCUGAAUAAAAGGUUUCAAUAGGGGUUACAUACAUUGAGUCUACCUCCAACUAAUACUUUAAGCCUUUGGUUGGACCUUUUGCGAACGAUGAAUGAAGUUUUGUUUUAUUAUGCAUGAAUGAAUGAAAAAAUCACAUAAUAAACAUCUGGUUCUCUAGGAAACCAACUUUAAUAGAGCAUGGAAAAAAGUAAUAAUCUGUUUGCAUAAGAACAGAUUCAUGUCAAGGAUGAAGAGUCUUACUUUGUGACUGAUGACGUAUAAUGAUAUGCAAUCUACUUCAAAGGCAUUCUUAUCUAUUUUCAUUCCCACCAGGAUCACAAGCCAGAUGAUGCUGAAGCAUCACAUUCAAGUGGUCAACCAACUUCCCCAAGAUUCGUUGAAAGAAGACAGAAAACAAUAAGACAUCGACAUGAAAAGCCCCAUGCCAGACUGAAAAUACUAAUGUGAGAUGGUUACUCUCAACUGAAUAUGAUAAUAAAAGAACGUGAUUUCUCUCGUCAGGAUUCAAAGACACGCAUCAAACUACUGUGCAAGUGAUAAUAAAAGAACAAGACAACUAUCUUCCAAGUCAAUUUGCCCUCCUAAUAUUGCCAGUGAGCUAUUCCUAUGUCAAGAUUAUAGUUUUAGUAGGAAGUCCUCGCUCCUGAUGCAGUACCAAUUAAACACUCCACAGAAUUAAAAAUCACAUGCGCAGCUCCUCCCACUUCAUUUCAGAGCCAUAAACAGCUGGGUAGUACCCGAGCUCUGAAGAUUUUGUGUCCCCACCAUCAGCCUAGCCAAAAAUGGUGCACAUUUCUUACUGAAACCAAUUCCAUACAGUGGCAGCUGUAACAAAACAUUUUGAUUUGAGCUGUAGUUCAAGAAAAGAUGGCAUUUAGAGAUCUAGAUCAGCUCUCAAACAUUAAAAGACUAAAGCAAAUCACCUUUCUAGCCACCCAUUGAUUACUAGUCAUGUUUAUCCCAAAAACAUGAAAGCAAUAUGGUUGAUUUAAGGACUUCCUGCAUACUUCUAGUUUGGAUCUCACACUAUUAUCCACAAUACAGUGGAAAUCCUCUGUUCUUCUAAAGCCUCUAGGGCAUAGACAUCGUCAUCACCAAACAAUGACCAAACUGAAGUAAUAGAUUGCGAAUGAUGUUAAGAUACGAAUUUGCAAGAUGAUUUAUAAAGGCAUGAAGCAAAACAAGGAAAGAGUGGCAACAUGAUUUGUACUGGGUUUCCACCAUUGAUGAUAAUACUUUCAACCUGAUCAAGGCCAUAUAUCUGCCUUCAGAGAGAGCAGCCUUCAUAUUGGCAUAUUAAGCGACGAACAAAGUUUGAUACAGAUCCAUGGAGAUUCAUCAUCUUGACAUUAGUACCCUGGCUUUGAGAAAAUGCCAAACACAUCUAUGGCACCUUCACUACCCACUUCCAUGACCUAAUAACGAAUUAACAAAAUGCAAUCAAGAUCACAUAUGCAUGAGCAGUUUCCAGAAUCCAUCAGAUAGUGAAUUUUUCUACUUCAUAGAAGUUGGAUAGAAGUAUUACUUUAUUUACACAAGCGCAGAUCGAUACCACGUCAAGAAUGAAGAAUCUCGUGCUAUUUGACUAAGACUUCAAAUAUCCUUUUGGAGGCAAUCUAAUCUUUUUAUUUCAUUUCAUGAUCACAAGCCAUAUAACAUAGAAGCAUUACACUUACUUACUUUGCUCAAACAACUUCCUCCAGUUGCUGGAAUUAAGACAGGAAAAUAAUAUCUUGUCAAAGAAAAGCCCCGUCCAAACUGAAAAUACUAAUGGAAGCAGGUAAUCUCCACAGAAAAACGGCACCAUACCUGCCAUAUUUUUUGUUUAGUAGGAGAUGUUAGCGAUCUCCAGAAUCAGAUCUUUUUCUUUCUCUCUUAUCUUCAUUUUCUUUCUACAUGAGCUUUCAGUUUAAGAGGGAGCCAAGCGUCUCUUUUUUCUCCCCUUAAGCCAACCACCACUUCCNNNNNNNNNNNNNNNNNNNNNNNNNNNNNNNNNNNNNNNNNNNNNNNNNNNNNNNNNNNNNNNNNNNNNNNNNNNNNNNNNNNNNNNNNNNNNNNNNNNNUUAGUUGACUUUUCAACUUCUCUUUGUUUCUUUUUUCUUUUUACUGGUCAAAUCCCCAAGUAUCACAGUAACUUCGUCACCAUAAGUCAAUUACAACAUACUGCACCAAACUACUAGGGAUAAGAAUUAACACCAAAUCAGUAACUCCUCUACCAACCGGUGUGCUUCAACUCUUAAACUUGCAGAUGAACACCCCAAACUACCCUUUUAUGUAUUAAUGUAAAAAUAUAGUACACUUGUUCAACAAAAGCAGAUUUGAACAGUGAGAUAUAAUUAUCUGCAACAAUCAAAUUGGACAAAACAAAUGUUGCUUAUUUUACGGCGGCAACAUCUAAAGCCUCCAAACUAAGCUCCAAAGAUUGAUCUUCUUCCUUACCAUUCCACAAUCAAGCUUCCCAAGCAGCACAGAUGGAGUUUUUGAAGGCGAAUCAGGGAGAGACUCAACAACGGAACAAUGCAAAACCAGCAAUCGAGGACACGGCUCAAUCGUGGACCAACCUUCUUGCCCAACAUGAGAAAAGAAAAAAAAGUUGAAAAGCUAAGGAACAGACAAUAAGUUGGCCGAAGCAGUCUCCACCCCUGCAUCAAACAUAACCCAUCCCCGCUAGAGACACAAUCUUCAAAUUCAUAGUUGAACUAGCCAACGACUAGAUAUUUCUCAAGCACAACUCAAUGUCAUUCUUCGACACCUUUUUGUGAAUUGAAAUCUUCAGGUAACUUAAAAGAAAAGCCACUUACUAUCAGAUUCAGUCAACUUUGUACUCUGAAUUUCACAUCGGUGUGGGCGACAGUUGACUAGCAUAGAGUUUGUAACCUUCAAAAAGCAAGACCAUCACAUUGUAGAGGAUCCAUACAGAGGAUGACAGAAUGAAAACCAACCAUGCAAAUAGAAACAAAUUUAAUGGUGUUUCUGUUACAACAUUAGAAAUCAGAAGGUACUUCCUUACCUUGUCAGCAAGACAAGAAUUAUUUUGCUACAAUUGGCCAUAAAAUGCAAACUUUUAUGUUUUCUGAAGGUUUGAAGCACUGAGUAUUGAACAAAGACACAUUGUAAAUGCUAAAAACAAUCGUAUAGAUGAAAGUUAGAAGCAAAAGUUCUUCCAAACACACCACAGUGUCAGCGCUCGAUAACCCCUAGUGAAAGAAGAGACCAAUGGACUUCUAUUAUCACAGCUCAAGCUUUUGCAUUUUCCCCCAGUCAGAAGGAGAUGAGGAGCAAUUCCAUUCAACUAGAAAGCUAGCAAAAAAAAAAAGUAAGGACAAAAUGAACAAGCCACAUCACCAUCACAACAAUUUGGAGAUUAGCAUCCUUUUCCAUGUGAAAUUAGCUGCCUUCAACACCAUUUCACCACGUUAUUAGCUAACUGGUAUGAGUGAGGACAUCUUCGGAGAAUCUUAUCAAAGAAAUGCCCACAUACUCAUGAAGAAAAUGCUACUUUGGAUCAGAGGUACAAACAAAUGGUUCACAGGAGAUUGUUCAUCUUUCCACUUCUCAUCACCCCUCAAGGUGCUUCAAGAUCCGAGAACAUGAAAGAAAUGGCUAUGAAAGUAGAACCUCAUCAAUCAAGGUAACCUUCCCGUUCAACCUAAAGUUAGUUCACACUAGUUCCGACAACUCUGCAGUCAAUUUCCACACUACCUAGACAGGGUGAUAAAAUCAACCUAAACCUGUAAUAAGCUCAUAAGUCCUGAUAAUCUUGCUAUACUUGCUCUACGACUGCUCAGAUAACAUAAGGAAAAUUCACCACCAUUGACAGGAAACCUAAUCAAAAGCUAAUAUAGUUAUCUCAUUACACCAUAGCAAACUGGUAGGAGAGAAUAACCAAGCAAAUUUCUGCACCUAAUAGGAAUCACAAACUGAUAAAUAUAACAGGACAACUAAACAUGCUUCGCUGAACAUGCAUAAAUGCUCUAAUUAGUCUUAUUUCAUUUCCUCCGUGUGCAGACAUUGAGCAUCCAAAAUCAGACCAAUAAUAGUGACUCAAAACCUCAAAUCACCAGAAUGCACAUGCACCAAUCACACCAAGAAUCAACCAAUGACUAAAGCGAUCAAUCAGCGACAAGAAUAGAUUAAUGUUAAAAGGGGUCCUAUCACCUGGACUCUGAAGAUAUGGCAUCCAGAAGCAAUGAAGACCCAACAUGAAGAUCCUUCCAUUCAAGCUGGAGCACAAGGGUCAAAGCAAUCAGUGAGCAUGAAUCUCACUUUCGAAUUAGUCAUCCCAUCGUCCUCCACCAGAAGGAAGAUAGAAACAGACCACCAGAUGAUGCUGGACCCCUUAAUCCCUUCCCGUUCUCUCUGUGCUCGAUUUCCACCCUCCUCCUCUUCUUACGCCCAUCCCUAGAAUCACAAGACGCAAUGCAAUCAGCUUAAAGAGCGUCCCCCUUGCAUCCAUAUCCCAGAUAUUUGGUUUGGAUCUCACACCAUUGCUGAAAUUACAGCAAAGCUCGUGGUCAUUUAAAGAAAUCAGGAGCAUGAGAAAUUGUCAUCACCAAAUGAAGAACGAAUAGAAGGAUGCAAAUUCAAUAUGUAAAGAUAUUGAUGGUAUGAAAAAAAGGAGAUGGAUUAGGCGCGAUGAAGAAAAGAAAGAGCGCAAAAUGAUUCCCGCAAAAUGAUUCCUACCAGAUUUCCACCGGACAUGAUGUUACUUUUGAUAGAAUCAAGGCCACAACUCCACCAUCAGAUUGGACAAUCUACAUAUUAGCACUUCAAUUGACAAACAAAGUGGAAUAUGGAUCCUUGGAUAUUCAUCAUCUCAACAUCGGUGUCCGAAAAGUAAUUAUCUUAUGAUGAUGCCUCUAGUGGCUUAUUAAUCCAUGACAUAAAAAGUGGACAUAAGCUACUAAAAAUGCAAUUGAAACCACAUAAACAUGAGUAGUUGCUAUGAUCAAGCAAUCCUUAGAAGUGUUAUUCCACAUUGGUUGAGUAAAGGGCAUUGAUAGGAGUUAUUUACAUGUAGUCUACCUCUAACUAAUACUUUAAGCUUUUCAGUUGAACUUUUGCUAUUUAUGAAUGAAGCUCUGUUUUACUAUGCAUGAACAAAUGAAAAAAUCACAUAAUAAACAUCCUAUGCUCAGGAGUCCUUGAAAUAAGAGGAAAACAAUUAGACAUCGACACGAAAGGGCCCAUGCUAAACUAAAAAUACUAAUGUGAAGUAGGUACUCUCAACUGCUAUAUUUACAUUUACCAGAAAACGUGGAUGCUCUCCAGAAUUCGAUCUCUGUCAUGCUGUUGUCAUGCAAAUAUUUUUCAUAAUUCUACAUGGGUAUAUGUGUUCAUCAUUAUUCUGGUAUUCUCUGUGUAGGUGAAAAUAAACGAACAUGAUUUCUCUCAUCAGGAUUCAGAGACACACAUUAACUAUUGUGCAAAUGAUGAUAAAAGAACAUGACUAGUAUCUUCCAAGUCAAUUUGCACUCCUAACAUUGCCAAUGAGUUAUUCUUAUUGUCGAGAUUACAGUUGUAGUUGGAAAUGCUUGCUUUUGAUGCAGUACCAUUUAAGCUCUCCACAAAAUUGAAACGCACAUGCACAGCUCCUCCUACUUCUUUUCAGAGCCAUAAACAGCAGGGUAGUACUCAAUCUCCGCAGAUUUUUUGUCCCCGCCAUCAGCCAAGCUAAAAAUAGUGCACAUUUCUGGCUGAAACCUCAAUUAUUGCAGGAGUGACUUUCCAAUUCUGUCCAGUGGCAGCUGUAGCAAAACAUUCGGAUUUGAGCUGUAGAUCAAGAAAAGAUGGCAAUUAGAGAUCUAGAUCAGCUCUCAAACAUUAAAGGACUUAAGCAAAUCACCUUUCUAGCCACCCAUUGAUUACUUGUCAUGUUUAUCCCAAAAACAUGAAAGCAAUAAGGUUGAUUUAAGGGCUUCCUCCAUACUUCUGUUUUGGAUCUCACACUGUUAUCCACAAUACAGUGGAAAUCCUCUGUUCUUUUAAAGCCUCUGGGGUGGAGACAUUGUCAUCACCAAACAAUGACCAAACUGAAGUAAUAAAUUGCGAAUGAUGUUAAGGUACGAAAUCGCAAGAUGAUAAUUGAAGGCAUGAAGAAAAACAACAAAAGAGUGGCUUCAUGGACUGGUUUUGACCGUUGAUGAUAAUACUUUCAGCCUGAUCAAGGCCAUGUAUCUGCCUUCAGAGAGAGCAAUCUUCACAUUGGCAUGUUAAGCAACGAGCAAAGUUUGAUACAGAUCCAUGGAGAUUAAUCAUCUUGACAUUAGUGCCCUGGCUUUGAGAAAAUGCAGAACAUGUUUAUGGCACCUUCACUGCCUACAUCCAUGACCAAAUAACGAAUUAAUAAAAUGCAAUCAAGAUCACAUAUGCGUCAGCAGUUUCCAAAAUCCAUCAGAUAGUGAAUUUCUCUACUUCAUAGAAGUUGGAGAGAAGUAUUACUUUAUUUAAACAAACACAGAUUGAUAUCACGUCAAGAAUGAAGAAUCUCGUGUUAUUUGACUGAAGACAACAGAUAUCCUUUUGGAGGCAUUCUGACCUUUUGUAUUCAUAUCAUGAUCACAAGCCAGAUAAAACUGAAGCAUUACAUUUACUUUGCUCAAACAACGUCCUCCGGUUGCUGGAAUUAAGACAAGAAAAUUAUAACGUGUCAAAGAAAAGCCCUGUCCAAACUGAAAAUACUAAUGGAAGCAGGUUAUCUCCACAGAAAAAUGACACUACACCUGCUAUAUUUUUUGUUCAGUAAAUGACUUCAGCGAUCUCCAGCAACAGAUCUUAGUCAUCCUCCAUAGAAUCUGAAUAUUCUUCAACAUCCUCCAUUAAAUAUGGAAAAUUUUGAUAAUCCUGUAAAGCAGAGCAGGGUUACCAAGUCAAUCUUUUUGGUGUUGCUCGCAUCAAAUUGUAUCCAGUACUAUCAAACGUUAGAUCUAACGAUAGACAGCAAACCUCAGUCAGCUUCUCGCUGUUGCUUUCCUCAAUAAAAAGGUCUGGUAAUUUCUUGAGUGACUUGCACCCAUCCCUCUCAAACCACUUCAGGAAUUUACUGGGGCAGCGAAUUUCGACUAAGCUUUUGCAAUCCGUAACAAUCAACUCCUUCAGAUGCUCCGACUUUGAAAGGUCUAGUACUUGAAUGUGCUUGCGCCCAGAAAUAUCCACCACUUCCAGGGAUCCCAAUUUUUCAAGGCCUUCUAUCGCAUGGAGAUGAUCCGCCCCUUCACCAUAUAAUAGCGAUGAUAGCAUUAGGCGCAACCAUCUUAGGGAUUUUAAAGAUCCCAGUCCAUCCAAUUUCUUCAGCCCAUCGCAAUUCUCGAGAUGUAAAUGUAACAAAAAUUCCAAAUCGGAAAGAUUUGGCAACCUUUCCACUUUGGGACAAUCGCAAACGACAAGCAUCCCUAUGCAGGAGGGAAUCUCUGGGAUCUCUUGAAGAAACAUGCAAUCCCAAAGCCAAAGCUCCUCUAGAUGCUUCAGGUGAGAGAGCGAUGGGAUGCUUUGAAGAGAUUCGCAAGACUCAAGGUGGAGCUGCUGUAGAUGCUUGAGGUGAGAGAGCGAUGGCAGCUCCUUGCUCCAACAGGUGAGCCCCAGGUAUGAUAAGCUACAAGGAGGUUUUGGGAGUGACUCAAGCUCUCCACAGCCACUUAAAUCGAGGCGUUCGAGAGAAGAAAGCUAAUCUAAGUUUUCCGGCAAGCCAGAAAUUUUUGUAAAAUAUAAAGAAAGGGUCUUUAGAGAAGACAAUCCACCUUUAUCAAAAAGAAUUUGUCCUUCCAGGUUAUGGCAUCCGGAGGCAUUGAGCUCUUGGAGGCUUUGCAAUUUUCCAAUAGAACUCGGUAACCUUUCUAUCAUGCUAUAAGUCUCAAAAAUUUCAAUUUGUUUAAUUCCCCAAUAAAUUCGGGCAAUCCCUUAAUCGAUGCAGCUUUCAACACCAGCUCAACCAACUCUCCCAACUUCCCAAUUGAAGAAGGGAUCUUUUCUAGUGGCGAAUGUUCUUUAAUCGCAAGCCGCGAAAGCCUCUGGGCACUAAGCCUCUUCAGCUUCUUCAGAGAUCCUAUACAUGGAGGGAUUUCUUUAAUCUGAGUAUUGUCUAAGACAAGUUCCUCCAAAUGUUCUAGUUCGCCAAGCUGUUCAGGUAACAUCUUGAGACUUCUACAACCACUCAAGUUCAAGAGAAGGAGGCGCUUGGCAUAUUGAAUGGAAGGGUCAAUUUCCUUCAAAUUAGCACAACCUUCUAGGAUUAGCCACUCUAAAUUUUUAAAAGCAGAGAGAUUAGGGUUGCUCUUCAAUUUCGAGCACCACGAAAGAUUGAGAACUUUCAAGCUCUCCAUCUACAAGAAAGAAACAUGUUUCAAGAUUAGCAGUUAGAAAUAUAAUGAUUUAUCAUUAAAUGUAACAAAAGAAAAGGCCUUUUUCAUCUUUACCUUAAUUAAACUCCAUCCUCUCCAAUUUUCACUAAUACAGCUUCCACCUUUGUAAUCGUCUGAUAAAUCAAGUACGACUAAUUUCUCCAAAUGAAAGUUGGUCAUCUCCAAAGAGUCGCGGCAUCCCUCCCACUCUAGCCAUCUUAAUUCAGUGAGUGAUUCUUCGAAAUCUCCAUGAAAAUCCACAUCCUUCACAUGAAGGAACUUCAAGUUAGGCAUUUUUUUAAAGCUUUCUCGCCUCAUGAACUCUUUGGAGCCCCUUUGGUCUAGACGUAGUGCCUCAAUAUUUUCAUUUUCCACCUACAAAAAGAAUAAAAUAAAAUUGAGGAUUGUAAAUACCAUUCGACCUCCUUUUGUUCGUAUACUCUUCCAUGAUAUUGUGACCAAUGCAUUUUGUCUACACUAAUAGAGAAAUAGAAAUAUAUCUAAUUUUUUACAAUUACAUGAUCAUAUAAUACGUCGAUCUUCACUCGUAUGCCCCAAUUUUUUAUGUUUUAUGUGAAACUCCAAUAUUAAAUUAGUCUGGUUUUCUUAUAGAUUUUGAAAUUAAAUUUUGUAACAUACAUAGUAUUGACAACCAAUGUCCCUUUGACAUAUAUGGAACACGAUUGUUCCAUGACACGCGUAGAGCUCACAACAAAACUAAAAAAUCCUCAACUGUGACACUUCCUUUAUAAAUUAAUGUAUCUUGAACAAUCUUCCAUCAUUAAUUUAUGUAAUUUGUUAAUUUGACUAAAAGUGACACUAAAAGAAAAGCUAAAUCCACAACUGAAAUCCACAACUGAAAAUUGGAAUUUAAUUUUUUUUAAAUUUUACUAGUGCUUUAACUAACAAGAUAAGUAAUGAUUUUCUAAUAAUUAUCAAGUAAGCGUCAUCAAAUUAUGGUGUGUUGUUUCAGGUAAUCAACUAACCUAAUUAUGCAUUUCUAGAUUAUUCUAAAAAUCGAUAUAUUUCAAGGUGUUUCUUCAAUUAUGUUAAUGACAUUCAUUAAGUCAUACAAUUUAGAGUAAAUUUUCAAUUUUCUUUUUGUUAAGUACAUGCAAUAAUGCAUUGACAUUAUCAUAUUGGAUAUAAAUUGUGAACAUGCAUGGCAAAUCCUAAAAAAAAAAUUGUAAAAAUUCUUCGUACAAAUAAAACCACUGCAUAAGAUCUUAUUACUUCAAAUUGAACAAAAUCUAAAGUUGAUAGCAUAGUUAUGAGAUGCAAAUAAUUGAACUAAAAUCUUUCUUUUUGCUGCCAUAAAGUAGAACCUGCGCUCGAGCAAAUUGCAUAUAUUCACGAUUGAAAAUUAAAUAUGGGAUAAUGCAUUAGAUUCUUGAGAAGGAUACUAUUACAUAUAUCAUACAAAAGUACAUUUCAAGACUGAAAAAUGUGGAAAAUAUGUGAUCCAUGAAUUAAGCAGAUCCAUUUAGGUGAAAAAGAAGAAUAAGAAGAAGUAAAUUUGACAGUUUAACAGGUGGUUAUAUACUCUUAAUUAACAUUUAUCAACCCAAUAUUUAUCGUCACAUCAAUGUACUUCAAAAAUAAAUUCCCAAUAUAUUUUGGGACGAUAAAAUGAAAAAAAAAAUGAAGAAGUAAUGAUUGACAGUAAAGUUUUUGUUAAAUUUGUAAUGACUUAUACACAUUUUAGAGCCAGAAAUAAGUGGCAUAAAGUAAAUUUUCGAACCUGUGUGCUUCAACAAGUAAUAUGGUAAGAAGCAGUAACAUAUUUGCUAAAAAAAGAUGUGAAUAUUUUCUGAGCCUCAUAGUCACGAGUGCAAACUUUUCAUGAACUAUAGGCCAAAAUUCGAUGUAGCUUUUACCAAGAAAAUGCUAAUCACAUGUUGAGAAUGGUCAAUGAUCUAGAGCAAAAGAACGAUGACGAUAAUAAUGUAAGGGACUAUGAUUGGAGAACAUGGGAGAGGACAAAAGUAGACAUCAUCGUUACCUUACGACGUAGAACUUUCAUGACUUUCUCCUUGUCCCAUAGUCUGCUACAAUCCCAAGGCUUCUUAUCUGCUGGACAAGCGAUAAUUCUACCUAGAUCUCUUAAUUGAUCAUGCAUUCUAAAUUGAUUAUUGUCAUCAAUUUUUAUUAACGAACAGUUAAUCAAUAUUCGCAAUCCGGUUAUUGGGAAGAAUUCGAGGUCCGCCCAAAAGUAGGUGGCAAUUGUUUUGUCAGUUCCAAUGAAAAAACAUGCAAUGUCUAGAAACAUCUGCUGCUCCUUAUAUGUUAAUGUAUCAUAACUUAUCCUCAACUUUUCUUGCACAGUCUCAUUAGGUGCAUUCCUCAAUUUCUUCAAAGUCUCUUCCCACUCUAUUCGAUCUUUUUCUUUGAGAAGUGAACCUAUAACGAUGAGAGCGAAGGGAAGCCCUCCUGUGGUGGCAACAAUAUUACUAGAAAGAUCAGUGGGAGGUUGUUCCCCUUCAAAUGCAUAUUUACUAAACAGAAGCAUAGAUUCUUCGCAAUUCAGUUCUUUGAGUGCAUACAUUUUAUAUUUAGACUCCAAGACGACCUUAUCCAAGACGGCCUUAUCUCGACAUGUAAUAAUGAUCCUGCUUCCUGACCCGAAAUUACAACGUCCAAUCAAUUCAUCAAGGUGGUGUUGAUGAUCCACAUCAUCAAGAAGAAUAAGUACCUUCUUUUUUUCACAACUUGAUCGGAUGGUAUCAAUUCCCAUCUCGGGAUCACGCACUGUACUUUUAGCAACUUUCCUUAUAUCUGAGAUCAGUAGAGAUUGGACAUGCUCCAUACCCUCGCUUUUAGCUGUUUCUCUAAUAUCCUUGAGAGAGCUGCGGUAGCGAAAUUUGUUAAAAAGUUUAUUAUAGAUCAUCGUAGCCAGAGUUGUCUUACCGAUGCCGCCCAUCCCCCAAAUCCCAAUAAUUCGAGUGUCCGGGCAAGCAAGAUCCACCAAUUCCAUGACCUCAGCAACACGAUCCUCAAUUGCAACCAACUUCUCGGGCAGAUGUGGCUGAAAAUCUUGUCGCUGAUAAAGCAAUAUUUUUUCUACGAGUGCUUUUACCAAUUCCCCUUCACGCCUGUCAAACAACACAACACAUGAGAACUUAUUAACGGCUCCACAAAACAUGGAUUAAGGAUGAUAAAUAGAAAAGUUCUUCUUCCAACAAGGAUCUGUUAAAAGAAGAUAAACAAAGUACCCAUCAGCAAAUUUCUCUGAUUCGAAUACUCUAAGAUCAACUGCUUCUCUAAGAGCUAGCGGCCCCUGUUGCUUGACCUCCUCAUCAAAACGACCCAUACCGGAUUCGAAGGCCUCUCCAAAUUUCCCCUGCAUAUGUUUCACAUCUUCAGUUUUCACCUUGUAAAGCACGGGCAAGACUAUUUGUCCUCUGCUUUCCUUGCACUUCAUUAUAUGGAUGAGCUCGCGGAGGCACCAUUUGCUAGCAGCAUAAUUUUCCGAGAUGACUGGGAUUGAAACCUUAGAGCACUCGAUUGCACUGAUGAGAUUUUUGCCAAUUUUCUCACCGAAGGUGAGGUGCUCAUCAUCUCUGAACACGAAGUUUGGAUGGAACGGCAGGCCCACAUCUUUGAGUCUAUGGUAGAGGUGAUCAACGAAGCCUUUGCGAGUAGCGGGGCCUCUAAAGCUCAAGAAGACGUAGUAAUUGUUUCCAAUCACGGAGGUGUACAAAGCGGAUGGGUCAGACUUAGCUCCGGACGCCGACGGCACAUCGAUCUUCUCCAAAGAAUCAGAAGAGGGAAGAAGAUGAGGCGAUUCGCUCUCGCGCUGCUCCGACUGUAAUUCAACCGAUUGUCCGGGUCUUUGUUGCCUCGAAAUGGUCGGACUCGAAGCAUCAGUGUAUUUAACACACUUUGAGCAAUGAUUUCCCAUCGCAGCUCUCUUUGUGAGGCUCGACUGUUGUGGAAAAUUUUGAGGUGGGGGAAGAAGGGCGGUGAGUACAGUGGUUUGCUUGUCAACCAGGAAGACGCCUCCGUUCGGCUGCUAGGGUUUGUGCUGGGAAAAGUCGCUACUCGCUGGUAAUAAGAGGAAGAACGGAAAGCAGGAGGCGAGACUCGAUUAUUUUAUGGGGCAUGAUAAAAGGAAACCGUUCUCGACUAAGGUUUCGGGUCGGGUCCGGUAUCAUCAAACCCGACCGAACCAUUGACACCUCCAGUUUACAGGAUGGAGAAAUUCACCUUAGAAGAGCCUAGAAAUCUGUACAUUGAAUUAUUUACCUGAAUUAUUAUCUUCAACAGAAACAAUUGUUAAAAAAUCUCUUAUAAAACUUAACGCACAAAAAUAUUAUCUUCAGCUGGGGAGCGUACUCGAGCUGGUAAAAGAGUUAAAAGGGAAAGCAGGAGGCGAGGCAGGAAGUCGAAGCAGGUUUGUCGUUUCAUAUAUUUCAUGUGUUUAUAUUGGGAUCCAGAGACGCGUUCGAAUUUUGACUAAAUAAUUUAAUUGUUAAUUGACUAGAAGCAAUUCUUGAGGUCCUCACUCCUCGCCCUCGACGUCUGCUCCCAGCUAGCCUUAACAACCACCCCCAUUAUAUAAAAUAAAUUAAAAAAUGAAAGAAAAGAAUAUAUUAGCUAUGGUGCGUUUGUUUGUAUUUCUGUUUAAAAAUUAUCCAGAAAACAGAAAUAGAAAAAAGUGUUUCUAUUCCUAAGAACAAUUUCUGAACAAAAAAACGCGUUUGAUAACUAUAUAAAAUUUCUGUUUCUGGAAAAAAAAAAGAACAAAAACACGUUUGGUAACUGUAAAAAAUUUAUGUUUCUGAAAUAGAAAAAAAACAGAAACACGUUUAGUAAUAUACAAAAUUUCUAUUCCAAUUUUUUUUCAAUUUAUUUUAAUAAAAUGUGAACUUAGUAUUGAAUUAUCAUUCUCAUGAAAUGCUCAUCAAUUUAAUUUUGUUUAUAUUAAGUGAAAACAAACAUUCUAAACUUGAUCAUAUUUGCUUAGUCGGAAGAAAUUUUUUUAAGUUUGUACCAAAAUUUUCCCAUUCGUUUUUUUUUAAAUAAAGUGUAAACUUGACUUUGAAUUCUCAUUAUCAUAAUGACAAGCGAGCGGUCUGAGUUAGGUUAAAAAUUAUAAUAAUAGACUGACCAAUUUGUGCCCUGCACUAAACAGCCAUAUAGAGACCGUACAGAAUUUCACACAAAAAUAUUUUAUUCUCUUUCGAGGCAACAAGAAAUUCUGAUCACAGAUAUAAGUGUAUAAUGCAAGAAAGAGUAUCCGUCUUUGUCCUCGCUUUGCUCACAGCACCACUAUACACAAACCAAAAUGUGCCGAAAGAUGAAAGUAUAAGACUCAUCAAGGUCUCAAAGUCUCUGCAGCAUAGAAAAUGUAUCCAACUUAGUAAACGCCGUACUAGUCUGUUCUAGCGACUCCAUAGCGGAUCUUGUCCAAAUUUCGUUGCCAUUCGUCAAUCUCUGCUUGGGUGCGACUCCUUUUCGGUUCAUCUUCUCUCUUUAGCUGCUCCCUUAAUUCCAAGAUCUUUCUCUCAAUACAUUGAAUCUGCAGAAAACCAAGAUUUGGCUGAAGUGGAAAAUUUUGGAAGGGCAAAUUUCAAUUCGAGAACUGAGAGAAACGAAAGGGAAUGUAACCUUUCUAUAAGGCCACCGCCCCACUCCGCCUUUUCGGCAAAUUUUCUUGACAACGGUAGGACACAAAUGCAAUCUUUCAGAAGCCUUUUCGAUGGAAGAUGGAAGUAACCUCCGACAUCUGCCAGGGUCAUCUUUCCCGCUCUCUCCCUCUACACUAAUCUCAGCACAUAAAUACAGCCGUUUCAGAAUAAUGGAAGAAAAAAAUGAGUGCAAUACAAUUGACGUCCGUUGAACGAGAUCAUUAUUCUAAAGGCCAAGUCCUAGAGGAUAAAGACUGACGGAGUAAUAUAUAUUUCAACAGAAUCCACACAGAAACUGUUUGCGAUGAUAAUUUGGUGAAAAACAGAACUCCGGAUAUCGCUUCCAUUUAUAACAGUCAUAAGAGAUAAGAAAAUAUGAUUGUUUAUCGUAGCAUAAAAGGCUGUACAGGACACACAUACACAGUUAAUAAUUCUAGAAAAGCAGUAACCUGUGCCGCAAGCCCAGUUUUAAGAGACUUCACCUGUCGUUUCUUAGGUUUUGGCUUGUUGUCCGUCUGCCUGGGAUUCUCUACUUCAAGCAACGAAAAUACAAAACAAUAAACAAAAAGCAUUCUACCGCUUCCAGCUAUUCAAAAGAUCGACGGGCUCUUGAAUCUGAUUCUCUAUGUGAGGCUUAUAAUGUUGUGACAUGGAGAAGUGAGAAUGGCUAUGCAUCACCUGAAACAGUCGGAGGCAGAGGUAGUUGAAAAUAAUCGGCAUUUACAUUGCCAUUGAAAUCUAUUCCGACGCACACAGCUUCAUAGAACAUGGCGAGCGGGUCCUGGUACAUGAUGUAGCCAGCCAGCCUCCUUCCCUCACAGUAUUGCUGCAGAAAAUCCUUCACAUUCUGUAUGCUUUUCUUGCAAAAACUGAAAUGGAAGCAAGAAAGACAGGACUAUAUUGCUGCACGAUACAUAUUUAGAACCCCAAUUUCCCAAAAAAAGGAAUGUCAUCUAAUUUUAAAGAAAAGAAGAUCGAUUNNNNNNNNNNNNNNNNNNNNNNNNNNNNNNNNNNNNNNNNNNNNNNNNNNNNNNNNNNNNNNNNNNNNNNNNNNNNNNNNNNNNNNNNNNNNNNNNNNNNNNNNNNNNNNNNNNNNNNNNNNNNNNNNNNNNNNNNNNNNNNNNNNNNNNNNNNNNNNNNNNNNNNNNNNNNNNNNNNNNNNNNNNNNNNNNNNNNNNNNNNNNNNNNNNNNNNNNNNNNNNNNNNNNNNNNNNNNNNNNNNNNNNNNNNNNNNNNNNNNNNNNNNNNNNNNNNNNNNNNNNNNNNNNNNNNNNNNNNNNNNNNNNNNNNNNNNNNNNNNNNNNNNNNNNNNNNNNNNNNNNNNNNNNNNNNNNNNNNNNNNNNNNNNNNNNNNNNNNNNNNNNNNNNNNNNNNNNNNNNNNNNNNNNNNNNNNNNNNNNNNNNNNNNNNNNNNNNNNNNNNNNNNNNNNNNNNNNNNNNNNNNNNNNNNNNNNNNAGAUCUGGGUGAGCAACGCUCGCCCAGAUCUGCGAGACUCGCUCGAGCAAGCGGCUCGCAGAUCUGGGCAAGCGCUGGCUCGAGCGAGCCUUAACACUCGAGCUCUCGCGAAGUGAAGACAAUCAGUGAAGGAGGAGCAGUGACCACGUUUACCUGGUGAAGGAGCAGCGGCUGUCGAGACAGAGGCCGCUGUCGGCGCCGGAGAAGACGAUGGAUUUCUCUGCUCGCAGGAGGAGACGCUCGUCGCAGGUCGCAGGAGGAGAAGCUCGUCGCUCGUCGCAGGUCGCAGGUCGCAGGAGGAGAAGCUCGUCGCAGGUCGCAGGAGGAGAAGCUCGUCGCAGGUCGCAGGUCGCAGGAGGAGAAGCUCGUCCCCGGGGGGGGGGGGAGGGGGAGGCGCUGUUCGAGCACUAUCCAAGAAAUAAAAAAGGAACACAAUUUUGUUCCUUUUUUGUUUCUGAUUUGUGUUUCAAAUCCUGGGAAAAAAAAUAGAAAAAAUGUUUAAAAACCAAAAAAAAGAAAUAUAAAUAAACACAGCCUAUAUUGCCACUAUAAUUAUAUUACCGUGAUCACAAUAAUUAAUUAUUCAAGAAAUAUACUUUAUCUUCAUUAGAAUAAGAGAUUUCUACAAUAUUGAAAGUAAUUAUAUGCCCCUUGAAUUAAAGUCGAAAGAUAUUUAGUUCAAUUAAAGUCGAAAAGUAAAAGGAAAAUUAUUCAAAAACAAGUUAAGAUAGACAUCUCUCAUGAAUAAUGUAGCAUGUCAAUUACCCAUUAAAAGUGUUUUGGUGAACCACUUUUAUAUUUAUCUAUUAAGAUAGGUCCACCAUAUCUAUUUUAGAUCUAUAUAUGAAACAUAUUUCGUUUUAUAAGCUUAAUUCAUAUCUCAAAGAAAUUAUGCUCUUUUUUUUUUUUGGCAAGCACAUCAACAAAUUUGCUUUUAAUUAACUUGUGGACUUCAGCAAAUGACAAAAAUAAUAAACAUAACUAUCAAACACUCAUGUUCUUACUUUUCUUUGAUUUUUGGCCCUAAUGACAUCAAACACUAUUUUUUUGAUUGCCAUGUCUCAGCUUCUCUUGCUUUCUUUUGGGCGACAAGGUGUAACUUACCUUGGCGAGCGAGACUGUGGGUGGAUAACCUAUCUUGGGCUAUUAAAUUCUUAUCCGAUAAAGGGUUCUUCUACUGUAUUGCUAGAGUUUCUUUUGCUGCCUUAUGUUACUUGAUUUGGGAAAAAAGGAAUGAUAUUAUAUUCCGUGGGGAAGCCUUGGUCGUCUCUGCCUUGAAAAAUCACCUGAUCAAAGUUGUAAAGGAGAAAGCGCUCACCUUCUCAAAUGUUCCAGAUAUCCCGAGAAAUAGGCGUCUUCAGAGGAACUGGGGCUUUCAUCCCUCCAUUUUCUCAGGCCAUACUUCGACUUCUAUAGGUUGUUGCUUGGAUCGCGUUCCUGCUUCAAGUUACUUUAGCUAUCCGUUCUUGGUCUCUUCGUUUCUUGAAUUGCCAAGGUUUCGUGUUGGCUGCCGUGACUUCUAUUUAGUGACCGUGUUGGUCGCUUUUUGUUUUUCUUGUUUUUGUUUCUCCUUGCCUUUGGCUUUUUCUUCGGCUCCUUUCCUCUCUUUCUACUUACUGUAGUUAGAGUGUAAGUCUUUGGUGCCGCUUUUGUAUUUGUCUUUAGCUAUUUAUCCAUUACCUUUACAAAAAAAAAAAAAAACACUAUUUGCUUUGAGAGGACAGCCACCCUCAUAUUACUAGAAAGCAUUCACCAAUUAUUUUUCUCAACCAGCCCCACCACUUCUCUUUCUGAGUCUCAAAGGCCAUCAUGGCCCUCUUCCUUAUUACUGUCCAUGUGAAACGCAUUGGUUGCCAGUCUAAAAGAAAAAGGAAAGAACUUUAAAGCACCGACGCAAGAAUGUUACCAAGAAUGUUCGCGCGAAGUUUUCGAUUGAACUUCCUUGCAGUGGGGGCAUCAUUGGAUUGACAAAUCAACAUCUAUUGCAAGUCUAACAGUAGGGAACUACUUGGGAGAAUAGAGAUCUUGAAGUCACAUGCAAAGGUAAAGCUAAGGUUCCUAAAGUCAAGGAUUUUGUCUUUCAAUAUUGUGGGCUUCAAUGAAUUUUUUGUUCAGGAAAUUUUGGCAACACAUUUCGCUCAUGGAGCUGUAAAUGGAGCAGUGAUAGUCUUUGAGCAAUAGAUUAACUACCACUGAACAUGAGAAAAAAUUAUUAUUGAAAAUGAUAUGGUGCCUAGAUUGUUGAGAUACGGCAAGUAGUGUAGGCUUCUUUUCAGGAUCGAGACACUACAAAGGCCUCGACGAUUGCUGCAUGAAGCGCGAUACCCUCUUUCUCCUUUCUUUUCCUUUAAUUUAUUUUCGUUAAAUAUCAUUUUCUUUCCUACCAAAGGAACCUCCUAUUCCUUUCGAUCUUGAGAUUGAGUAAUUGUAUAUUUUCUUGAAGAGAUAAGAAGGUUGUGUUUGGGUGCGAAAGAACUAAGGCAAUAAGAAAAUUGAAGAUAGAGAGAAGAAGGUUGUGUUUGGGUGCGAAAGAACUAAGGCAAUAAGAAAAUUGAAGAUAGAGAGAGAGAAGAAAAUAAGAAAUAAAGGAAGGAUAUAGAGAUGAGGUGUGAAUGGAAAUGACGUGUUUAACUUUACAUAGGGAAGGGUACAUGUGCUGAGGACGAUCAUAUAUUUCGACUUACAAGUCAAAAGUGGUAUCUUAUCUCAAUUAGAUUUGGACAAAGAACAGUGGGCACCCUUUCAUUCACGGUUACUAAGCAAUACAUUGCGACAUGUAAUUACACCUUACACUACAUUGGUUGGGUGGCCUUUUUCGAUCAUUGUAUUUCGCAAAUGGAAAGAAUCGGUAUUUCUAUCUCAUGAGUCGGGGACCUUCAUGACUUUCCCCAUCCGUCCGUACGGCUCGACUUUCCAAGUCUGCAAAGCCAUGAACCUCUCCUUUUUGGCGUGUCAAUGUGAAACAAGCUGGCUGCCUCCAGCUGUUCAAAAGAAAAAACAAGAAACAGACUUAAAGCACCCACAUCAACCAUCACGUUCCCGAAUCAGCCUCUUGAAGUUUUCGUCCGAGUAGCCUUUUUUCACUCUUAUUCAAGUUCUGUGCAGCACGCGCAUAAAUUGACAAAAGAUACCGUAAUUUUUAUCUUCAAUGAAAAUAAUUAUGAGAAAUCAACGUCUACUUAUUGAGUCUAUUGUGCAGAAAACAGUUCACUCCGACGAGACGACAGUUUUUUCCUAAAGCGGUUAGCUCUUUGUGGCGUGCUCCAUGUACCACCAAGGGACAUAUGGGGAUCCAAUUUCGUGGAAUUUCGAAAAUAGUUGGGCAUCACAAACAAGCAGUAUUUGAGAUCAAAGUUGGAUACUCGCACUGGGAUCAGCUGACCUGUAAGAGCACCGAACCGGCGUGGUGGGAGGCACGGAAUGAAGCUUUCUUGGGCCCAAGAGAGCAGAAAAAGCAUGGUAUCAAAUAAUAUAAGCAGCUUUUCAUAGAUAUUGAAAUAGGACCCGUUUAUAGUUACAGUUUCAAAACUUCCUUCGCCAUGACUUAAGUCAAUUUUGGAAUGUCUCAGUUACUCAAACGGGGGUGUCUGGACCCUAAAGCAGUUUGCUCAAAGUGGUGUGUUCUGCCAAUCUUUGCCUUCCUCUGCUAAUAACCGCUACCCGCAAAAGGGAUCCUUCCAAGGUCCCUAGGCGACGAAAAUGGAACAGGAUUAGGGGAGCAUGUUAGUCGUUUGAUUGAGAGAGGAAGCUGUGCACUUUCAUAUGCAUUCUAUAAGCUACUUGCUCAGGUGGUCCAGUUAGGAACAUUCUAGGAAAACUACAAUUCUUUAUUAAGAAUAAGUUCCUUCAAAAUCUCGGGCACUAAAGAAAAAUUAUCAUUCAUAAAAAGUUAUUAAUAAUGGGAGCCUUGACGUCACUGGCACUCGUAGAGAAAGUAUGAUCUCAUUCUUAUAUACAAAUGUUAUCUACUAGCUAGAGAUAGAUCCAUCAUUAAGUGUCAAGUGUACCCAUUACCCAUUGAAAUUUUUUGGCAAGUCACUAUUACUUUUAUUUAAUAAGUUAAUUCAUUGUAUCCAUUUUAGAUCUAUAUAUGAAACGUAUUUUAUUUUAUAGGCUUAACUCAUAGUUCUAAAAAAUUAUGCUCUCUUUUUUAUGUGCAAGCACAUCAACAAUAUUGCUCUUAAUUUUUACCCAAAAAAAAAACAAUAUUGCUCUUAAUUAACUUAUGAACUUUGACAAUGACAAUGAUUUAAGAUAAUAAACUUAACUGUCGGGCACUCAUAUUUUCACUUACUUUUCUUUGAUUUUUGGCCCAAAUGACAUUAGCAAUAUUGUUUUUAAGACGACAACCACCAUCACAUUACUAAAAAGCAUUCGCCGAUUAUUUCUCUCGUCCAUCCUACCACCUAUCUUUCCAAGUCUCCAAGGCCAUCAUGAACUUUUCCUUUUAGGGUUAAUGUGAAACGCGCUAGUUGAAGGUCCAAAAGAAAAUGGGAAAAGCUUAAAGCACCGACACGAUGUAUCGGUACGUUCCCAGAAAAUCCGUGUGAAUUAUUUGUCCUCUAAUUGAACCGUGUAGUGGGGGCAUCAUUGGAUCUGGAAAUCAACGUCCAUAGGCUACCAUGUAGCAAAUAAAAAGUCUACCAGUAGGAAACUAUUUGGGGGACACACACUAAAUGCUUUCACAGGAAAAUGAAGGAUGAGGAGCUCUUGACGUGUACGUGAAGCCAAGGUUCAUAAAGUUUAGAAUUUUGCCCAUCGAAAUUUGUGGGCUGAAACCUUUGUGGGUUAACGUGUGAAUCGGCCUCCCAUGUGAUGCACGGUUUGAUUUAUUACUACCAUUUGGUCAUCCUAAAAACUUAAUAAGAACCGUUCUUUAUCUAAAUCUUGAGCUUCGUUGACUACUUCGAACUGAGUUGUUGUGGGAUCCUAAUAUAAUUUCAAUUUAUAUAAGUAUUUUAAAAUCGCUAUCUUAUUAUUUGAUGCAUAAUUUAAUUCAUUUCUAUCUUAUUUGUCAUCUUAAAAGUUCGUAAGGAAUUACUUUUUUAUUUAGACUCUGACUCUAACGAAUACUCUAUCAUUGUCAAAUCAAGUUAUUAUAUUAUUAAAAAAUAAAUUCUUAAUAAGGCGAGCAUCAAUUAUUUAAUUAGUGAUGAAUUACCCAUGAUGAGAUGUUAUUUUGUUGCAUUUGUGUUAUCUCUCGCAUCACAUCUUUAGUGAAUUAUAAAUUUAUCUUCGUGCUCAGUUAAAGGAGUACCUUGUUGGCUUCUUUAGUAUUGUAGAAAUCAUAUUUACAAAACGAAUAGUACCUCUCCUUUCCCAUACUUUUCUCCUUCCUUUUUCUUUAAUUUAUUUUCGUUAAAUAUCCUUUUCUUUCCUACCGAAAGAAACUCCUGCUCCUUUCGUGCGUGGCGAGAGAGAGAGAGAGAGAGGGGGGGGGUAAUCGUGGAUUUUCUUGAAGAAAUAAAGGUUGUGUCUGGGUGUGAAAAAACAACGACAAGAAGAAAAUUGAAAAGAGAAGAAAAGGAAAAUAACCUCAUGUUACACCUUACAAGUCACAAGUGGGAUUGUAUCUCAAUUAGAUCUGAAUGAAAAAUGACCAAAACCACUUCACUCACAAUUAAUUUGAUGAAGGAUGAUGAAUGGUAAUUUCAAGAUUUGAGUCACAAGCAAUGCAUUGCUACGUGUAAUUACACCUCCACUACAUCGGUCGGCGGCUUUUUCAACCAUUGUGUUUCGCAAAUGAAAAAAUCAGUCUUUCCAUCUCAUGUGGACUCUGUACGCACAUCUAUCUCCCUCUUCUUUUCCUCCUUUCCUUUUCUGCUUAUUAUUCCAUGGACGAACAGACGCAGAGAAAAACAGAGACCUCUCUACUUCACUCAAUGAACCCGCAGUCCCUCCGUCUCGUCGUGAAUUCACAGUACUUGAGUGACCUGUAAAGAAUCACACAUAAUAUUUGAUCGACUGCUUCCCGGGGGACCUUUGUCGCUUUCCUCAUCCGUCCCUACUGCUCUUCUUUUCCGAGUCUGCAAAGCCACAAGCCUCUUCCUUUUGGCGUUAUUGUGAAAAACGCCGGUUGCCUCCAGCUUUUCAAAAGCUAAAGGAAAAGAGGGUUAAGGCUCCGUUUGGCAACCAUUUUGCCAAGUAUCUUUGAGCCCCUAAAAGUCUUUAGGCUAAAGUGGAGGUAUUUGGCAAAAACAUUUGAAGCCCCCUUUGGAGAAGGCUUUGGAGAAGGCCAGCCUUGGGCAUUUCAACUUUCUCAAUAAGCUGAGAGUACUGUUCAAUUUUAUUUUAUUUUCGAAAUUAUCCUUAAGAACUUUUUGUUUUUCCGUUUUUUGCCCUUGUGAGGAGUACUGUUCAUCUUCUUCGUCGAGGGUGGCCCCGGCGGCAACUGCUCGGGUCGCGCGACCAAGGCGCUGCCCUCGCCGAGGUCGCGUGACCUCAGGCGAGGGUUGCGUAGCCUCGGCGACGGCCGAUCGGGGUUGCGCGACCCUCGCCGAGGUCGCGCGAUCCAGGCGCAGCCCUCGCCGAGGUCCCCCGACCUCAGGCGAGGGUUGCGUAGUCUCGCGACGGCCAAUCGGGGUUCUCGGAGGUUGAGGCGGCGUCGCGCGCGACCUCGCCGGCCCAGAUCCGUGGUCGCCGGAGGUCGCGACGGCAUCACGCGACCUCGCCGACCCAAAUCCAAGGUCGUCGGAGGUUGUAACGGCAUCACGCGACCUCGACGAAGGUCGCGACGGCAUCGCGCGACCUCGCCGGCCCAGAUCCAGGGUCGCAACGGCAUCGCGCGAUGCCCGCGACCUCGCCGGCCCAGAUCCGGGGUCGCUGGAGGUCGCCAAAGGUCACCGCCGGCCGCCGGAUGCCGCCUGCCUUUGCUGGUUUUCAUUUUUUUAUUUUUUUAUUUUUCUUUUAAUAAUUUAUUGUUCACAAAAGUCCUUUGUCCCCCAAACAAGGUACUUCAUAAAGGGCUUUUAAAUUACAAUUUACCAAAAACAGUUUGCAUUUUAGAAAACACAUUUAACUCAAAGGUCUUUGCAUUUUCCUAAAAAUUUUCCCCCAAAAUCUUCCAAAACACAUCCUAAAGCACUCACAACAAUCAGUACGUUCUCUGAAUGGUCCGCCUGAAGUUUUGUUCGAGUAGUCUUAUUCAAGUUCAGUGCAGCACGCUCAUCAUCGGAUCGAGAAAUUGACAAGAGAUUCCGUAAUUAUUAUCUUAGACGAAAACAAUUAUCAGAAAUCAAUGUCUACUUACCGAGGUUACUAUGUUGGAAAUAGUAAGGGUAAUAGUAUGAAGCUAUAUGGGAGACGUACAAUAGAUGCUUUCACAAGAAAAUGAAGAGGAGUUGUUGAAGUCAUCCGUGAAAGCUCAGGUUCUUUCAAAGUUUUUGGGCUCCAAACUAAGGAGAAAAGGAAAGAGUUGCCUCAUCCGUGCGGGAAAGAAACAAAAAAAAGUUCGCUUUGCUUCAAGUGUUUUUGCGGGUCAUGUGAGAAAAACAAUCUUAAUGAUAAGUGUAAGCUUUCACUCAUAAUAAAUUAUGUUUGAUAAUUGUGCGAUCAUUUUUUAUUUUUUUUUUAUGUAAGUUGUAUUCAUACUAUAUUUUUCAGUUAAAUAUGUCCCGAGCCGAGUUGCUCAUUACAAUUUUCUCAUGUUGCGACUACCGCGCUUCUGUACCCGACAACAAUGAGUGAUAAAUCAUGUCUAGUUUCCGAAUGAAUUUUGCUGCAAGGUUAGCUCCAGAUGCUUUUUCAACCAAACAACUAACGACCUUUUUUUUUUUAAAUAAAAAUUUGAAGACAUGGCAUGAUUUGUGCAAUGCUCAUAGCUCUCGAAGUAUGCAAGUGGGAACAAGAUAUGAAUGGAUAGGCAUGAUCACAUGCAUCGUACCAAAAGCCACGUACAUCAUACUCAUUAAUGUUUUUUGUAUUUUAAACCGGUUAUCACAUCAUAAUAAUCAUCAAAUCAGUUGUAAUCUUAUUAUAUAGAUAUCAAUUUAAUCUUAAAUUUUACAAUUUCAUCAAUUCAAUUCUAAAUCUUUAUACGAUAUUUCAAUAUAACCCUUGUGAUCAAUUUUUAAUGAAAAUCACUGGACAAUCUAAGAUAAUUAAAUCAUCAUAUCAAUGAUUUUCGAUAAUAGGCCAUAGAGGUUAUAUUGAUAUAUUAAACAAAAGUUUAGAUGAUUAAGUUGAUAAAAUUGUUAUAUUCUACCGAGAUUGUUUUCGAAACUGACGCGUGAUGCAAUAGUGGUGAUAUGGCACUAGUGCUGAAAUUAUUGGAAGCCUUCCAUGAGGUUUGCUCUCUGGAGUCAUUGUGAAAGUAUGGAAUACAUUUGUACGAAUUGACCGACACGCACUAUCCUUGAAAGCUCAAUCUAUGGCUGGCAUGGACGGGGUACAAACAUGAGUUGGGAAAGGAAUGUGAACCUUCAAGAAACCUAUCUCCACGGUGAUUGUUUGGGGGCCUUGUGUACACUACCUUGGUCCAGUACCUCAACUUGAACUUCAUAUACAUUUUGGACCUCAAUAGCUAUAUUCUAACGCUUGAAUGAAAAUAAUAUAAAAUCAUAACAUGAUUUUCCCAGACAGAAUGAAUAUGAUCGACAUUCCGCACUUUGUCAAGUUUGACACGUAAAUCUAAUUAAGGAAUCCUAUAAGGAAUCCUAGAUAGCCGGGGAAUCUUGUGAAGAAAAUAUAGCAGUUGAUCAACAACAUACUAAUGAUUUACCAUGAAAAGAUUGUUAAGGGACUAAGAUAGCUGAACUUAAGGAAUUUCAUAACAUAUGGGUUAGUUGAAGCAAUUGUUCUUCUAGUUGAGUAUCCUUGUGGAUAAUAUGAAAUGGAAAGAAUUUACAUAAGCUAAUAAAUAGAACCAAGUAUAUUUAAUACGGAGGAAGCGAAUUAUUCUUCAAAAGAAGUGUCUGGAGAAAAUUAUAACUCAGAUAACAUUUAUCUACAACUCUACUAACACUUUGCUAGCAUCAUCAAAAUCUCAAAUUUUAUCAAUCAAGUACUAUUCUCUACACCAUAUGCAAUUUAGAAUAAUAAAUAAAAAAGAAACCACGCAUCCACACACAAUUUUGAGUAGGAAAAUUUUCCUUCUGAAAAUACACAAAAUUAACUCAAUUUCUCUCUUUCAGCUAUACGCAAUUUUUUCUAUAUUUCAAAUCUCGAAUGAAUUCGCGUAUUUCCUAAAUGUUUGUACAUAACAGGUUAAAUUCAGUUACUUAUUCCAAAUUUUCCAAUUGAAUCGGAGAUAAGAUAGAGACGACAUCUCCAUCACAUUAUGGAAAAGCAUUCACCAAUUAUUUUUCUCAUCCAUCCGAAUCGCUCUUCUUUCCGAGUCUCCAAGGCCAUCAUGACCUCUACCUUUUAGAGCCAAUGUGGAACGCAUUAGUUGCCGGCCCAAAAGGAAAUGGAAAAAACUUAAAGCACUGACACCAUCAGUAUGUCCCAGGAAUGACCACAUGAAGUAUCUGUCCUCUAAUCGAACCGUGCAAGGCAUGUCGGGGUUUGGAAUGUGAACGAGAUUGGAGCACUCGGAGGCCAAGUGAUCGCACCACGUUCGAGCUUUGACCCACCCGGACUCGGCGCCACACAGCAACUCGUCCUCGCCUUUUGCGGUCGGGCGUUCUUGAGAGAAAUGAGUUGGCACAUAACAGAACGAAAGAGCCCAAAGUUCAGCAAGCAAACUCCACCAAGCACACACCCAUCGCCAACCAAACCCUGUGCGAAAUUCAAGAACCGAAAAAUCGCAACGCUCCUAGAUCAAUCGAAUUCCAAACGCACUGACAACGCCGGCCCGACCCCGAUCACGGGGUUCCGGCGCAAACCCAAGAAAAACAGAAUCAUAUCCACGAAUCGAAAUUGAACAAACACCCGAACGGACGAACAAGAACAGGGGAGAAAAGAGAGAGGGAUCGGGUGUGCGAGAGAGAGAAAGAGAGGGAACAAACCGAGAAGACCGAUAAUAAGCUGAUCCGUUUACCAUCCAGCAACGAAAAGGAAGUAAAGAGGGAGGAAGAGAGAGAGAGAGAGAGAGAGAGAGGCAUAUCAGGUAGAAGAGAGAGGAGAGAAAAAGAGGCGGUGAGAGUGGCAGAACAAAGGAGAGGAAAGAGGAGCGGAUGCUGCGAGAAUCUCGAUGUAAAGAAAAGAGCCUUCGCGUGAUGGACCGUAGAACAAAGGAGAGGAAAGAGCAUCGAGAAAGGUAGGGUUUUGUUUAUAUUGGGUAAAAUUGUAAAAAUGAGCCUUUAAAUUUUUUCUAAGGAGCUUCGGCGAUCCAAAAUCUCUUGAGAAAGCUGAACCAAAUACCUUCGGCGAUCCAAAAUCUCUUGAGAAAGCUGAACCAAAUACCUUUUAUGUAAUAGUAAGUCUCCCGGUUGAGAAAUAUUUGGGAAACACCCGAUAAAUGUUUUCACAAGAAAAUGAAGGAUGAGGAGCUCUUGACGUGUAUGUGAAGCCAAAGCUCAUUAAGUUUAGGAUUUUGUCUUUUGUGGAAUUCAAUCUUUGUGGCUAAACGUGUGAAUCUUUUUCUCUGGAAUUUUGGGGACACGCAUUUCAAAAAAUUUUGCUCCAGAAGUUAACGUAGUUAAAGCAAUAAAGCGGUGCCUACAAUUAGGGCAUUUGAAAGCUUAAGAAUGCGAAGCUUCACACGUAAAAAGAAAAAGAGAAUUGGCUUGUCCGUCCGUGAGGGAAAGAAAUGUUCUUACUUCUUUAUUUUUUUGAUCGGUAUGUUCUUACUUCUUUGCUUUAGCCUUUUGGCCCGACUGUUCAGGUACUAUUGGAUUUUGCGAUUUUUUUAUGAUAAACAUAAUUAAUUUUGGGACCUCAUGUUCCGAUUGUUUAUAAUUUUUAUUGUGACAAUUUGCAACUUUUGAAAGGAAACAAGCAACACAAGAUAUGACAUGAUCUUAAAUUGACGAAAAAAAGAGAAACUAAAAGCAAAGUGAGUUGGGUGGCCACAUGUGUACAUUUUAGAGCCUCCCUCCCCAUGCACUAUUAAUGAGUUAUAAAUAUAGACAUCAUUCAUAUUUAAUUUUAGUUAAGUUUGCAUAUUGGUAUUUCUAUAAGUUCGACACCAAUCAAGAUAUAAUUAGAGGUAAUUUUUUCCAAGUAGGUACAGAGGAAAAAGUGACAUCGCUUGAUAACGAGGAAAAUCACUUCAAAUUAGAUACAUUAUAAUCACACUCUUAGGCUACAUGCACCUGGAAUAAGAAUGUGAGAUCUCAUUCUUACAUUUUAGGGAAUGUUUCAUUCUACCCUUCAUGACUUGGAAUUUGGUGCAUGUCCGAUCUCAUCAAACUUUAAAAAGCCACAUCCCUCUUCCGUAUAAUCCAAACUUGUAUUUUGUUAUGCUCAUUAACACUGCUAACUUUUUUUUGAACGACACAUGUCUUUUAUGGGAUAAAUAAGAUAUAUAUCUUAUAUAAUCUAAAAUGCUUUUUUUGAAUGAUAUACACCUUUUAUUAAAAGAUAAAUUCUUGAUAUGACUACCAUUGAUUGUCUAAUUGGUGACAGAUUACUCGUAAUGAAGAAAUGUUGUUUUAUCGUGUUUGCGUCACAUCUCGGAUCACGUCCAUGGUUAACUACAAAUUUAUCUUUGUGCUAAGUUAAACGAGUAUCUAUUGGCUUUUUUGGCAUUGUAGAAGUUGUAUUUACAGAAUGAAUAGUACGUCUCCUUUCAGAUGCUCUCUUUUCCAUCCCCCACUUGCGUCGCAUCUCGUGUCACGUCCAUCGUUAACUACAAAUUUAUCUUUGUGCUAAGUUAAACGAGUACCUGUUGGCUUUUUUGGCAUUGUAGAAAUCGUAUUUACAGAAUGAAUAGUACAUCUCCUUUCGGAUGCUCUCUUUUCCAUACCCCCCUCCUUUUGUCCUUCCUUCUUCUUUAAUUUUUUUUCGUUAUUUUUCCUUUUUUCUUUCCUACCGAAAGAACGGAGUACUCCUUUGGUGGGUGGCGAGAGAGAGGGGUUGGGGGGGGGGGGGGGGGGGGGGGGGGGGGGGAAAGGAAGGGGAAUUAUGGAAAAUAACCUCAUAUUACACCUUACAAGUCACAAGUGGGGUUGUAUCUCAAUUAGAUCUGAAUGAAAAAUGACCAAAGCCACUUCAUUCACAGUUAAUUUGGUGAAGGAUGAUGAACCGUUAUUUCGUGAUUAGAGUCAUGAGUAAUGCAUUGAGACAUGUAAUUGCGCUUGUACUGCAUCGGCCAGGGCCUUUCUCUAUCAUCGUGUUUCGCAAAUGGAAAAAUCGGUCUUUCGAUCUCAUGAAUCGCGGACGCAUCUCUCUCUCUCUUCCUUUCCUCUUUUCCUUUUCUGCUCGUUAUUCCAUGGUGGAACAGAUGCAGAGAAACGCAGUCCCUUUGUCUCAUCGUGAAUUCACAGUGCUUGAGCGAGGUGUAAAAAGAAACGCUUGUGAUAUUUGACCGACUGCUCCACGGGGGGACCUUUGUCACUUUCAGCAUCCGUCUGUACCGCUCUUCUUUCCAAGUCUGCAAAGCCACGGACUUCUUUUUGGCGUGUCAAUGUGAAACACGCUGGUCGCGCCCACAUCAAUUAUUACGUUCCCCCAAUCAGUACGUUCCCUUUGUUCACUCUCAUUCAAGUUCUGUGCAGCAUGUGACAAGAGAUUCCGUAAUUCUUGUCUUCGACGAAAAUAAUUAUCAGAAAUCAACGUUUACUUGUCGAGGCCACUGUGUCAGGAAAUAGUACGGGUAAUAGUAGGGAACUAUUUGGGAGACGUACAGUAGAUAGAUGCUUUCGCGAGAACAUGAAGAUGAGGAGCUAUGAAGUCAUAUGAUAAGCUGAGGUUCUUUCAAAGUUUGUGGGCUUCAAACUGAGGAAAUUAACAUAGAGAAAAACAAUUGUAAUGGUAACUGUGCGACAAAUAUUUUAUUUGCGUGUUAUAAUUAUACCACAUUUACAAAUAAAUAUCUCCAGAGUUGCUCAUUAUAAUAUUUUUCAUGUUAUUGCCGUGCUUCCAUGCCCAACAACAAUUGAUGGUAAGUGAUAUCUGCUUUUAGAACGAAUUUCAGUCUAAAUUUACCUUCACAUGAUUUUCCAAUGAAACCAUAAACAAUCUCCUUCUUUUAUUAUUAAAAAUUUGAAGACAUGGUAUAAUUUUUGCAAUGCUCAAUUGCUCAUAGCUCAAAGCUGGAGAGUCACGAUGAUUACCUGAUUCGGAAUGGUACCCAACCCACGUGGUGGGGGCCAUGAAGUGACGUUUUCUUUGACAAAAAUCGAGACCAGAAAAAGCAUAGCAGAAGAUCUUGCUUACAGAGAUUUAUCUCUUGACAAUAUCGCAAAGAUUUAUCUAUUGACAAUAUCUUCCGGUAGCUUUACCAUUACUUGUAUCCGUACUCGAUUUGCUCUUUCGUUCCCACCGACUUUCCUUCCGACUCAAUGAUUCUCCUUUCCAUGACUCCCUCCAUUUUGAGCUUCAUUAGCUAUUUAUUCGGUCCUGCGAAUUCGCUAUUAGAACUGAUAAAGAUAAUUGGAGAAGUUUAUCAUCGAUAAGAUUCUGACUUUUUUCAUGAUAUUAUAGGUUAAUCAUCUUGACUUACACGUUCUUAAUGAUCUAUCACGAUCUUUUCGAGUAAGAUGUCCGUCAAAAAUAAAGAAUUUAGAUGAAUGGACAUUCAAGAUUUAACUAUGUGAUCUUUUGAUGACGCUUAUCAUUCUCAAUGACCUUAGCUUUCCCACAUGUUUAAUCAACAUAAUACUUGACUUGGAGGAAUCUUCUCUCUCUCCUAGACCCUUGAAAUCAAUUUUGACAUCCCAAACAUAAUAGAUUCACAAGUAGCGAGUAUUUUUUAGCUGGCACCAAAAGUAUAAAUACUCUGAUUCCGUGGUUCGUUAGAAGUUUCGCAUAUUUUACUAUUUGGUUGUGCUAUAACAAUAGACAUAAUAGAACAUUUUCUUUAGAUGUGUACGCAGUCACUUGGAUGGAUGGAUUUUUUUUUUGUCUCUUUAAUGUGUAGUCGAGCUCUUCCUUUUUCACCGAUUUUGAAAAAGGAGGAGGCAUUGAUGGUUGCAAUUACUAACCUUUAUUUUCUGUAGCAAAAAAAUAAAAAAAAAAGCUUUAUUUUCUUUGAGUGUAAGUCAUUUCUACAAAAAUCUCAAUUCCUCCCACGACAAUGUUUAAAUCCCAAGGAGGUUAGUUCGAUAUGGUGUGCUUUGCUAAUCUCUGCCCUCCCCUUGCAUUUCGCAAUACAAAUGCAACCCUCUACAUGUUUAUUCCUUUGCGAAACUCAAGCAGUCUCUUUGAUUAUAAUACUUACCAAUGGCAGCAUUGUUUCUUACACGAAAGAUUAGUUUCGCAGAGCAAAGGACGUAGCAAAAAUGCGAUUCCCAAUCCUGCUCUUGCAUGCAGUGAUGCUUGCUCUUCUCUAGAAAUUACUCAAUUUUUUUCUUUUUAAAUGUGUAUAAUGUGAUGGUGGAUUGUCCAUUAAUAGGGGGCUUUUUAUUUUUGUGGUUGAUCAAGUACCACCGAACAUGAGAAAAAUUAUUAUCGAAGAUGACAUGGUGCCUGCAUCGCUGAGAUGUGGCAACUGGCAAGUAGUGUAGGCUUCUAUACAACAUAUAGAUGUUCAGGAUUGAGACCCUGUGAUGGCCUCACCAAUUGCUGCAUGAAGCAAGACGCCCGCAUCCAAGUUUUCAGCCCAAAAUGAAAACCGCAAAUAUUAAAAAGAACCAGAAAACCCAAUUGAAGUUGUAAGCUAUGUAGCACGGACACUCUCCGGAAGCCUUUGUGUCGUGUCCGACACUCCGACACGUGUCCGACACGCUCCGACAUGUCCCGACACGCUCCGACAUGUGGUUAACGAGUGUUGAAAAAUCCGACACGUGAUCAACUCUCUCCGACACGCGAGUCCAAAAUUUCGACACGUGAUUCCGACACGCACGGGGUCAAUUUUAAAAAUUUCUAAUACUUGAGGGGUCAAAAUAUAAAUAUACACAAAAUAAGUAAUAAAAGAAAUAAUAAAAUUGUUAUAAAUAUACAUGCAUGGGAUCAAUUUUUUUUUUAUAAUUGUUUUAGUUUUUUUUUAAAAGCUUUUACUAUGAAAGAAGUAAUAAAAAAUACUAUAUAUGAUAAAUAAAUAAAUUUAAAAAUAUCAUUUUAGCAUUUUUCUUUAAAUAAUGUUUUUUCCUCUAAGUUUUAUAUAUUAUUAUAACAAAUUAAAAUAAUGAAUGAUAUUAUUUAAUAUUUUUCAUGUAAAUUAAUUCUAGGCUAUUAUUAUUAUUAUUAUUUAUGUAUUUAUAUAUAAAAAUAUAUUUAAUAUAUAACGUGUCGGAACGUGUUGAAAUUCUCUAUUUUUAAGAAAUGACAUGUCGACGUAUCGUGUCGUGUCGUGUCGCGUGUCACAUGUCUGUGUCAGUGCUACAUAAGUUCUAAGGGGCCUAAUGGUUAAAGAAAAAGUUUUAAUUUUAGUUUUCAAUGUAAACGAAAAUUUUUCAUUUCUGGUCUUUUGUUCCCUUGAGCAUAUGCUCGGCUUGUAGAAAUAAGAACUUCAUGUAAAUUUAGACCUGUUUGCCGUGCCUUUGCAAUCCGUCAUUAUGCACCUUCUCCAGCAAAAUUUUACCCAAUUGAGUUGGAAUUAAUAGAUAUCCUCUCUCGAUGGGAAUCCUACCCCAAUGGUGGUAGUUUUCACCCAGAAAACCCUGAUGCUCUUCACUGAAUACAGCAGUCAUUUCAUCUAGUCUCUACCAAGAUGCAAAUCUCCCGUUUCCUUUUCAACUUUGGCCCUUUACCCAAAAUCCCCAGCCUUCCCAUAAAUCAUGUUCACUGUUCCAUAAGCUAACCCCAACCCAGCUUCCGAUACAACCCAAUCUUCAUUCUAUAGCAUCACGCCCUACAAGUACAGGGCAUGCGAUCAAUGACCAUAAUAUCAGCUGAAAGCAACAACCCUAGUUAAUCCUCGCCCAAAUUUCUAACCCAAAAUCCUGACCUACCGUAACAGCCUCCCAGAGCAUUGCAUUGUCUUUUGACAGCAUUUUGCCAUUACAGUGUAUAGCGAUACAACCCCGAGAAUGAAUUUACAGGAAUGGCUGCUUCUGGCGUACUUUUCUCACAGGGAGUAAGGUGCCUGCCUUUCGUGCAUCUUCAAUGGAAGAAUUCAUGGAAGAAUUCGACACCUCAGAUUAUCGAGUUGCUAUCCUCUGCAGAAAAUUGGGCAACUUUUGGUCAGAAAAAAGACCUGGCAGAGAUAUAGAUGGUAUGGUCCCAACUGAGAGAAUAUAAGAAUGUCGUCUAACUAUGUUUGGGCAAUUGUUCUACAACCCCAAUAACAAUCUCCAAGCCUUCCCCAACACUAUGAAGAGGGCAUGGAGAGUGGAUUCAGUUACCUUUGAUCGGGUAGACUCGAGAACUUUAGCCUUUACCUUUAAGUCUGAAAAUGAAAUGAACAGAAUUCUUGAGACAAGGCCUUAGUCUUUCUCUAGCAAUCCUUUGGUGCUUAAACCAUAGACAUCAACUACUUCGCAGUACAGUUACGAUUACACACAUUACGAGUUUUAGGUUCAAGUGCACAGAUUACCUACGGAUUGGGUCUCAGAGGAAACCAUAAGGCAAAUAGCAGCAGCAGCGGGCUUGGUAACUGAAGUGAAAAUUGAUACAAAGGGGUUUAGCUCCUAUACAGGUGGAAAAGCUAGAGUAAGAACUGAUUUAUUGUCCACCUUGAAACCGGGACAUUUGCCAGCCAAGGAGGAAAGAAACUAUGGGUUGACUUUAAAUAUGAGAGAUUACCGCACUUUCGUUAUGCAUGUAGUUGCAUAGGGCAUUAUGCCAAGUUCUUCGAGGAAGAAGAAUAUGACGAGAACUGGUUAGAAAUUGAUGAUCCUAGUUGCUUUGGAAGAAGAGCCCUCUUUGGAAGCUGUUCUAUGCAAAACCAGAGGAUAUAAUCAUAGAUGAUGAGAUCAUUCCAGAAACUCCUACCCCCACCCUGCAAAUGGUGUCCUAUGUGCCUAUGGGAAAGAAUCCGUUGGUUCCUAGUAGUUGGAACAAUCUGGAAAAGUCAGCAUAGAUUUUUACAAAGAAGAUAGAAGCAAUUGGAAAAGGUGGCAUCAGUCCAUAUAAAAACAAAGAAAAAAGCUUGACGUUGAUAACAACUCCAAACCACUCUACAAUGCUGGAAGGUAGCUCAAAAGGCCCCCAAAAAGAAAUAUAACAAGGGGAAGAAAACAGGUGGAAACAAAACACAGUGAAGGUAUAGUCCUUACGCUUCUCAAAAGGUGAACUCUCUUGCCCUAAAUGAGACCAAACUUUCGUAGACUCCAAUUCAGGUUUUGGAGGAUCCUAAGAUACGGGCUUUGAUGACUAUCACUAAUAAGUCACUGAGGUUCCCAUGAUAAUUUUUUGCUGGAAUUAUUAGGGGUUAGGCACACCCAAGGCAAUAUUGGCAUUGAGGUCUGGAAAGGCCCAGCAUUAUUUUUCUGAUGGAAACAAAGAAUCAAGAAUCUGUGGUAUGAGCUUGAAACGAAUCCAAUUCCAGAACUGUGCAGUGAUGAAUUCAAAUGGAAUUGCAGGGGGAUCAGCAAUUUUACGGAAUGACAUGGUGGCACUAACAAUGGAAUCAAUCACAAAUGAAAUGCUUGACUUGACCUAAUUUGUACAGAUAGUGGAAACCAUAUGAGAAUUACCUUUGUACAUGCUCCAAUAAUCAGCCUCCAAAACCAGCUUCCGUCAAUUUGGUUUUUGUAUCAUUGGGAAAAAGUACGCAAGCAUAUGGUGGAGCACCAAAGGUCAAUGGCUUUUUGAGAUAUUAGACAUUAUAAAUGCAUGAUCUUUAAUGGAUCUUGAAUGUAAAGGAUGUGCAUUUACAUGGCAAAUAAUAGGAAUGGGGAUGCCCAUGUGAAAGAAAGACUAGAUAAAGCUCCAUGCAAUGUGGAAUGAAGAGUGACAUCCCAGAAGUGGAAACGUAUGCCUCUUAUAGGCACCGACCAUAGUCCUAUCUUGCUAACUCUCUCAACGGAACCUGCAAAAAGAAAGAGAGAAAUUAAGUUUGAAGCAUACUAGCUUAAAGAUAAUGAAUGUGGUCAGCUAGUAAGUUUAGUGUGGAAUACUACAGGCAUGGAAAUGAACAUUUUCUGAAGAAACUACAAAAAGAAAUAGAGGCCCUAAAGAAGUGGAGCAAGCAGAAGUUCUCUAAUGUUAAUAGUCAAAUCAACUGCUUGAAUUGGGAGCUUUAGGAGUCAACAAAUGAGCUGAACUUGCAUCAUGACAGGGACAAAAUGCAGCAACAGAAAAUGCAAUUGAAGACCUGUGGAAACAAGGAGAAAUGCACUGGGGCAUGCGCUCAAGAAUAUACUGGCUGAAUAGGGUGAUAGAAAUGCUGAGGAAGCGCAAUGGAAUGAGCACAUGCUGUUCUCUCGUUUUGAUGAGCAUUUAGUAAAUGAUAUUCUAGCUAUCCCACUCUUAACGCCGAUGAAGACUAGCUAGCCUGGACACGCAACCAAGCAGGAGGUUAUGAUGUUAAAAGUGGCUACAACCAACUCCAGGACAUUGAGACUAAGCAUGAAGCAAAUCAAGCCUCAUCGUUCUACCAAACUCCAAAAGCCCUUUGGACUAAGGCAUGGAAUCUAAAGACUCAACCCAAAGUAAGGGUGUUUAUGUGAAGUGUGAGCAGAAAUGCCCUACCACAAGAGAAAACCUACUCAGAAGGAAGAUUGUACCUGAGUCGACAUGCCCUCUUUGCGAAAAGGAACCUGAAACUGUCAAACAUCUGUUCCUUCUUUGUCAAAGGACGAAACAGGCAAGGUUGGCCUCUGAGAUCGGCAUCACAUUUGAAAUCAGGAAGUUAUUUGAAUUGAAGGAUUGCCAUUGAAGAUUGGUAACGACCUCAAAGGCCCCGUCUUUUGAACUGAUCACGGUCACUUUUUGGCACAUUUGGACAUAAAGAUAUUCCUCUAUUUUCAAGCAUCACUUACCAGAUCCUGCAACAACAAUGGUGUCUAUCAUGGCUAUGCAUAUGAAUCUCUCGAAAUGGAAUGGCCGAGAAUAAGAGAAUAGAAACAACCCAGGACACUUACCCAUAAGAUGGAAACCACCAAGUCCUCAAGCCAAACAUCGACAGAACUUCCACGAAGGAUCUUCCAAAGGUUCCAUGGCGUGCGUCUGCCAUGAUUUUGAGGGGAAACUAAUUGAUGGGUCCACAGUAAACUAAUUGAUGCCUUUUCUCACGUAAUUGGGCCUGUACUUGGUGAAAGAAAAGCUUGCUUAUGACCAAAAAAAUUUUGUUUAACACUAACUAUAAGAAAUUUUCAGUUGAUAAAAAUAAAUUCCAUAAUGAAAGAAGUUACAAAGUUACUAAUUUAUUGACAUAUUGUAAAUUUGUCAGAGUGCUACACUUGUAAAUUUUGAGAAAAAGUUGGUUGCUAACUUAUUCAUUGGAAUGUUGGUAAAAUCAUUUUAAGGUUUGUAAAAUUUGAUGAGGCACUGUGACCCAUCUUAACGCCUUCCAUGAUCCAGAGCAUGACCACCCCUGAAGCAUUGAGUUGACUUACUUUGCUGGCUGGUGUUAGUGACCUUUGAGCCUGUGCCACAGGCAAAACUUUGCUUGCAUUGCUUACAGCACACCCUUCUGCAUCCAGGACUCGCAAUUUCUAUUGUGAAGUGUUCCCAGAUGAUGGACUUCUUGUUUCUCCACUUGUUGGGCUGUGUUUCAAGAGUUUUCACAUUGUUGUUUUCUUCUGGGGUUGCCAUCUUCCACCAAAAAACAAAUUCCCGCCCAAUAAAGUCGGAGAUAAAACAACAAAAGAAAAAAGACAGGUAUGAAAGAGAAGGAGAUUUAGAAUAUUUCGACAGCAUGAGGCAAGAUAUAUUAAAAAAAUCACUGAUGAAUGGACUUGAACCAAAUAUUAGAGUAAGAUGUACAGAAGAUCAGUACAAGGAUUAAAAAUCUUUUUAAAAAAUUGAACAAUGGUGGCCAAUCAUAGGGAGUUGGUAAAUUAGCUUUGAAUAUGAUGAUGAGAGUUUAGAGACCUUUAGUUAGCAACAAAACAUCAUUUUCCUCUUUGUAUUGCAUUAUGUAGGUCAGGGAUCCAAACUAUGGCGAAUGUUCCUGCAUAAAGUCCACACCAAAAGCACUCCAAGAACCAGAAGGCAGACCACACAGGUACCUGCAUUUUAUACGCAGGAAACACAAUCUAGUAGUAGCUUUAACAUUUGAUACCUCAUCUCACGGAUCCAACAUGAGUUAUCAUGGUCGGUGGUUUUGGUGAUCUAUGUGUCAAGAAAGAACCAACUUUUGUUGGCCUGUCAUAGUUAUAGAAUUCUAAUCCUCGAUCUAGCUGAAAAAUGCAAACAAUAGUAGGCUAAUGAAUCUUUUUCACAAGCCAAUUCAACUUCUCAUAGUCAACUUACACACAAUCAUCAAGUGCAGCCAAAGAACUUACAUCUGAAUGAAAAGGAAGGGAACUACACAAAUCACCUCAGUCUCCUAGAUAUAUCAGACACGAAAAAGCAUCCAAGCAGAAAGAAAAGUAUUGAACAAAGGGAAAGCUCGAAGCACGUCCCAAUUACAGAGAACUAACAGAGACAAAAAAGAAAAUGCCAUGAUUGCUAAUGCCCUUUUUUCAGUCGUUGAAAAUGAAGUAAAAGCUUUAAGGCAUCCACUGGCAUCAGAUUUGCACAUACCACUUUCCAUUUUACAGUCAAUUAAAAAAUUUCAGAACGCACCACACAAAAUCCAUUAAAAAGUCUGCCAGCAUGCACUACGAAUUGAGCGAGAGGUGGUUGUUCUUUAGAAAUCCUCCAUAACUCAUAGAACAAGUAGACACACAUGUCGUGAUUCCUCUCCACCAAUAAGUGUAUCCCAAAAAAACAAGCAUAAAGAGAGCAAAAUUUAACUGAUCGAUGGAGUACCAACUAAUUCCCGAUGCCCAUUUUGAAAGACUCGAAUUUUUUUUGUAAGAAUAGGGUCCAAAGCUAUCAAUCCUCCAUCGAGCAAUUCACACAGCGUCUCCACCUUCGAAUCAGCCACGGUUGGGUUGGUGGUCGGAGCUUUCUUCCGGGUUGCAGAGCCGCCGUCUGGUCGCACGCUGCCGGCGCCACCGGACCUCGACCCGAUCACGGAGGUCGAACGAAAGACACAAUCGAAACAAUUUUUGAAUUGGGGGGGAAGGCUUUGCGUGAGCCGGAGUUUUUGCUUUUAGUUUCUUUCAGAAUCCUUCGCCUUUCAACCCUCAUCGCUGCCGCCGCUCCUUUUGUUGGAUGAAUGCUGCUGCUGCUGCUGUGAAGAUGGAGCAAAUUGGAGCUCCUUCUGGCGGAUGAGAAGCACCAUUCGCUCGUCUCGAGCUUGGCUCUCUCGUCUGGGUUCCAUCAACGAAUCUUCAGUUCCCAAAUGCCUCCGAAGAUCACGCCACCUAAGCCAUCGGGUUCCAUCAAAAGACAUAUUUUUAUCUUCAGUUCGCCGCUAUGAAUCUUCCUUCCCUCUCAGAAAUGAAUCUCCUAUUCUCGAUUUUGCCAAUAAAGACACUUUUUUUUUACCUGGCCAAAUGCCCCGAACCAGACUUUUUUCCCCUGCAAUGAAAAAGCAGAGGCAUUCCCACGCAGCUCUACAGGUAAAAAGGACAUACCUAAGUCAGUCAAAUCUCAAGAAAUCCCGAAAAUGCAACACCAAGUUCCCGGAAAGCCUCAUCCAUGCAGUGCAAGAUUCCUCUUUUUUUUUUUUCUUAAAUAAAAAAACUCAGUUCAGGAUAUAUAGCGAGCAUGGCAACUGGUUUUGAGAAGGGAUGUUUUUUUAUGGGAGUUGACAAAAAGAACUGCCCGUGGUUUUGAGAAGUCACACCCAUCUUUGGAAGCCAAAACACACGAGAAAAGAAGGAAGAGAGUGUAUUCAUACGCAGGAGGGGGAGAGAGGGAGUGCAAAUUUAACCAACUUUAUUUUGAUUGUAUUUUCAGCAAUUGCUCGGACGGUGGGGCACUUGGCUGAGAGUUCUGAGGUUAUGAAUUUUGUUAAUGACCUUAUGAAAGCUCCUGAAAUGGCUGUUCCCAAGGUACAUUUCUUGUAUCGGUUGAUGUGAUUUUAUAAUUUGCAUGAUGCACUCUCUCCUAUGGGGGUGUUGUCAAUUGUGUAUUUGCAUAUUAAUGUUCCUUUUGUUGUCAACGUUCAUAUUCAGAAUGACGAGGGUGAUACCUAUAUUCAAGCUUUUUCUGAUGAUAUGUGGCUAUUGAGAGACAACGGAAACUUUAUCUCCUUUUCGGCUUUAUCAUUUUCAAAUAUGCUGAUAAUUUGAACCUUCAUGAGUGGAUGAGAGAUGAGAUAAUGAAAUGAACGACUAUAUCGACAUGACCUUAUAGUGCACAAUUCAAGAACAUUAUCUUGAGCAAUUUGGGAAUGUUAGUUCUCCAUUUCUUGCUCACUUGCUGGAAUAUGGCUUGUGAAGUGGGAAAAAAUUGGAAAUGCAAAUUGUGAAAUGUUUUUGUUACUUCUGAUCAUAAAGUUGUGAAAACAAUGGGUUGUGGAGUAGCCUGCAUCCUGCGGCAUACGAAUAGCGGAGGUAUAUAUUUGAUUGCUAGAUGUAGUUUGUUUAUAUGAUAUAUAGGCUGGUGUGAUCGAAGAAUUUGUGAAUGACAUGGUUGACGCGGCUCUUGACACGGAGGACAUGAAGAGGAGAUAGACGAAGAGGUUGAUAAGGUCUUGACAGCCAUUGCCGGUGAGACAGCUGCUCAACUUCCGGUGGUAGUGAGGAAGCAAAAGGUGAAGCAAUCUGCUCAACCUAUCAACCUACUGCAGAAGAGGUACAUCUGCUAGUUCCUUACCGAUGGAACUUAUUUUUGGUCAUUCUUUUAUUUCCCCGAUAGGGAGCUAAUUGAGAAACAAUCACUGCUGCAUUCCUACUUUUUUUCAUGUAUCAAUGAAUUUGGAGUUUGUAGGAUGGGCGGUAGCCGAGGGUGUUGAUGAUGAGGAAGAACUAGAAGAAAUGAGAGCUCGCCUUGCAGAAGUUAGGUCUUUAGUUCCAAUUUUUCUACUGUACACUUUUGACAGCCCAAAAGGCAGGGAAAGGAGGGGUAAACUCUAUUUCGCCUAACGUGGGAGGAAUGCGGGUCCCCUGAUUGAUGUAGAGGAGAUCCUAUAAAACACUUGAACGGUCAAUGAAAAAUGGUGUAAUGAUGUAUAAAUAUGCGAGUUAUGUAUAAACUUGAGCUUGUGGUGAAUAUUGGGUACGUGGGUCGACAAAUUUACUAAUAUUGUGUAACACCUGAGCCAGAGCUUCCAUUCUUUCAACAAAAGCAGAGAUGGAGCAAGUGUCAAGUGAUGGAGGAGCGGCCGCUUGACGAACCUUGGAGCAGCAACAAUAAACGCCGCGUAGCAAAUGAGAGCGAAAGCAGAGAUUCAAAUUAGAUAUUAAGCCAUUUUCGGCUCUAAAUGAAAAACACAAAUAAAGAAAAGAACGAGCAUUACCCAAAUUGAAGUUGGUUCAUGAAAAAAGGUUUUAGCUUUCGUUUUCAAUGUAAAGGAAAAAUAAAAGAUCUUCAUUUCUCCUUUUUUUUUCCUCUUGAAAAUAUGUUUGGUUAGUAAAAGAACUUCGGAUAGGACUCAAAAUUUAAACAUGUUUAUGGUGUCUUUGCAAUCCAUCACUUCGUACAUUCUUUGAACUAAUAAUCCCAUCUUUUCAUUUGGUGAUUACAAAGUACCAUAGCCGGCUAUCAAGAAAAAUCGUCUUAUGAAGUAGGAGAUGCGGAUGAAAUUGGCAAUACAUCUCUACCGCGAAUAAUGCGACCUGCUUUAUUUACCUUUGAAAGGAAACUAUUAAAACAUCCAUUUUCAAGAGGCAUCUAAACCUCUCCUCGCUGUACAUGCAACAAAAAUCUUGGAUACAGUCAAAGAGCCUAUGAAUUACUUCAGUACUCUAGAACUUGAUCGGUAGGCAAAAUUCCAGCCAAUGGCCUUACAAUAGAGUCUCUGGAUAGACAUGCUUGACUUUUAUUGGGUAUAGUAGCUUGAAGAGCGAUGCGGUUCGAGGUAGCCAGUCUCUUAGGUCCCUACUUUUUCAGGGCGGAUGAAGUUACUGACAAGCAGGAAAUGUUUAGCACAAAACUAGACUAAGAAAAUUAGAACAUCACAUACUAAAAGCCAAAACCCUGUUAUCUAAUGAGAAAAGUAAGGCCUUGUACAUGAGAUCUGGUGUCCCUGAUCAUCGAUUCAGUAUAGAAACGAGACGAAGGUACCAUGGAAUCCAUAGGGUGCCCUUUGAGGCAGAGUCAUUUUUUCCAUUGGCUCACCUUUAAACUUGUGCGCUUCAAUCACAAGAACCUGUAGAUUUCACAAUUUCAAAAUCACAUCAAACGUCAUUACUGGUAGUCUGGUAGGCAAACCUACGUGAUGAUUGCAUUGAAACUCUUAAACUUAACCUGGGACACAUCUGUUUCUUCAUUAUGUACCCAAGAGACGAUCCAACCACUGUCCUCUCCGAGACCAUCUUUCUUAGGGACAACACACCUGUUGCAGAAGUUGUCCUUUCCGAAAUUAUGGUACCCGACCUUCAUCAACUUCUUGUGAUAUCUUCCUCUCUAAUUCAAGGCCACGGUGAGGAACAUUUCGACAUGUACAAUGGAUAAUUAGAAUGACUCGAAAAACUUUCAGUAAUACCUCAGAGUUAGACAGCCCAGGACAAGGUUCAUCGAAGUAUAAUUUCACUAGAGCUCCAUAUUAGCCAUUCCUGAAUCAAACGAGUGAUGCAUAAACAAUAGGAAACUGAUCUUAUGCGCUACAUUGGGCAAAUGGACAUGGACUCGAGAGUAGAGACUGGCAUUGCAUUACCACUUUCCGAGCUUGCUCUGAAUUGAUGACUUGAGCAUAACCACACGCAUUACGCAAGCCAGUGAAUUCGGCAUUUAUGAAAGGGAAGUCUAUAGAGAAUUCAGUGCCCAUAAGAUUCAACUCCUGAACUUCCCCUGUUUCCAUGUUCAAUCUCCACUCAGAGGCACAGGUAAACAGAUAGCCUCCAUGUUUGUUAGCAUUUGCAUCCACCGGUUCUCUAAAGUUGAAUCCUCUCAAGAACCAAUCGAAUUUGUUCAUACCCAUUGGGACACAGAAACACCACUGUAAGUGAUCUGCAUCUUCUCACCACGGCCUGCAUUGUUGGGCAAUAUCAUUAAAGUUGAGGCUUAGUCUAAAAGGAUUUUAACCUUCAAAUUAGGCUACUAGGAAAAAUAUACCUCAUAACCGUCCCGAAAGCAGUUGAUAUGUGAAAUGUGCAGCUUGACUCUACAAAAAACCAUUGGACUGAACUCACGUCUCCAUAACGUAGCAUCACCCCUAUCCUCGGAUAUCUUCCUGGUCAUAUUUCAGUAACCUACAUUCCAAGAAAAUGAUUAGUUGCUUCAACGAACUGAAAAACUAUCACCAAGAAAGGCAUUACCAGCUCCUGCAAAUCAACGCUACAUCAUGAGAUCAACUUGUUAUCUACUGAAUCGAUUAGUACUGAAUCAUGCUGUAAUGUGCCAGUGAGGAAUCUCCAUGUUUCCAGAGCAGUCUUGACACCAAAACUCUCAAAAAGCAUUACACGUCCAGCUCUGGCUACAUUCCUGUGGCAAACAAAUAGUCCAUUUACACAGGCNNNNNNNNNNNNNNNNNNNNNNNNNNNNNNNNNNNNNNNNNNNNNNNNNNNNNNNNNNNNNNNNNNNNNNNNNNNNNNNNNNNNNNNNNNNNNNNNNNNNNNNNNNNNNNNNNNNNNNNNNNNNNNNNNNNNNNNNNNNNNNNNNNNNNNNNNNNNNNNNNNNNNNNNNNNNNNNNNNNNNNNNNNNNNNNNNNNNNNNNNNNNNNNNNNNNNNNNNNNNNNNNNNNNNNNNNNNNNNNNNNNNNNNNNNNNNNNNNNNNNNNNNNNNNNNNNNNNNNNNNNNNNNNNNNNNNNNNNNNNNNNNNNNNNNNNNNNNNNNNNNNNNNNNNNNNNNNNNNNNNNNNNNNNNNNNNNNNNNNNNNNNNNNNNNNNNNNNNNNNNNNNNNNNNNNNNNNNNNNNNNNNNNNNNNNNNNNNNNNNNNNNNNNNNNNNNNNNNNNNNNNNNNNNNNNNNNNNNNNNNNNNNNNNNNNNNNNNNNNNNNNNNNNNNNNNNNNNNNNNNNNNNNNNNNNNNNNNNNNNNNNNNNNNNNNNNNNCUAGUGUCUUAUGGGGCGGAUCGGGCGUCCCGACAUAAAUUCCGCAUACGGUUCUCUUCGGGUUUCAUGUCCCAGAUUAAAAUGACAUCGUUUCUUUUAUCAUGUAUAGCACGAUAUAGUAUAUCUUGCUAUUUCGAACGUCCAUAAUGAGCAUCAAUGGAACAAAUCCACCUUGCACAGCAUAAAAAUUCUAAUGCUUGAAUGAUUAUAACAUAAAAUCAGAAGAUGUUUUUUCCAGAUGGGAUGAAUUUGAUUGAUAGUCUGGCCUUGGUCAAAUCUAACACGUAAAUCCGAUCAAUGAAUACAAAAUGGCCAGGGAAUCUGGUAAAGAAAAUAUAGCAGUGUAUCAGAACACACAAAUUAUUUACAACGAAAAGGAAUGGUUAAGGGACUGAGAUAACUGGAGUUAAGGAUUUCUUGAAGAGUACAUAUGGCUUAUUUGGAGCAAUUGAUCUUCCAAUUGAGCAUCCUCAUGAUAUAUACGAAAUCGAAAGUAUCUGCACAAGCGAACAUGCAUAACCAAAUAGAUUUCAAGGGAGAAGCCAAUCAUUCUUCAAAAGUAGAACUUCAAGAAAAUAAUUUUUUGAAGUAUUUGCAGCAGUUAAAAAUAUUUUCAUAUCAAGAAAAAUGAAUCCUGAUUUAAAUAGAACCCACAUUACUCUAGUUCCAAAAAUUCCUAACCUAGAAACUCUUGAUCAAUUUCGCCCCAUUAGUUUGUGCAAUUUUGGCCUAUAAAAUCAUAUCCAAGGUAAUCGUGAAUAGACUCAAAACUUGGUCAUCGAGAAUUGAUAGCUCGAGAGCAAAGUGCAUUUAUGAGUGGGAGACUUAUCCAGGACAAUAUCGUGAUAGUGCAGUAAGUGUUGCAUCAACUAAGAGCAAAGAAGAGGAGGAAAAAAAAUUCCUAGCGGUUUUGAAACUUGAUAAGAAAAAGGCGCAUGACAGAGUAGAAUGGGACUUGUCGGAGGCACGCUUAAGAAAACUGGGCUUUGAUGAAAAGUGGAUUACAUGGGUUAUGAAAUGUGUAUCUUCAGUCUCAUUCAGUGUUAAAUAUAAUGGGAAUCCUCUUCCUUACUUCCAACCUUCCAGAGGACUUUGGCAAGGUGAUCUUUCAUCCCCUCAUCUCUAUAUUUUUGUAGCAAAUAUUUUAUCUUUUAUGAUGAAGAAAACAGUGGAGGAUGGCAGUAUCGAGGGUAUUAAGCUCAACUCUUCUUCCCCUACCAUAUCACAUCUCCUAUUUGUGGAUGAUUCCAUCUUCUUUUUAGAUUGGAGAAUUCAAGAAUGCCAAUCUAUAUCGGAUGUAACAUCAGUAUGGUUUUGCUACUGGAUAGGAGAUAAACCUAAACAAAUCAGAAAUACUCUUUAGCUCAGGGUGUCCACAGACCAUAAGAGCCAAUAUGGCUAUGAAUGGCGUGUCCUAGAACUGGAUAAACAGGAAAAUACCUUGGAAUUCCUUUGGAUUGGGGAGAGUCUAAGAAGAAUAUGUUUUUCCUGGAUACGUGGAAGAGUUAACAAAAAAAUGGAAGGUUGGAAGGAAUCUUUAAAUUCUAAAGCAGGAAAGGAGAUAUUACUAAAAAACAGUAGCACAUGCUCUUCCUCAAUAUGCAAUGUCAAUCUUCAAGAAUCCCGUUUCCAUAUGUAAAGUGAUUGAACAGAGAAUGGCAGCAUUUUAGUGGAAAAGCAGAGAAUUUCACUCUGGUAUUCUGGAAGAGUUGGGAUUUCUUGAAUCAAAGGAAAGACAAUCAAGGCAUGGGAUUCAAAGAUAUACUUUCUUUUAACAAAGCUUUCUUAGGAAAGCAAGCCUAGAGAUUAAUGCACCAAUCUUGCUCUUUAUGGGGUCAAAUUUUUAGAGGGAUUUACUUCCCAAAAAGGAGUUUCUGGCAUGCUGGGAAAGGGCACAGACCCUCUUGGGGCUGGCAAAGCUUACUACAGGGAAGAGACUUAAUCUUAGAAUCUUCAUUGUGGUCAGUGGAAACAGGAGAAGCAAUCAGUAUCAUAGAGGACAGAUGGUUGUAAAGAGGUGUAAUUGGAGGGCCAGUGAAUGAAAAUAACCCGCAACAGGUAGUAGAGCUUAUAAACCACAAAGAAAAUUCCUAGAAUGAACCUCUUCUUCGAAAUAUUUUUGAAGAGGACAUCCUAAAAGAAAUUCUGGUUAUUCCUCCGACAACCCACUCUAUUCAAGACAAACUGGAGCGGACAUAUUCAUCAACAGGAAAUUACUCAGUAAAGAGUGGCUACAACUACAUAAGACUUACCUAGAAUGUCUGAAAAGCUCUAAUGGCCUCCCCAUCUUUCUGGGCUCCUCAGGCUUUAUGGAAUAGGGACCUGGAAAAUGCAUACAAUCCAUAAAAUUAAUCUCAUCCUAUGGAAUGCAGGUCAGAAUAGUCUGUCCACAAUGGAGAACUUAUACAAGCGAAAAAAUAGUAUCGGAUUCUUACUGCUCACUGUGUAGAGACCAAGUGGAAUCCCCAAAGCGUCUCCUUCUCCUUUGUCCUUGGCCGAGAGACAUAUGGGCUUAACCAUCCCUAAAUUUCAGGUUUCUUCUCAGGGUUAAGCAGAGUAGAGAUAAGGGCCAAUGCAAUACCUUAAAAGCACGGAAAACCCAACUUCUCUGGCACUUGUAGCAACCAUCUUUUGGUUUAUUUGGACCACCCGUAACAACUUCAUCUUUCGAAAGAAACCCCCAGACCCAGUUCAAGCACUACGGGGGAGCUCUAUCUUCUCUCAGCAAUUGCAGGAGAUGGAAUUCAAAGCAAAAAAUCGGACCUUGAGGUUGCCACCUCUUCUAAGAACUGGAAACCCCCAAAGAUCGGAUCUUUAGAGGUCAACAUUGAUGAAUCCCUUCGUUGAAAGCUCCAUGGAAGGAGCAAUCGCCUGCAUUAUUCGAAACUCAAAAGGGACGCUUGUGGAUGCACACAGAAUUAUCUCACGGCUCCGUAUCAACCCCAUUGCCAUCGUGAAACCAACUCCAUUGCGAACGGACUGGAUUUCUUCCCCUCCCCAAAUCUUGGUGGAUUUACUUUGGAAGGAAGCCCAGUUCAAGGGCCCUGCAUUUUCAAAUUGAAUAAAAGUUAACCAGUUUAUGAUCCACCAAAAAAAAAAAACGCGAGUUGGAAAUGUUGAUGAAAAUGGUGAUACAUCUCAACAAUGAAUAGCGUGACCUGCUUUUAUUUACCUUUGAAAGGACAUGUGAAUCGUUCCGACAUCGUGGCUAGAGCUCUCUACUGAUCAGAGCGUUAUUUUCACGAAUCGGUGAUUUCUCUGCUGCAGUAACGCAAUGAAGGAAUUUCCAACGAGUUGCGUCGUUGAACGUCUAUUAGAAUUUAGACGCCUUGAUUCCCGAAGCUCUGUGAUUUCCAAAAGUUCAUCCGAAAUUGACCCCCCAUCAUUCCGUAAAACCUCCGAAAUUCGACAGGUGUGGGCAAUUUGUUGAGGCCUUGCAGUCACCCCUCAUUAGCGGAACACAGUUUCAACUCUCUCCAGGCCCUGAACAUCAUGAAGCUUCGAACACCCUUGAAUGUCCAAUUGUCUGAGGUUAUCGAAGAGCGAGGGGUCCGGUAAUUUUUCAAUGGAAUUGCACCCCCGGAUAUUUAAAUAUGUCAAUUUUUUCAACCCCUCAAGGCCAUUAAUUUCCUCCACAUCUUCGCAUUCAAAGACCACUAAUUCCCUCAGAUGCGUUAAUUGCGAAAUGUCGAGUCUUGUAAGGGACUGGCAACGAAUAAUAUGUAGCAUUUCCAAGUUUUUCAAUCCGCCAAGGCAUUGAACUUGAAAUGGAUGAUCAUUCAUUAUUGAAGCGUCUAAGUCUUCUAUUUCCAAAUGUCUCAAAGACUCCAGAUGUUCAAGGCCGUUGAGGUUGGGCAACUUCUUGCAUUUGCACAAAGAUAAUCUUCCUAAAUAUUUUAAUCCUUCCAAACCCUCGAUUUCCAUCAGCUCACCACACUCUAUGAUAUGUAAUUCUAACAAAGAUUCCAAACUUGACAAAUUGGGCAACUUUUCCAACUUACCACAGAGGACGACCCAAAGGUUCAAGAUUUUUGUAGGAAGCACUGGGAUGGAUUCCAAAAAUUCGCAAAAUUGAAAACUGAGCUCUUUUAGAUUGAUUAAGUGAGAAAGUUGAGGCAAUUCGUGAUUCUGACAGGUGAUUUCCAAAACUGUUAAGUUGGCAAGAAGAUCGCAAUUAAUUAAAUAAGGGUGUCGUUGAGAAGACAGGUCACUGAACAUUUCUAAUGAUAGAAUAUCCAUUUUGUGCAUGUCAAGAAGAUCUACAGUGUGGCAAAGCUUCCCAAGUUGAAGGAUUUUCAGUGAAGACAACCCAUUUGUAGGAACUGCCCCUUCCAAACUCGUGCAGGCUGUGGCAUCUAAUUCUUCAAGUUUUCCCAACUUACUAAGAGUACUAGGUAAACUACUCAAUUCCGUACACCCAGCAAUUUUCAGAAUUUUCAGAAUUUUCAAGUCCCCGAUGGAUUCAGGUAAUUCCAAAAUUUUUGCACAUGUCAAAUGCAAUUCAGUCAAUGAUUCUAACUUCCCAAUUGAAUGGGGGAUAUGAUUGAAACAAUAAGUUUCACUAUAAUCCCGAUUACACCCCCAAUCAUCAGCUUCAAAUGGAAGAGCCAUAUUGCCUAGUAACAAGCGCUGUAAUUUCUUAAGGGAUCCAAUACUCUCCGGAAGUUCUUUAAAAUCCAUGCACCAUCUCAAGUCAAGGGUCGACAAAUUUACCAAAUGGCUAAUUGAGUCUGGAAGUCCAACCAAUGACAUGCAAUUGAGGGCACUGAGUAUCUCCAGCUUUGUUAAAGAAUCUAUUGAUGGAGGAAUUUCCUUUAUCUGAACACCAUCUAUUCUAAGUUCCUUAAGUUCUUUCAAUUCGCCCAUUUCUUUGGGUAGCUUUUUGAUUCUCCAACAUGAGGACAAGUUUAAAGAAACAAGGCGCUUCAGUUCACCUAGUUGUGAGGGCAACUUAUUGAGUUUGCAACAAUAACUCAAGUUCAAGGAAGUGAGGCACUUAGCAUCUCCUAUUGAAAGGUCAAUUUCCUCCAAAUUAUCACAAUAAUCUAGGAUUAGUAUCUCUAAACUUUUAAAUGCAUAGAGAUUAGGGGUUCUCACUAAAUCAAUGCAAUAAGAAAGAUUGAGAACUUUCAACCUCUCCAUCUACAAAAAAGAAACAUGUUCCAAGAUUAGCAGUUGGAAAUAGAAUGAUUCAUCAUCAAAUGUAACAAAAGAGAAAGCAUUUCUCAUAUUUACCUUGAUUGAACUCCAUCCUCUCCAUUCAUGACUAAUAUAACCAUAUGAUAAAUCAAGUAUGAGUAAUUUCUCCAAAUGAACAUUAGCCGCCUUGAAAGAGUUGGGACAUUUCUCCCACCUUAGCCAUCUUAAUUCAGAAAGUGAAUCCUCAAAAUUUCCAACAAAAUCCACUUCACUUAUAUGAAGGAAGUUCAGGUAAGGCAUUCUUUUGAAACUCUCUCGGCUCAUGAACAUGUUUGAGCCAUUUUUGUCCAGACGUAGUGCCUCAAUAUUUCUAUUUUCUUCCUACCAAAAAAAAAAAUGAUGAUAGUAAAUAUCAGCACAGGGCAUUCCUUGAUCUUGACAUGAACAAAAAGUGUCAUUAAACAAGGAAUAGCAUACCGCCCACCUGCCAUUUGUUGGCAUACAUCUGCAUGUUAUUGUGGCCAAUGCAUUUUCUCUCCACUUACAGAGUAUAUGUGAUAUUUUUAUAACUACGCAAUCCUACUGAUCUCAUGUAAAAUUCCUCCAUUAUAUAGUCUAGGUUUCUUAUAAGUUUUUAUAUAAGACUCUGUGACACAAAUAGCAUUGCCUACCAAGUAUUCCCUCCACCGGAGCACAUAUGGUGUCCCUUCGUAAUUGUGAGAACCGUUGCACUUUUUGGACCAAAAGAAGAAAAAAAAAACUAAUCGGAUUUAUUACAAGCAUUUAUGCAUUCAUAAAGCAUGACAACUUAUUUCCUUGUUCAUGAAAUAUUGGUCAUUUUGGCUUAUGGCUAAAUGGAAACGAGAAUGUUUGGUCAUUUUUUCCCUGGAAGCGCAACUCUGUAUUUAGUAGACGAUUUUUGUGCAACCGAAGCAGUAUCUUUUUGUUUCAUCGGAAAAAGAAUACACUUUCGAAUUAAAACGCAACUUACUAAGAGAAGAAUAAUUGACAAAACCUCACUUUUUUAAAAAUUGGUUAUUAAUAAAUAAAAAAACACAUUACGGCUAAUAAAAAUAACACAUUAUUUAGUGCACAAAAGACUAUAAAAGUAAGUUAACAAAAAGUUACAAUUAAACAAUCACAUUAACGAUGUGCAUCUAUAUUGGGAAUUUCAUUAGUCUUUCUUUUUACCUUUAGGUAUCGUCCUUUCACUAUAUACCCUUCUACAAUUCCAUACGGUGUCUGUCUCUUUCCCCAAUUAUAUCUUUAUUUGCAUGUUGAGUGACCAAAACUUUCCAGAAAUUCACAGAUUGCUAGAGAAGAAAGAAAUUGAGGAAGGGAAGUUGAGCUUGACUCUUCAAUUUUGGACAUUCAAGCUCGAAAAGAUCAAACCUAAUCCUAAGGUGAGCGCACUAGUCAAUCAGCCAUCCUUCAAUUUGCGCCAAUCGAAUGAUAUCAAUUAUCAAGCAGGUAGUCUUCUAUCUAUUAGAGUUUCUAUUUUCAUCCCAACCGUUUUACUUUUCUUACUUAUAUCAUAGCGUCAUCUGAACUUUUACAUCAAUUGCAAAGAGCCGACAAUGAAAAAGACUGAUUGCUUCUUUCACAUUUUAGCAUGCGCAAUAGCAUAGUGAGUUUUAGUUACGCAUGAUUGCAAAACCAAAAUUAUUAUCUCAUGGAAUUGAGUGAGAUUAAAAUUAAAUAAUCCAGACGAUCUAAUACUUUAACAAAUUAUCUUCAUGUAUUUCCUCUGUUCUUUGAUUUGGUCAAUAUUUGCUAUAGUAAAAAAAGAUGCUUUUGAUGCCGGUUUGCCAUGUGAAUCAAGAUACAAAUCAGCCUGAUCAUACGAAUUUGUCAGUGCAUUUGCCCAUUCACCGGUUCAUAUAAAAAUCUAUGAAUUGGUAUACUAGGUUCGCGAUCAUUAUUAUUUUCCUAUUUUUCAAUUCUCUCAUUUCUUAUUUUCUCCCCCAAUUAUCUUAUUUAAUGAAUUAAGGCUCAAUUUGUUUCUCGAAAAAUGAACAAUUUGAAAAAUAUUUUCUUAAAAACGAUAGCUUAUAUUGCGUAUAAAAACGAAUGAACGAAAUAUAUUAGCUAAAAUAUUUAGAUAUAAAUUAUUGUAGAUAAUGAAAAUAUUUUUUUUAUUAACUAAUUACAUCAAGUAAUACAAGUGAUUGUUUUCUAAGAAGAUAUUUUAUCAAUCAUUUAUUUUUCACGAAAUAAGCGGAGCGUAAAUAUUGAAUUUUUUUCUCGCUCCUAUGAUCCUAUCAAAUCUAACAUCUAAUAUCUAACAACAGUAUUUUUAUUUUUAUUUUCAAUCUUCUUGUUGUCCAUGUGUGGGCGCCUGAAAGGCUCUAUAAGUCCUUUCGAAGAAAGGCUCGCUCAUUACAUAAUAAAGGUGGAUAUUGAACUACAUUAAGUGCAGAUAAGUUGAAGAUGAGCAAGAUACAGCUUCUUUCAGCUUUCACUAUUCCGUCACUUACUUCCUUCAAUCAUUUAUUUUCUUAAUUUUGAUCUUUACUUUUCAAAUUUUCAUCGAAAAUUACUUUGUAUAAACAUGUGCAAAAUCGUGUUUCAGAUGUUACUUCGUUUAUUUUAGUCAUAAUUUACUGUUGUUUGAUUUUGCACAUUAUUCAUUAAUGUUGAAUUACGUGCUCGAAAUAGCUAUGACUAGAUCCGUGCACAACACGGGUACAAACACCCGCAUAUAAUAUGAAAGCAGGGUAAAUUAGCCUUAUGUUAUCGCAUCACGAGUCCAAAUUCUGUUAGUUCUCACCUUUCAUGUGAAUAAACAUGAUCGAUCCAUGUACACAUGCAAAGCUCAUAAAUAAACCAAAUCCCUUGAUAAUGCCACCGACUCUAUAAUUAAUGUAUCUCGCACAGUCUUCCAACAUUAUAUUAUCUAAUUUGUUAAUUUAGCUAUAACUUGGUCUAAAUGACAAUAGAAAAAAGCUAAAUUUGCAAUUAAAAGUUUAAAUUUGAAUUUUUAAAGUGUAUUAAUCCUAUAAGUGACAAGAUAAAUACUUAUUUUCCAUUAAUUAUAGAGUGAGAGUUACCCAACUAUGUAGUGUUGUUUCAAGUUAGCAACUAAGCAAUUAUGUUAAUAACAUAAUUAUACGUUUCUAGAUUAUUAAAAAAAAAUUGAUAGAUUUCAAGGUGCUUCUUUAGUUAUGAUGAUAUCAUUACCUGAGUAAUACAAUUAAAACAAUUUUUUUAUUUUCCUUUUAUCGUGCAUUUACAUUAUCAUAUUGCAUUUCCGUUGUAAACAUGCAUAAGAAAUUCCAUAAAACAAAUUGUAUAAAUUAUUUAUACAUAUAAAAUCACUACAUAAGAUCUUACUACUUCAAAUUGAAUAAAUUCUUGAGUCGUAGCCAAUAGUUAUUAGGUGCAAAUAAUUUAAAUUGAAAUCUUUACUUUUUCUUCUUCUUCUUUUUGCCAUAAAUUAGGAGCUGCAUGUAUUCGACAGUGAUCAAUGACGAAGUUCCCGUUAUUUGGUCAAAAAAUAUAAAUUAAUUGGCAUAAAAUUAUUAAAAAAAAAACUUAUAUGCAUUUUAUGGUAUUUUCCGAUAUUAUCUUACUUAAAUGAUAUUUGAAUAAGCAAAUCUCCAAACCUGGGUGACGCUAGGAUCUUCAACUUGUAGUGUAGUAAGAAGCACUGAAGCAGUACAAAACUGCUAGAAAAUGAUGUUAAGACAGCCAAAGAGCAAUAUAGACAGAGCUAAAAUUACACAAUUUUAGUACCCCUUUUCAGCGCCUUUUUUUAUGCAUCAAGAGAUGAGCUGUGCAAUAGUCACGACUGCAAACUUUUCAUGAACUAAAGGCCAAAAUUGGAUGUAGCUUUUACCAAGAAAAUGCUAAGAACAUGUUGACACCGGUCAAUGAUCUAGAGUAAAAGAAAAAUUAAGAAUAAUAAUAUGAGGGACUAUGAUUAGGGAAUAUGGUAUAGGCCAAAAGUAGACAUGAUUGUUACCUUACUUCGUUGAACUAUUACAGCUUUCUCGUCCCAUAGUCUGCUACAUUUCCAAGGCUUCUUAUUUGCUGGACGAGCAAUAGCUCUGCCUAAAUCUCUUAAUUGAUCAUGCAUUCUCAACUCAUUGUUAUCAUCAAUUUUCAUCAAUGAAAGUCCAAUCAUUGUUUCCAAUCCGGAAUCUGGGCAAUAUUGGAGAUCCUCCCAUAGGUAGGUGGCAAAUCUUUUGUCAAUUCCAAUAAAAAAGCAUGCUAUGUCUAGAAACAUUUGUUGUUCCUCAUAUCCUAAUGAAUCAUAACUUAUCCUCAACUUUUGUUGUACAUCCAUAUGAGGCACCUUCCUCAAUUUCUCAUGUGUCUCUAUCCAUAUACUUUGAUGUUUUCCUUUAAGAAAUGAACCUAUAAUCUUGAGAGCUAAAGGAAGCCCUCCUAUGGUGGCAACAAUAUCCUUAGGAAGAGUCGCGAGUUCCAUUCGAGGUUGUUCCAGUUCAAAUGCAUACGAGCUAAACAGACGCACAGAGUUUGUGCCAUCCAUUUCUUUGAGUUCACAACAUAUAUAUUCAGACUUCAAGAGGGCCUUAUCUCGACAUGUAAUAAUGAUUCUACUUCCCAACCCAAAAUCACAACCUCCAAUCAAUUUAUCGAGGUGGUAUCGACAAUCCACAUCGUCAAGAACAAUAAGUACCUUCUUCUUUCCACAAAUAAAUUGGAUUUUUCUAAUCCCUGUCACAGAAUCAAACACUAUACUUCCAUGAUUUCUUGUUAUAUCUGAGCUUAGUAGAUUUUGGAUAUGCUCUAUACCCCUACAAUGAAUUGUUCCUCUAAUAUCCAUAAUACAGCUGCACAGCUCAAAUUCCUUAGCAAGCUUAUUAUAAAUGAUUUUGGCUAGAGUUGUCUUACCAAUGCCACCAAUCCCACAAAUCCCAAUAAUUCGAGUUUCGGAAGCAUUAGCAUCCACCCAUUUCAUUACCUCAGCCACACGAUGAUCAUUUUCAACUAAGUUCCCAGGAAGAGGUAGUAGGAAAUCAUGUUGCUGCUUGCCCAUUAUUACUUGCUGCUUGCCUAUUAUUACUUGCUGCUCGCCCAUUGUUACUCGUACGAGUUCUUUUAUUAAUUCCGCUUCGCGCCUGUCAAACAACACAACACAUAAGAACUUAUUUUUUUUUUGGUAAAGCAUAAGAACUUAUUAAUGGCUCCACAAAACAAGGAUUGAGGUUGAUAAAUAGAAAAAUUCUUCUUCCAACGAGGAUCAAUCAAAAGAAGAUAAACGACAUACCCAUUAGCAUAUUCCGUUGAUUCGAAUACUCUAAGCUCAACUGCAUUUUUUAGAGCUACCGGCCCUUGUUGCUUGACCUCCUCAUCAAAUUUAUCCUUAUGGGAUUUGAAGGCCCGUCCAAAGUCCCCCUUUAGUUCUCGCACCUCAGAGGGUUUCACCUUGUAAAGCACAGGGAAAACAUUUUGCUCUCCUCUUUCCUUGCACUUCAUUAUAUGAAUGAGCUCGCGGAGGCACCAUUCGCUUGCAGCAUAAUUUUCUGAGAUGAUUGGGAUUGAAACCUUCGAGCGCUUGAUUGCACUGAUGAGAUUUUCACCAAUUUUCUCGCCGAAGGGGAGGUCCUUAUCAUCUUUGAACACAGGUUUUGGAUGGAACGUUAGGCCCGCCUUCUUGAGUCUAUGGUAGAGGUGUUGCGAAGUAUCGAAACCCUCUAAAGGUUCAGAAACCAUGGUUAUCAUUUCCAACUCACGGAGUGGGCCCAAAGUGGAUGGGGGAGAAUUUCGCUCCCAGACGCCGACGGCCCCAUCGAUCUUCUUCCAAAGAGUCCGAAGAGGGAAGAAGAAGAGGCAAUUUGCUCUCGCUGAGACUCGACUGUUGCUUGAGGAAUGAUUUCCCAUUGCAGCUCUCUCUCUCUCUCUCUCUCUCUGUGAGACUCGACUGGUGUGGAUAGUUUUGAGGUGGUGGAAGAAGGGGGUGAGUACAGUGGUUUGCUUGUCAACCUGGAAGAUGGCUCGGUUUGGCUGCCAGUGUUUGAGCUGGGAAGCGUCGCUGGUCAAAGAGGAACAAGGGACAGCAGGAGGCGAGACCCGAUU